CUUUUUUGUAGGGAUGAAAAAGCUUAGAGUUCUAGAUUUUACUCGAAUGCAGUUUUCUUCUUUUCCAUCUUCAAUUGAUCUUCUACCAAAUCUUCACACACUAUGUCUGGAUCAAAGUGCGUUGGGGGACAUAGCAAUCAUUGGGAAGUUGAAGAAUCUAGAAGUCCUUAGCUUUUUGAAGUCUGAUAUUAUGCAGUUGCCCGAAGAACUAGGUCAAUUGAAUAAGUUGAGAUUGUUAGAUUUAACAAAUUGUUUCCAACUGAAAGUUAUUGCGCCCAAUCUCAUAUCAAGCUUAACUCGACUAGAAGAGCUGUAUAUGGGUAAUUGCUUCAUUGAAUGGGAGGUUGAAAGAGCCAACAGCAAAAGAAGUAAUGCUAGCCUUGACGAAUUGAUGCAUUUACCUCGGCUAACCACUCUAGAAAUUGACGUUAAAAGUGACAAUAUUUUACCAGAAGGUUUUUUGGCCAGAAAGCUCGAAAGGUUCAAAAUAUCUAUUGGAAAUGGGUUAUUCAUGCAUCCCAUGAGUGUUGGACAACAUUGGUUUAAAAGUCGGCCGCGCUUUUCGAUCAACAGUGAUCGCAAGAGUUUAAGAUCAUUGAAGCUCAAGCUUGAUUUUAUGGACAUUUGCUCCAUGAAAUUGCAGGGCAUCAAUAACGUUGAAUACUUAUGGUUGGACAAGCUGCAAGGCAUCGAGAAUGUUCUUUUCAAUUUGGACACGGAGGGCUUUUCACAAUUGAAGCUUCUCUGGGUUCAAAAUAAUCCUGACGUCUUUUGUAUCGUCGAUUCAAGGGAGAUGGUCGCUUGUGAUGCCUUUCCUCUUUUGGAGUCACUUACCAUUCACAAUUUGAUCAACAUGGAGAGGAUAUGUAUUGAUCGGCUCAAAGUAGAGUCUUUCAACAAACUCAAAAACAUAGAAGCAUAUAAUUGUGAUAAAUUGAGUAAUAUCUUUUGGCUCUGUACUACAAAAUGCCUUCCAAGACUUGAGAGAAUUGCAGUUAUUAAUUGCAGCAAGAUGAAAGAGAUUUUUGCAAUUGGGGAAGAAGUUGAUAAUGCAAUUGAGAAGAUAGAGUUUGCUCAAUUAAGAUCUUUGAGUCUGGGGAAUCUUCCAGAGGUUACAAGUUUUUGCUGUGAGGUGGAGACUCCUUCAGCAUCACCGAACAGACAAGUGUCACAACACGAAUCGACGACUAUGUUUUGCUCCAGCGAAAUCACUUUGGAUAUUUCAACUCUGCUUUUCAACGAGAAGGUGCGUAGGCUAACAUUUUCUUUAUAUAUAUAUAUAUAUAUAUAUAUAUAACAGACUUUAUUCUAUCAUACGUUCUCUUUUGAUGUCAUACGUGGAAAAUAAAUACAUCAUUUAAAGAAUUGAAAGAAAAUGGAAAAAAAGGAUAAAAAGAAUCUCACGCGCUCACUAAUUAAGCUCUUAACAAGUAGUAUGAAUUAGAAUGCAUUCUCAGCUGUCAGUUGGAAAUUGAUUCUGACUUGCAUUAUUUUGUAAUCAAAGAAGAAAAUUUCAACAAGUGCUUCCCAUAUGGAUGGAUCUAACGAGAAAUUCUUAUUUUUUUAGGUUGCGUUGCCUAACUUGGAGGCUUUGGAGAUAUCUGCAAUUAAUGUCGACAAGAUUUGGCACUACAAUCAAAUUCCGGCGGCCGUGUUUCCUCACUUUCAAAGUUUAACACGAUUAGUUGUGUGGUACUGUGACAAACUGAAAUACAUAUUUUCAGCGUCUAUGAUCGGAAACCUCAAGCAGCUCCAACACCUAGAAGUACGCUUCUGUGAGGAUUUCUGAGAACAGAGCAGAUGAAGUGAUCCCUUAUUUUGUCUUUCCACAGCUCACCACUUUGAGACUCCAAGGUCUACCAAAACUUAGAUGUUUGUACCCUGGAAUGCAUACUUCGGAAUGGCCCGCGCUAGAAAUUCUUUCAGUGCAUCGUUGUGACAAAUUAAAGAUAUUCACUGAAGAUUUAUCGCAGAAUAAUGAGAACGAUCAACUUGGCAUUCCUGCACAACAGCCCCCAUUGCCGUUGGAAAAGGUAUGAAGCCAUUUUCUAGAUUUUUUGUCUACAGCUUAUUUUUAACUUUGAAAAAUAUGGCAAAGCAUCGAUAAAUUAAUACUCAAUAAAUUGAAAACUUUUAUUAUACAAUAAUCUUUGUUAGUCUAGAUUAAGAGAUCAAUGUGGUAGAUUAAUAAUUAUAUGAACUUUUUUUGGUAGAGCAUUUAUAAAAGAAUCCUUAGUCUUUCCAUAUAGAAGAACUUACAAAAUAAAUUAGUAAUUUAUUAUUGUGCAAUAAAAUAAUUUCGAGCCAGUAUAAAUCAACCUUUUUCCCUAAUUUCUUUUUUACCUCUAAAAUUAACAUAUAAAAUAAAUUUUAUCAAUAAUUCAAUUUUUUUAAAAUAUAAUAUAAAACAAAUAUUAUAAAGUCACUGCGUGUGACCGUAGAUCAUCAAUUGACCUCAUUAGUUAUUAUGAUUGAUGAUGAUCAGAUCGUACCCAACUUGAAGGAACUAUCACUAAGUGGAAAAGAUGUGAAGAUGAUUUUGCAGGCCGAUUUCCCACAACACCUUUUUGGCAGUCUUAGAGAACUAGAGAUUGCUGCAGAUGACACAGCUUGUUUUCCAAUCUGGAACGUACUGGAGAGAUUUCACAAUCUCGAAAUACUCACACUGUCUGUUUUUUUCAUUCGACGAAGAGGUAUUUUCGAAGGAAGGAUGCUUGGAGAAACAUUUGGGGAAGUUGGCAAUGAUAAAAGAAUUAAAGCUGUACCGGCCCUAUCAUCUGAAGCAGCUGUGCAAACAAGAUUCCAAACUUGGCCCCAUUUUUCAGUAUCUUGAAAUUCUAGGAGUAUAUCAUAGUCAAAGUCUGUUAAUUCUAUUGCCAUCAUCAUCGGUAUCUUUUCGGAACCUAGCAAAACUUGUAGCUUUCGGUUGCAAGGAAUUGAUACACUUAGUAACAUCCUCCACAGCAAAAACUCUAGUGCGACUGGUCAAAGUGCAAGUAUAUGGAUGCAGAGCAAUGACAGAGGUGGUAAUAAAUGACAAAGAUGGAGUUGAAAAAGAAGAGAUUGUUUUCUGCAAAUUGAAGACGUUGCAACUGUUUGAUUUAGAUAGCCUCACAAGUUUCUGCUCUGCCAAUUACACCUUCAAAUUCCCAUCUUUGCAAGAGUUGUGGGUGAUUGGUUGUCCCAAGAUGAAGACUUUCACUACAGGAGAAUCAAUCACGCCUCUAAGAGUAAACGUCUGCUAUGGAGAGACAUCGAAUCAACGGCGUUGGGCUAAUAAUGAUCUAAACACAACCAUACAACAAUUACAUGCUGAGAAGGUACGUAUAUACAUAUUACUCUCUAUCUCCCAUGAUAAUUUUUUACAAAAUUUGCUUUCUUAAAUACAAUAUAGAUAAGAUAUUUGAUGAAUAAGAAUUUUACUUUCAGCUGUUGGCGGUGUCGUCGUCAUACUCUACGCAGUACGACUAAUUUCAUAGGCUUCUUAUGACUUGGAGUUGCAAAUUUUUAGAAGAAAGUCUCAACUGGUAAUUAAUUUUUAUUUCAUUUAUUUAAUCCCAUGGCUUGUUUCGCAAUUUCAUCUGAAUUAUUUAGAAUGGGUCCCUCGGUUUACUGUUAAAUUUGCAAUGCAAUUUUAAUGAUCCUUUCAGACUUUUAUGGACAGAUUUUGCAUAGUUGAAUGUCUUUUUAGUCUACUUUAAUUUGAGUUUUUCAUUUUUUUUUUAGAGCUCCCCUUGUUUUCUAAAAUUUUAUAAUUCCUUGCAUACUUUUUAUGAUAAAAUUUCAUUAAAAGCCUUCAUAUUUUAUAAUUCAUUGAAAACGUGCAUACUUUUUCCUUUUUUUUCUUUGCCAAUUAUUUAUUGUCAUCAUUGCUGUUCUUUUAUUUUAGUUUGUGCUCUGUUUGUUCAUUGGGUUUGCUUUUCGGAAAGUUAGAAGGCAAGGAAAGUACUUAGAAAAUGUUCUUCCCUAUGAACACAUAAUUCACAGCUGAAUAUCAUUCAUUGGAUUCAAAAAAAUUAAAAUAAAAAAAAAAAGUAAUCAGCCCAUUAUUCCCAGAACAAAUCCUUAAACCAUCAAACGUUAGCUAUGAACAAGUAUAUUGGUCUAUAGCAUAUUCAUAAUAUUUUUUCUGCUGUUCUGGUUAAAAUUUCUCUACUCUGUGAUUGCAGAAUGUCUGGAUACUGAUGAAGAUUUAAGUCACUCUUCUUCUGUGAAUAAGGUCGUUUUUCUUUUUUCCUCUAUUCAAAAUUUCCAUUCUGAGGGGUUCCCAUUUCCAUCUUCGUGAUCUUCUUGUGAUAGUAUGAGUUACAACCUGUCUGUUUCCUUUAUUUGAUCAUCGCAAGUUCAAAGACAUUUUAUUCUAGCUAAGCUCUUUGUAUGUAUUAUAACAUUUUUAUUCUCAAUAUAUAGAACUCAAUGAGAGGUCUUUUAUUAUACAUGUGUCAUGAAUUUCUAUUGUAUUUUGAGAUUUGAUGGUGUGUUAUCGUCCCAUUGCAAGGUCUUGUAAUCACUCUGAUUCUCAUUUGAGGAGGUUGGUCUCGUCUAUGUGUAUGUAUUUAUAUCCACAAGAAAUUUGAUAAAUGGUCUGGUCAUUUUCUCAUUAAAACAUCUAGUGCUUCAUAUGUUGGAGGGCUACCAGGCAUCAGGGCCAGAUUUUUAAACUCUUCUUCGUGUCAUUUUUUAACAAUAAUAAGGAAGCCCAAGAGAAAAUCUAGAAGUCCUAAUAAGGACCGCUUCUGUAUUGUUCAUUUUCUUAAUUACCUUCAUUAUUAUUUUCGUUUUCAGUUGAUCAAACUUCAGUUCCUUAGCAUUAAUCUAAUUAUGUACUUCAUCUAGAAAUCCUUAAUUUACUCAUCAAAAUGUGAACGCUUAGAAAACUAAGGCAAUAAAUAUAAAGGUACUACCUAAGUUUAUCAUCACAUAUGAUCACCACUUGAUAAUCAAAUAAUCAUAAAAGCAUAUAAAUUCAAAUUAGUGUAUCAUUUACACUAUAAGAAAUAGUUGUAUUACCGACCAGACAUUUCCACAAUAUACUUUUUACACUAUAAAUGCUUUUGAUGGGCUUCAUCUUUGGUUUCGGCUUCGCCGACAAAUAUCUCACAAACAUUCUGCCUUCAAGCAACAACACAACUCCCACUCUAAAUGUAUUUUAUACACUCUCAAACGCACCGUUUUGAUUUGUGUUAUAAAUUUGACGCUGCCAUUGUUUUUUUGUUUUUGACAGGCAUGGCUUUUCUUUUUAAGCCUUUCCUUUUAUCUUUUAUAGCCAUCUUCCACAUCAUUUCUCUUCCAAGUAAUCUUAAGAAAUAUUUCUGUUCUUCUUCCAAGUAAUCUUAUCAUUUCUCUCAUUUUAUUCGUUCUUCUCUUUUCAAGUCUUCAAUCUUAUACUCAGUAAAUAUAUUAAACUGCUUUUUCACUUCAGUUCCAGACAACUGAGAAGGUGUUUGUCCCUACUCUCUAGUUUUAUUCAAAGACACUAUAUUUUCGAAACCUAUGAUUUGUUGGGAAAAAUCGACGGUGACCCACGUGACAAAAUUUUCUACUAUGUAUCAACCAAUUAGAUCCAGUGCUUUGUUGGCAAACAAGACAUGCUUAUUUACCUUUAAUACUCCACCCAGACAAGUUGCCACUGAUAGUUCAUAACAAUGCUACGUGUAACUUGAACAUUUGAUUACGUGAUGUACUGUAUCAUUCCAACCAUAUCAUCAUCAGCCACUUCCCUUAUAACGAAAUAUAGAUUACAACACUUAUCAAGAAGGACAAUAAAUUCUUGUACCACCAACAACAUUCUCAAAUACAAAAUCUAUAAAUUUUUCAACGCCAUCAGUAUAUGACUUGGAUAUCUAUUUGGCAAACCAACCCAACACUUGUCCAUGACUAUCUCCUUUUAAUGCGCUAAAAAAAUUAGUUCUUCAUUUCUACUACUAAACAAGAUAUUUUCGUGUGUGCACAGUUUUGCAAUAUAAUAAAAAGAUCAUUUUACAAUUUUAUGGUUAAUUUCAUUAGAAUUUACAUAUAUGAAAGCAAACAAAGCCACAAGAAUCAGAGAAAAAGAUGUGACAAUCAAAGUAUAUAAUCAACGAUAAUUAAUGUAAAAAACAGUUUCCAAUACCUUCUGUAAAGAAAUAUCCUUGCCAAGUGCUGAGAACUUCACUUGGCUAUCAAUUACAGAUAUAUAAAGCCUGUAACCUAGAAACAAAAAAUUAGGUCAGCAAGUCCUGAAACAUUUUUAUAAACCAACAUUGGAGAUAGCACUCCAUUUACAAACAAAAUUACAAGCUCAAAACCAAGGUCAACUCAGCAAAAUCAUCACCAAUUACAUUCAUCCAACUCAGCUCCUACACUACCCUCAAUAUAUCCAACAUUCCCUUCAUAUUUACCAACCGUAAGUAAUCCUACAUAUCCCACUCAAGAAUGCGUAAGUAUUUUCAAUCUCAAGUACCUAAAGUUUUAUUCUACAUUUAUAAAAAUUUCAGCACCAUCUCCCUAUAAUUCUCCAAGCACGCGACAUAGCUAUAUAAGUGUUUAUGCGUUAUGCCAAAACAACACAACACCCAUUCACCUAGUACGUUCCCAGAGAACACGAGGAGCAGCUACUGAAAAACCCAUUUUUACGUGGGAAGAAACUUCAGCUACUAGCUACCAGAGAGAAGUAUGCAUUCCCAAACUGUCCAAGCCCGGACAAUUCAAGAAUUAUUAAUAGACAUAUGAUCCUCACUAUCAUCCAAAUAUGACACUAAUAAAACAUGUGUCUAUUAAUAAUUUCUUAAACAAGUCUAAGCUUUUAAUGCACGUAUCAAAAGUUUAAAAUUGAAUCUGAAAUUUGAAUAACACAUAAAUAUCAUAAAUCUUUUCAAGUUAUUCCUGAUACAAUGUAGGCAUGUAGCAUUAUUUCACAUAUCAUUUCUUAAGCAAAACCAUAAAAAAAUACAAAUGAUAAAUACAUUUUCGUACUGAUGCAGAUUAUGUUUACUGAGCAAUAAGUUUUAAGUCAUUCAUGUUGAAAUACUUCUUCCUAUUCUUUCAACAUAUAACUAGUACGUACACACAAUUAAUAAAUAAAUAAAUAACCUGGUGGUGAAUCUUGCAAAAUCUUCCUUUUUUUUGUGGGGGGGGGGGGGGGGGGGGGGGGGGGGGGGGGGGGGGGGGGGGGGGGGGGGGGGUGGGGGCGCUAUGAAUCUUGCAAAUCCUCGGGAAGCCAUGUUAAGACAAGGCCAGCUUACUAUUAGGGUAUGAAAGAUAAAACCUUUUAUUUCCUUUUCAGAAUAAAAAGGACAUUGACAGUGUUAAAAAAAAUCUAGAGGAUUUCAGGCCUCCAGAUCCUUACAAAUCAAGGAUAUUAAAAAAAAUUACUUAGAGGAGAAAGGUUAUGCUCAUUUGUAUCUUGUUAGAAGAAAUUGAUCCAAAGCCUCAGUUUUAAUUUGCUUCAUACAGCCAAUGACUAGGUGUUUAAAAACCAAUGAAUAUUUUUAUAAGAAAUCAACAAUAUUGUUGAAAGAAAAACCAAAUAAAAAUAAUAAAGCCAAUGAAUAGAUCAAGGCUCUUUAUGGUCUAAUAACUAAUCAAACUAAGUUGUGGGCAAAGGCGAAUAUGUUUGUUUGGUCGAAAAUAAGCUCAACAAAUCACUAAUAAUCACCUAAUCACUAUUCUUUAUGCUAUGCAAUAUAAUGGCCUGGGUAAUGGCGCCAAGGCAGAAAAUAACUAGCUAGCCAGUUAUGAUAGUUGAUUAACUUAACCUACUGGAAAUCCGAAGACCAAAACGAAGAAGCUUUGCCUAGAACUAGAAUAGGAACAUUCAUACCCAAAACUAAUAUACACGAUUAAGAAACUUGAUUAUAUGUAUAUUUCUGUUGGCCACACUGAAAGAGAAUUUUCAAAAGAUGCUAAGGUACACCAAAUCCCACUAUUUCAUACUCAUAAACACAAAAAACCAAGGAAAAAAUUAAUGACUAUAUAAAAUAAAAUCGGUCAUAGGACAUUGAGAUUAGGACAACUUGAUUUGUAUACCGUAAAAUAACUAUAUCUGCAUAGUGAACUAUAUUUCUGUUAGAACUCUGAAGUUUUCUAUUAAAUUUUUUUCUCUGUUAGGUAAACCACUUAACUGAAAUGCUUAAGCCAAUAUUGACAAUCAUAGACAUAAAAGUAUUAAUAGGCUCAUUCAAGUGAAAUGAGCAUUAUUUUACACAUCCUUUAGGAUUUUAAGUCAUUUAGAAGUCAUUCAUGUUAAAAAAAAAAAAAAUUCAUAUACUUUCAAUAUAAUUAGUACAUACACAAUUAAUUAAUUAAAUAAAUCUGUUUCAGCUAGUAUAGGAACUUAAUUAAUCAAAGCUAGUAGUUAUAGCUAGGACUUGAACGAGGCACCUUUCAAAGUUCAAGAAGAGCAUCUGAACAGAAUGAAAGCACUUUGUAGAAAUGAUAAUGAUGCUUUACACAAUAUGAACUUUCAUUUAUUCAAGAACAUAACACUACUCCAAGCUCUUAUUCUACGAGUCAAUCCAGUUUGUAGAUGCACGCCAUUGUAAAAGCUUUUGUAUUAUAAUUUCUGAAAAUAGAACAUAACAUUAUUAAUAUAGAAUCAGCAAUGUAUAUAACUUAUCAGACAAUAUAACAAGCACUUGGUGAGCAUACAAGAUAAACCAAAACAAGUUAUCUAGAAAAUGAAACUAAAACCCAAGCUCCGCUAUUCAUUGUAGAUGCUUUAAACAUAAAAUUAAACUAAAUCUAAUAGCAAAACAUUAGAAUGGAUGUUGGAAUUAAAGCUAAAUUCAAUAGUAAUUCAAAUGAAUCCAUUUGAACUUUGUAAAUUCCGCAGAACAAAAUUAAUUUGAGUGAGCAAACUCACCAAUGGAACAAGAACGCAGGGGCUUCAACUUGUACGAAUAAAAAAAUAUUGCUGGCGGGACAAAAAUUGACAAUAACGGCUACAAUACGAAUUAAAAAAAAUCAAAGUCUAUAAUUACAAGUUAAGUAAGAGAAGAAACUCAUAAUCACAAGCUUACCUCAAAAGAUGAAGGGAGAAUACGAUGAAGAAGAAGAUGCCCGGCGUUUUACGCCGUUCGCUGGCAACCAGUUAUGUUUACGAUGGUGGCCAGUAACACGGACUCCAGCGAAUACUUUUCUAACUGGAAAUAAAUUUAAAAUUCUAAAAUAUUAGUAUACCGAACGGCUCUUCACCGUCACGCAGUUCGUAACAUAUGUGACAGCAGUGUGGCCGUCACAUAAAGGGUAACAAAAGCAACUCGGGGUUACAGAGUUAGAAGUUAGUGAUAUGCGUAAUGGCUGCUUUUGCAUUCACAUUAGGGGUCACAUAUACCCUAUUUUCUUGUAGUACAUGGUAAAUUCUAUUUGAAAAUUGCUCAGUAUUUUAGAUUUGUACGAAAUCAUUUUUGUGUGCUCGUUGGAUAAUAAUAUAUAAUAAAUUAAAAUUUUAGUGUAAUUUUCACAAUAUUGUAUUAGAAAUAUGUCUCGUUGAAAGGUUUUGAAAUCGUUUGAUUGAUCAUAAUUGUUAUUUCGACAGUUGCAAAAGAUGCCAGAGAAAAUUUGAUUAUCUUAAGAAAUGAGUGCAUGAGAUAUGAAAUCAACCAUACCAUAAAAUCAAAUUUUAUCGUUUCAUUCUUCCUGGUUCAAAUUUAUGGAAACAAUAAUCAAAUGCACCCAUGAACUAGUAUAUUCCGACAUAUGUACCAUCAAAUUUUUGCUAUAUCAUACUUAUAUAUGUAUAUUGAAAUUUUAAUAACAACAAUUGGGCCAAGCGUAUGUUGGUACUUGAAGAUUUAUAAGCUCCAUCCUUGAAAAAAUAAGGCUUGAUUGUUCUCAAUCUAAUUCUUUUUGUUUUAAGUUCUUAAUUAAGCUUUCUUGCUUGUUUUCAAGAGCCAGUUUUGUAGUGAUCGAAAAACAUGAUUUGCAUGUAAUGCACUUGGCAUUUAUGCGUCACUUAUUAAUUAGAUUUAAAUUUUAUAAAUUAGUUAAGCUGAUUAAUACUGUGCAUGUGCACUAAAUGAUAAAUACUACAUAAAUUGGUAGGAGUGGGCAAAACCGGGUUCGGGUCGGGUCGGGUUCGGAUCAACCCGAUCGGAUUUCGGGUUGUUCGGGUUUAACAAAAAUUAAUCCGAAUACAACCCGAACUUCCCACCCGACCCGAUCCGAUCCGAUUUAUAUUCGGAUUGGGUCAGGUCGGGUUGUGAAUUCAGGUUGAAAUCGGGUAGGAUCGGGUUGACCAAUUUCCUUGAUUUUGUUACUACCAUUUAAAAACACAUAAUUACAACAAUUAAAUACUAAAUAUUAAUUGUUUAAUUUAACCAUAUGCACCAUCAAUUCAAAUCUUUAAAAAAAAAAGCUUAAAAAAAGCGUGAAAACUCAAGAUUCAAAGUCAAAGGUGAGAAGCUCGGGUUGAAGGAUUGGAGCAGCAGAAGCACCUUGCAGCAGAUUCGCGGCACUUGCAGUAGAUCGGUGGCCGCGGCACUUGUAGCAGCAGACCGACGGACGCGUAGUAGCAUAUUGGCGGCACUUGCAGCAAAUCGGGCAUGGAGACGCGCGGCAAAUCGGCCAUGGAGAUGCGGGUGAGGCUGUGACUUGUGCAACGACCUCCGUUGGCAGCUUGGCGUUGGCCCAACGCCGUUGGGGGUGACUGUGUAUGUGUUUUGUGUAUUGAGAUUGGGGAUUGUGUAAUGAGAUUGGGGAUUGAGGAGAGUUGUGAGUGUUUGUGUAAGUAACCGUGUGUUGUGAAAAUGGGAAUUGUGAUUUGUGUGUGCUGCGUGUGUGUGGCUGUUUGCUUUAGGUUUAGUUUUUUUUUUUUAUAGCAACCCGAUCGGGUUUCGGAUCGGAUCGAACCCAAUCCGAUCAUAACCCGAUCGGGUUUCAUUGUUUUGAUCCGAUCGGGUUUUCUGCACAACCCCAUCCGAUCCGAACCUGAAAUUUUUCGGGUCGGGUCGGGUCGGAUCGGGUAAUUUGCCCACCCCUAUAAAUUGGGACACUAGUAACUAUGCAUCCCAACCAUGUAAUAUUUAUUUGUCACGAAACCAACCACGACAUGAUAUUCUUAAUAUUAUUUAGGAUACCAUUUCAAGCCCCAUGAGGGCUCCUUCCGUUAAAUAAAAAAAAAAGGUAUGAAAUAGGUGUAGAUUUUACUUUAGAUAUUAUUAGUGAGAGUACCUUUGGUGGCAAUGGUCCGAGAUGAUUUGGGAUUUGACCAUUCUACUCUCAUCUUAAUUAUCAAAUGGAAUGUAAGUAUGGAUAAACUCGUCCUGUUUAUAUAUUUGUGAUCAAAAUUAGGACCAAUCUCAAACCCCUCACAAUCAUUUAUAUUAUUGCACCAGUUUAACAAUAAGAUUUACGAAACACAUACGACUGUUUUUAUAACUAAAAGUAUUUUUAAGCUACAAGAUUACCAAAAUGACCCUAAAUCAAACCAAUAAAAAUGUUUUAAAGUAAUAAUAAUAAACCAGAGUAAACGUACAAAAAUUCAUGCAUAAAUUGAUAAUCAACAAAAACAUCCAAAAGUUUAACUCCAAGUUUUCUAUUCAAUUGACAUAACCCUUAAAUUUCAAAAGGUAUAAUCAAUUUUGUGUCUAAUCCUAUAAAAUUAGAAAAUUAAAGAAUAUUAUAUAUUGAUAAUUAAAUAAUAUGCAAUUAAUAAUGUUUAAAAAAAUAAUGUUAAACAUAUUGUCAACUAAAAUAAUUGGGAGAAUUGGAGUUCCAAGAUAAAUUCUUAUCUAGUCCCAAAUCAACAAUUGUGAUUAAUUUCAAUCUUAAACUUUGAAACUCGGACUGCUUUUAAAAUUGGUCCUAAUAAUAUGGACAAAUCCCAUUCUGAUCAAUAUGGAAUCCCAAUCCAUACCUUUGGAUUUCGAUGGUGUUUAGUUGGAGGGAGGAGAGGAAGGAAAUGAAUUCAAAUUCCUUUCACUUUCCUGUUGUUUGGUUUUCACUAAUAAAUGGGAAUUCAAUUUCUAUUGAAAUUUAAUUUUCAUCAAAUUGUGCAUUUUGGAUUCCUCACCGAAGGCUGUAAAAUUCAAAUUCCCUUUCUAUUAGAAAUCGAAUCUUCCAAAAUUGCUCCAAUCAAAUUUUUAUCAAUUAUUUUAAUUAUUAUCAAAUAAUUCUUAUUUAUGAUUUUAUUUUUUCAAUUUAAAUUGUCACUAAGGAGUCGGACUUACUACCACAGAAAAGAAAAAAAAUAAUUUAGUCAGCUGAACUAAUUUUUGUUUUUUUUUUUUUUUAUUAACUUUGAAAUAUUGCAUACAUAACGAGCUGCUAUUGAAAUUAGUGUUAAAAAAAAAAUAGAUGCAAAAGGAGAAACAAGCAUCAUGUGCAGUACCCACUGUGAAAUAUUCACAUUGGAAUAAGUCGUUGGCAGCUGGUCUGUUUGGCCAUUAAUAUUUUGACAUUCAAUGUUCAUUAUGAUCCUAGUAAAUUAAGCCAUAAAAAAUCUAUUGAAAUUACUCACCGUACAAUGAUGGUUGGAGCUGCAUGUAUCAUUUAUUGUUAACAACAAACUUAUGAAAUGCUUUGAAUGUACCUCCGAGGUUGUAUUUACUAUACUAGUUAGGAGAAAUUACGAAGUUAAAUUAUUUGAUAAAUACUUAUUAUAAUUUGAAAAAUAUGUUAAUUUUGUCCUCCACUUUAUGAUAAAAAAUUUAUAAUAUAUAUAAAUCAUUCAUUCUAUAAUCUUGAAUUUUAUUAAAGUUAGAAAAACUAUUACUCUACAUGAUAUAAUAGUGUGAUGUUAUUACACUAUUAUACCAUAUAAAAUAUAUUUACUUUCUUAAAUUUUAAUAAAGUCUAGGUCUUGGAGAGAAGCACUUUAUAUAUAUAUGUAUAUAUGAUUAUUGUCUAGUGACAACAUUCUCAUUUUAACAAAGUGAUGAUAUAUCUAACUAAAAAACGCAUAUUUCAAUACACCAAUAGAUUAAAAAAAAUACAGUUUUUAAUAUGUUAAAAUCUAUAUAUUUUGUAUUAUUAAUAUUUUCACUUUAACAAAGUGGGGUCUCCUCACUAUAGAAGUACUUUAUAAAUAUUCUUUAUAUUUUUGUGAAAAUUAUUAUUUAAAAGUCAUAUUUUCCUAAAAACUAAUAACUUUUAUUUUAUUACUAUGCUGUACUUUUCAAGACAUAACACCUCAAUACCAUGACGUUAAUUAUUGAACUCUGCUGUACAAAGUUGUUGGCUGGUCUAUUUAGCUUAGUCUUUCAAUUAUUUGUCGUUUGAACUGAGAUGAUUCGAAUAAAGCUGUAUAUCAAUAAUUUCCUAGUGAAACUUCGAGAAAAAAUAAAAAUCAUGUCAUACAGUAGCAUUAUUUUUAUUUUCAGCUUGAUUAUGUUUUGAGUUAACUUAUAGAUUAUUUGAAAUAAAAAGAAUAUAAUUUAUUUUUUCUAACUAAAUAUUUUUAAAUAAUUUUGUUAAUUUAAUGAGUAAUUAUACACUUACAAAGUUAUGAUAUAAAAUUAUAUCCCUGAAUCCCAAUCAUAUGACACCAAUUAACUACUGCUAUGUGUUUCUUAGUAUUUAACUUUUUAUACUAUUAUUAAUGAGAUAAUUAUCUUCAACACCAAUAAAUAAAUUUUAUAUUAAUACAUCCUCUGACUUUAUUAUCAAAUGAUUAUAAAUCAUAAUCAAACCAAGCUACCAAAGCCUACUACUAAGAGAUUGAUUAAAGGGUUUUCCAAGAUUUCAAAUUGGAUGAAACUAUGGUGCAACGGUUGCACCGUACUACUCAAUUUUGUCUUUUUCAAUUAAUUACAUCUCAAUACCUAUAUUUUAUAAAAAAGUUGAAUAGACACUAGAAGUUACAAUUUUUUAUAUAUGAGUCCUCUUUUGGGAUAAAAAUGGAUUUUAAAAAAAUUUAACUGUUACUAUUAUUAAUAUUUAUAAAUUUCAUUAUUAUUAUAUUAAUAUUAUUGUUAUUAUUAUUAAAAUUUAUUAUUUUAAUUAUUGUCAUGUAUUAUUAUUACUACCAUAAAUGUCAUCAUUAUUAAUAUUAUUAUUAUCAUUAAAAUUUAUUAUUUUAUUAUUUUAAUUAUUAUGUAUUAUUAUUACUGUCAUUAAUUAUUAUUAUUAUGAAAUUAAUUUAUUUUAUUAUUUUAUUGUUACAAUUACUUUAAUUAAGUCAUUAUUAUUAUUUUAUUAAUUUUAUUACUAUUAUUAAAUAUAUUAACUUUAUUAUUUUAAUCAUGAUUAAUUAUUGUUAUUAUUAUUUUAUUAAUAGUAAUAUUAUUAAAAUUAUUAAUUUUAAUAUUUUAAUUAUUGUCAUGUAUUAUUAUUACUACCAUAAAUGUCAUCAUUAUUAAUAUUAAUAAUAAUAUUAUUAUUAUCAUUAAAAUUUAUUAUUUUAUUAUUUUAAUUAUUAUGUAUUAUUACUAGGGGUGGGCACGGUUCGGUUCGGUUUGGUUCGGUUCGGAUCGAAAUUAAGUAGAACCGAUUUAAAUCGGUUAUUUUAUAAAAAGAACCGAAUAAGAACCGAACUCAAACGGAUCUUUUCGGAUCGGUUCGGUUCGGUUCGGUUUUUUGGUUCUAGGUCUAUUAGGCCUAUUUUAAAAUUUCAAAUUUUUAGCCCAUUGGACCUCAUAAAUGUAAUAAUUGUUUUCAACAAUUAGUUCAUCCUAAUUUCAUUACAAAUAUUAACAAUAAAUACAAAGUAUUCAAAACACAUUUUAUCACUAAUAUCUUAUUAACUACUAAUAAGGUACUCACAAAAUAUGAAAUAUUAAAAUUUCAAAAUACAUAACCAAACUCCAAUACUCCAUCUACAUAAACAUAAUCAUAAUGUUGUAAAGACAAAUAAAAAUAACAACAAUUACAACUUACAACACAAAAUAAAAAGAAAAUUUAGAAACAAACGCCAACAACAUUCUCCCAUCUUCACCCAAAAAAAAAAAUUGCAAACAAAUGCCAACAACAUUCUCCCAUCUUCAUGAAUAUCAACAUCAACUUUAGGCAUUUUCGACUCAAUAUUUGGAUUUAUAAAAAAAAAUUUAACACAUGUCGAUUUGAAUAAAAUAUAAAAUUAAUUCGGUUUUUCGGUUCAGCUAAGUGAACCGAAUACCGAACCGACAUUUCGGUUUUUUUUUACAAAUGAUAUAUUUCGGUUUUUUUUAAAAUAAAAACCGAUCCAAAUUCGAAAAAACCACCGGUUCGGUUCGGUGUUUUUAAGACCACGGUUUUUUUGCCCACCCCUAAUUAUUACUGUCAUUAAUUAUUAUUAUUAUUAUGAAAUUAAUUAAUUUUAUUAUUUUAUUGUUACAAUUACUUUAAUUAAGUCAUUAUUAAUUAUUAAUUUUAUUACUAUUAUUAAAAAUAUAUUGGCUUUAUUAUUUUAAUCAUUAUUAAUUAUUGUUAUUAUUAUUUUAUUAAUAGUAAUAUUAUUAAAAUUAUUUAAUUUUAAUAUUUUAAUUAUUGUCAUGUAUUAUUAUUACUACCAUAAAUGUCAUCAUUAUUAAUAUUAUUAUGAAAUUACUUAUUUUACUCAUUAUUAAUUAUUAUUAUCAUUAAAAUUUAUUAUUUAUUAUUUUAAUUAUUAUGCAUUAUUAUUGCUGUCAUUAAUUAUUAUUAUUAUGAAAUUAAUUAAUUUUAUUAUUUUAAUUGUUACAAUUACUUUAAUUAAGUUAUUAUUAUUUAUUAAUUUUAUUACUAUUAUUAAAAUAUAUUAACUUUAUUAUUAUUAUUAUUAUUAUUAUUAUUAUUAUUAUUAUUAUUAUUAUCAUUAAAAUUUAUUAUUUAUUAUUUUAAUUAUUAUGCAUUAUUAUUGCUGUCAUUAAUUAAUAUUAUUAUUAUUAUAAAAUUAAUUAAUUUUAUUAUUUUAAUUGUUACAAUUAUUUUAAUUAAGUUAUUAUUAUUUAUUAAUUUUAUUACUAUUAUUAAAAUAUAUUAACUUUAUUAUUAUUAUUAUUAUUAUCAUUAAAAUUUAUUAUUUAUUAUUUUAAUUAUUAUGCAUUAUUAUUGCUGUCAUUAAUUAAUAUUAUUAUUAUUAUAAAAUUAAUUAAUUUUAUUAUUUUAAUUGUUACAAUUACUUUAAUUAAGUUAUUUUUAUUUAUUAAUUUUAUUACUAUUAUUAAAAUAUAUUAACUUUAUCAUUUUAAUUAUUAUUAUUAUUUUAUUAAUAGUAAUAUUAUUAAAAUUUAUUAUUCUAAUUAUUAUAUUAUUAUUAAUGUUGUCAACAUCAUCAUCAUCAACAUUAUUAAAGUUUACAUAUUUUUUUGUUUUAAGUAAUAUUAUUGUCAUUAUUAUUAUUUUACCUUAAGUAAAUAUUUAAAAACUUUUAGUUUUUAUGAUUUUGUAACUUACGGUCAGACUGUGAAAUAGUUAGAUAAUCAUUAAUUAUUAUUAUUAUUAACAAUUUAAUAAAAAUAUUAUUAAUUAUUGUUAAUAGAUUAAUUAAUUAUAAUGUUUUUUAUUCUUGUAUUAAUAAUAAAAAUAAUCUAUUUAAAAAAUAUUUAUGAUUAUAAUAAAAUAACAAUUAUAAUUAUAAUUCAUUUAACAAUAAUUAUAUUUUUUAAAUAAUGGAGGUUAUUUGGAAAAUUUAAAAUUAUAGGGGCAAAUUCAUACUCUAGGGUUUUAAUAAAAUAAAAUUGAGUAUAAGGGGUUAAACGAAAUUUUAUAUUUCAAAAAGUUUAUAAUAUUCAUGAAUAAAAUAUAAAUAACAUAGAAUAUGGGGGGUUAUAUAAAAUUUCACAGGCUGACCGUAAGUUACGUUAAAUGUAUAACUUAGGCGGACCUUUAGUGAAAUGCACAAAUGGCACAAGGGACCCCGCCAACCGUUAAGUCACAUCAUUUAUUUAUUUGUGAAUGAAAAAUAAGGUCCUUAUGCUAGUUUGACGAUUAUAAGUUAUCAUCACAAGGUUGUUGGGCGCAUGCAUACUGAGUCACAGCACUGAGAUUCAACUUUUCUGUACAAUAAGAGUUUAUUUGUCUUUUUGUAUUGGGAUAAAAUGGAUCUCCCUCCAACUUUAAGUAAGGCUUAAUAUUCAGGCUGUGCUGUAAUAGAAUUAUUGAGGAGAGUUUCAUUUUUUAUUGUAAAUAUCAGUAGAGCUCUCAUUGUAAUAUAUCAGUCUAUCAAAAAAAAGUUAUCAUCCCAAUAACUUUGGACUUUGAUAUUAAUUUUACUAAUUAUGAAAUUCAUUAUCUAAUAAAAAAAAUAACACAUAACAAUUGGGUCUCAAAUUAGAAUUCUACUAUCGAAAUUCCUAGCAUUAUUCUAAUAUUAAAAAUUCAUCAAAAUAAUAUCUAUUAUCUAAAAAAAUAAAAUAAAAAUCUAAAGCCAUAGAUUUACUUUUCAAUCUUCCUGAUUUGGCUGAUUUCUUUUAAAGCUUUGGUUUCUUUAUAUUUUUAUCGAUCAUUUUAGCGGUGCUGGCAUUUGAUUUUUUUGACUAAGCUACUGUUUAGUUCUAAGUUUUGGCAAUUGCCCGGACUGCUCUGUUUUGUGUAUCUUCGACACAACAAGGCUUAGCAUCUAAAUGUCGGCAGCCACGCAACUUCUUGGAAUCUUCGUGCAAGUGUUGGAUAUCGACUGUUCGAUAAUGAUGGCAGCAUGGGACUGGAGUGUAAUUGACGCAGUGGAAUAAAGAUCACAUGUCUCAAACUUUUGGCGAAGAUAUUGUCAGAUAUUUUAUUGAUUAAGGAUCACAAAUAAUGGAUAUUGGAUGAGAAUCACAUGCUUUACCACAAUCGUAAUGUUACUAAUGUAAGUCAAGCAAUUAUUUUUAAAUAAUGAUAUUAUAAUUAAAAAAUAAAUAAAUAUUUAUAAUAUUUAAAAGAGUAAUUCCGAUUAUUAAUUUUUUUAUAUUACUUAAUUAUUAGCUGACAAAUAAUUAAAAGGUUAUAGAACAGGACUCAGCUACCUUACAACAGUUGCAAGGUACCACCAAAUUUUGACUUUUCUUAAUUUCAGUUUUUUAUCAUUAGAUUUAAUGAAAAGGUGGUUUCAAUGGUAGAGAUUUGUUCAUUUAAAUAUUAACAUUACACUCCUUGAUAUUUAUUAAAGACACAAACAAGUUAAAGAGUUUAAAAUUUUAACACAUAAGUCCGGAUUGUUUACAAUUUAUAUUGUUUAAUUAGUAGUGAGUAUUAAAAAAUAAAUAUUAUUUUUAAUAUUAUAUAUUUUAUUUAAAAGAAUAAAUAAAUAUUAUUUAAUAUUAUUUAUUCCAUUUUAUUUAAUAUUAUUUAGUCAUAUACUUAUUAUUAUAUUUAUUCUUUCAAAAAACUAAAUAACAUUAAAUAAAAUAAAAUAAUCAUUAGGGCGCUUUAAAAAUAAAUAUUAUUUUUAUUUUUGUUUUAUUUAAUCAUUGGCUUAUUAUUAUAUUUAUUAUUUUAAAAAAUAAAUAAUAUUAAGUAAAAUAAAAUAAUCAAUAAUGACUGUUAAAAUUAAUAUUAUUUUUACUUAGUCAUAGGCUUAUAAUUAUAUUUAUUCUUUAAAAACUGAAUAAUAUUAAAAAAUCAAUAGUGUCUUAAAAAUAAUAUCAUUUUAAUAUUAUUUAUUUUAUUUAAGUUAAAUUUUAAUAUUAUUUAUUUUAUUUAAGUUAAAAUUUUAAUAUUAUUUAUUUAAUUUAAAUUUUUUAAUAUUAUUUAUUUUAUUUAAUAUUAUUUAGUCAUAGGCUUAUUAUUAUAUUUAUUCUUUUUUAUAAAGAUAAAUAAUGUUAAAUAAAAUAAAAUUACAUUUUAUAAAAGUUACCAGCGAAAGCAUACAAAAUUAUAAAUAAAUGUAAAAAAAUAAAUAAUAUUAAAUAAAAUAAAAUUACAUUUUAAAAUGUCACUAGCUAAAACAUAUAAACUUAUAAAUAAAAUGUAAAUAAGAAAGAAAGUAAGGUAUUAAAUGAAAUGUAACGUCACAUAAAACAAAAAUAAGUGGCACAUUACAACUGUUGCAAGAUAGCUGGACUCAUAAAACAAUAUUUUUAGGUCAAAUUUUUAUUCUGAUACGACACAACUUGUACUUUCAUUCCUAUGCUAAAAUAUAUCUAACCUACUAAUAGUCAAGAAAUAUAUCUAUUCAACACAUAUUUGUUAGAAAGAUUAUCUACUAAUUAAUCAUUGAGACGAGAUUACGAGCCUCAACAUAAAUUAGGAUAAAAAUUAAUAUAUUGAAAUUCAUAAUUUUUUUUUUCCUUCAGCAGUUUAAAAUGGAGUCGCCCACUAGUACUGAAAUAAUUUUAUCAGAUUCGCUUGAAAGUAGUUUUACAAGCAAGCAGUUUUUCCCUCUUGAUCCCCGUAAUCGUCAGCUCCUACUCUUUGCCUUCAAUUCUCAGUCAAGAAAACCUCUCCUGAUUUUCGUCUUUUGAUCUCAUACACACUUUGCUUCUGUUCAUCGUGGUCGCUGCUCGUGCUAGCCGUUUUCUUAUUUAGCUUUGUUCCCUUUUGCCAUCAGCUCUUCGCAUUUUCAUUGGAUCAAGCAACCCUUUUCUUGAUUCAAUUGUCUGAUCUCAAAAACACUUUGAUUCUCUUCUGUUACGCUGAUUUUCCCUUGUUUUGUACAAAUAUCAUUUCUUUUUUCAACUUUGCCUUGUUUUGCUUCUGCUUGAUUAUCAAUUGCGCGGCCGUUGACCCUGUUCUAUUUCUAUUUCGUUCACUUCCCCAAAAAAUAAAAAAUGGACAUUUUGAAAAGCAUUGUUCCAGGAGUUGUGAACUGCUUGUCUCCUCACGCACAACGCGAAUUUAGUUAUUGGUAUAACUCCGCUGCCAACUUUGAGAAUCUCAAGGCAGAACUCGAUAGGCUCAAGGAUGAAAGAGAAAGCAUUCAGCGCAGAGUUUCUGAGGCUGAAAGAAAAGGUGAAAAGAUUGAAGAGAAGGUUGAGAAAUGGCUGGUUAAUGCGAACAAGAGCAUUGAGGAGGCAGCCAAAUUCAUUCAAGACGAAGAGAAAGCAAAUGAACGAUGUCUCAUGGGGCUGUUUCCAAAUUGGAUUACUCGCUAUCAGCAUGGAAAGAAAGCAGAAACAGAGAAGGAGGCCCUUUUUAAACUCCGAGAAGAAGCUGGGAGAUUUGAUGAUAGAAUUUCCUACCGUACCGUUCCGGAGGAUAUAUGGCUCAAGUCUCACAAAGGCUACGAGGCCUUCGAAUCAAGACUUUCUACUUUGAAGGCCAUACAAAAUGCAUUGAUCGAUGUUGAUGUCAGCAUCAUUGGGGUGUACGGCAUGGGCGGCGUUGGAAAGACGACACUGGUGAAGAAGGUCGCCAGGCAAGCUAUGGAAGACAAGCUCUUUGAUAUGGUGGUCUUUUCAGAGGUUUCGCAAACUCCAGACAUAAAAAAGAUUCAACAGGAAAUUGCCGAGAAGUUGGGCCUGGAGUUGCACGAGGAAGUUGAAUCUAGAAGAGCUAGUAGGCUAUGUGAGCGAUUGAGAAAUGAGAAGAAGAUCCUUGUGAUUCUGGAUAACAUCUGGAAACACCUUGAUUUGGAGACCGUUGGAAUUCCUUUUGGAGAAGAUCAUAAAGGAUGCAAACUACUGCUGACGACAAGAGAUCGUAGUGUCCUCUUGAAAAUGGGAUCUGAAGACAACUUUUUGAUAAACAAUUUAAAUGAAGAAGAAGCCGGGAGAUUGUUUAAGAUGAUGGCCGGUGAUGAUGUUGAAAAUCGUGAGUUGAAAUCUACAGCAAUAGACGUCGCCAGGGCAUGUGGAGGUUUGCCCAUUGCCUUGACUACAGUAGCAAAGGCAUUGAGAGGCAAGAGUCUGCAUGAAUGGAAGAAUUCCUUGCGAGAACUCCGAACGCCUUCAAUGGUAAACUUCGAAGGAGUGUCUGCAGAGACUUAUUCAAGUAUUGAACUGAGUUUCAAGUAUUUAAAAGGUGGGCAACUCAAGGAACUUUUUCAGCUCUGCAGUCUAAUGGGUAACAGUAUCCCUACUUUGAAAUUGCUUAAAUACUCCAUAGGUUUGGGUAUAUUUCAAGGAGUCAAUAAGGUGGAAGAUGCACGAAACAAGUUAUAUGCGUUGGUACAUGAACUUAGAGACUCUUGUUUGUUGCUUGAGGGUGAUAGCAAUAAACUAAUUUCAAUGCAUGAUGUUGUUCGCGAUGUCGCCAGAUCAAUUGCAUGCCGAGACCAACAUGUAUUUGUGGUGGAAAACGAGGAUGUGUGGGAGUUGCCAGAUAAGGAAUCACUAAAAAAAUGCUAUGCAAUCUCUAUAAGAUAUUGUUGCAUUCAUGAGCUUCCCAAUGCAUUGGAAUGUCCACAACUUGAGUUCUUGUGCAUGUCUCCCGAAGAUUCUUCUCUUGAAGUGAGUAUUCCUGAAAAUUUUUUUGUAGGGAUGAGAAAGCUUAAAGUUGUAGAUUUUACUGGAAUGCAGUUAUUUUCAUUGCCUUCUUCAAUUGAUCUCUUAGUAAAACUUAAAACACUUUGUCUUGAUGAAAGCAUUUUGAGAGACAUCGACAUAGCCAUUAUUGGAAAGUUGGAAACUCUAGAAAUCCUCAGCUUCGUGCGGUCUGAUACGGUGCAAUUGCCCAAAGCACUAGGUCAACUGACUAAGCUAAGGCUGUUAGAUUUAACAGACUGUUUCCAUCUAAAAGUUAUUGCUCCAAAUGUCAUAUCAAGCUUAAUCCGAUUAGAAGAAUUGUAUAUGUGUAAUUGCUCCAUUGAAUGGGAGGUUGAAAGAGCCAACAGCAAAAGAAGUAAUGCUAGCCUUGACGAAUUGAUGCAUUUACGUUGGCUAACCACUCUAGAAAUUGAUGUUAAAAAUGAGAGUAUGUUACCAGCAGGCUUUUUGGCCAGAAAGCUCGAAAGGUUCAAAAUAUCUAUUGGAAAUGGGUUAUUCAUGCAUCCCAUGCUUUUUGGACAACAUUGGUUUAAAAGUCAGCUGCACUUUUUGAUCGACAGUAAUCGCAAGAUUUCAAGAGAAUUGGAGCUCAAGCUUGAUUUUAUGGACAUUUGCUCCAUGAAAUUGCAGGGCAUCAAUAACGUUGAAUACUUACGGUUGGACAAGCUGCAAGGCAUCGAGAAUGUUCUUUUCAAUUUGGACACGGAGGGCUUUUCACAAUUGAAGGUCCUCUGCGUCCAAAAUAAUCCUGACUUCUUUUGUAUCGUCGAUUCAAGGGAGAUGGUCGCUUGUGAUGCCUUUCCUCUUUUGGAGUCACUUGCCCUUCACAAUUUGAUCAACAUGGAGAGGAUAUGUGUUGAUCGGCUCAAAGUAGAGUCUUUCAACGAACUCAAAAAUAUAGAAGUAUAUAAUUGUGAUAAGUUGAGUAAUAUCUUUUGGCUCUCUACUUCAAAAUGCCUUCCAAGACUUGAGAGAAUUGCAGUUAUUAAUUGCAGCAAGAUGAAAGAGAUUUUUGCAAUUGGGGAAGAAGUUGAUAAUGCAAUUGAGAAGAUAGAGUUUGUUCAAUUAAGAUCUUUGAGUCUGGGGAAUCUUCCAGAGGUUACAAGUUUUUGCCGCCGUGAGGUGGAGACUCCUUCAGCAUCACCGAACAGACAAGUGUCGCAAGAGGAAUCGACGACUACGUAUUGCUCCAGCGAAAUCACUUUGGAUACUUCAACUCUGCUUUUCAACGAGAAGGUGCGUAGGCUAACAUUUUCUUUAUAUAUAUAUAAUUAAAUCAUUUAAAGAAUUGAAAGAAAAUGGAAAAAGGAUAAAAAGAAUCUCACGCGCUCACUAAUUGAGCUCUUAACAAGUAGUAUGAAUUAGAAUGCAUACUCAGCUGUCAGUUGGAAAUUGAUUCAGACUUGAUUAAUUUGUAAUCAAAGAAGAAAAUUUCAACAAGUGCUUCCCCUAUAGAUAUUGGAUCUAACGAGAAAUUCUUAUUUUUUUAGGUUGCGUUGCCUAACUUGGAGGCUUUGGAGAUAUCUGAAAUUAAUGUCGACAAGAUUUGGCACUACAAUCAAAUUCCGGCGGCCGUGUUUCCUCACUUUCAAAGUUUAACAAGAUUGAUUGUGUGGCGUUGUCACAAAUUAAAAUACAUAUUUUCAGCGUCUAUGAUCGGAAGCCUCAAGCAGCUCCAACACCUAGAUAUACGAGACUGUAAGGAUUUACAGGAGAUCAUUUCUGAAAACAGAGCAGAUCAAGUGAUCCCUUAUUUUGUCUUUCCACAGCUCACCACUCUGAGACUCCAAGAUCUACCAAAACUUAGAUGUUUGUACCCUGGAAUGCAUACUCCGGAAUGGCUUGCGCUUGAAAUGCUUUUUGUGUAUCGCUGUGACAAAUUAAAGAUAUUCGCUGCAGAUUUAUUGCAGAAAAAUGAGAAUGAUCAACUUGGUAUUCCUGUACAACAGCCCCCAUUGCCGUUGGAAAAGGUAUGAAGCCAUUUUCUAGAUUUUUUUUAUCAAUAACUUAUUUUUAACUUUGAAAAAUAUGACAAAGCAAUGAUAAAUUAAUACUCAAUAAAUUGAAAACUUUUAUUAUACAAUAAUCUUUGCUAGUCUAGACUAAGGGAUCAAUGUGGUAGAUUAAUAAUUAUAUGAACUUUUUUAGGUAUAGCAUUUAUAAAAGAAUCCUUAGUCUUUCCUAUAGAAGAACUUACAAAAUAAAUUAGUAAUUUAUUAUCGUGCAAUAAAAUAAUUUCUUUUUUUUCCCUAAUUUCUUUUUUACCUCUAAAAUUAAUAUAUAAAAAAUCAUUUAAUAAAAUUUAUCAAUAAUUCAAUUUGUUUUUGUAAAAUAUAAUAUAAAACAAAUAAUAUAAAGUCACUGCAUGUGAUUGGAUUACUCAAAAUCAUUUGAGAGAACACCAAUUGACCUUGUCAGUUAUUAUGAUUGAUGAUGAUCAGAUCUUACCCAACUUGACGGAACUAUCACUAAGCGGAAAAGACGCGAAGAUGAUUUUGCAGGCCGAUUUCCCACAACACCUUUUUGGCAGUCUUAAACGACUAGUGAUUGCUGAAGAUGACUCAGCUGGUUUUCCAAUCUGGAACGUACUUGAGAGAUUUCACAAUCUCGAAAUACUCACACUGUUUAAUUUUUCAUUCCACGAAGAGGUAUUUUCGAUGGAAGGAUGCUUAGAGAAACAUGUGGGGAAGUUGGCAACGAUAAAAGAAUUAGAGCUGUACCGGCACUAUCAUCUGAAGCAGCUGUGCAAACAAGACUCCAAACUUGGCCCCAUUUUUCAGUAUCUUGAAAUUCUAAAAGUAUAUCAUUGUCAAAGUCUGUUAAUUCUACUGCCAUCAUCAUCGGUAUCUUUUGGGAACCUAACAAAACUUGUAGCUAGCGGUUGCAAGGAAUUGAUGCACUUGGUAACAUCCUCCACAGCAAAAACUCUAGUGCGACUCGUAUCACUUGGUGUAUACGGAUGCAGAGCAAUGACAGAGGUGGUAAUAAAUGACAAAGACGGGGUUGAAAAAGAAGAGAUUGUUUUCCGCAAAUUGAAGACGUUGGAACUGUGUGAUUUAGACAGCCUCACAAGUUUCUGCUCUGCCAAUUACACCUUUGAAUUCCCAUCUUUGCAAGAGUUGGGGGUGAUUUGUUGUCCCAAGAUGAAGAUUUUCACUACAGGAGAAUCAAUCACGCCUCCGGGAGUAUACGUCUGGUAUGGAGAGACAGCGGAUCAACGGUGCUGGGCUAAUAAUGAUCUAAACGCAACCAUACAACAAUUACAUGCUGAGAAGGUACGGAUAUACAUAUUACUCUCUAUCUCCCAUGAUAAAUUUUUAUAAAAUUUGCUUUUUAAAAUACAAUAUAGAUAAGAUAUUUGUUUAAAGUAAAAGUUUAAAUUGAUGAAUAAGAAUUUUAUUUUCAGCUGUUGGCGGUGCCGUCGUCGUUCUCCACCCGGUACUAAUUUCAUAGGCUUCUUAUGACUUGGGAGUUGUGAAUUUUUAGAAGAAAGUCUCAACUGGUAAUUAAUUUUUAUUUCAUUUAUUUGAUCUCAUGGCUUCUUUCGCAAUUUCAUCUGAAUUAUUUAGAAUGGGUCACUCGAUUUACUGUUAAAUUUGGAAUGCCAUUUUAAUGAUUCGUUCAGACUUUUAUGGACAGAUUUUGCAUCAUUGAAUGUCUUUCAGUCUAGUUUAAUUUAAUUUUUUUUUUGGAGAGUUUCCCUUGUUUUCUAAAAUUGUAUAAUUCCUUGCAUACUUUUUAUGAUAAAAUUUCAUUAAAAACCUUCAUAUUUUAUAAUUCCAUGAAAUCGUGCGUACUUUUUUCCUAUCUUUCUUCGCCAAUUAUUUGUUUUCAUCAUUGCUGUUCUGUUAUUUUAGCUUGUGCUCUGUUUGUUCAUUUGGUUUGGUUUGCUUCACACCUAUCUUUCUUUGGAAACUUAGAAGGCAAAGGAAGUACUUAGAAAAUGCUCUUCCCUAUGAACACAUAAUUAAGAACAGCUGAAAAUCAUUCAUCGGAUAAAAAAAUUAAAAAUAAUUAAAAAUAAACAAAAUCUAAUCAGAGCAUUAUGCCUGGAACAAAUCCUUAAGCCAUCAAAGCAAAACUCUUCGCUAUGAAAAACUAUAUUGUGGAAAUAUUGUUUGAAAACGUUGGAUACCAAGAAAGGGACUAAUCUGGUCUAGUUUUAUGAGAAGUGCAGAAGAACAGUAUUUUCUCUGUUGUUCCUAUUAAAAUUCUUUACUCUGUUAUUGUAGAAUGUCUGGAUACUCAUGAAGAUUCAGGUAACUCUUCUUCUGUGCAUCAUUUGAAAUAAGGUCUUUUUUUUUUUUUUUUUUUUUUUUUUUUUUGGGAAUAUCUCCUACUGGGUUUAUAGCUCAUACAAAGAGAUAUUCUCAAAUGAAGCCGGAUACUGGUAGAAACAAGGGAGGAAGUUGGCGCUGAUAAAAUGGUUAAUCCUGUCCAGACUUAAUCAUCUGAAGCAACUCCAAACUGGACUCCAUUUUCAAUAUCUUGAAAUUCUAAGGCUAUAUUAAUGCUUGUAAAAAUCUUUUAAGUCUAUUCCCAUGAUCAUCUGUAACUUUUGGGAAUCUAACAGAACUGGUGGUUUUCCAUUGCAAAGAAUUGUAACAUCCAUCCACUACAGCAGAAAGUCGAGUGCGGCUCGUAUCAAUGAAGGUAACUGGAUGCAGGCCAAUGACAGAGGUGUUUGACAGAGGUGUUAAUAGGUGACGGAGAAGAAGAUGGAGCACCAAAUUUAAUUUCAAAACAAGAGAUUGUUUUCAGCAAAUUGAAGACGUCGAGUCUGUGUGAUUUAGAUAGUCUCACAAGUUUCUGCUUUGCAAAUUACGCUUUCAGAUAAAGAUUCUUGAAACUGUCCUAUUUAGAGCUGACAUUUCCACUAGAUUUAAGAGAAUAUAAAAAAUUCAUUAAUCGUUAGUUUUUAAUUUCAUUAUUCAAUGAAAGUCCUGUCAAAUUAAAUUGCCGCUAUUGAAUCUCUCGCUCCCCUUGCAAAUCUCUAUGUGCAAGUACCUAAAUUUACAAAUUUUACUUCAAAUUAAUGAAUGACAUAAUUUAUUUUCAGCAGUACGAUAUGUUCUGAUCCCAUAGGCUUUUUAAUUUAUUACAUGGUGUUGUCAAAUUUGAAGAACAAGGUCCGAGGUAACAAUCGUUUUCAUUUCAUUUUGUUUGAUCUCUAAGUUUAUUUCAUCGUUUCAUCUAAAUUAUUUGCAAUGCGUCGGUUGGUUUCUUGUUAAUUUUGGAACAAAGUUGAUGCAACCAAUGGUUGCAUAUGAUGAGUAGGAUAUCGCUCUGAGAUCAUAACUUGAGUUAUAGAUAUCUAUCUAGGGCGUAUAAUAUAUCAUUAAUCUAUUACUAUAACAUUGUAUUGGUCUCGUGGUCCAGCUAGAAAUUCUAUUUGUUUCAUAGUUAUUUUACAAGUUUAAGAUAUUUUCUUAUUUUUCUUAUUAUUUUCAAGAUUUUUAUUUUUUUUCUACAAAUAUAAGAUUUAAGUACGAUUUAUUUUAUUUUUAUUAGAAGAAUGUUAUUAUAUAAUAAUAUUUUAGGUUUGCUUAUUUUGGUAAAUUCGUAAUAUUUAGAAUUAGUAUAAAGAGGGUCCAAAAUCCAAAUUUUGUUAUUCAGACCUAUCUAUUAAUAAAAUUUCAGACUUUUCAAAAACUUGUGUUUCUCUAUAUUUUCAAUCUCAACGUCCAAUUUUCCGUCAUCAUAAAUUCUAAUGCCUGGUUCCAUCAGGUCUCUCUUCUGUGAAGCCCCUGGAGUAAAAGCUCCGAAUGUGUUACCAUUGAAAUCAUGGCAGAAAACUUUAGUACUUAAUUAAGGCUCUUGAAUAAGACUCUUUAUGGCUUCAAUAUUUUACUUGAUAUGAAAAUUUCUUUCUAGAUAGAAUCAUUGUGAAGAUAAAUUGUGGUAUUACUGACAAUGAAUAAGUUGAAACAUCAACAGAGAUAAAUAUUGAGCAAUUAAUGUUACCAGCAAUCAAUUUGUGAGCACCAACAACCAUUUUCAUAUUUAAGCCGUUAGAACAGUAACACAAAAUAUGGCGAGUGGCAACCACACAAAUAAUCAAAUUCCUGAUAGAUUUUGAAAACUUUAAUUUGCUAGAUAUGUAUUUUAAUAUUUCAACAGGUGCAUCUUUUCUCUACUCAUGUGGCACGUUGAAUCAGAAACGGUUUGAAUGUCAAUAUUACUCCAAGUGCCUCAACCAAAUUCAGAAUGAAGAAAAUCAUCUGGUUACCUGCACUUUAGUUUAAGCAGCUGAUUAAGUUAAUUAGCACCAAGUAAUUCACAUACUAGUGAGAAAUUUCAUUAGUAAAUUCAUACCUGGGAGGAAACCAGCAUCUUGACGCUUUUGUGACCAAGAAAAUCUGCCAGAACCCCAAUUAAUGAAAAAAAAUUAUAACAUCAUUUACAUAUAAUUUUACAAAAUCAAUAGGACACUUACAGAGCACCUCCUACAGCUGGACCGGCAGUUUUGGUAAGCGACACCACAGUCAUAGCAAGUCCAUUAUGGUAUAAUGCUGUUCCUGUUAUUAUACCAUAAACCAAAAAAAUAAUUUAAACUUUUGACACAUACAAAGCAUGAAAAAGCUGAAAGCAUGGAAAUGUACUAAACAAACAAAAGAAAAUAUAUUUACCACUGCUCUGUUUUGCAGAAGGAACAAUCCAGUAAUUAUAGACACCUGAUGUUAUAAUUCAGGAAAAGUGAAAGAGAAUUACAACAUUUCUGAUAAAGAAGAUAUAAAAUAACUUUUAUACAUUCUUGCUAAUGGGUAAUAUAACCUAAGUAUAUGGAUCAAUGAUUAGGAUAUCCACUUACAGAUAAAACAUUCUUCAUCACAGAAGCACAGUUUAUCAAUAAGGCAAGGCUGAACCCAGAUAACAUUGCUAUGUAAGUGUAACUUGUCAAAAGCGGUAUCGAUAAAACCUGUAUAUACAUAGAAAAUUACGUCACCAAAUCCAUGAAGAAAAGUAUUUUAUAAACAAAUAUGUUUGAAACAAACUAUCAAAUGAUCUAAAUGCCACAUGGUUUGUUCAAAAUUUUACCCCUGCAAUGCGUGUUAUUAUUAUUGGCCCGAUCAUCCUCUCAACGUAAGGGUAUAGAGUAAGUUGAAAAACAAGGAGGCUGAAUCCUGCAGUAAGUUCAAAAUGAGGAGUUGAGGACAAUCAAUAAGCAGUUUUGUGGGGUUGAUGCAUGAGAAAAGAAGUUAAGAGGAACGAGUAACAUUUUCAGUUUCGUAAUAAGUAUAAAUGGGCAGCAAGAGUAUUGGUUUUGCACCUGAGAUGGCAAGAACUUGGCCAGCAUUUUCGGUUGAGUAACUCAGACCCCCGUACUUCCACGGGCUGAUAGCCCACAAUGAAAAUAUCUAACAGAAUAGUUGCAAUAUUAUGAUUUAAAAAAAUUACAUAGAUAAGAAAUUCUUAGGAUCAGUAAUAGCCAUAUGUCUUCUUUAUGUAUAAAACUCAAAACAAUCCCAUCAAUAGCAAUAGCACCCUCUGUUUCAGGUAGAAGUUAAGAGAUAACUUUGCAAAUAUCUAACAGAAAGCGAUCUGAUCCAGGAUCCUGGACUUUAUUCAAGUUCGGGAAAGCCAUUGGUCAUUGGACUAUUAAACCAUGUGGCUUAAUAACUGGUUGAGCAGAUCAUCUCGACCAGGAUAUUAUAGUUCACAUCGACCAGAAUAAUAUGUGGUGACCUCGAGCAGAUCACCUCGACCAGGAUAUUAUUGGUCAUCUCGACCAGGAUGUUAUUGGUCACCUCGAGCAGAUCACCUCGACCAGAAUAAUAUGUAGUGACCUCGAGCAGAUCACCUCGACCAGGAUAUUAUUGAUCACCUCGACCAGGAUAAUAUGUGAUGACCUCGACCAGAAUAAUAUGUGGUGACCUCGAGCACAUCACCUCGACCAGGAUGUUAUUGGUCACCUCGACUAGGAAGUUACCAGAAAACACGAUUCAGUCAAAACAUUUUCUCCGAAAUAUUAGGGACCAUAUUCUUAGUGGGCUGAAAAUUAGUAGUUUUCUUGAGAAUCCUAUGGGAGAGGAUAAAAACCGCUAUAUUUUCAUAUAAAAACCCUAAGGGGGGAUUCUUCUAGCUCUCUCUCUCUCUCUCUCUCUCUCUCUCUAAGCAACUGAACCCAUUGGACCUUUUUCUCCCUCUACCACUGAGAAAUUUCUCUUUCGCCUGUGAUUUCUUUAAGAUUGAUUAUUGUGAAUUUUUUUCCUUUAAAUUUACUUAAAAGCUUUUUGUUUAAAGCAAUCAUAAUUAAGCCACAUGAAUUGUGGUAUGGGUUUUUCCAAGUAAGACCCGAAUCGCUGACUUGAGCGUCGGAGAGUUCUCGCCGGAAAAACUUCCGGCACCUCCUGACUGUUGGUUGUGUUCACAGGCUCACAGGUUAUCUGCUCAUGGAUUGUCUGCUCAUGGGUUCUCUGCUCAUGGAUCGUCUGCUCACGGGUUAUCUGCUCAUGGAUUGUCUGCUCAUGAGUUCUCUGCUCAUGGAUCGUCUGCUCAUGGAUUGUCUGCUCAUGGAUCGUCUGCUCAUGGGUUGUUUGCUCAUGGGUUCUCUGCUCAUGGGUUGUCUGCUCAUGGGUUGUCUGCUCAUGGAUCGUCUGCUCAUGGGUUGUCUGCUCAUGGGUUCUCUGCUCAUGGAUCGUCUGCUCAUGGGUUGUUUGCUCACAGAACAUCUGCUCAUAGAAAAUCUGCUCAUGGUGCUAACUAAUCAUCAGCUUCCCACCAAACAAAUUUAAUGCUGAUGCAGGGAUCUGAGAUUUGACCAACUCAUCCAGAUUUCGGCAUCAACAAUAACUUUCCCGAACAUUAAAAUAGUUUAGAUUUUGGAUUGGAACAUUUUUAUGUCAUAAUAAAGUAGAAUAUAUAUAUAUAUAUAUAUAUAUAUAUAUAUAUAUAUAUAAACAAUCAAACUCAGGUAGAGAUGUUUAUACCUCGGUGUAAGCGAUAUCAUGAAGCGAGAAAACACAAUAAACAAUAGUAGAAGAAAUAAAGGGCCAAUUCUUCAUGAGGCUUUUCUUAGCAGUGGCCUCCUCACUUCCUUCAUCUUGUUUAAAUUCUGCAUUGGACCCACAGGCGGAUUCCAAAGCAUCACAUGAUACAUCAAGUGAUACACCAUCUUCAUUGUGUUUGUGCAAUGUCUCCUGCAUCAAAAAGCAUGUGAUGGUGUCAAUGUAGUCAUUAUAAGAGAAGCGAAAGUUAUAUUUUAUAGUCUCACCCAUAAGAAAAUUUGAAGUUAUGGGAGAGUUGCUAUUACAUGUACAAUUCAGCCUGAAAAGAGAGCUAAAGGCUACGUACCGGAAUCCAGCAAGAAGCAAUAGUUACCGCAAAAGCAAAGAGUGACAUACAGAGACAGGGAAGGAAGUAAGGAAACCUGCAUAAAUUUGUUUUUCAAAAUACCAUCAUAUUGAAAGUAUUACAGAAAAAGAUAAGGCUAAUGGCAGUAAAAAUUCACUUACUUUCCAAACAUAGAUUCUUUGGAAAAUGCCUUUGGAUAUUUCUCUGCUGGCUGGAUUGCAAAAUUAUCCACGAAUAUAUAUAAGAAUAAUAUUUAUCAAGCCAAACUACUAAAAAUUCAAAAAAAAAAAAAAAGCGCAUAAUAAUCAAGUAAAAAUUGCCGAACCUGGGCCAAAAAGCCACCCACUGCAGGGCCAAUAAUCAACCCUGUGCCCCAUGCUGUACUGAGCUGAAAUUAUAUCGUAGUUCUCAAGGUAAAUGAUGCUAUAAAAUUUUCUCAAGAACUUUGCAAUCAUACACGAACUGAUAAGCUCACCGUUGACAGUCCUAAAGUUUUGUGUUGAUCGCGCAAUAUUUCACAUGCAUAUGCCUGGUGGUGCAAGAGAAGUUUGAGUACAAAUAUUUACAGGAGUUAAAUUGGAAUUAUCAACAAAUACCCCCAAUCAAUACCUUAAUUGGUCCAAGUAAACCAUUCAAAGCCCCAAGGAGAAACCUUGUAGCUAUGGCCAUCCAGAAACUAACACUAAGCCCAAAGAGAGUGUUAAAAAUAACCCUGUGAGCAUUUUAAGACAAAUAAGAAACCCAGAAAUUGCCAAAAUAUCAUCAAUUUCAAGCUUGAUCAUUUGAAAAUAGAGGUCACUAACACUGUGAUGCAUCCUAUUAUUAUUACAGGCUUUCGACCACAGCGGUCAGCCACCAUUCCCCACAAAACAGAUGUUAGAGCUCUGCCAAGCAUGUAUGAAGACCAUUCAAUUUCAUCAUGGUAUUAAGAGGUUUGUCAGAUGCAUCCUAUUAUUACUUCUCGAGGAAUUUGAACUGUUAUAUUGGUCGUACAUACAUACAUACAUGCAUACAUACAUAUACACAUACUGAAUAUUGUCUAAGUGGUUUAUUUACAGGUAUUCAAAAUAUAAAUUAUUGCUAUGAUUUUAGAAAAUAUUGUCUUUUUUUUGUAAUUUAUAUUAAAAUUUUGCGACAAUUGUUUGGCUGGAAUUUUUUUUUUUAUAAGAAAAAUAGUGAUCUCACACUGAUCCAUAGUUGAGCCAAUUACCUAGUUAAAAGCUACCUCCAUAUUUUUUAUUUUUUACCCUAAUGCAUGUCUGAUUCUUUUAAAAUUUUACGUUAUAUAUAUUAAACAAAAAUUAUAAUUUUAAUCAUUGAAAAAUUAAUGACAGACAUCUUUUGAAUAAUAUUUUUUUAAAAAAAUACAGAGCUAGAGAUAAUGCUAUAAUUGAUUGAAUAAGAAGGCUACAACUUGAUGAUAACUUUAUUGCAAUGUUGCGUGAUCUCAAUAUAUUAUUGGCUUUUGUGUGAGUAAAAGUUGCUGGCUCGUGUUUUACUAAUUUGGGUUUGUAUUUGACUGGCUCGACAAAGAAUCGAUUUACCUCAUACUCAAAUUACAAACAUCGAAACCGGAUCUGUCAUUACGUUAAUUGGCCUCCUAAAAUAAUCAAUCACUUUCUCUUUAGUCUACUAUCCACUCUUUCCAGUCGCUUAGUUUCAUUCUAAUCAUCUAAACGGCUCUUUGGUACUGUUUCUUCUAUUCGUCAUUGUUCUUGUUCUGUUAUUAUUUAGCUUUGUUCACUCCUCAGUCUCAUUUCUAAUUCUGUACCCAUCAGCUCUUUUAGCUCUUUACGUCGUGAUAGAAACCCUUUUCUUGUUUCCUUCAUCUCAUCUGAAAAACACAAUUGCUUGUCCUAUCGCUGUCUCUUUGUUUUUACUUUCCUUUGGCCUUCUUCGCUUCUACGUUUUUGUCAGGCUUCGAGAUGCUGGAAAUCAUUGUGACUAUCGUCUUGGAACUUGUAAAAUGCUUGGCUCCUCCAACUGCACGCCAACUUGUUUAUUUGCGAAAGCGGAACUACAAUGCCAACUUUGAGAAUAUCAAGGCGGAAAUGGAGAAGUUGAAGGUUGAACGUACGAGCAUUCAGCGCAGGGUUUCAGAGGCGAAAGAAAAAGGGGAAGAGAUUGAAGAGAAGGUUGAAAAGUGGCUGGUUAGUGCGAAGUACGAACGGCAUCAUUGACCGGGCAGCCAAAUUCAUUGAAGAUGAGGAGUCAACGAAUAAGCGCUGUGUCAAGGGCUUGAGUCCUAUUUGGAAGAGUCGCUAUCAGCUUAGCAAGAAAGCAGAGACGGAGGUGAAGGCCAUUAUUGAACUUGGAGAAGAAGUUAAGAAGUUUGAUACUGUUUCCCACGGUACCAUUCGGGAGCAGAUAUGGCUUAACUCUAGCAAUGGUUACGAGGCCUUCGAAUCAAGACUUUCUACUUUGCAAUCUAUAAAAAAUGCAUUGACUGAGGCGAAUGUCAGCAUUAUUGGGGUGUACGGCAUCGGCGGCAUUGGAAAGACCACACUGGUGAAGGAGUUUGCUAGGCAAGCCAGGGAAAAGAAGUUGUUUUAUCGGGUGGUUUUAUCAGAGGUUUCAUAAACUCCAGAGAUAAAAAAAGAUUCAAGGGGAAAUUACAGAGAACUUAGGUCUGGAGUUGUCCGAUGAAGCUGAAUAUAGAAGAGCUAGCAAGCUGAAUGAACGAUUGAAGAGUGAGAAUAAGAUUCUUGUGAUUCUAGAUAAUAUCUGGAAACAUCUUGAUUUGGAGACCGUUGGAAUUCCUUUUGGAAAUAAUCAUAAAGGAUGUAGACUUUGAUAGACAACCAAGGAGAUCAGCUAGAGUUUCAAAGCCAAGCAGCAAGCUUGUGGACUUUGUUUGACCAUGCAAACCAUGCCCAUGCAAGCCAUGCAAUUGAUCUCCCACAUAACACUUUCAUGCGAGUUAGUUGGAAUAAGAGCACGUGAGGAAUUGAUAUUGAAGUAAAAGUGAUGGUUGUCGAAGCCAGUAAAAAUAAAUACCUACUCUAAAUAAAUUAUGUAUAGUGAUUGAGUAAGGUCGUGUCCACAGAGAUCGGUAAUUAUUUAAAUUCUUUUAAAAAGUAAAUUGCAAAAUGGGGGGAUUGUUGACAAUAAUAAAAAUCAAAUUAAAAUAACAAGAAUGCAAAUUAAAAUUUUAAUUCAAAUUGGGAAAAGCUCUGGUUGAAGGAAUUAACUCAGCUUGAUUUGAUUACUGAUCAUUGAUUCAAUUAUAAAUCACUACUACUUAUGAAUAGAUCGGUUAUAGCUACUGAGACCCUCUAAUAGUCAAUCUCUCCUUAACUAAUCGAUAACCAAAGUACGACCGUUGGUUAUUUCCCUAAUCAAUAGACAACCUAGAUACGAUCAUAGGAUUUAAUCAAUUGACAGCCUGAAAAUCCAGAGAGACCCAAAUCCUAAUAAAUAAACGCAUACAAUGGUUCAUUUAAAUUAGAUUGUUUAUUCUCAUAACACAAUGCACUGCUAUGCUAUUUGUCACAAACAUUAAAAUCUUCAUACGAUAAAUCAUUUAAUUGACAACAUAUUAAGUUGAUAAUUAAAUAGUGGUCAAUUAUCUAAUUAACAAACAUAAUCAUGACAAUAAUUCAGAGAAUAAACAAAUACCCAAAAAAUAAUAAAAUAAUUAAAGCAUAAGAAAGAUCUCACAGUAGUGAUGAAUCAAACCUUCAUUAACCUUCAACCAGAAUAAUAGGUUUAGUUCCUCAUAGAGAAAAGAGAAAAAUUUAGAUCUAGGGUUUUUCUCUUUUCAAAAAUCUCUCCUUUUCACAAUACAUUCCUCCCUUAAAUUCUCUUCUCCCUCUUCUCCUCUAAAGUUCUUUUUACAAUAAAAUACUGAUAUCUAAAAUAUUAUCUAAAUAUUAAAUUCAUAAUUACAAAAAUAACCAAAAAUAUAAAAUACGUUAAACUAAAAACUGUAGGUCCGCAGUUGACAGCAUGUGCCCACACCUUAUCAACACAGUUUUUCUGAAGCUCAUAAUUUCUCCAAGAAAUCAAUGAUCCUCAAAUAUCAUCUUGUAGCUCAAUUUUAGCACCAAUCAAUAGAAUUGCACCUACAAAAAUAAAACACAAGUAAAUCACUAUUAUUAAGUGCAAAACAUCGAUAUUAAAGGAAGUAAAUAAUGCAAAACUAGUGCAUAAAUUGUACUCUAACAAAAAGACUACAUCAAAGUUGUUGCCAAGAAUCAAGUUAAUUUAUUUUCUGCUUUGUUUUUAUCUAGUUGUUAAUAUUGAUUUGAUUUGGCUGGAUUUGAGCCAAGGUUUUAGGCUACAAAUCAGUAGUAUACUUUAUGUUUAUCUGUAUAAAUAAGCAGCAACCAUGACGAUUGAAAGGAAGGAAAUUAGUCAAAACAAAUACUGGUUGUUCAUACCAUAAAUUGAACGAAUAUCAGGCACUGCUUUUCUGUAUUUGAUCGGGACCUAUCAGACUAUUGCUGACAGCAAGAGAUAAUAAUGUGCUUUUAAGUAUGGGCUCCAAAGAUAACUUUUUGAUUGGCAAUCUAACUGAACAAGAAGCCUGGCGAUUGUUUAAGAUAAUGAAUGGUGAUGAUGUUGAAAGUUGUAAGUUCAAGUCUACAGCAAUUAAUGUGGCUAAGGCAUGUGGAGGUUUGCCCAUGCGUUGACUACUGUAGCGAGGGCACUGAGAAACAAGAGUCUCCAUGAAUGGAAGAAUGCCUUGCGAGAGCCUUCAAUGGUAAACUUCGAAGGGGUGCCUGCAGAGACUUAUUCAAGUAUUGAGCUGAGUUUCAAUUAUUUAAAAGGUGAGCAAGUCAAGAAAAUUUUUCUGCUUUGUCGUCUAGUAGGUAACAGUGUUUGGUUUUCAGACUUAUUUAGAUACUCCAUGGGUUUGGGCAUAUUUCAAGGAGUCAACAUUCCCUUCCUAUUUACCAAAGGUAAGUGAUAAAUCCUACAUAUCCCACUCAAGAAUGCAUAAGUUUCUUCAAUCUCAAGUACCUAAAGUUUUCUUCUACGUUUAUAAAAAUUUCAGCACCAUCUCCCUAUAAUUCUCCAAGCUCACGACGUAGCUAUAUAAGUGUUUAUGCGUUAUGCCAAAACAACACAUGACACCCAUUCACCUAGUACGUACCCAGAGAACACGAGGAGCAGCUACCGAAAAACCCAUUUUUACGUGGGAAAAAAACUUCAGCUACUAGCUACCAGAGAGAACUAUGCAUUCCCAAACUGUCCAAGCCUGGACAAUUCAAGAAUUAUUAAUAGACAUAUGAUCCUCACUAUCAUCCAAAGAUGACACUAAUAAAACAUGUGUCUAUUAAUAAUUUCUUAAACAAGUCUAAGCUUUCAAUGCACGUAUCAAAAGUUUAAAAUUGAAUCUGAAAUUUGAAUAACACAUAAAUAUCAUAAAUCUCUUCAAUUUAUUCCUGAUACAAUGUAGCAUUAUUUCACAUAUCAUUUCUUAAGCAAAACCAUAAAAAAUACAAACGAUAAAUACAUUUUCGCACUGAUGCAGAUUAUGUUUACUGAGCAAUAAGUUUUAAGUCAUUCAUGUUGAAAUACUUCUUCCUAUUCUUUCAACAUAUAACUAGUACGUACACACAAUUAAUAAAUUAAAAAAAAACCUGGUAGUGAAUCUUGGAAAAUCUUCCUUCUUUCUUUUUUUUUUGGUGGGAGGGGGGGGGGGGGGGGGGUGGUGGUUGGGGGAACUAUGAAUCUUGCAAAUCCUCGGGAAGCCAUGUUAAGACAAGGCCAGCUUACUAUUAGGGUAUGAAAGAUAAAACCUUUUAUUUCCUUUUCAGAAUAAAAAGAAUAUUGACAAUGUUAAAAAACAUCUAGAGGAUUUCAGGUCUCCAGAUCCUUACAAAUCAAGGAUAUUAAAAAAAUUUACUUAGAGGAGAAAGGUUAUGCUCAUUUGUAUCUUGUUAGAAGAAAUUGAUCCAAAGCCUCAUUUUUAAUUAGCUUCAUAUAGCCAAUGAUUAGGUGUUUAAAAACCAAUGAAUAUUUUUAUAAGAAAUCAACAAUAUUGUUGAAAGAAAAACCAAAUAAAAUUAAUAAAGCCAAUGAAUAGAUCAAGGCUCUUUGUGGUCUAAUAACUAAUCAAACUAAGUUGUGGGCAAAGGCGAAUAUGUUUGUUUGGUCAAUAAUAAGCUCAACAAAUCACUAAUAAUCACCUAAUCACUAUUCCUUAUGCUAUGCAAUAUAAUGGCCUGGGUAAUGGCGCCAAGGCAGACAAUAACUAGCUAGCCAGUUAUGAUAGUUGAUUAACUUAACCUACUGGAAAUCUGAAGACCAAAACGAAGAAGCUUUGCCUAGAACUACAAUAGGAACAUUCAUACCCAAAACUAAUAUACACGAUUAAGAAACUUGAUUAUAUGUAUAUUUUUGUUGGCCACACUUAAAGAGAAUUUUCAAAAGAUGCUAAGGUACACCAAAUCCCACUAUUUCAAACUCAUAAACACAAAAAACCAUGGCAAAAAUUAAUGACUAUAUAAAAUAAAAUCGGUCAUGGGGCAUUGAGAUUAGGACAACUUGAUUUGUAUACCGUAAAAUAACUAUAUCUGCAUAGUGAACUAUAUUUCUGUUAGAACUCUGAAGUUUUCUAUUAAACUUUUUUCUCUGUUAGGUAAACCACUUAACUAAAAUGCUUAAGCCAAUAUUGACAAUCAUAGACAUAAAAGUAUUAAUAGGCUCACUCAAGUGAAAUGAGCAUUAUUUCACACAUCCUUUAGGUUUUUAAGUCAUUUAGAAGUCAUUCAUGUUAAAAAAAAAAAACAAAUUCAUAUACUUUCAAUAUAAUUACUGCAUACACAAUUAACUAAUUAAAUAAAUCUGUUUCAGCUAGUAUAGGAACUUAAUUAAUCAAAGCUAGUAGUUAUAGCUAGGACUUGAACGAGGCACCUUUCAAAGUUCAAGAAGAGCAUCUGAACAGAAUGAAAGCACUUUGUAGAAAUGGUAAUGAUGCUUUACAUCUACAUGCUCUUACACAAUAUGAACUUUCAUUGAUUCAAGAACAUAACACUAAUCCAAGCUCUUACUCUACAAGUCAAUUCAGUUUGUAGAUGCAAGCCAUUGUAAAAACUUUUGACAUUACUAAUUAAUAUAGAAUCAGCAAUGUUAUAUAACUUAUUAGACAAUAUAACAAGCACUUGGCGAGCAUAUAAGAUAAACUAAAACAAGUUAAUUAGAAAAUGAAACUAAAACCCAAGCUCCGCUAUUCAUUGUAGAAGCUUUAAACAUAAAAUUAAAGUAAAUCUAAUGGCAAAACAUUAGAAUCGAUGUUGGAAUUAAAGCUAAAUUCAAUAGUAAUCCAAAUGAAUCCAUUUGAACUUUGUAAACUCCGCAGAACAAAAUUAAUUUGAGUGAGCAAACUCAUCAAUGGCACAAGAAAACAGGGGCUUCAACUUGUAGGAAUAAAAAUAUAUUGCUGGCGGGACAAAAAUUGACAAUAACGGCUACAAUGCGAAUUAAAAAAAAAUCAAAAUCUAUAAUUACAAGCUAAGUAAGAGAAGAAACUCAUAAUCACAAGCUUACCUCAAAAGAUGAAGGGAGAAGACGAUGAAGAAGAAGAUGGCCCGUGUUUUACGCAGUUCGCCGGCAACCAGUUAGGCUUACGAUGGUGGCUAGUAACACGGAGUCCAGCGAAUAGUUUUAAAUUUAAAAUUCUAAAAUAGUAAUAUACCGAACGGCUCUUUACGCGGGUAGUAACUAACAUAUGUGAUAGCGGUAUGGCCGUCACAUAAAGGGUAACAAAAGCAAGUCGGGGUACAAAGCUAGAGCCUAGAAGUUAGUGAUAUACGUAAUGGCUUCUUUUGCAUUCACAUUAGGGGUCACAUAUACCCUAGUUUCUUGUAGUACAUGGUAAACUAUAUUUGUACGAAUUCAUUUUUGUGUGCUUGUUGGAUAAUAAUAUAUAAUAAAUUAAAAUUUGGUGUAAUUUUCACAAUAUUGUAUUAUAAAUAUGUCUCGUUCAGAGGUUUUGAAAUCGUUUUGAUUGAUCAUAAUUGAUAUUUCCACAGUUGCAAAAGAUGCCAAAGAAAAUUUGAUUAUCUUAAGAAAUGAGUGCAUGAGAUAUGAAAUCAACCAUACCAUAAAAUCAAAUUUUAUCGUGUCAUCCUUCCUGGUUCAAAUUUAUGGAAACAAUAAUCAAAUGCAUCCAUGAACUAGUAUAUUCCGACAUAUGUACCAUCAAAUUUUUGCUAUGUCAUACUUAUACACACACACAUAUAUAUAUAUAUUGAAAUUUUAUUAACAACAAUUGGGCCAAGCAUAUGUUGGUACUUGAAGAUUUAGAAGCUCCAUCCUUGAAAAAAUAAGGCUUGACUGUUAUCAAUCUAAUUCUUUUUGUUUUAAGUUCUUAAUUAAGCUUUCUUGCUUGUUUUCAAGAGCCAGUUUUGUAGUGAUCGACAAACAUGAUUUGCAUAUAAUGCACUUGGCAUUUAUGUGUCACUUAUUAAUUAGAUUUAAAUUCUAUACAUUAGUUAAGCUGAUUAAUACUUUAUACUUGCACUAAAUGAUAAAUACUACAUAAAUUGAGAACACUAGUAACUAUGUAUCCCAACUAUGUAAUAUUUGUUUGUCACAAACCCAAUCAUGGCCUAAUAUUCUAAAUGUUAUUUAGGAUACCAUUUCAAGCCCCAUGAGGGCUCUUUCCGUUUAAAAAAAACAAGUAAGAAAUAGAUGUAGAUAGCCAUAAUGAUUUAAUUUCUACUGCAUACAUAGCUGUAAUUAUUUUAAAAGCUACAGGAUUACCAAAUUGACCCUAAAUCAAACCAAUAAAAAUGUUUAAAAGUAAUAAUAAUAAACCAAAGUAAACGUACAAAAAUUCAUGCAUAAAUUGAUAAUCAAUAAAAACAUUCAAAAGUUUAACUCCAACUUUUCUAUAAAUUUCAAAAGGCAUUAUCAAUUUUGUGUCUAAUUCUACAAAAUUAGAAAACUAAAGAAUAUUAUGUAAUUGACAUAACCCUUAAAUUUCAAAAGGCAUUAUCAAUUUUGUGUCUAAUUCUACAAAAUUAGAAAACUAAAGAAUAUUAUAUACUGAUAAUUAAAUAAUAUGCAAUUAAUAAUGUUAAAAAAAUAAUUUUAAACAUAUUGUCAACUAAAAUAAAUGGGAGAAUUGGAGUUCCAAGAUAAAUUCUUAUCUAGUUCCAAAUCAACAAUUGGGAUUAAUUUCAAUAUUAAACCCCGACUGCUUUUAAAAUUGAUCCUAAUGAUAUGGACAAAUCCCAUUCUGAUCAGUAUGGAAUCCCAAUCCCAUACCUUUAGAUUUCGAUGGUGUUUAGUUGGAGGGAGGAGAGGGGAAGGAAAUGAAUUCAAAUUCCUUUCACUUUUUCUGUUGUUUGGUUUUCACUAAUAUAUGGGAAAUCCAUUUCUAUUGAAAUUUAAUUUUCAUCAAAUUGUGAAUUUUGGAUUCCUCAACGAAGGCUGUAAAAUUCAAAUUCCCCUCCUAUUAGAAAUCAAAUCUUCCAAAAUGGCUCCUCUCAAAUAUUUAUCAAUUAUUUUAAUUCUUAUCAAAUAAUUCUUAUUCAUGAUUUUAUUUAUGAUUUUAUUUUUUAAAUUCAAAUUGUCACUAAGGAGUCUGACUUACUACCACAGAAAAGCAAAAAAAAAAAAAAAAACAGUUUAUAGAUUAUGAUAAUUCUAUAUAUUGUCUGAGAAUUGCAAUCCCGUAGCCGAAGUAGUUUUUAAGUACAGAAUUUCAGUCAUUUCUAUUUAAUUUUUUUUUUAAAUGUGAAUUGGAGGGAUCAAGAGCAGCUCACUGGAGGUUGAGGCCGACAUGGAAUCUGAUUAUCAGGAGAUCCGAGUGCAGGGAGGAUUCAAUAGUGAACCCGAAUGAAAUCGGGCGGGUGGGCCUGCCUAUGUGUUUUUCCAAUCCAUAUUAAAAGGAGUUUCUUUUACAAAUACAUAUUGGACAUAUUUUGACAUGUCGUACUAAAUUAAGCCAUCAAAAAUUGCUGGGAAGGGAGUAAUAUCUAUUUAUAACUGGAAAUUACUCACCGUACAAUGAUGGUUGGAGCUGCAUGUAUCAUUUAUUAUUAACAACUAACUUAUGAAAUGCUUUGAAUGUACCUCCUAGGUCGUAUUUACUAUACCGGUUAGGAGAAACUAUAAUAUUAAAUUAUUUGAUAAAUACUUAUUAUAAUUUAAAAAAUAUAUUAAUUUUGUCCUCCACUUUAUGAUAACAAAAUUAUAAUAUAAAUAAAUUAUUCAUUCUAUAAUCUUAAACUUUAUUAAAAUUCGAAAAACUAUUACUCUAUAUGAUAUAAUAGUGUGAUGUUAUUACACUAUUAUACCAUAUAAAAUAUAUUUGCUUUCUUAAAUUUUAAUAAAUUCUAGGUCUUGGACAGAAGCACUUUAUAUAUAUGUAUAUAUAAUAAUUCUCUAGUAACGACAUUCUCAUUUUAACAAAGUGAUGAUAUCGCUAACAAACUAAAUAACACACAUUUCAAUACACCAAUAGAUUAAAAAAAUACAAUUUUUAAUGUGUUAAAAUAUAUGUCUUUUGUAUAUUAUUGAUAUUUUCACUUUAACAAUGUGAGGGUCUCCUCACUAUAGAAGUACUUUAUAAAUAUUUUGUAUUUUUUUAAAAAAUUAUUAUUUAAAAGUCAUAUCUGACCAAGACUAAUAAUUUUUAUUUUAUUACUAUACUGUACUUUCAAGACAGAACACUUCAAUACCAUGACCUUAAUUUUUCAACUCUCUUGUACAAAGUUGUUGGCUGGUCUAUUUAGUUUAGUCUUUCAAUCAUUUGUCGUUUGAACUGAGAUGAUCCGAAUAAAGCUAUAUAUCAAUAAUUUCCUAGUGAAACUUUGGGAAAAAAUAAAAAUCAUGUCAUACAGUAGCAUUAUUUUAAUUCACAGCUUGAUUAUGUUUUGAGUUAACUUAUAGAUUAUUUGAAAUAAAAAGACUAUAAUUUAAUUUUUCCAACUAAAUAUUUUUAAAUAAUUUUGUUAAUUUAAUGAGUAAUUAUACACUUACAAAGUUACGAUAUAAAAUUAUAUCCCAGAAUCUCAAUAAUAUGACACCAAUUAACUACUGCUAUGUGUUUCUUAGUAAUUAACUUUUUAUACUAUUAUCAAUGAGAAAAUUAACUUCAACACCAAUAAACAAAUUUUAUAUUAAUACAUCCUCUAGGUUUAUUAUCAAAUAAUCAUGUCAUAAUCAAACCAAGCUACCAGAGCCUACUACUAAAAGAUUGAUUAAAGGGUUUUCCAAGUUUGAAAAAGUUAGUAGCAUUGGCAAAUGGCAACUCCCAGGAAUCUUCCUACUACAAUCAACCAUUCAGUGAAAUUCCCAAAUGGCACAAAGGACCCCGCCACCCGUUAAGUCACAUCAUUUAUUUAUUUGUGAAUGAAAAAUAAGGUUUCGAUCGUAAGAAAUGAACACCUUAUAAUGCAUGAUUACCUGUAUGUCAAGUUUGGCGAUUAUAAGUCAUCAUCACAAUAACUUUGGAGCGGAGCUAUCGGCACCCCCUUGAUAUCCUUUUCAAACCCCUUUUCUGCUUAUUUCCUCCUCAAUCCCUAAAAUAGCCUUUAUCUGUAAUUUUUCCGCAAACAAUUUCAACCUCCUUUCAGUUAUCACUCUUCAACCACUCCCACUUCAAGUUUCUUCUUUUUAUAGGAAAGGCUUUUGAUAACAACCCAAUAUUUUUUUGUUUUAAUUUUAUACUUUUCAGUUUAUGACAUUAUAUUUUAAAAUAAAUAUGUAUAAAAUACACACAAGGUUUAGUUAUCUCCUAGCAUUCUAAUAACGUUAGUAAUUUAUGAAAAUUUUAUAAAAUUAUCUUUCCUACAAAAAUAAAUUGUUAAGUGAAAAAAAUACUUUAUAUCAAAUUCUUACUCUUUUACCAUUGACCUUUUUUUUUCAAAAAAAAAAAUGGAACUUUUAAGUGCUUUAGUGGAGAAAGAGUCGGUGAGAAAAAAUCAUAUAUGAAUUUAAUAAGAUAAGAUUUAAGGGACAAAAUUGUAAAUGUAUAACAAGAGGGGUUUUAUAAGAAAAAUACAGGGGUGCCAAUAGCGUCACUCUAACUUUGGGCUUUGAUAUUUAAGGCUCCGUUUCGGACAAAUGCGUGGCAAUUGGACAACACAUCACUCAAUUAUAGAGUGUGAAAUAUUGAUAUUGUUCUUAUUAUUUUACGUAAUGUAUACAUUUUUCCUCUUAUUUUUGUUUGUUUAUUUAUUUUUGAUACUUAAUAAAUAUAAAUUUAUUUUUUAAUAUUUAAUAAAUAAUCCUAACCAGGCAAUAUUGCCAGAAAAUAACGAACAAUGAUCCAAAUCCUUUUAUUUUACAUAAAUAAUUUCAAUUCACAACAACUAUGACGUUACAUUACCAAACAAACACUAAAUAUUUUGAUUAUUGUAGUUUAUCUUUCAUUCAUAACAUGAAGAGUUUGAAAUAUGAUAUCAAAACAAAGAGUAUGACAUGUCGUGUUGUGUUCACAGAAGAAAUGUAAGCCAUGUCAUCCGAAAACUAAAAGGAACGUAUGACAAUCAGAAGCUGUCAUCUCUGAUUUGCUUACACUUUUAAGGAUAAAUUCUGGGUUUUCAGUGACAAUUAAAAGCUAGAGUGAGAAUUAGAGAGAGAGUUAGAUAUUCUUAUUCCUAGUCACUUGCUAUAUUUUGUAGGUCUUUUGUGACUCCAAUGAUAAAAUCGCUCAAUAUUUUUUUUUUGAUAGAGCCAUAUUUUUUAAAGCAUAAAGAAAGGCAGAAAUAUUGUAAAUCCAACUUAAAUUUUCUGUUCAUUGUGGUCGCUGCUAGUGCUAGCUGUUUUCUUAUUUAACUUUGUUCCCUUUUGCCAUCAGCUCUUUGCAUUUUCAUUGGAGCAAGCGACCCUUUUCUUGUUUCAAUUUCUGAUCUCAAAAGCACUCUGAUUCUCUGGACACUGAUUUUCUCCUUGUUUUGUACAAAUAUCAUUUCUCUUUCCCAUUUAGCCUUGAUUUGCUUCUACUUGACUAUCAAUUGCCCAGUCGUUGACCCUGUUGUAUUUCUAGUUCGUUCACUCCCCCCCCCUCCCCCCCAAAAAAAAUGGACAUUUUGAAAAGCAUUGUCCUAGGAGUUGUAAACUGCUUUGCUCCUCUAGCACAACACGAAUUUAGUUAUUGGCAUAACUCCGGUGCUAACUUUGACAAUCUCAAGGCAGAACUCGAUAGGCUCAAGGAUAAAAGAGAAAGAAUUCAGCGCAGAGUUUCUGAGGCUGAAAGAAAAAAGUGAAAAGAUUGAAGAGAUGGUUGAGAAAUGGCUGGUUAAUGUGAACAAGAGAAUUGACCAGGCAGCCAAAUUCAUUCAAGACGAAGAGGCAGCAAAUGAUGGCCGAUGUCUCAUGGGGCUGUUUCCUGAUUGGUUUGCUCGCUAUCAGCAUGGAAAGAAAGCAGAAACAGAGAAGGAGGCCCUUUCUAAACUCCGAGAAUAAGCUGAGAGAUUUGAUAAUAGAAUUUCCUACCCUACCAUUCGGGAGGAUAUAUGGCUCAAGUCUAACAAAGACUACGAGAACUUCGAAUCAAGACUUACUACUUUCAAGGAUAUACGAAAGACAUUAACUGAUGUUAAUGUCAGCAUCAUUGGGGUGUACGGCAUGGGCGGCAUUGGAAAGACGACACUGGUGAAGGAGUUUGCUAGGCGAGCCAUUGAAGACGAGCUUUGUGAUAUGGUGGUUUUUUCGGAGGUUACCCAAAGUCCAGACAUAAAACAGAUCCAAUAGGAAAUUGCGGAAAAGCUAGGCCUAGAGUUGUCCGAGGAAGCUGAGUUUAGAAGAGCUAGUAGAAUAUUUGAAAGAUUGAAGAAUGAGAAGAAGAUCCUUAAGAUUCUGGAUAACAUCUGGAAAUCUCUUGAUUUGGGGACUAUUGGAAUUCCUUAUGGGGUUGAGCAUAGAGGAUGUAAAUUAUUAUUCACUACAAGAGAUCUUGAUGUGCUGAUAAGGAUGGGAUCUGAGAAACAAAGAGCUGCCUGAGUGGAAGAAUGCCAUGCAAGAACUCCAAAUGCCUUCAGAGACAAGCUUCGACGAAGGAGUACCAGCAGAGGCACACUCAACAAUUGAGCUGAGUUACAAGUAUUUAGGUAAGCAACUCAAGGAAACGAUUUUACUAUGUAGUCUUAUUGCACCAACUUCAAUUAUGGACUUGAUCAAUUAUAGCAUGGGUUUGGGGUUUUUUGAAAGUGUCCUUAAGCUAGAAGAGGCACAUAACAAAUUACAUGCAUGGGUCCGUCAACUAAGAGACUCUUGUUUGCUGCUUGUGGAUGGUAGCAGUAAAUUCUUUUCUAUGCAUGAUGUUCUUCGCGAUGUUGCCAUUUCAAUUGCAUGUCGUGACAUGAAUGCAUUUGUGGUGAGAAAUAAGAAUAUGUGGGAAUGGCCAAAUCCAGAUGCAUUAAAAAAAUAUCUUGCAAUCUCUUUAAUAAAUAGUCGUAUUAAUGACAUUCCUGAAGGGCUGGAAUCUGCACAACUUGAAUUUUUACUUAUGAUUCCCAAGAACUCUUUUUUUGGGCUCAAUAUUCCUGAGAACUUCUUUAAAGGGGUGAAAAAGCUUCGGGUUGUAGCUUUGGUAAAAAUGCGGUUAUCAUCAUUGCCAUCUUCAAUCUAUCUUCUAGUAAAUCUUCAAACACUUUGCCUUGAUCAAAGCAUUUUGAGAGACAUAGACAUAGCCAUUAUUGGAAAGUUGAAAAAUCUAAAAAUCCUUAGCUUUGUGCGGUCUGAUAUUGUGCAGUUGCCUAAAGCACUAGGUGAACUGACUAAGCUACGGCUGUUAGAUUUAACAGACUGUUUCCAUCUAAAAGUUAUUGCUCCAAAUGUCAUAUCAAGCUCAACCCGAUUAGAAGAAUUGUAUAUGGGUAAUUGCCCCAUUGAAUGGGAGGUUGAAAGAUCCAAUAGUAAAAGAAGUAAUUCUAGCCUUGAUGAAUUGAUGAAUUUACCUUGGCUAACCACUCUAGAAAUUGAUGUUAAAAAUGACAGUAUUUUACCAGAAAGCUUUUUAACCAAAAAGCUGGAAAGGUUCAAAAUAUCUAUUGGAAACGAAUCAUUCAUGCCUCCUCAGAAGAAAACAAUGGUUUCGAAGCCUGCCGCACUUUUUGAUCAACAGUAAUCGUGAGAGUUUAAGAGAAUUGAAGCUCAAGCUUGAUUUUAUGGACAUUUGCUCCAUGAAAUUGCAGGGCAUCAAUAAUGUUGAAUACCGAUAGUUGGACAAGCUGCACGGUGUCAAGAAUGUUCUUUUCGAUUUGGACACAGAGGGCUUUUCACAGUUGAAGAUUCUCUGGGUUCAAAAUAAUGCUGACUUCUUUUUUAUCGUUGACUCAAUGGAGAUGGUCGCUUGUGAUGCCUUUCCUCUUUUGGAGUCGCUUACUCUUUUCAAUUUGAUCAACAUGGAGAGGAUAUGUAUGAAAAAUAAUUUCUUGAAACUUAUUUAAAUCCAGACUAAAUUACUGAGCAACAUCAAAUUGGAAGCGUACCUGAAUCCAUUGUUAUUAUGCACUAGAAAAGAUUUUUGAUCUUGGCAAUGGAUUUCCAAACUAGUCUCUAUCCUGUGUUAAGAAUUCUCACUGAGAGGAUUUUUGAGAAUGAAAAGAGAUUGAGAUAGAAUGGGGACCAUAACCACCGUAUAAAGAAAACUGACUAGCGGUUUUAAUUUUAUGUUAAUUAUCACUUCUGCUCCUCAUAGAAGUUAUAAUUAAACUAUAAUAUCUAUGUAAUUAACCCACAACUAUUAUACCCUUAGCCAUUUAAUUAACAUUAAAUAGAUCACUUAAUUGAUGGCUAAUUAAAUAAUAGCACACACAUUUUAUUUGUUUCAUGUGUGGCCCCAAAUAUUAGAUUAAUUAAAAUUAAUCUAACAAUGUAUUGAUCGGCUCAAAAUUGUGAUGAGUUGAGUAAUAUCUUCUGCCUCUCUAGAACAAAAUGCCUUCCAAGACUUGAGAGAAUUGCAGUUAUUAAUUGCAGGAAGAUGAAAGAGAUUUUUGCAAAUGGGGGAGAAGCUGAUGUUGACAACAACAAUGCAACUGAGAGGAUACAGUUUUCUCGAUUAAGAUCUUUGAGUCUGGAAAAUCCUCCAGAGGUUACAAGUUUUUUCCGUGAAGUGAAGACUCCUUCAGCAUCACCACACAGACGAGUGCCGGAAGAGGAAUUGACAAAUUCUUGCUCCAACGAAAUCAAUUUAGAUAGUUCAACUCAGCUUUUCAACGAGAAGGUGCAUAGGUUAAUACUUUAUUUAUUUAUAUAUGAUUUUAUUCUAUUGUGCAUUCUCUUUUGAUGUCAUACGCAGGAAAUAAUUAAAUCAUUAAAGAAUUAAAAGAAAAUGAUAAAAAGCAAAAAAGAAUCUCACGCACUUGCUAAUGGAGCUCUUAGCAAGUAAUAUGAAUUUGAUUGUAUACUCAGCUGUCUGUUGGAAAUUGAUUCUGACUUGCUUUAAUUUGUAAUAACAGAAGAAAAAUUUCAACAAGUGCUUCUUAUAUGGUUAUUGGUUCUAACGAGAAAUUUAUAUCUUUUUUAGGUGGAGUUGCCUAACUUGGAGGCUUUUGAGUUGUGUUCAAUUAAUGUCGACAAGAUUUGGCACUACAAUCAUCUUCCGUUCAUGCUUUCUCGCUUUCAAAGUUUAACACGAUUGAUUGUGCAGAGCUGUCCCAAAUUAAAAUACAUAUUUUCAGCGUCUAUGAUCCAAAGCUUUGAGCUGCUCCGAGAACUAUCCAUAGCGGAUUGUAGGGGUUUGCGAGAGAUCAUUUCGAAAGAUAGAGCAGAUCAUGUGACCCCUUGUUUUGUCUUUCCACAGAUGACCACUUUGAGACUCGAAAUUCUACCAGAACUUAAAUGCUUAUACCCUGGAAUGCAUACUUCGGAAUGGCCAGCACUAAAAACUUUAUAUGGGCCUCAUUGUGACCAAUUAAAGAUAUUCGCUGCAGAUUUAUUGCAGAAUAAUGGGAAUGAUCAACUUGGAAUUUCCGCACAACAACCCCUAUUUUUGUUCGGAAAGGUAUGAAGUCAUUUUCUCGAUUUUUUAUUAAUUAGAUCAUUGACGACUUUUGACUUUGAAAAAUAUACAAAACAUCGAUAAAUUAGUACUUAAUAAAUUGAAAACUUCCAUUACAUAAUAAUUUUUGCUAGUUUGGACAAAGGGAUCAAUGUGCUAAAUUAAUAAUUCCAUGAACUUCUUUAGGUGUAGCAUUAUAUUAGUUUUGUCAUAUAUAACCACUUACAAUAUAAAUUAAUAAUUUACUAUUGUGGAAUAAAAUAUUUUCAUACCAAUUUAUAAAUCAAUCAUUUUUUCCCUAAUUUCUCUCUUAUCUCUAAAAUUAACAUAUAAAAGCCCUAGAAUGAAUUUUAUCACUAAUUCAAUUUUUCCGUACUUUUUUUGUAAAAUAUAACAUAAAAGAAAUACUAUAAAGUCAAUGUGUAUGAAUGGAUUACUCAAAAUUAUUUGAGAGCACAUCAAUUGACCUAAUUAGUUAUUACGUGAUUGAUGAUGACCAGACCUUUCCCAACUUGAAGACACUAUCAUUACGGGGAAAAGACGUGAAGAUGAUUUUUGCAGGCUAAUUUACCACAACACCUUUUUGGUAGUCUUAAAGAACUACACAUAACUUUUAAUUGGUUUGACUGUAUCAAAAAGUCUUGAUAUGCGUCUUAUGAUGUUGUGAUAGCUUAUCUAUAUGGGUCACUUGACACGGAUAUAUGUAUGAAAAUCCCUUAAGGAUUUAAAAUGCCAGAAUCUUGUCAAUCAUCACAUCGUGGCUUGUAUUCAAUAAAGCUACAAAAGUCUUUAUAAGUAUUAAAACAAUCUGGAUGCAUGUGGUAUAAUCGCCUCAGUGAAUAUUUGAUAAAACUAUGAUACGUUAAUGAUCCUAUCUGUCCAUGUGUUUUUAUCAAGCAAUCAAAAUUUGAAAUUACUAUUGUCGCAGUUUAUAUUGAUGAUUUGAAUUUAAUAGGAACUCCUGAAGAGCUCCAAAAGACCGCUCAAUGUUUGAAAAAUGAAUUUGAAAUGAAAGAUUUAGGGAAAACUAGGUAUUGUCUUGAGAUGCAGACCGAGCACAGACUUAAUGGUAUAUUUAUCCAUCAAUCAACUUAUACUGAGAGAAUUUUAAAACGUUUCAACAUGGAUAAAGCUUACCCAUUGAGUACCCCAAUGGUAGUCCAGUCUCUUGAUCCGAAAAAAGAUCCAUUCCGUUUUAAAGAAGAUGAUGAACAGAUACUUAGUCCUGAAGUACCAUAUCUAAAUGCAAUUGGUGCUCUGAUGUAUUUAGCACAAUGUACUAGACCAGACAUAGCAUUUUCUGUUAAUUUGUUAGCUCAAUUUAGCUCUGAACCAACUAGAAGACAUUGGAAUGGUGUCAAACACAUUUUUCGUUAUCUUCUAGGAACAAUUUGAUUUAGGUUUAUUUUAUUCUAAUGAACUAACAAAAAAUCCAGGUCUUGUUGGUUAUGCUAAUACAGGUUAUUUAUCUGAUCCCCAUAAAGCUCGUUCACAAACAGGAUAUAUUUUCACUUUCAAUGGUACAAAGAUUUCUUGGAAGUCUACAAAACAGACUCUCGUUGCAACAUCCUCCAACCAUUCUGAAAUUCUUGCACUACAUGAAGCCAAUCGAGAAUGCAUAUGGUUGCGAUCUGUAAUCCAUCAUAUUCAAAGUACAUGUAGAAUAUCUUCAAGUUCAGAUAUCCUAACAGUGAUAUAUGAAGAUAAUGCUGCAUGUAUAGCUCAACUCAGAGGAGGAUACAUUAAAGGGGACAGAACAAAACAUAUUUCACCGAAAUUCUUCUACACUCAUGAGCUCCAACAGAAUAAGAAGAUUAAUAUCAAACAGAUACGCUCCACGGAAAAUUUAGCUUAUAUGUUUAUAAAAGCUCUACCUACAUCUACGUUCGAAAAAAUUGUAUAUGGCAUCGGCAUGCAUCAUUUUAACAAACUGUUAAAUUAAUACAUGUUGCCUUCAGGAAGAGCACUCAACAAGAGGAGCGUGAUCUUACAAGAGAAGAAUCGUAGUAAUAUUGGACACAUAUAUACUGUACUCUUUUUUUUCCUUUUGACCAGGUUUUCCCAUUGGAUUUUUACUGGCAAAGGUUUUUAAUGAGGCAGUAUCCAAUGUCAUUAGGGGGAGCACAUCUAAUGAAUAAUUGGUGAAUCUAAUGGGGAGCGUUGUAAAUCGUGAUGGAUUCCACCAAAAUAAUGCUCUCCCAUUAUCUUCUUUAUUGCUCUUCCCCUUUUUAUAAUUAAUAAUUGUGAAUAACCCCACCUUCUAAUGCCUAUAUAUACCCUUUCUUUGCUAAUGAAUGAAUACAAUUCAAUUUCUUGCUCAAAGCAUUUUGCUUGUUUUCUUCAAUAUUCAUUUGAGUAUUCCUUACUUAAAUAUCAUCAUUAAAUAAUUGCUUACACACAACUCCUUUAAAUUAUAACAUCCAUUAUCUCCGAAUUUAAAAUACUUUCAACAAUUUUUACGGAUUCUGGCAAUUGUUCACGCAACUAUUUUAAUCGAAAAUAUAUAUGGCUCCAUAAACAAUGAUUAUCUCUUGACAGCUGUUCUGCACUUGCUUUUUUUUUUUUUUUUUGAAGAAAGGAAGAAAUUCAUUAAACAGACAAAUGAGAAAAUAACCAGGGUGGUGGAACAUGUCUCCAUUCACCCGGACCUGACACAGAACACCCCACCUUAGCCACAACAUGGGCGGCGGUAUUCGCAGAUCUCCUUACAAAAGAGAAAGUCACCUCUUUUAAGCAAUGAGCCAAGGCUCUACAAUCUGAAAUAAUAAUACCAAAUCCGUUUUGAUAGUCCUUGGAGUCAAUCAAAGCAUUAAAAACUUGUAAACAAUCAGUCUCAAUAAUAAUAGGAAAAAACUGGGUGUUCUUAAGCCAACUCAAGACCUCUCACACACCCAAAGCCUCUGCCUCGCGAGCUCCAAAAUUGCCAAUCAAAGAUCCACAUUUUGCAGCAAGAAAUUGACCCUCAGAAGACCGGAUAACUGCGCCUUAGCUAAUCCUAGUAGUAGCGCGGGAAGUGGCAGCGUCCACAUUGCAUUUAAACCAUCCAACGCGAGGGCGUUUCCAGCAAAUAGAGCCAAGAGUUAAAUCUGCUGGCAUCUGAGUAAAGUGACUCAGUUGACGAGCCUUUUGCCACUGGAACAAGUCUUGACCAGCUUUAUUGAGCACUUGAGACACUCUGCCUACUACAUGCCUCCAAACUUUAGUAUUCCGAUUCUGCCAAAGACCCCAGUAAACCAUUGCAGCAAGACAACUAUCCUCAAUACUACACCGAGUAAAUAAAGCAUCCAACCAAGCACCAAAAUUCACAAAAUUUCCAGCAAAACCAACCAAGGAAACCAUCCAGCAUUGUUUGGCAAAAGGACAAUCAACUAAGACAUGAUAAAUUGUCUCAAGAGAUUCAUUAUAGAUAGUACAAUAAGGGUGUACCUCGACUCGACGACUGAGAAGGUUAUCAGCAGUGGGAACCACAUUUGCCACAGCUCUCCAAAGAAAAUUCUUGAUUUUGGCGGGCACAGCCAGCUUCCAAAUCUUACUCCAAACUCCACUGCCAGGCGGUUCCGAUAUAAUAUCCAUCCACUUGUAACAACUUCGAACAGUGUAAACUCCUUUUGCGUCAGGGAGCCAAUACCAAGUAUCACAAUCCCUCCGAGAGCUAAGAGGAAUUUGGAGAAUGCAGUCUCGAUCUCUUCUGUUAAACACAUCCUUUACAAGGUCAUAAUCCCACCUUCGGUGAUCAGGAAUCAUAAGACUGUUAACAUUUAUGUUUCAUAAUAUUGAUUUUGAUGAUAACAAACAAGAUUAAGAAUAAUUAAUCUUUUAGGAUCAAAUUAUUUUUUAUAUAUUUUAAAUAAAUCAUUAUUUUCACAUUAUAAAUGUUUUAUAUUUAAUGAAAAAAUGAUUUUAAGAAAAAUGAUUGUUUAAAUACAUGAAAUGUUUGUCAUCAUCAAAAAGGGGGAGAUUGUUAACAUAUAUGUUUCCAUAAUAUUGAUUUUGAUGAUAACAAACAAGAUUAAGAAUGAUUAAUCUUUUAAGAUCAAAUUAUUUUUAUACAUCUUAAAUAAAUCAUUAUUUUCACAUUUUAAAGGUUUUAUAUUUAAUGAAAAAUGAUUUUAUGAAAUUGGUUGUUUUUCAAAGUUUAUGGUUUAAUUAAAAGAAUUUUUGAAAACUUUGAAAUAAACAAGUAUUGCUUGAAAUUCUGGUAAAGGACUUAUUUGAAAAGUGUUAUAGCAUUUUGGCUAUAUCAUAAUUUCAGAAAGUUUUGGGAUUAACAAAGCAUUACUUAGAAAUUCUGAAAUUGGACCUAUUUGAAAUAUUUCAUAACGUUUUGGGCCUUAGUACAGUUUUAUAAAGUUUUGGGGUCAAACUAUAAUUUCAAAAAAUAGUGCACUGUGCAGGUUACUGUAGCAAGCGGCUUACCGGAUUCUAAAAACCGGAAAUCCGGAUUCGGGGCAGUAAGCAUCCGAAACGCAAACGGCUAACCGGAUGUCCAUAAACGGCAAGCCGGUUACGACAAAAAAUGUGCAUAACGGCUAGUUUUUGAGUUCAAACUAUAUAAACUCAAAACCAAUUCAUUUUUGGUAACUUAAGCAAGCAAGAACAAGUGCACACAACAUAUAUUGAGCUUCAACUUCGUGAAUCAUCAUUCAUUAAAUCAAAGUGCACACAACAUAUAUUGAGCUUCAACUUCGUGAAUCAUCAUUCAUUAAAUCAUCUUUGUUCUUCAAUUUGUAUAUCCACUCUUAAAGAGAGUUUCAUUGUUGUAUUUAUCAUUUCUCAUAAAAUUGUGAGAGUACAAGUGUGAGAAACACUUAGAGUGAAGAGAUUGGAGAGAUAAUCUCUUGUUGUAAAGGUUUAUUGACACCUCGAAGUCAAUUGUAAUCGUUGAAGCCUUGGAAAGGCUUGGAUAGUGAAAUCCUCAAGCGGGUGAGCUUGGAGGCGUGGACGUAGGCGGGGAUAGCCGAACCACGUAAAAAUCCUUGUGUUCAUUUUCUCUUCCCUUACUCUUUUAAUAUUGUGUUUAUUUGAAUUUAUUGUUUUCGAAUUGAUUAAGGCAUUAGAUUGAAUUGUUGUGUGGUUUGCCUAGGAUAAUUUUUAAAAUUCCAAUUCACCCCCCUCUUGGGUUGCACACUUAUACCUAAUUACUCACAGGAGCUGAUGCUAACGUCGCUGGAAGAUUAGUUGUAAUAAAGCCACUCUCCUGAUCAGGCAGCUAGGGAACCAAGCCAAUAGGAAUGCUCUGUCCACUUCCAACUUGGACACGACUCCCUUGGAUUAAAAUCUUCUGAGCAGCCAAAAUCGAUCUCCAUGCAUAACUCGGAUUACUUCCCAACUUAGCUUGAGUGAAGUCUGCAUUAGGCUAAUACCGUGCUUUAAAUAAUCUGCCCACCAGCGAAGAUGGAUUUGUAAUUAACCUCCAGCCUUGUCUCCCUAGCAUAGCAACAUUAAAGUUGUGGAUGUGUUUAAACUCAAUACCACCAUAAGAUUUGGGCUUACAAAGUUUUUCCCACUGCAUCCACUUAAUUCCACCACUACCAUAUCUUUUACUGCCCCACCAAAAAGAAUUCAGCAUCCUUUCAAGUUCUCGCAGAGGUCGAGAGGGAGGAGGUAAACUUGCAUAGCAUAAUUAGGUAUGGCAUGUGCCACAGUUUUAAUUAAGAUUUCCUUUCCAGCUCUAAAGAGGAGUUUCUGAUGCCACCCUUGAAUUCUCUGCCAAACUUUAUCCUUUAUAUAUCGGAAAAUAUCUAUCUUCUUGCGCCCAACAUAUGAUGGUAAUCCAAAAUAGGUACCAUGGUCUGUAGUAGCUGUAACUCCAAGUUGUUGACAGAUAUUAUGAACAGUAUCCUCAGCCAUAUUCCUACUGAAAGAAAUUGAGGAUUUAUUGUAGUUCACUUGCUGCCCCGAAGCUGCUUCAUAAGUUGUCAAAAUCUUUUUUACCAGGUGAGCCUCCUGAACAGUAGCUUUAAAGAAAAGAAAGCAGUCAUCAGCAAAAAAGAGGUGAGAAACCAAAGGAGCACCUCUAGCAACUCGAGCCCCAUGGAUCAUCCCAGCCCUCUCAUAGUGAUUUAUCAGCAAACUCAGCCCCUCUGCACAGAUGAUAAACAGAUAUGGCGAUAGCGGAUCUCCUUGUCUAAGACCUCGACUUGGCACGAUAGGGCCCAGCUCCAACCCUUCCCGGGUAAUUUUGUAGGUAACUGUAGUGACACAGAGCAUAAGAAGAUUCACCCAAACAACAUCAAAUCCCAACUUCAGUAAAAUCGAUCUAAGAAACCCCCACUCAAUCCGAUCAUAAGCCUUGGUCAUAUCGAUCUUUAAUGCAGCAAUCCCCUCAUUUCCUUGACGUUUCCGUUUGAGAAAGUGCAUUAUCUCAGCCGAGAUUAAAACAUUAUCAGCAAUAGCUCUACCUGGAACAAAAGCACUCUGAGAAUUGGAAAUUAUCGAUCCUAAAACCAUCUUCAUACGAUUAGCAAGCAUCUUGGCUAUAAUUUUAUAGAGGACAUUACAUAAGGAAAUAGGUCGAACAUCAGUUAAGAAUUCUAUAUGUUUCUUCUUAGGAAUAAGGACAAUGGAAGUCUCAUUAAAACCCUCAGGAAAAGAACACUCCCGAAUGAAUCUAAGACACGCCUCAGUAAUAUCAGUACCCACAAUAUUCCAAAACUUUUGGUAAAAUGCUGGGUUCAUUCCAUCAGGACCAGGGGACUUAUCAGGGUGCACAUCAAACACGGCAGAUUGAACAUCUUCAGCAGUAAAAGGUUCCAAAAGAGCUUGAUUUUAUACAUCAGUAAUUUUAGCUUCCACACAACUUAGCACAUCAUCAUAAGAACAAAUCCCAGUAGUAAAUAAAGUUGUGAAAUACUCACGAAUUAAAUUAUUUACAUCCGCAGGAUUAGUACACCAUUGCCCCUCUUGCGUGCGAAGCUUAAUUAAGGUAUUCUUACGCUUCCUUGAUGAGGCCAUGGCAUGGAAAUACUUUGAGUUUAAAUCCCCAUCCCGAAGCCAAAACAUCUUCGAACGCUGCUUCCAAUAAACUUCAUGGCUAUGCAAGAGCUCAUUGUAUCUAUCUCGAGCUUCAGUAAAAUCAGCCAAGCUAACUGUAUCACGCUUGCCCCGAAGCUGAUUCAUUUUAUCCUUGCACUCCUUAAUUUGAACUUUGAAAUCCCGAGUACGAUGAUAGCCCCACCGAACUAAAUCUAAGCUGCAAGCCGGAAUUUUACUGAGAAUAGGAAGCCCACUCGUCAUAGACCAACUCUUCUCAACAAUAUUAGCACAAUCCGGAUUUCUAAGCCAUGAGUUCUCAAAACGAAACUUCAUUGACCGCCGUCUCAAAACCACAGGAGACACAUCCAAAAAGAUAGGGAGGUGAUCUGAACUCGAAGCUUCAAGACACAGAACCUUCGCUUGCGGGAAAAGAUUCACCCAAGCCGAAUUUGCAAGGGCUCGAUCUAACCGUUCUUCAACCCAAGCUUCAGUGCCCCGUGACCGUUCCCACGUGAACUGGUAACCAUCCAUACCCAAAUCAAUGAGGCCCGAAUCUGAAAGGGCAGCCCUGAAACCAUUUAUCUUCCACUGCGGGUGGGCAUGAGAGCCGCGGUUCUCUGAGGAAUUGAGAAGGUCGUUGAAGUCCCCUAGGCAGACCCAUGGUAACGACGAAGAAGAAGCUAGGUACCGGAGAAGAUUCCAAGAAUCAUGUCUGCGAAAUGACUCGGGAAACCCAUAGAAACCCGUAAGUCUCCAGAUGCCCCUUUCACUAUCCUCAACUGCAACGUCUAUGAAAUUACGACCAAACUUCAAUAGUUUAACUUUAAAACUAUUUUUCCAGAACAUAGUAACCCCACCACUACGACCCUUUCUAUCCACCACAAACAAACCCUCAAAGCCUAAUUUAAUUUUGAUGCUUUCUAACUUAUCUCUGUAACAUAAUGUCUCAAUCAAAAAAAUAAAGUCCGGUCUUUUAUUAUGGACCAACUCAACAAGAGCUUGAACUGACCGUGGGUGGCCCAACCCACGACAAUUCCAACUUAAACAACUCAUUGCUGUCGGUGGGCCUGGGAUACAGGGCCCACCGCUGGUCCAUUUUUUGAGUGCUCACUCAUCUCUAUUGUCUCGUUAUCAGCAUGCUCUUCUAAAGUCAAAUUGAUAGAAGGCCCACCUCCUGAUCUUCUCCGUUUUGCAUCAACUAAAAUUAAUGCAGAAUUAUACUCCACAUCAGUUUCCUUCACAAGCAUCGAAUGAUUAGCUAUUAGUUCCUCGUCAAUUCCAGCUACACACGUUGACUUACAGCCUGUUACAAGAGUAUUAGUUUCCAUAGUAGAAGUCAUUGUGGCUUGAUCACUUUCCUUCCCAAGGUCUCCAUGACCAGCUGUCCCAUGAUUCACGCUAUUUUCCAAGUCAACUGCCAUUGCAACAGCGGAAGUUGAGGAAUUACCAAAUUUCACCUCAUCUAUCUCCAACACUCCCGAUCUGAGCCAAUGGUCACCAGUGUUCAUCGAAUUUCUCCGAUUGGGAGCCUUCAUCCAAGGGCCAUAAGGUUUUGUAACAGGGGUAGCAUCGGUUUCAUAUAUUGAAGGGCAAUUUAUAUCAGUGUGUCCUAAAAUGCCAUAGAUAAAACAAAAAUUGUGCAGUCGCUCAUACUUGAAGUCUACCCAUAACCACUCCCCACCCUCCCAUUUGAGGCGCAUUCGUCGUUUAAGAGGUUUCCUAACAUCAAUCGAAACCCUCAGCCUCAUGUAAUUACGCCAUACUCCUGUAAGAUUAUGUUCAUCAGACGCCAAAAAUUCACCAAUAAAGUUGCCAAUACUCUGUAAUAUUUUCUCGGAUUGAAAUCCAAGAGGCAGAUUAUACACUUGAACCCAGAAAUAUGUGUGGAAUAGAGGGAUAUUCUGCGGUUGUUCAACUACCCCAAGUCUCCGAAUGAUAAGAAUAUGCUGGUCAAAAGUCCAGGGACCAGAUUCAAGAACCCUCCUCACAUCAAUUUCAUGAAAGAACUGGAAGAGAAAAAGCGUGGGAGAUAAAUCCUUAAUACAAACACCACGCCCAGGACGCCAUAACGAAGCCAUAGUAUUUUUCAUGGCAAUAAAGUUCACUACUUUAUCCGUGAGAAAUCUUCCCACAAGGCAGAAUUUGGAAUCAAGGCGGAUAUCCCCAGGUUCACCAAUAUCUCCUCUCCAGCCACAAUCAAACCACCCUCCUCCUCUUCGUCAAGUUGCAGGCGCGCACAGAUGUUGCUCAUCUCAGAUGCCGGAGUAUUACUUGAGUUGGCCAUGGAUUAAAGAAAGAAAGGAUCGAAUCCGUAGACAGUAGAGAAAUAACAAAAGGAGACCAGAUUUUACUUGUCAAAAGACAAGACACACACACUUGUCAAAAGACAAGACACGAAUAAUUUUCCCACCUUAAAAGCUGGAAUAUCUUGGAACACUCUAAUGCACACUCGGUAAAAACAAAAGCAUGCUAAUUAAUAAACAUUUUUCACCAAAACCAAAACAGUGCUUGCCAUUUCUUUUUUGCACAGAAACCAAAACAAUGCUCUUAUCUUCCAUGCGGAACUUCCAGCAACUUUCACCGGCAACGGCUGGACAUAUUAGCGAUGGCUGGACAUUUCAGAAUGGAGACGGUUGAUGAAUGUGCGACGGGUCGGGUGCUGGUGGUGCUGGCAGUGGCAGAAAGAUCGCGCUUGGCGGGUGUUAAGUGAUACUAUUUUUGUAGCUUAGUCGCAGUUGCCGGAGAUACGUGGACGGCCAGCAAAAAGUACAUUAAUAUCUAUGUGUUUGAGAAGUUAUUCCAACCUUCUCUUAGAAUACUAUAAUCAGAUUUGAGUGGUUCUGUAAAUCAAGUUUGAACUAAUAAAUCCAUUCGGUGACUGUUAAUCCUAAGUACUAGUGUCGCUUGAUUUUUAUCUUAACCCGACACCGUGUGUUCUGCACUUGCUAUUUGUACUGAAAUAGAAGAUUAUCUCUUGAUGAUUAUUUAAUUGAAAAGAAUUUGUCGUUUAUAUUUGUUCACUGGCCUUUGGAUGAGGAUCACAUGUUUUAUGACAAUCCUAAUGUUGCUAAUGUAAGUCAAGCAAUUAUUUUUAAAUAAUGAUAUUAUAAUUAAAAAUCUAAAAACAUUUAUAAUACUUAAAGACUAAUUCAGAUUAUUAAUUUUUUUAUAUGACUUCAUUAUUAGCUGACAAAUAAUUAAAAGGCCAUAGAACAAUAUUUUUAGGUCCAAUUUUUACAAAACUUGUACUUUCAUUCCUAAGCUAAAAUAUAUCUAACCUACUAACAAUCAAGAAAUAUAUCUAUUCAACACAUAUUUGUUAGAAAGAUUAUCUACUAAUUAAUCAUUGGUUACGAGAUUAAUAUAUUGAAAUUCAGAACUUUUUUUUUUCCUUCUGCAGUUUAAAAAGGAGUCGCCCACGAGUAUUGAAAUAAUUUUAUCAGAUUCGCUUGAAAGUAGUUUUACGAGCAAGCAGUUUUUCCCUCUUGAUCCCCGUAUUCGUCAGCUCCUACUCUUUGCCUUCAAUUCUCAGUCAAGAAAACCUCUCCUGAUUUUCGUCUUUUGAUCUCAUACACACUUUGCUUCUAUUUAUCGUGGUCACUGCUCAUGCUAGCCGUUUUCUUAUUUACCUUCGUUCCCUUUCGCCAUCAGCUAUUUGCAUUUUCAUUGGAUCAAGCAACCCUUUUAUUGAUUCAAUUUUCUGAUCUAAAAAACACUUUGAUUUCCCUUGUUUUGUACAAAUAUCAUUUCUUUUUUCAACUUUGCCUUGUUUUGCUUCUACUUGAUUAUCAAUUGCGCGGUCGUUGACCCUGUUCUAUUUCUAUUCCGUUCACUUCCUCCCCCCCCCCCCCCCCAACAAAAAAAAAUGGACAUUUUGAAAAGCAUUGUUCCUGGAGUUGUAAACUGCUUGUCUCCGCGCGCACAACGCGAAUUUAGUUAUUGGUACAACUCCGCUGCCAACUUUGAGAAUUUCAAGGCAGAACUCGAUAGGCUCAAGGAUGAAAGAGAAAGCAUUCAGCACAGAGUUUCGGAGGCUGAAAGAAAAAGUGAAAAGAUUGAAAAGAAGGUUGAGAAAUGGGUGGUUAAUGCGAACAAGAGCAUUGAGCAGGCAGCCAAAUUCAUUCUAGACGAAGAGAAAGCAAAUGAACGAUGUCUCAUGGGGAUGUUUCCUAAUUGGAUUACUCGCUAUCAGCAUGGAAAGAAAGCAGAAACAGAGAAGGAGGCCUUUUUUAAGCUCCGAGAAGAAGCUGGGAGAUUUGAUGAUAGAAUUUCCUACCGUACCAUUCCGGAGGAGAUUUGGCUCAAGUCUCACAAAGGCUACGAGGCCUUCGAAUCAAGACGUUCUACUUUGGAGGCUAUAAAAAAUGCAUUGAUCGAUGUUGAUGUCAGCAUCAUUGGGGUGUCCGGCAUGGGCGGCAUUGGAAAGACGACACUGGUGAAGAAGGUCGCCAGGCAAGCUAUGGAAGACAAGCUCUUUGAUAUGGUGGUCUUUUCAGAGGUUUCCCAAAUCCCAGACAAAAAAAGGAUUCAACAGGAAAUUGCCGAGAAGUUGGGCCUAGAGUUGGGCGAGGAGGUUGAAUCCAGAAGAGCAAGUAGAAUAUUUGAGCGAUUGAGAGAUGAGAAGAAGAUCCUAGUGGUUUUAGACAACAUCUGGAAACACCUUGAUUUGGAGACCGUUGGAAUUCCUUGUGGAGAAGACCAUGAAGGAUGCAAACUACUGCUGACAGCAAGAGAUCGUAGUGUCCUCUUAAAAAUGGGAUCUAAAGACAACUUCUUGAUUAACAAUUUAAAUGAUGAAGAAGCAUGGAGAUUGUUUAAGAUGAUGGCCGGUGAUGAUGUUGAAAAUCGUGAGUUGAAAUCUACAGCAACAGACGUCGCCAGGGCAUGUGGAGGUUUGCCCAUUGCCUUGACUACAGUGGCAAAGGCACUGAGAAGCAAGAGUCUGCAUGAAUGGAAGAAUUCCUUGCGAGAACUCCGAACGCCUUCAAUGGUAAACUUCGAAGGAGUAUCUGCAGAGACUUAUUCAAGUAUUGAGCUGAGUUUCAACCAUUUAAAAGGUGAGCAACUCAAGAAAAUUUUUCUGCUCUGUAGUCUAAUGGAUAACCGUAUUCUUACUUCGGACUUGUUUAAGUACUCCAUGGGUUUGGGUAUAUUUAAAGGAGUCAAUAAGAUGGAAGAUGCACGAGACAAAUUAUAUGCAUUAGUCCAUGAACUUAGACACUCUUGUUUGUUGCUUGAGGAUGAUAGCAAUGAACAAUUUUCAAUGCAUGAUGUUGUUCGCGAUGUCGCAAUAUCGAUUGCAUGCCGCCACCAACAUGUGUUUUCGGUGAGAAAUGAUGAGGAUGUGUGGGACUGGCCAGAUGAGGAUACACUUCAAAAAUGCAAUGCUAUCUCUUUAAUAAAAAAUAGUAAUUGUGAAUUUCCUGAAGGAUUAGAAUGCCCAAACCUUGAAUUUUUAUAUAUCUCUCUCAAAGAUUCUUCUCGUGAAAUUAAUAUUCCUGGGAACUUUUUUGUAGGGAUGAAAAACCUUAGAGUUCUAGAUUUCACUCUAAUGCAGUUUUCUUCUUUUCCAUCUUCAAUUGAUCUUCUAGUAAAUCUUCACACACUAUGUCUGGAUCAAAGUUCGUUGGGGGACAUAGCAAUCAUUGGGAAGUUGAAGAGUCUAGAAGUCCUUAGCUUUGUGAGGUCUGAUAUUAAGAAGUUGCCCGAAGAGCUAGGUCAACUGUCUAAGCUAAGGCUGUUUAAAAGUCGGCGGCGCUUUUCGGUCAACAGUGAUCGCAAGAGUUUAAGAGCAUUGAAGCUCAAGCUUGAUUUUAUGGACAUUUGCUCCAUGAAAUUGCAGGGCAUCAAUAACGUAGAAUGCUUAUGGUUGGACAAGCUGCAAGGCAUCGAGAAUGUUCUUUUCAAUUUGGACACAGAGGGCUUUUCACAAUUGAAGCUUCUCUGGGUUCAAAAUAAUCCUGACAUCUUUUGUAUCGUCGAUUCAAGGGAGAUGGUCGCUUGUGAUGCCUUUCCUCUUUUGGAGUCACUUGGCCUUCACAAUUUGAUCAACAUGGAGAGGGUAUGUAUUGAUCGGCUCAAAGUAGAGUCUUUCAACAAACUCAAAACCAUAGAAGCAUAUAGUUGCGAUACGUUGAGUAAUAUCUUUUGGCUCUCUACUACAGAAUGCCUUCCAAGACUUGAGAGAAUUGCAGUUAUUAAUUGCAGCAAGAUGAAAGAGAUUUUUGCAAUUGGGGGAGAAGUUGAUAAUGCAAUUGAGAAGAUAGAGUUUGCUCAAUUAAGAUCUUUGAGUCUGGGGAAUCUUCCAGAGGUUACAAAUUUCUGCCGUGAAGUAAAGACUCCUUCAGCAUCACCAAACAGACCAGUGUCGCAAGAGGAAUCGACGACUAUGUAUUGCUCCAGCGAAAUCACUUUGGAUACUUCAACCCUGCUUUUCAACGAGAAGGUGCGUAAGCUUACAUUUUUUUUAUUCUAUCAUGCGUUCUCUUUUGAUGUCAUACGUGGAAAAUAAUUAAAUCAUUUAAAAAAUGGAAAGAAAAUGGAAAAAAGGAUAAAAAGAAUCUCACGCGCUCACUAAUUGAGCUCUUAACAAGUAGUAUGAAUUAGAAUGCAUCAAACUCAGCUGUCAGUUGGAAAUUGAUUCUGACUUGCAUUAUUCUGUAAUCAAAGAAGAAAAUUUCAACAAGUGCUUCCCAUAUGGAUAUUGGAUCUAACGAGAAAUUCUUUUUUUUUUAGGUUGCGUUGCCUAACUUGGAGGCUUUGGAGAUAUCUGCAAUUAAUGUCGACAAGAUUUGGCACUACAAUCAUCUUCCGGUCAUGUUUCCUCGCUUUCAAAAUUUAACACGAUUGAUUGUGUGGCGUUGUCACAAACUAAAAUACAUAUUUUCAGCGUCUAUAAUCGGAAGCCUUAAGCAGCUCCAACACCUACGUAUACGCCACUGUGAGGAUUUACAGGAGAUCAUUUCUGAAAACAGAGCAGAUGAAGAGAUCCCUAAUUUUGUCUUUCCACAGCUCACCACUGCAGAUUUAUCGCAGAAUAAUGAGAAUGAUCAACUUGGUAUUCCUGCACAACAGCCCCCAUUGCCGUUGGAAAAGGUAUGAAGACAUUUUCUAGAUUUUUUGUCUAUAGCUUAUUUUUAGCUUUGAAAAAUAUGGCAAAGCAUCCAUAAAUUAAUACUCAAUAAAUUGAAAACUUUUAUUAUACAAUAAUAUUUGCUAGUCUAGAUUAAGAGAUCAAUGUAGUAGAUUAAUAAUUAUAUGAACUUUUUUUGGUAUAGCAUUUAUAAAAGAAUCCUUAGUCUUUCCAUAUAGAAGAACUUACAAAAUAAAUUAGUAAUUUAUUAUUGUGCAAUAAAAUAAUUUCGAGCCAGUAUGAAUCAACCUUUUUCCCUAAUUUCUUUCUUACCUCUAAAAUUAACAUAUAAAAUAAAUUUUAUCAAUAAUUCAAUUUUUUUAAAAAUAUAAUAUAAAACAAAUACUAUAAAGUCACUGCGUGUGACCGUAGAUCAUCAAUUGACCUCAUUAGUUAUUAUGAUUGAUGAUGAUCAGAUCGUACCCAACUUGAAGGAACUAUCACUAAGUGGAAAAGAUGUGAAGAUGAUUUUGCAGGCCGAUUUCCCACAACACCUUUUUGGCAGUCUUAAACAACUAGACAUUGUUGGAGAUGACUCAGCUUGUUUUCCAAUCUGGAACGUACUGGAGAGAUUUCACAAUCUCGAAAUGCUCAUACUGCGUUAUUUUUCAUCCCACGAAGAGCUAUUUUCGAUGGAAGGAUGCUUAGAGAAACAUGUGGGGAAGUUGGCAAUGAUAAAAGAAUUAGAGCUGCACGGGCACGAUCAUCUGAAGCAGCUGUGCAAACAAGACUCCAAACUUGGCCCCAUUUUUCAGUAUCUUGAAAUUCUAAGAGUAUAUUAUUGUCAAAGUCUGUUAAUUCUAUUGCCAUCAUCAUCGGUAUCUUUUGGGAACCUAACAAAACUUGAAGCUUUCGGUUGCAAGGAAUUGAUACACUUGGUAACAUCCUCCACAGCAAAAACUCUAGUGCAACUCGUCACAGUGCGUAUAUAUGGAUGCAGAGCAAUGACAGAGGUGGUAAUAAAUGACAAAGGAGUUGAAAAAGAAGAGAUUGUUUUCAGCAAAUUGAAGACAUUAGAACUUUGUGAUUUAGAUAGCCUCACAAGUUUCUGCUCUGCCAAUUACACCUUCAGAUUCCCAUCUUUGGAAUAUCUGGAAGUGAUUGGUUGUCCCAAGAUGAAGAUUUUUGCUACAGGAGAAUCAAUCACGCCUCCAAGAGUAAAUGUCUGGUAUGGAGAGACAGAGGAUCGAUGGCUUUGGACCAAUAAUGAUCUAAACACAACCAUACAACAAUUACACGCUGAAAAGGUACGGAUAUACAUAGUACUCUCUAUCUCCCAUGGAAACAUUUUACAAAAUUUUUUUUUUUAAUAAAAUAUAGAUAAGAUAGUUGUUAUAAAGUAAAAGUUUAAAUUGAUGAAUAAGAAUUUUAUUUUCAGCUGUUGGCGGUGCCGUCGAUAUUCUCUACCCAGUACUAAUUUCAUAGGCUUCUUAUGACUUGGGAGUUGUGUAUUUUUAGAAGAAAGCCUCAGCUGGUAAUUAAUUUUUAUUUCAUUUAUUUGAUCUCAUGGCUUGUUUCGCAAUUUCAUCUGAAUUAUUUAGAAUGGGUCAAUCGGCUUACUGUUAAAUUUGGAAUGCAAUUUUAAUGAUUCGUUCAGACUUUUGUGGACAGAUUUUGCAUCAUUGAAUGUCUUCUAGUCUAGUUUAAUUUGAGUUUUUUUUCUUUUUUUUGAGAGUUCCCCUUGUUUUCUAAAAUUUUAUAAUUCCUUGCAUACUUUGUAUGAUAAAAUUUCAUUAAAAGCCUUCAUAUUUUAUAAUUCCUUGAAAACAUCAUUGCUGUUCUGUUAUUUUAGUUUGGUUUGCUUCACACCUAUCUUUCUUUGGAAAUUUUUUUUUUUUUUUUUUUGAUGAUCUUUCGAAAUGCUCUUCCCUAUGAACACAUAAUUAAGACCAGCUGAAAAUCAUUCAUCGGAUAAAAAAUUAAAAAUAAACAAAAUCUAAUCAGAGCAUUAUGCCUAGAACAAAUCCUUAAACCAUCAAAGCAAAACUCUUCGCUAUGAAAAAAUAUACUGUGGAAAUAUUGUUUGAAAACGUUGGAUACCAAGAAAGGGACUAAUUUGGUCUAGUUUUAUGAGAAGUAUAGAAGAACGUUGUUUUCUCUGUUUUUCCUGUUAGAACUCUUUACUCUGUGAUUGUAGAAUGUCUGGAUACUGAUGAAGAUUCAAGUAACUCUUCUCCUAUGCAUCAUUUGAAAUAAGGUUUUUUUUUUUGGGGGGGUAAUAUCUCCUACUGGGUUAUAGUUCAUACAAAGAGAUUCUUAAAUCAAGCCGGAUACUGCUAGAAACAAGUGGGGAAGUAGGCACUGAUAAAAUGGUUAAUCCUGUCGAGACUUAAUCAUUGAAGCAACUCCAAACUGGACUCCAUUUUAAAUAUCUUGACAUUCUAAGACUAUUUUACAAGCAUUUAAGUCUAUUCCCAUGAUCAUCUAUAUCUUUUGGGAAUCUAACAGAACUGUUAGUUUUCCAUUGCAAGGAAUUGUAACAUCCGUCCACUACAGCAGAAAGUCUAGUGCGGCUCGUAUCAAUGAAGGUAGCUGGAUGCAGGGCAAUGACAGAGGUGGUAAUAGGUGACGGAGAAGAAGAUGAAGCACCAAAUUUAAAUUCAAAACAAGAGAUUGUUUUCAGAUAAAGAUUCUUGAAAUUGUCCUACUUACUGCUGACAUUUCCACAAGAAGUUAGAGAAUAUAAAAAAUUCAUUAAUCGUUAGUUUUUAAUUUCAUUAUUCAAUGAAAAGCCCUGUCAAAUUAAAUUGCAAAUCUCAAUGUGCAAGUACCUAAAUUUACAAAAUUUACUUUAAAUUAAUGAAUGAAAGAAUUUAUAUUCUGCUGUUGGAGGAGUCGUCAUCUCUCUCGACAUAGUAUACGAUAUGUUUUGAUCCCAUAGGCUUUUUAAUAUAUUACCUUGUGUUGUUUGAUCUCUAGGUUUAUUUUAUCGUUUCAUCUUAUUAUUUGCAAUGCGUCAGUUGGUUUAUUUGUUAAUUUUGGAAUGAAGUUGAUGCAGCUGAUGGUUGCAUAGGAUGAGUAGGAUAUCACUCCUAUAUCAUAACUUGAGCGGGUAUCUAUUCGGCAAGAAAUUCUGUUUAUUUCGUAGUUAUUUUACAAAGUUUAAGUUAUUUUCUUAUUUUUCUUAUUAUUUUCAAUAUUUUUAUAUUUUUUCUCUAAAUAUAAGAUUUUAAGUAUGAUUUAUUUUAUUUUUCUUAUUUCAGUUAGGAGAACGUUAUUAUGUAAUAAUAUUUCAAGUUUGUCUAUUUUGAUAAAUACAUAAUAUUUAGAAUUUGUGUAAAAAGGGUCCAAUACCCUAAUUUUGUUAUUCAAACUUCUAUUAAUAAAAUUUCAGACUUUUUAAAAAAAUUUCUCUAUGUUUUCAAUCUCAACAUCUAUGUUUCCCUUUCAUCAUAAGUUCUAAUGUCUGGUUCUGAGCUAGCUUUAUGUGCAUAUUAGACAUCAUUGAAGGUCUUUUGAUCUGAGUUAUGAUCAAAAAAUUAUGCUCGCUUCUGUCUGGUUGUAUGAAAAUUGUACAAAAUAAUAUUCUUAUAUAAUUUUUAUCCUCCAUUGUUACAGAAUCCCCAAGCUUCGAAUUUGUAAACUUUGAAAGCAUGGCAGAAAACUUAGUACUUAAUAAGGCUCUGGAAUAAGACUCUUUAUGGCUUCAAUAUUUUACUUAACAUGAAAUUUUCUUUCUAGCUAGCAUCAUUGUGAAGAUAAAUUGUGGUAGUUCUGACAAGUACUGCACAAUUAAUGUUACCAGCAAUCAAUUGGCGUGAGCACCAACAACCAUUUUCAUAUUUAAGCCUUUAGAAAAGUAACACAAAAUAUGGCAAGUGGCAACCACAUCAAACAAUCAAAUUGUUGAAAGAUUUUGAAAGCUUUAAUUUGCUUGAUAUAUAUUUGAAUAUUUCAACAGAUGCAUCUUUUCUCCACUCAUGGGGCACGUUGAGUUAGAAACGGUUUGAAUGUCAAUAUUACUCCAAGUGCCUCCACCGAAUUCAGAAUGAAAAAAAUCAUCUGGUUACCUGCACUUUAGUUUAAGCAGCUAACUAAGCUAAUUAGCACCAAGUAAUUCACAAACUAGUGAGAAAUUUCAUUAGUUAAUUAUCAUACCUGUUAUUAUACCAUAAACCAACCAAUUAAUUUAAACUUUGGCACAUACAAAAUUUGAAAAAGCUGAAAGCAUGGAAAUGUACUAAACAAACAAAAGAAAAUAUAUUUACCACUGCUCUAUUUUGCAGAAGGAACAAUCCAGUUAUUGUAGACACCUGAUGUUACAAUUCAGGAAAAGUAAAAAAGAAUUACAGCAAUUCUAAUAAAAAAGACAUAAAAUAAUUUUAUACAUACUUUCUGGUGGAUAAUAUAACCUAAGUAUAUGGAUCAAUGAUUAGGAUAUCCACUUACAGAUAAAACAUUCUUCAUCACAGAAGCACAGUUUAUCAAAAAGGCAAGGCUGAACCCAGAUAGCAUUGCUAUGUAAGUGUAACUUGUCAAAAGCGGUAUCGAUAAAACCUGUACAUACAUAGAAAGUUAUGGGACCAAAACCAUGAAGAAAAGUAUUUUAUAAACAGAUAUGUUUGAAACAAACUAUCAAAUGGUCCAAAUGCCGCAUGAGGUGUUCAAAAUAUUACCCCCUGCAAUUCAUGUUAUGAUUAUUGGCCCAAUAAUCCUCUCGACGUAAGGGUACAGAGUAAGUUGAAAAACAAGGAGAAUGAAACCUAUAGUAAGUUCAAAAUGAGGACAAUCGACAAUCGUCAAGCAGUUUUGUGGGGGUGAUGCAUGCGAAAGCAAGUACAGAAAACAAGUAACAUUUUUAGUUUCGUAAUAAGUUUGGUGCUGAUCGCGCAAUAUUUCACAUGCAUAUGCCUCGUGGUGUAAGAGAAGUUUGAGCACAAAUAUUUACAGGAACUAAAUUGGAAUUAUCAAUAAAUACCCCCAAUCAACACCUUUAUUGGUCCAAGUAAACCAUUCAAUUGAAAGAAAUUGAGAGAAAAUAUUGUUUGGUUGCUGAGAAAAUAUCUCAGAAAAUUUCCAGAGAACUUUCGGAUUUCUUGUAUUUAUUUUUCUUAGAAAGAAAUGUUAUGAUUACAACUUAUUUAUACUCAAAACUCAAGGAUUACUAAAGCUAAUGACUAACUAAUUCAGUAGAAUCUCCACAUGCAUAACCACAGCUCGAUAUACAAAGUAAUCACACCAGACUGUUAACUACUUAAGCUGAGGUGGCAGCUGAGCUGUCAUUCUGCUUACAUUCAUCUGACAUCACCAGCUUGCUGGUUUUCCUUAGCUUGUGCAGCUUCCUCUUUUCUGCACAAUGAGCUUCUCUAACAGCCCCCCUCAAACUCAAAGGACAAGAGUGAACAUUGAGUUUGGCCCUCAAGUAAUUAAACUGUAUGAAGGAAAGAGGUUUAGUCAUUAUGUCUGCAACUUGAUCUGCACUUGCUAUAUAUUGAAUGCUGAGCUCCUUAUUAAGAACCUUGUUGCGAAUAAAAUGUAUGUCAAUCUCAAUGUGUUUUGUUCUGGAAUGGUAAACUGGGUUCUUGGCCAAUUCAGCUGAACUAAUGUUAUCACACCAAAUAAUAGGUUUAGCUAUGCAGCAUACUCCAACUUCAGCAAACAAGGACUGUAACCAAGUUAAUUCUGCACUAGCUGAUGCCAAUGCCCAGUACUCACUCUCGGCACUUGACCUAGCUAUUACUCCUUGCUUUUUAGAAGACCAUGAUAUAAGAUUAUUACCCAGGUAGAUACAAUAUGCACUCACUGAUUUCCUGUCAUCUAAAUCACAUGCCCAAUCAGCAUCUGUAAAUCCAGUAAGCUCUAUAUUGCCUUCUUUAAUGAUCUUUAAACCAUAGUCCUGAGUGGCCUUUAGAUAUCUUAAAACCCUUUUACAUGCCAUGAGAUGCUGUAGUGUAGGAGCAGAUACAUACUGACUGAGUUUGUUAACUGCAAAAGCAAUCUCAGGUCUUGUCAAAACCAGAUACUGCAUGCUUCCAACAAUGCUUCUAUAGUAUGUAGGAUCUUCAAGAUAAUGACCAAGCUGUCCUUGAACAGACUUCUGUAACUUCAGACCAGUGCUUAAAGGAGUAUCAAUGCCCUUACAAUUAAUCAUAUCAACCUUAGCUAACAAAUCUCUGAUGUAUUUCCUCUGAGACAGAAAUAUGCAAUCUUCAUCAUAUAAGACUUCUACCCCAAGAAAAUAAGAUAAAAUGCCAAGAUCUUUUAAAGCAAAAGUUGAGCUUAGUGUUGCAAUAAAAUGUUCUAAUUCAGCACUGCUAGGACCUGUAACCAAGAUAUCAUCCACAUAUAUCAACACAAGAAUCAUGGAAGUAUGACUCCUUUUCAAAAACAGAGAUGUAUCAGAAGUAGUAUUAGUGAAUCCCCACUGCAGCAAGCAGCUCUUAAGUUUAUCGUACCAAGCUCGAUGAGCUUGUUUAAGUCCAUAAAGAGACUUGUGCAAUUUACACACAUAACCAGGCUUUGUGUUGUCAAUAAAACCUGUUGGCUGAGACAUAUAAACUUCUUCUGUCAAAUCCCCAUUGAGAAAUGCAUUAUUGACAUUAACUUGUCUAAUUUUCCAUUUGUUCAUCACUGCUAAGCUUAAUACCACUCUGACAGUUGCUGGUUUAAUAACUGGACUAAAGGUUUCAAAGUAGUUUACCCCUGCAAUUUGUUGAAAACCUUUGGCAACAAGCCUAGCUUUGUAUUUGGCUACACUCCCAUCAGUGUUGUAUUUAAUCCUAUACACCCACUUAUUAUCCACAAUCUGUUGAUCAGUCUCUUUAGGAACCAAGGACCAAGUAUUAUUGUGAACUAAGGCAUCAUACUCAUCUUGCAUAGCCUUCACCCAUCUAGAAUCACUCAAAGCCUCUUGCACUGAAUCUGGUUCUUUGUGAGUGAGAAUGGUUGUAUACACUUUUGGUUUAAAAGUGCCAGAUUUGCUUCUGGUGCUCAUAGGAUGAAUGUUGGAUUGUAUUUGAGGUAAGUCAACAGGAGGAGUUAAUGAUGUUGUAUUAUCAGAAACAGAGGCAGAUAAGAAAUAUUGUGUAUUAACAGGUAGAUGAGUUUGAGAACUUACUUGCUGUGAAUUUUGAUCAUUUGUUGUUUGUGCAGGAUUUUCUGAGUGAGUUGAGUUGCUGCUAUCAGGGUUUGCAGAUAAGGAAUAACCAGUGCUAUUUUCAGUAAAUGAUUGAACAACAGGCAAAGUGGAAAGAUGAUAUAUUUGCUGAGGAGAAAAGGAAGUAGAAGAAAGAGGUGAUGAUGAUGACUCCGUGAAACAAUGAAAGCUAGAAUCAGUAGAGUAAGAAAAAGUGAGUUCAUCAAAUAUGACAUGUCUUGCUAUGUAAAGAUGACCUGAAGGAUGUAAGCACUUGUAACCUUUGUGUGAUGAACUAUAUCCUAGAAAAAUACAUUUACUGGAAUGAUAGUCAAAUUUGUGUUGGUUAUAAUCCCUCAAGUAAGGAUAGCAUGCACAACCAAAACACUUAAGCAUAUCAUAGUUGGGUUGGUGUUUGAAAAGUUUCUCAUAGGGAGACAAAAGUUUGAGAACAACAGAAGGCAAUCUAUUUAUGAUGUACACAGCUGUAUGAAAUGCUUCCCACCAAAAUUUAAAGGGUAAUUUAGAUUGAGCUAGCAGUGUAAGUCCCAUUUCAACAAUAUGCCUAUGUUGUCUCUCAACCAAUCCAUUUUGAUGAUGAGUGUAUGGGCAGGAGUGUCUAAAAAUGAUACCACACUGAUUUAAGAACUCAGUGAAAGGUCUGUACUCACCCCCCCCCAAUCAGAUUGUAACUGCUUAAUGGUGGUUUGAAACUGAUUUUCAACCUGUGUUUUGAAAAGCUUAAAGACACUUAGAGCUUCAGACUUAAACUUUAGAGGGUAGAUCCAGGUAAACCUGCUAAAAUCAUCCACAAAACUGAUAUAAUAGUGAUAUCCAUCUCUAGUGUAGACAGGUGAAGGACCCCAGAGAUCUGUAUGUAUCAGUUCUAAAAACUUGGUUGUUUUGGUUGUGGAUGAAGGGAAAUGAAGCUUAUGGCCUUUGCCCAUUUGACAAGCUUCACAGAUGUAUUGCAGUGCUUGUAUUAUUUGAUUAUCAGAAAAAUUUGCAGACUUGAUGUUUUUGAGAACAAGCUUUAAGAUAUAUUGAUUGGGAUGACCAAAUCUAUUAUGAAACAAAGCAAUCUUAUUCACUGAUGUUGUACAAGAUAAUGCAGUAGAUGAAUAACAAGAUUUUGAAUGGCUACAAUCUGCAUUAUUAACAUCAGUUACAGAAUUAAAAUGAAAACAUCACAACAUUGACAUUGGCUUAUUUGAACUGAUCUGAGAUAGAAAAGAUGAUUUAGAGAAUGAGUAUGGUUUGAAUAACAGCCUGUAUAAUCCUCUUUCAGCAAUACCCUGUAGCAGAACUUCCCCCUUCAGAGCAUCCUUCACAUAACAAAUAUUUCCAAGAAAUUCAACAGACAAAUGGUUAUCAGAUGUGAGUUUAGAAAUACUCAAUAAAUUUUUGGUAAUUGAAGGGACAAGAAGAAUAUCUUUCAGUACUAUGUGUGGGUGUUUGUGUUGAGCAAAUGAAGUUUUAAAAACAAAUUUAGCAUCACCAACAUGAGUUAUGGGCAAACCUUGUCCAUUUCCAAUGAUAAGCUGAUCAGAACCAUUGAAUUCCUCUCUGACCUGUAUAUUAGCCAUGUUGUUGGUUAAGUGAUGAGUUGCUCCACUAUCAAGAUACCACCCUUCAUCAGCAGGCCCUUCAAAAUUUGCAAGAUAAGCAGCUCCAGGUGCAGAAGACAUUUCAGAUGAACAAUGAGGCAUAGAAGAAUAUGUCACUGGAUCCAGAUUGUAAGACUGAUAAUUUAAGCAGUUCAUAGCAUAAGAAUCAUCAAAAUAUGGUGCAAACUCAGCAUGUGAGUUAAAUGUAGUCAUAUAAGCUGACUUAGGUCCUCUUCCUCUACCAAAAUGCCUUGACUGUGGCACAUAAUUCUCAAUAUAUAUGUGCCAACAAGCAUCAGCUGUGUGCCCUGACUUAUGACAUAUCUGACAAACAGGAAUGUUAUCAUCUGAUUCAGUUCCAGCUAACACAAAACCUUGACCAUAAGGCUUAGGAUGUGAUAAGACUUUGUGAAACUGCAUUGGCAUAGAGUUGCCUCUUCCAAAAUUAUGACCACUGUUAUUAAAGCCUCUAGGAUAUGUAUUAAACAUCAUUCCUCUUCCAGCAUUUCUGUUUCCAUUAUGAAUUUGUCCACGAUAUCCUCCAUAACCAAAACCUCAUCUUCUAUUAUUCCCUCUGACUUGAGAAUAAUUGGAAUUCAUCACUCUAUAGUUAGCAUUGAACAUGACUUUAGUAUUCUGAUUGGUCUGACUUUGUUCUAAUCGUGCCUCAUGUGUUAACAGUAAGGCAUAAGCAUCAUCAUAAGACAUCUUAUUAGCUGUGAUAAUAGAUGCAAGAUCUAAAUAACCAGUCCCUAAUCCAUUUAGAACUUGCAUUAACAAAUCCCUUUCUGACAUAGGACUACCAGCACAGGCAAGUUUAUCAGCUAAUAUUUUGACUUUUAAGCAAUAUUCUUCAACAGACAUGGAUUCCUUUCUAAGUACAUUCAAUUCAUAACGAAGUUGCAUUAUUUUAGCUUCAGACUGAGCUCCAAAUUGUUUCUCAAUAGAUCUCCAAGCAUCUCGUGAAUUGUCACAGUUAAGAAUAGAACUGAGAAUACCUUCAUUAACUGAUGGUAACAGCCAGCCAAGUAGUAUUUGAUCUUGAGCUCUCCAAUUUAUGUAUGCUGGAUUAUCCACUUUCUGCACUGAUCCAUCAGCUGUUGUUUGAAUGAUAUGUUGCUCUGGUAUGAUCUGAUUUUCAGAUAUGAAAUCUUCAAGCCGAUUUCCUCUGAUUGAUGUAAGAACUUGUUUUCUCCAGAUUAGGAAAUUAGAUCGAUCUAGUUUUAUUGGAUUACUGAAUGAGAAUGAGAUCUGUGAAGGUUGAUUUGCAUUUGUUGAAUUUGAAAGUGUUGUUGUGUUGCUGGAACUAGCCAUAUUGGCUCUGAUACCAUGAAAUAAAUUGAGAGAAAAUAUUGUUUGGUUGCUGAGAAAAUAUCUCAGAAAAUUUCCAGAGAACUUUCGGAUUUCUUGUAUUUAUUUUUCUUAGAAAGAAAUGUUAUGAUUACAACUUAUUUAUACUCAAAGCUCAAGGAUUACUAAAGCUAAUGACUAACUAAUUCAGUAGAAUCUCCACAUGCAUAACCACAGCUCGAUAUACAGAGUAAUCACACCAGACUAUUAACUACUUAAGCUGAGGUGGCAGCUGAGCUGUCAUUCUGCUUACAUUCAUCUGACGUCACCAGCUUGCUGGUUUUCCUUAGCUUGUGCAGCUUCCUCUUUUCUGCACAAUGAGCUUCUCUAACAAAAGCCCCAAGGAGAAACCUUGUAGCUAUGGCCAUCCAGAAAUUCACACUAAGCCCAAAAAGAGUGUUAAAAAUAAACCCUGUGAGCAUUUUAAGACAGACAAGAAAUCCAGAAAUUGCCGAAGUAUCAUCAAUUUCAAGCUUGAUCAUAUGAAAAUAGAAGUCACUAACACUGUGAUGCUUCCUAUUAUUAUUACAGGCUUUCGACCACAGCGGUCAGCCACCAUUUCUCACAAAACAGAUGUUAGAGCUCGGCCAAGCAUGUAUGAAGACCCUUCAAUUUCAUCAAGGUAUUAAGAUGUUUGUUAGGAUAACUUCUUGAGGAAUUUGAACUGUUAUAUUGGUCGUACGUACAUACACACACACACACAUACAUACAUAUAUACAUAUAUACAUACAUAUGUAAAUCGUUUCCAGGUGCGAACAUAUGUACUUUUUAAAGCAUAGACUUGGCCCUUUAAAGUUGUAAAGACGCGGGUCCGUAUUGUAAAGCUCUUGUACAGUGCGUUUACAGUGAUGUAAAGUCUCGGUAGAAUGUCUUCCCAGAGUUGUAAAGGCGUGAGUCAGCACUUUAUAAGGCGUGGACAUUCGUACCCAAGACGGACUCCAUACUGUGUGUCAGAAUUUGUUAUACCUUUUUUCUCUUCGUGUGAACGCAAGUUAGAGUGACAUCUAACAAACCACUGCGCAACUUCAAUUUCAUCAUGGUAUUAAGAGGUUUGUUAGGAUAACUUCUUGAGGAAUUUGAAGUGUUAUAUUGGUCAUACACACAUACAUACACACAUACAUACAUAUAUACAUCCAUACAUGUAGAUAUGUAAAUCGUUUCAGGUGCGAACAUAUGUACUUUUUAAAGCAUAGACUUGGCCCUUUACAGUUGUAAAGACGCUGUGAAGCGUUUGUACAGUGCGUUUACAGUGUUGUGAAGUCUCGGUAGAAUGUCUUUGUAGAGUCGUAAAAGCUUGAGUCUGCACUUUAUAAGGUGUGGACAUUCGUACAAAAAACGGACUCCAUAUUGUGUGUCAUUUAUUAAAUACAAUAAAAAAACAUAGAAUAACUCACCCACGUAACCAGCAUAGAAUCCAAUAUCUUGAUCCUUUUUGCAAUGUGAAAAUUCCUAAACUGAAAAAAAAUCAUAAAUGACUGCUGUGAAAAAGCAAUGAAUUAUUUGAAAUAUAAAACUUGUCUUUUCUUAUAUUUCUCAGAAAAUCACCAAGCAUGAUAGGAAAAUAUAAAUUUUCUCACUAAUAACCACUACGCUGAAGGCAAUAAUAAUCCACUCACCAUAAAAUAAAGGAAGGGAAAGAGAGAUGCGACCGGCAGAACUGAAAAAAAAAAUCACAAAAGAAUUGAAAAUCAUUGUAAAUGGUUCUCUCCAAAAUCAUUAUAUCGAGUUGAAGUUGAAAAAUUUUCCAGUUGCAAGCACAACAAUCCAAAUAAUUAAAAGCUUACGAAUUGGUAAGCCUCGUUCCGACUCUUUAAGCUUAUCAACCUUACAGCCUGAGCAGUUCUUAUAAUAUUUCUUCUUCAAUAGCGGCUCUCUCACUUUCCCCUCCGCCAUACUUGAAAAAUUUUCAGCUCAAGUAAUCGUCUUUGUCUAUUCAAUCCUAUUUCAAUGCUUAAAUAUAAGUACUUAGAAAAGAAGUAACAAAAUCAAUACAAAAGAAUCAAUGAGCUUAAGGAUAUAAUCAAACUAGAGAUAUAGUGAUCAUUUAAAGAAUUUUCAACAGAAUUCUAAAAUCAGUUGAUUUUCCAGCUGGGUCUGUCACCACCAUGGUAAUUAAAAUUAUUGGAUCCCAUGCAAAACAAAAAUUUUUCAUUACAUGCCCUCAUAGCUGACGUCCAAUUAAUCAUUACUCUUAUGAGAAUAAUUUUUGGUGACAAGAACAGCGGCAUCCUUGGACGUGGCAAAAUAAUCACAAAAAUCCCUUAUUUUAAAAAAUGAUCAUGAAAAUUUAUUGAGGAACACACAAAUUCAGGAUCUGUGUAACUAUUGUUAAAUACAAAAAAAGGUCUAUAUGCAUUAAAAAAGAGUUUGUAUGUUCAUUUUUUAAAAAUAAGGGAUAUUCAUGAUUACCAUGUUAAGCCACGAGAUGUCGUGUUGUUUUCUAAUUUUUCAUUAAAUCGUUGUUACACAAUUCGACAUGUAAAAGUAAUUUUUUUUUUUUGAGAGAUGGUAACAAACAUAGUGACAAAACUAUCAUAGUACCGUCUAAUGAUGAAACUAAUUGUUAAUUAAUUAAUAAAAAUACUAAGUGAUUGUAACGGUUCCGGUCACAGUCACAGUCAAAUAUAAUUAGGAUAAUUUAAUUUAAAUAAUGUGUAAUUAAAAAAAAAACCCUUUUUCCUUCGCCGCCUCUAUAAUUUAAUUUUGGGUUUGAUAUCUUUAGUUUUAAGAUUUUUGAUUAUUGGGUUUCUUUUUAUUGAAUUUUCUUAGUAUGAAUUUAUUUUGUAAAAGAAUUUUACAAUGAAAUUUGCUCUCAAGGAUUUUGGUAUCAUUAGUUUAGGGUUUCUUUCUAUUGGGUUUUAUUUGUUUUGGUGGGAUUAUUGGACUUAUUUUGUAAUGUACUGAUGAAUGUGUGUUUGAUUUUUUUCUUUCACAUUGGAAUCAUGCUUUGCCUCUGAUUUUGUAAUUUACUAGGUUUAUAAUCUUGGGUUCGUAAUCCGGAAAAAAAUCGUUUCCAUAUAAUUUUAAAAAUAUUAUAAUAAAUUUUUACUUUUUGAUUUAAAUUUUAUUAGUUGUAAGGGUAUGUUAGUACUUAUAUACCCAAUUCAUUUCAAAAUAGGGGUAGUAUAGUCUUUUAAAUUUAUAACAGCCUAAACAGUUAGAAUUAGUUGAUUUUUUUAACAGAAAUAGGGGGAGGUGCAUAUGGUCAAAAGAUGUGGGUGCGCUGUGUGAAAUACUGAACAAUUGGGAGCUGAUGCUUAAUGGAAGGAACAAAAUUCAGGAAAAGAGGAAUCAAAGUGCAAAAUGAAUUAGGAUACCUGAAAAGAAAGAAUGAAAAUAACUUUUUUUUUUUAAAUUAUUUAUUUGGACAUUGUGACAAACAAGUGAUGUGCAUUGUUAAUUCAGAUUGCCCAAAAUGUCAAGUCUUGAAAAACGACAACAUUACAUGAUUCAUGAGAAGCCUAUCACUUUGAGAUUAAUUUAAUUAAAAAAAGUUCCGUUUGCUUAAUACUAAAAUGUCACGCGCAAGUUGUCCUGGACUAGAGAGUCGUUCACCCGUACUUACACCCAAAAGUCACGAGGAUCAAAACCAGAUCUGUCACUGCAUUUGCUUGAAAAAUGAUUUUACUAAUAUAAAAUAUUAGUAAAUAUAUAUUUUGAAAAAUUAAUAUUCGUGUUUCGAUAGCUUUCUAAGUGGUUUAUUUACAGGUAUUCAAAAUAUAUAUAUUUAGUAAUUUCUAUUAAAAUUUUGCGACAAUUGUUUGGCUGGAAUAUUUUUUUAUAAGAAAAAUAGCGAUCUCACACUGAUCCACAGUUGAGCCAAUUACCUAGUUAAAAGCUACCUCAAUAUUUUUUAUUUUUACCCUAAUGCAUGUCUGAUUCUUUUAAAAUUUUACGUUAUAUAUAUUAAACAAAAAUUAUAAUUUUAAUCAUUGAAAAAUUAAUGACAGACAUCUUUUGAAUAAUUUUUUUUUGAAAAAUACAGAGCUAGAGAUAAUGCUAUAAUUGAUUGAAUAAGAAGGCUACAACUUGAUGAUAACUUUAUUGCAAUGUUGCGUGAUCUCAAUAUAUUAUUGGCUUGUGUGAGUAAAAGCUGCUGGCUCUUGUUUUACUAAUUUGCCUUUGUAUUUGACUGGCUCGACAAAGAAUCGAUUUACCUCAUACUCAAAUUACAAACAUCGAAACCGGAUCUGUCAUUACGUUAAUUGGCCUCCUAAAAUAAUCAAUCACUUUCUCUUUAGUCUACCAUCCACUCUUUCCAGUCGCUUAGUUUCAUUCUAAUCAUCUAAACGCUCUUUGCUACUGUUUCUUCUAUUCGUCAUUGUUCUUGUUCUGUUAUUAUUUAGCUUUGCUCACUCCUCAGUCUCAUUUCUUAUUCUGUACCCAUCAGCUCUUUUAGCUCUUUACGUCGUGAUCGAAACCCUUUUCUUGUUUCCUUCAUUUCAUCUGAAAAACACGAACUGCCUGUCCUAUCGCUGUCUCUUUGUUUUUACUUUCCUUUGGCUUUCUUAGCUUCUACGUUUUUGUCAGGAUUCGAGAUGCUGGAAAUCAUUGCGACUAUCGUCUUGGAACUUGUAAAAUGCUUGGCUCCUCCAACUGAACGCCAACUUGUGCAUUUGCGAAAGCGGAACUACAAUGCCAACUUUGAGAAUAUCAAGGCGGAAAUGGAGAAGUUGAAGGUUGAACGUGCGAGCAUUCAGCGCAGGGUUUCAGAGGCGAAAGAAAAAGGGGAAGAGAUUGAAGAGAAGGUUGAAAAGUGGCAGGUUAGUGCGAACGGCAUCAUUGACCGGGCAGCCAAAUUCAUUGAAGAUGACGAGUCAACGAAUAAGCGCUGUGUCAAGGGCUUGAGUACUAUUUGGAAGAGUCGCUAUCAGCUUAGCAAGAAAGCAGAGACGGAGGUGAAGGCCAUUAUUGAACUUGGAGAAGAAGUUAAGAAGUUUGAUACUGUUUCCCACCGUACCAUUCGGGAGCAGAUACGGCUUAAGUCUAGCAAUGGUUACGAGGCCUUCAAAUCAAGACUUUCUACUUUGCAGUCUAUAAAAAAUGCAUUGACGGAGGCGAAUGUCAGCAUUAUUGGGGUGUACGGCAUAGGCGGCAUUGGAAAGACCACACUGGAAACAUCUUGAAUUGGAGAAGAAGCUGUUUUAUCGGGUGGUUUUAUCAGAGGUUUCAUAAACUCCAGAGAUAAAAAAGAUUCAAGGGGAAAUUGCAGAGAAGUUAGGUCUGGAGUUGUCCGAUGAAGCUGAAUAUAGAAGAGCUAGCAAGCUGUAUGACCGAUUGAAGAGUGAGAAUAAGAUUCUUGUGAUUCUAGAUAAUAUCUGGAAACAUCUUGAAUUGGAGACGGUUGGAAUUCCUUUUGCAAAUAAUCAUAAAGGAUGUAGACUGUUGCUGACAGCACGAGAUAAUACUGUGCUUUUAAGUAUGGGCUCCAAAGAUAACUUUUUGAUUGGCAAUCUAACUGAACAAGAAGCCUGGAGAUUGUUUAAGAUAAUGAAUGGUGAUGAUGUUGAAAGUUUUAAGUUCAAGUCUACAGCAAUUAAUGUAGUUAAGGCAUGUGGAGGUUUGCCCAUUGCGUUGAGGGCACUGAGAAACAAGAGUCUCCAUGAAUGGAAGAAUGCCUUGCGAGAGCUCCGAACGCCUUCAAUGGUAAACUUCGAAGGUGUGUCUGCAGAGACUUAUUCAAGUAUUGAGCUGAGUUUCAAUUAUUUAAAAGGUGAGCAAGUCAAGAAAAUUUUUCUGCUUUGUCGUCUAGUAGGUAACAGUGUUUGGUUUUCAGACUUAUUUAGAUACUCCAUGGGUUUGGGCAUAUUUCAAGGAGUCAACAUUCCCUUCAUAUUUACCAAAGGUAAGUGAUAAAUCCUACAUAUCCCACUCAAGAAUGCAUAUGUUUUUUCAAUCUCAAGUACCUAAAGUUUUCUUCUACGUUUAUAAAAAUUUCAGCACCAUCUCCCUAUAAUUCUCCAAGCUCACGACACAGCUAUAUAAGUGUUUAUGCGUUAUGCCAAAACAACACAUGACACCCAUUCACCUAGUACGUACCCAGAGAACACGAGGAGCAGCUACCGAAAAAGCCAUUUUUACGUGGGAAGAAAACUUCAGCUACUAGCUACCAGAGAGAACUAUGCAUUCCCAAACUGUCCAAGCCUGGACAAUUCAAGAAUUAUUAAUAGACAUAUGAUCCUCACUAUCAUCCAAAGAUGACACUAAUACAACAUGUGUCUAUUAAUAAUUUCUUAAACAAGUCUAAGCUUUCAAUGCACGUAUCAAAAGUUUAAAAUUGAAUCUGAAAUUUGAAUAGCACAUAAAUAUCAUAAAUCUCUUCAAUUUAUUCCUGAUACAAUGUAGCAUUAUUUCACAUAUCAUUUCUUAAGCAAAACCAUAAAAAAUACAAACGAUAAAUACAUUUUCCCACUGAUGCAGAUUAUGUUUACUGAGCAAUAAGUUUUAAGCCAUUCAUUUUGAAAUACUUCUGCCUAUUCUUUCAACAUAUAACUAGUACGUACACACAAUUAAUAAAUUAAAAAAAAAAACCUUCUGGUGAAUCUUGCAAAAUCUUCCUUUUUUCUUUUUUUUUUCUUUUUCUUCUUUUUUUUGGGGGUGGGGGGGUGUGUUGGGGGAACUAUGAAUCUUGCAAAUCCUCAAGAAGCUAUGUUAAGACAAGGCCAGCUUACUAUUAGGGUAUGAAAGAUAAAACCUUUUAUUUCCUUUUCAGAAUAAAAAGAACAUUGACAGUGUUAAAAAAAAUCUAGAGGAUUUCAGGCCUCCAGAUCCUUACAAAUCAAGGAUAUUAAAAAAAUUUACUUAGAGGAGAAAGGUUAUGCUCAUUUGUAUCUUGUUAGAAGAAAUUGAUCCAAAGCCUCAGUUUUAAUUAACUUCAUAUAGCCAAUGAUUAGGUGUUUAAAAACCAAUGAAUAUUUUUAUAAGAAAUCGACAAUAUUGUUGAAAGAAAAACCAAAUAAAAAUAAUAAAGCCAAUGAAUAGAUCAAGGCUCUUUGUGGUCUAAAACUAAUCAAACUAAGUUGUGGGCAAAGGCGAAUAUGUUUGUUUGGUCAAUAAUAAGCUCAACAAAUCACUAAUAAUCACCUAAUCACUAUUCCUUAUGCUCUGCAAUAUAAUGGCCUGGGUAAUGGCGCCAAGGCAGAUAAUAACUAGCUAGCCAGUUAUGAUAGUUGAUUAACUUAACCUACUGGAAAUCUGUAGACCAAAACGAAGAAGCUUUGCCUAGAACUAGAAUAGGAACAUUCAUACCCAAAACUGAUAUACACGAUUAAGAAACUUGAUUAUAUGGAUAUUUCUGGUGGCCACACUUAAAGAGAAUUUUCAAAAGAUGCUAAGGUACACCAAAUCCCACUAUUUCAUACUCAUAAACACAAAAACCCAUGGCAAAAAUUAAUGACUAUAUCAAAUAAAAUCAGUCAUAGGACAAUGAGAUUAGGACAACUUGAUUUGUAUACCAUAAAUCUGCAUAGUGAACUAUAUUUCUGUUAGAACUCUGAAGUUUUUCUAUUAAAUUUUUUUCUCUGCUAGGUAAACCACUUUUAACUGAAAUGCUUAAGCCAAUAUUGACAAUCAUAGACAUAAAAGUAUUAAUAGGCUCAUUCAAGUGAAAUGAGCAUUAUUUCACACAUCCUUUAGGUUUUUAAGUUAUUUAGAAGUCAUUCAUGUUAAAAAAAAAAUCAUAUACUUUCAAUAUAAUUAGUACAUACACAAUUAAUUAAUUAAAUAAAUUUGUUUCAGCUAAUAUAGGAACUUAAUUAAUCAAAGCUAGUAGUUAUAGCUAGGACUUGAACGAGGCACCUUUCAAAGUUCAAGAAGAGCAUCUGAACAGAAUGAAAGCAAUUUGUAGAAAUGGUAAUGAUGCUUUACAUCUACAUGCUCUUACACAAUAUGAACUUUCAUUUACUCCAAGCUCUUAUUCUACAAGUCAAUUCAGUUUGUAGACGCACGCCAUUGUAAAAACUUUUGUAUUAUAAUUUCUGAAAAUAGAAUGUAACAUUAUUAAUAUAGAAUCAGCAAUGUAUAUAACUUAUCAGACAAUAUAACAAGCACUUGGUGAGCAUACAAGAUAAACUAAAACAAGUUAUCUAGAAAAUGAAACUAAAACCCAAGCUCCGCUAUUCAUUGUAGAAGCUUUAAACAUAAAAUUAAAGUAAAUCUAAUAGCAAAACAUUAGAAUGGAUAUUGAAAUUAAAGCUAAAUUCAAUAGUAAUUCAAAUGAAUCCAUUUGAACUUUGUAAAUUCCGCAGAACAAAAUUAAUUUGAGUGAGCAAACUCACCAAUGGAACAAGAACACAGGGGCUUCAACUUGUAGGAAUAAAAAAAUAUUGCUGGCGGGACAAAAAUUGACAAUAACAGCUACAAUACGAAUUUUAAAAAAAAUCAAAAUCUAUAAUUACAAGCUAAGUAAGAGAAGAAACUCAUAAUCACAAGCUUAACUCAAAAGAUGAAGGGAGAACACGAUGAAGAAGAAGAUGGCUGGUGUUUUACGCCGUUCGCCGGCAACCAGUUAGGUUUACGAUGGUGGCUAGUAACACGGAGUCCAGCGAAUAGUUUUCUAACUGGAAAUAAAUUUAAAAUUCUAAAAUAGUACCGAACGGCUCAAGCUCUCUAUAUAGUUACUAAUUCAAUUCUCCUUCGAAAGGUUCUCUCUGUCCUAGAGAGAACUUUGAAUGGAAGAGUAAAAGGGUCCUCAUGACUCGAGUAGUCACUCACAGGUGAGUGAAGUAUUUCAUUUCGUUACCUUACAUCCUAGUUCAAGUAGAUAUUCAGGUCCUUUUAUUGGGGUGAGCAGAGUUGGUGAGGGGUAUAAAACACAGGGUAUUAACAACCAAGGCUGUACAUCAAUUUCUCUAUCUGUUAAAAAGAGAGCUUCCAUAAAUAUGGAUACUGAGGAACUGAUUAGGAAAUGCAAAGCUAGGGGAGGAUAAAGAAAAGAUAGUGAACUUUGAGGGAAGCAUGAGGAGCAAAGGAAGACAAGUAGUAGCUGGUUGUUUGGUGGGUAAAAUCCUACACAACAGGAGUGUUAAUCAAGAAGGAUUGAAGAGUGCGCUACAAAUGGUGAGGCGGACAACCAAAGAAGUUCGGAUUGAAAGCUUGGGAAAUAAUGUCUUUUUGUUCAAAUUUGCGCAAGAAGCAGACAAGAAAAGAAUCCUAGCAGGAGGUCCUUGGCAUUUUGACAGAGCAUUGAUAAUCCUCACAGAGCCAAAAGGAAUUGGGGAGGUUACUAGACAAGCCUUCACACAUACUUCAUUUUGGGUACAACUUCGGAAUGUACCAAUCAUGUGUAUGGAAAAGGACAUCCUAAAAGUGUUGGGGGAGCAAAUCGGGACUGUGGAAUAAGUAGAGACGAACGGAUAUGGAGAAUGUAUUAGUGAAAUUGCUAGAAUACGAAUCUCUGUUGAUAUAACACAACCACUGCCCAAAAUGAUUUUUCUCAGACUAGAAGGGGAAGAAAAAAUCCCAAUGCCAGUUGGCUAUGAGCAUCUACCAGACUUUUGUUUUUGUUGUGGACAUAUUGGUCAUAGCUUCAAAGAGUGUGCUCAGUACAAGGGGCAAGCUAAAGAGCAGCUACCAUAUGGGGUCUGGAUGAAAGCGAUCAAGAUAAGUGAAAGAGCAAAACUGAACCGCAGUAGAGUAAAUUGGAGUAGAAACCAUGGGAAAACCGACGGUAAUCCAACAAGUUCAGAGCAAAUUGACAAUGGGAAAUCGCAACAAAGGCGGGUUGAACCAAACCCAGAUAUGGUGCACGGGUCGAAACCAGCAAAUGAGGAAACGGGUCAAAUCAUUGAACAAGCUCGAGAUGCUGAGGUGGAGUGGAAAGCUGAUGAGCAUUUAAUGCAAGAUAUCGGAGGAUCGAAAAAGAAGCAAAUCAGGGACAGUAAGCACGAGGUAGCAGCUGACAAUGGAAAAUCUUUUGGAAAUUCGAGAUUUCAAGCGAGAAAGGAAAAUACGAAAGAGAGGGAAAAUGGAGGAGCUGAUUCAAUUGAAUUAGAUUCGGGUACAGUGGGCUCAGAACACCAAAUUCAAAAAACCAAAAAUCAAGCAAAAAAGGGAACAAAAAAAUAUGGUUUGGAUAAAGGGCCACGCAUGAACUACUCGAGGCCCAAUAGAAGGAAAUGGAAGCUGCAGGCUCGGGCAACAUGUAACAAGAGUGGAUGCAAGGCUAGUCCAAAGGUUUCAAAAAGCUCAAGUUGUCACCUAAUUGGACCAAGCCCAAAACACAAAAACAUAAAGCUUGUUAGCCCGAUUAAAUCAGCAAUGAAGCAAAAACAAGAAGGCUCCCCAGCAGCAAAGCUCAAACUUACUUGGGAGCCGUUGGCAGUGGAAGAAAUGGAGAUGGCAAUUCCAAGCUUAGAAGAGAUAUCGGCGGAGGCUAGUGGCCAGCCCCGCCGGAAGCCAUGAGGAUCCUUAGUUGGAACGUUCGGGGUUUGGGGAAUACCCGAACGUUUCUAGCAUUGCAAAAGAUUCUCUAGUUGCAUAGGCCUCAUCUUUUAUUCUUGUGUGAAACGAAGUUGUUGCCUGCGCAAAUGAACGGGAUUAGUAGGAAGUUGAACUUUGAAAAUUGCUUUAAGGUGGAUAGAAGAGGUAGAGGAGGAGGAUUAGUGAUGUUGUGGAACUCUGAAAUUGAAGUGCAAAUUAAAUCUUUCAGCAACCACCAUAUUGAUGCUAAGGUUCAAACUGAAAAUGGGAAGCACUUUCGAUGCACCGACGUUUAUGGCCAUCAUGAGGCAGGGCAAAAGAAACAUACUUGGACACUUCUGAGGCGGUUGGCAGGAUUAUACCCUUUGCCUUGGUUAUGUUUUGGCGACUUUAACGAAGUAUUGCAUCCUUAUGAAAAAACAUGAGGUAAUGAAAGAGAGCUAAGCUUGAUCAGAAACUUUAGAGAAGCUUUGCGAGAUUGUAACUUAGUUUGACGUGGGAUACAAAGGAUACCCAUUUACCUGGAAUAAUGGGAGAUAUGGGCCUCAUUACAUUGAAGAACAGCUUGAUGGGUUCUUGUGUAACAGGAGCUGGAGUGACAUUUUCUACGAUUGUGCAGCAGCUCAUCUAUCUACUUGGACUUAUGAUCAUUGUCCGUUGUUGAUAGAAGUUCAAGAAAGGGGGAGGGAUUAUGUUGGAAGAGAAAAAAAUCCACUCGAAUUCAUUAUGAGGAUUUAUGGAGCCCAUAUGAAGCUUGCAAAGAAAUAAUCAAGACUGAUUGGAGUAGUUACGGAAGCUAGAAUGAUGCAAAUCCCAUACCCUUAUUUCAAAAGGUGGUUAAAGAAUCAAUGGCUAGGCUGCUUGUGUGGAGCAAGGAAGAGUUUGGAGAAAGAGAGAAGAUGCUGAAGCAGAUUAUGAAUCAGCUGGAGAGGCUGAAACAAAGCUGCGUGCAAUAUGAUAAUGGGGAGGAGAUUAAGAAGUUAGAGGGGCAGAUUCAAGAUAUCCUCAUUGAUGAAGAAAUAUUUUGGAAGCAGCGAUCGAGGGCAGAGUGGUUGAAAGCAGGGAACAAAAAUACCAAAUACUUUCACUACAAAGCAUCAUCGAGGAAGAAAAAGAACCAGAUUUGGGGAAUUGAAAAUGGGUCAGGAAGCUGGACUGAUAAGGCAGAAGAGGUGGAGUAUGAGUUUUACGAAUAUUUCGCAAAACUCUUCACUACAUCAAAGCCAAGUCAAGAAGAAAUUUCGGCAGCAUUAGAAGGCAUCACGCCAAGAGUCUCAAAAGCCAUGAAUGAGCAUUUGGAGCAACCUUUUACACCGGAGGAUAUUACGGAAGCCUUAGCUCAAAUGUCUCCAAUAAAAGCUCCGGGACCAGAUGGUUUUCAAGCAGCCUUCUAUUAGAAGCACUGGAACAUGGUGAAGAAAGGGGUCAUCACAACCUGCCUCCACAUUCUAAAUGAGCAAGGUACUAUGGCUCCUCUUAACCAUACCUAUAUUGCUUUAGUCCCAAAGGUCAGAAAGCUUAAGAGAGUAACAGAUUACAGACCAAUUAGCUUGUGCAAUGUGAUCUAUAGAAUUGUGGCUAAAACGAUUGCAAAUAGGCUGAAACAUAUCCUCCAUCAAGUUAUUUCCCCAACAUAAAGCGCUUUUAUUCCUGAUAGGCUUAUAACAGACAACAUCAUAGUAGGAUAUGAGUGUCUACACAAAAUUAGGCAUAGUAAGGGAAAAAUAAAUGGGCUGGUAGCUUUGAAACUUGAUAUUAGUAAGGCUUACGAUAGAGUCGAGUGGAGCUUCUUAGAACAAGCCAUGACUAGGUUGGGUUUUUCUCCAAAAUGGGUGAAUCUAAUUAUGAGAUGUAUAACUACAGCGUCUUUCGCUGUGAUUAUAAAUGGAGUACCACGAGGAGUUAUCCAACCACAGAGGGGUCUGAGGCAAGGGUGUCCACUUUCUCCAUAUUUGUUUAUCAUGUGCGCAGAAACUUUUUCUUCUCUAAUGUUACAGGCGGAAAGGCAGAAACUCAUUCAUGGAUUAUCAUUCGGCAAAGACAUAAAUAUCUCGCACCUCCUCUUCGCUGAUGAUAGCCUAAUUUUUAUUCGAGCUUCGCCUACGGAUUGUCAGAAUCUGAAAAGAAUUUUUGACUGCUAUACUACUGCAUCAUGACAACUCUUUAAUUUCGAGAAGUCAUCAAUGUUUUUCAGCAAUAACACCAAAGUUGAGCAAAUUUCAGCCAUACAGAAUAUUUUUCAGCUCAAUGUGGUUUCAAGGCAUGAGAAAUACUUAGGUUUACUAUCAAUGAUAGGGAGGAAGAGAAGUAGUUUUUUCCAAGAUGUCAAACUCAAGGUGAUGGAGAAGAUAUCCAAUUGGCAGCAUAAAUUUUUCUCUAGUGGGGGCAAGGAAGUGUUGAUUAAGGCUGUGGCUCAGGCUGUUCCAGCGUAUGCCAUGAGCGUGUUCAAAGUUCCUCUUGGAGUUUGUGAUGAUAUUUAGAAAGCUAUUGCCAAUUUCUGGUGGGGAUCCAAAAAAGAGAAGAGAUGUAUUCACUGGGCGAAAUGGGAAUGACUAAGUAUAGCAUUUAUAAAAGAAUCCUUAGUCUUUCCAUAUAGAAGAACUUACAAAAUAAAUUAGUAAUUUAUUGUUGUGCAAUAAAAUAUUUUCAUGCAAAUAUAAAUCAACCCUUUUUCCCUAAUUUCUUUUUUACAUCUAAAAUUAACAUAUAAAAUAAAUUUUACCAAUAAUUCAAUUUUUUUUUAAAAUAUAAUAUAAAACAAAUACUAUAAAGUCACUGCGUGUGACCGUAGAUCAUCAAUUGACCUCAUUAGUUAUUACGAUUGAUGAUGAUCAGAUCGUACCCAACUUGGAGGAACUAUCACUAAGUGGAAAAGAUGUGAAGAUGAUUUUGCAGGCCGAUUUCCCACAACACCUUUUUGGCAGUCUUAGACAUCUAGAGAUUGCUGCAGAUGACUCAGCUUGUUUUCCAAUCUGGAACGUACUGGAGAGAUUUCACAAUCUCGAAAUACUCAUACUGUGUUAUUUUUCAUUCCACGAAGAGGUAUUUUCGAUGGAAGGAUGCUUAGAGAAACAUGUGGGGAAGUUGGCAAUGAUAAAAGAAUUAGAGCUGUACUGGCACUAUCAUCUGAAGCAGCUGUGCAAACAAGACUCCAAACUUGGCCCCAUUUUUCAGUAUCUUGAAAUUCUAGGAGUAUAUCAUUGUCAAAGUCUGUUAAUUCUAUUGCCAUCAUCAUCGGUAUCUUUUGGGAACCUAACAAAACUUGUAGCUUUCGAUUGCAAGAAAUUGAUACACUUAGUUACAUCCUCCACAGCAAAAACUCUAGUGCGACUCGUAUCACUUUGUGUAUACGGAUGCAGAGCAAUGACAGAGGUCGUAAUAAAUGACAAAGACGGGGUUGAAAAAGAAGAGAUUGUUUUCCGUAAAUUGAAGACGUUGGAACUGCGUGAUUUAGACAGCCUCACUAGUUUCUGCUCUGCCAAUUACACCUUUGAAUUCCCAUCUUUGCCAAUUUUAUUGAUUUCACUACAGGAGAAUCAAUCACGCCUCCGAGAGCAUACGUCUGGCAUGGAGAGACAGCGGGUCAAUGGCUUCGGGCCAAUAAUGUUCUUAACACAACUAUACAACAUUUGCAUGCUGAAAAGGUACGGAUAUACAUACUGCUCUCUAUCUCCCAUGGAAAAAUUUUACAAAAUUUGCUUUUUUUAAUAAAAUAUAGAUAAAAUGUUUGUUAUAAAGUAAAAGUUUAAAUUGAUGAAUAAGAAUUUUAUUUUCAGCUGUUGGCGGUGCCGUCGUCGUUCUCCACCCGGUACUAAUUUCAUAGGCUUCUUAUGACUUGGGAAUUGUGAAUUUUUAGAAGAAAGUCUCAACUAGUAAUUAAUUUUUAUUUCAUUUAUUUGAUCACAUGGCUUCUUUCGCAAUUUCAUCUGAAUUAUUUAGAAUGGGUCACUUGAUUUACUGUUAAAUUUGGAAUGUCAUUUUAAUGAUUCGUUCAGACUUUUAUGGACAGAUUUUGCAUCAUUGAAUGUCUUUUAGUCUAGUUUAAUUUUUUUUUUAUUUGGAGAGUUUCCCUUGUUUUCUAAAAUUGUAUAAUUCCUUUCAUACUUUUUAUGAUAAAAUUUCAUUAAAAGCCUUCAUAUUUUAUAAUUCCAUGAAAUCGUGCGUACUUUUUUCCUAUCUUUCUUCGCCAAUUAUUUGUUUUCAUCAUUGCUGUUCUGUUAUUUUAGUUUGUGCUCUGUUUGUUCAUUUGGUUUGGUUUGCUUCACACCUACCUUUCUUUGGAAACUUAGAAGGCAAAGGAAGUACUUAGAAAAUGCUCUUCCCUAUGAACACAUAAUUAAGAACAGCUGAAAAUCAUUCAUCGGAUAAAAAAAUUAAAAAUAAACAAAAUCUAAUCAGAGCAUUAUGCCUGGAACAAAUCCUUAAGCCAUCAAAGCAAAACUCUUCGCUAUGAAAAACUAUAUUGUGGAAAUAUUGUUUGAAAACGUUGGAUACCAAGAAAGGGACUAAUCUGGUCUAGUUUUAUGAGAAGUGCAGAAGAACAGUAUUUUCUCUGUUGUUCCUAUUAAAAUUCUUUACUCUGUGAUUGUAGAAUGUCUGGAUACUGAUGAAGAUUCAGGUAACUCUUCUUCUGUGCAUCAUUUGAAAUAAGGUCUUUUGUUUUUUUUGGGAAUAUCUCCUACUGGGUUAUAGCUCAUACAAAGAGAUAUUCUCAAAUGAAGCCGGAUACUGGUAGAAACAAGGGAGGAAGUUGGCACUGAUAAAAUGGAUAAUGAAGCAACUCCAAACUGGACUUCAUUUUCAAUAUCUUGAAAUUCUAAGACUAUAUUACUGCUUGUAAAAAUCUUUUAAGUCUAUUCCCAUGAUCAUCUGUAACUUUUGGGAAUCUAACAGAACUGGUGGUUUUCCAUUGCAAAGAAUUGUAACAUCCAUCCACUACAGCAGAAAGUCUAGUGCGGCUCGUAUCAAUGAAUGUAGCUGGAUGCAGGGCAAUGACAGAGGUGGUAAUAGGUGACGGAGAAGAAGAUGGAGCACCAAAUUUAAAUAGAGAUCGUUUUCAGCAAAUUGAAGACGUCAAGUCUGUGUGAUUUAUCUGUGUGAUUUAGAUAGUCUCACAAGUUUCUGCUUUGCCAAUUACGCUUUCAGAUAAAGAUUCUUGAAACUGUCCUAUUUAGAGCUGACAUUUCCACAAGAGUUAAGAGAAUAUAAAAAAUUCAUUAAUCGUUAGUUUUUAAUUUCAUUAUUCAAUGAAAGUCCUGUCAAAUUAAAUUGCCGCUAUUGAAUCUCUCGCUCCCCUUGCAAAUCUCUAUGUGCAAGUACCUAAAUUUACAAAUUUUACUUCAAAUUAAUGAAUGACAUAAUUUAUUUUCAGCUGUUGGAGGAGCCGUCGUCUCUCUCGACGCAGUACGAUAUGUUCUGAUCCCAUAGGCUUUUUAAUUUAUUACAUGGUGCUGUGAAAUUUGAAGAACAAGGUCCCAGGUAACUAUCGUUUUCAUUUCAUUUUGUUUGAUCUCUAAGUUUAUUUUAUCGUUUCAUCUAAAUUAUUUGCAAUGCGUCGGUUGGUUUAUUGUUAAUUUUGGAACAAAGUUGAUGCAACCAACGGUUGCAUAUGAUGAGUAGGAUAUCGCUCUGAGAUCAUAACUUGAAUUAUAGGUAUCUAUCUAGGGCGUAUAAUAUAUCAUUAAUCUAUUACUAUAACAUCGUAUUGGUCUCGUGGUCCAGCUAGAAAUUCUGUUUAUUUCAUAGUUAUUUUACAAGUUUAAGAUAUUUUCUUAUUUUUCUUAUUAUUUUCAAGAUUUUUAUUUUUUUUAUAAAUAUAAGAUUUAAGUACGAUUAUUUUAUUUUUAUUAGAAGAAUGUUAUUAUAUAAUAAUAUUUUAGGUUUGCCUAUUUUGGUAAAUUCGUAAUAUUUAGAAUUAGUAUAAAGAGGGUCCAAAAUCCAAAUUUUGUUAUUCAGACCUCUCUAUUAAUAAAAUUUCAGACUUUUCAAAAACUUGUGUUUCUCUAUAUUUUCAAUCUCAACGUCCAUGUUUCCGUUAUCAUAAAUUCUAAUGCCUGGUUCCAUCAGACCUCUCUAUUAAUUGAGGCUCUUGAAUAAGACUCUUUAUGACUUCAAUAUUUUACUUGAUAUGAAAAUUUCUUUCUAGAUAGAAUCAUUGUGAAGAUAAAUUGUGGUAUUACUGACAAUGAAUAAGUUGAAACAUCAACAGAGAUAAAUAUUGAGCAAUUAAUGUUACCAGCAAUCAAUUUGUGAGCACCAACAACCAUUUUCAUAUUUAAGCCGUUAGAACAGUAACACAAAAUAUGGCGAGUGGCAACCACACAAAUAAUCAAAUUCCUGAUAGAUUUUGAAAACUUUAAUUUGCUAGAUAUGUAUUUUAAUAUUUCAACAGGUGCAUCUUUUCUCUACUCAUGUGGCACGUUGAAUCAGAAACGGUUUGAAUGUCAAUAUUACUCCAAGUGCCUCAACCAAAUUCAGAAUGAAGAAAAUCAUCUGGUUACCUGCACUUUAGUUUAAGCAGCUGAUUAAGUUAAUUAGCACCAAGUAAUUCACAUACUAGUGAGAAAUUUCAUUAGUAAAUUCAUACCUGGGAGGAAACCAGCAUCUUGACGCUUUUGUGACCAAGAAAAUCUGCCAGAACCCCAAUUAAUGAAAAAAAAAUUAUAACAUCAUUUACAUAUAAUUUUAAAAAAUCAAUAGGACACUUACAGAGCACCUCCUACAGCUGGACCGGCAGUUUUGGUAAGCGACACCACUGUCAUAGCAAGUCCAUUAGCAGCUCCUCUUUGAUGCUGUUCCUGUUAUUAUACCAUAAACCAAAAAAAUAAUUUAAACUUUUGACACAUACAAAACUUGAAAAAGCUGAAAGCAUGGAAAUGUACUAAACAAACAAAAGAAAAUAUAUUUACCACUGCUCUGUUUUGCAGAAGGAACAAUCCAGUUAUUAUAGACACCUGAUGUUAUAAUUCAGGAAAAGUGAAAGAGAAUUACAACAUUUCUGAUAAAGAAGAUAUAAAAUAAUUUUUAUACAUACUUGCUAAUGGGUAAUACAACCUAAGUAUAUGAUGGGUGUCGAAGCCAACAAAAAUAAAUUCCUACUCUAAAUAAAUUGUGUAUAGUGAUUGAGCAGGGUCGUGUCCACAGAGAUCGGUAAUUAUUUAAAUCCUUUUGAAACGUAAAACGUAAAAUGGGGGAAUUGUUGACAAUAAUAAAAAUCAAAUUGAAAUAAACAAGAAUGCAAAUUAAAGUUGUAAUUCAAAUUGGAGAAAGCUCUGGUUGAAGGAAUUAACUCAGCUUGAUUCGACUACUGAUCAUUGAUUCAAAUAUAGAUUAUUAUUAUUACUUAUGAAUAGAUCGGUUAUAGCUACUGGGACCCUCUAAUAGCCAAUCUCUCCUUAACUAGUCGAUAACCAAGGUACGACCGUUGGUUAUUUCCCUAAUCAAUAGACAACCCUAGAUACGAUCAUAGGAUUUAAUCAAUUGACAGCCUGAGAAACCAGAGAGACCCAAAUCCUAAUCAACACAUAUGAUGAUUCAUUUAAAUUAGAUUGUUUAUUCUCACAACACAACUCUCUGCUAUGUUAUUUGUCACAAACAUUAAAUUCUUCAUACGAUGAAUCCUUUAAUUGACAAUAGAUUAAGUUGAUAAUUAAAUAGUGGCCAAUUACCUAAUUAACAAACAUAAUCAUGAAACUAAUUUAGAGAAUAAACAAAUACCCAAAAAGCAAUAAAACAAUUAAAGCACAAGAAAGAUCUCACAGUAGUGAUGAAUCAAAGCUUCAUUAUCCUUCAACCAGAAAAAUGGGUUUAGUUCCUUAUAGAGAGAAGAGAAAAAUUAGAUCUAGGGUUUCUUUUUCUCCAAUCCAAAAAUCCCCCUUUUUCACAAUAGAUUCCUCCCUUCAAUACUCUCUCUCUCUUCUCUUUUAGAAUUCUAUUUAAAAUAAAAUACUAAUAUCUGAAAUAUUAAAUUCGUAAUUACAAAAAUAACCAAAAAUACAAAACACGUUAAACUAAAAACUGCAGGUCCGCAGUUGACAGCACGCGCCCACGCCUUAUCAACAAAGUUCUUCUGACGCUCAGAAAUUUCUCCAAGAGAACAAUCCUCCUUAAACAUCAUCUUUUAGCUCAAUUUUAUCAUCAAUCAAUAGAAUUGCACCUACAAAAGUAAAACACAAGUAAAACAUUAUUAUUAAAUGCAAAACAUCGAUAUUAAGGGAAGUAAAUAAUGCAAAACUAGUGCAUAAAUUGCACUCUAACAAAUUCUCCCACACCAAGAUGAUGCUUGUCCUCAAGCAUAUAACUCAAGAUUAAUCCCAAAUCUCCACUCAAUUCUCAUCUCAACUCAUCCAAAAAUAAUUUUAAGCAAGCAUACCUCAAGAAAUUAAGUCGAUCAACAUUCGAGAGACAAGGAUUUUAAAGCAUAGAAUCUCAUAAGAUAGAAUAAGAACAUUCAACCACCAAGAAGAUCCAUUCAAAAUUCAAGUGCAACAAGAUGUAAUAGCCCUCUCAAUAACUUCACUCCAUGCACUCAAAGUGUUUAGGGUGUCAUUUAUCCACUCAAAUCAAAUCAAAGAAUGCUAUUACCAUAAGCUUGCUCAUAAAUCACAUCUCAAUCCACAAAACAUGAAUAAAAUGCAAAAAUCUAAGGGUCUUAAAAGGGUUGUAAUGGGGUUAAAUGGGUUAAAUGAAAAAGAAAGGUUUACGAAAGAAAAAGAGAUCAAAAUGAGAAGAAUGAACUCAUUGAAUGAACUUAUGAUAUCAAAAUGCUUAUUUCUACUCAAGUCACCAAGAAUGUAAACAUUUUUUUUUUCGAUUUUUCUUUUUCUUUUUUUUUUCUUUUUCUUUUUUUUUCUUUUUCCUUUUCUUUUUCUUUUUUUUUCAUUUUUUUUUGUUUUUUUUUUUUUCGAAUCAAACAAAAGAAACGAACCUUGCACAAUUGAAUUCAAGCAUAAUGCUUGUUGAUCUAAUUGAGAAACUUUAAUACAAGGUAGAAAAAGCAACAAAAUAUAUCCAUACAAUGAGUCCAAAAAUCUCCUUAAAUUGAGGCUCAAAAAGAAGAAAAAUGGUUAAGUAGACGGAGAGAAUUAGAUGGGUAAUGGUUAAGGCUCAAACAAAGGUAGCAAAUAAAGGUCUUCGGGUAAAGAAAAAUGAAAAUGCGAGAAUAGAAAAAUGGUAAAUGGUUUGCCCUUAUCAUUUUAAUGCCUAAAAUCCCGUAAUGUGGCUUCAACAUGCAUAACAAAGCAAGUUCUAGAAUAAACAAACUAGGAUUGAUAUUCACAUAACAAAAAUAAUUAGAGCAAAGUGGUUGCUCAUAGGCUCAAAUCCUCACAAAGUUGGUAAAUUUGCCAUCAAAUCAUGUACACUCUUCAAAUGAAUCAACCAUCAAUAGUGGUGUAGAAUGAGAAGAAGGUAUGAGUGAUAUAUAAAAGGAAAGGUAAAAAUGAUAAGAAGUGAGAAAGAUGAAAAGUGAAAGAUAAAAUGUGAGUGAUGAAAGAGUAUGAUAGAAUAAAAAUAGAUGUAAAUAAUUUGAGAUAGAUGGGAAAAAAAAAAAAAGUAGUGAGAAAUAAAAGAAAAGAAAAAAUAAUAAUAUAUAAAGCAUACUAACUCCAAAAUCAUUUAAGGAUGAGUAGAGUGAAAAAAAAAAAAGAUAAGUAGAGUGAAAACAAUAAUUCCAGCAUCAAUAAUGCAAAAAUCCCUCCCCCACACCAAGAACUUACAUUGUCCCCAAUGUAAGAUAAUCAAAGCUCACAUAAAAAUUAAAGCAUAAGGAUAAAAGUUAAAGGGCAAAAAGAAACUUCCCUGAAUUGUGAGCUUUGAUCCACAUAACGUCUAUGGGCUUGGCGGAAAUGGUGGGGUAAAUCCCACACUCUCAAAGUAUGCGGCCAAAUUCUGCUCCAUUUUGUUCAACUUGUGCUCCAUUUUCUCUAACUGAAUGCUCAAAGGUGGUGCGGAUGUAGAAGGAAUAGUUGGCGGGGCAACAGUGUCGUCGUCAAACUCGUCAUCAGAGGUAGCACCACUCCUAGCAUAAAGCUUCUUCGGAAGUUGAGUGGGUCCUGGUUCAGUAAACUGAAAUCUCCCCUCCUUGAAUUCAACCACACCUGUUCUUUCAAACACAAACAUAUCCAAAAAUUCCUUUUUGCAAGCAGGAUGCAAAUCAUUAUUGUCAGGAUCAAGCACACAUAGGUUUAUAGCUAACAGAGUAAUGUAUGGACCAAGAAAUAAAGUCCUAUACCGUUUAAGCACACUUUGAAAUUGAUCCGCUAACCAAAAACCUAAAUUAGGCCUCACAUCAUUUAACAUGCACCAGAUAAAAUAAAAUUCAGUUUUAGAGAAAAUUCCUGAGUGAUAUUUCUUGCCUAAAAAAUUAUAUGCUAAGAAUCGAUGCACACAUUUCAAAACAGGAUCACGUAAGAAAGAACUCUUUGAUUUACUCGGGUCAUAGGCAUUGUGAUCAACAGAUAAAUUACGCCAAAGACCAUAAGGCUCAAAAUUUUUGCUAAAGUCACAAGUUGUUCCUAAAUAUUCAUCACUAGUAGAAUAAUCAUCAUCAAUGAAUCCUAAAGCUAGGUUAAAAUCCGUGAUAGAGUGUGAAAAACUUCGUCCCAUUAACCUAAACUUAAUGACAUCCGGGGUAUGCAAAGUAAAAUCAUUCGGCAUAGUGAAUUGAAAAGUAGCAUAAAACUCCCUAAUCAACUCAACAUAACCCAAGCAAUCAACAUCAACAAACUUACGCAACCCAAUCUUAUCUAUCAAAGAAUCAAAAUUAUCUUUAACAUUUAAUUUUUCAAGAGUCGGGUAAUGAAUAUACUUAGCUGGAAGUAUUUUGCGCGUGGAAAUAUCUUUGUACCUCUCUUUCUCUUGUUGAGUCGCGAAUGCGAGGCACCCUCCGAGAUUGGAUUCCGCAAGUGGCAAAACACUCAUGCCUUUUUCAUGCUUCGAUCUUUGUCUCACGGCUUGGCGUGAAUCUGAAAUUAUGUUCCAUGGAACCGUAGUGGGAGCGGCAAUCUUAGAUUUCUUUGCGACGGGUGUCUUUUUCGACGACUUGGAAGUAGAUGCUUUCCUCUUCGGCAUUGUUACAAUAAUUGCACUCACGGAUUUCGAUUUACUCGGCUGGAAUACAGGGCGUAGGCUGGUUGUGUUGCGCUUGCUGCUCGGCUGGAGCUUGUUGCGCGAGUUGGGGCUGGUUGUGCGCGCUGCUGAGGCUUGCUUUGCGGGUGCUGGUUCGUUGCUGUGUUGCGCGCACGGGGCUGUUGCGCGGGAGAGCCAGUUCACGUUGCGGGUCUGCGUUGCGGAUCUGUUGCGCUGCGCGCGCGGGACUGAUGUGCUGUGCUGAGGCUGAUUCGCGCUGCUGCUGGUUGCGGUGCGCGAUGCUGUGCGCGGCGGCUGGGGCUGCUGGAGCUUGCUGCUGGUUCUGGGCGUACUCGUCUGCUGCUGCUGGUUGCGCGGUGAAGGCUGGAGCUGAUGCUGCUGUAAAACGAUAAUCAACAGUAAUUUUGGAAUUAGGGAUUUGUAAACAGUGAUUUUCGAUUUUUGGUUUUUUUUUUUUUUAUAUAUAUAAAUAAAUAUAGAAAAGAAAGAAAGGAACGAAAAUAAAUAAAUAAAUGAUGAUUUUCGAUUUUCGAUUUUUGGUUUUUUUUUUUUUUUUUUUUUUUUUUUUUUUUUUUUUAGUGAUGAAUCACUUUGAGACACUAAAAAUUUCAGAAGUACUUUUCUAAUAAGUACGUGGGCACGCCUUAUCAAAAAUUUUCUUCUGACCAAAAUAAGCAAACAAAUUAAAUUUCAGAAGUACUUUUCUAAUAAGUACGUGGGCACGCCUUAAAACUUUGUGACAUUAAAAAUCACAGAAGUACUUAUUAGUUAAGACGUGGGCACGCCUUAUCAAAAAUUUUCUUCUGACCAAAAUAAGCAAACACAUUAUUUAUUUUUUUUAAAAAAAAAAAAAAUCUGAAUCAAAAUUAAAAGAAGAUAUAACAAAAACCAAAAUAAAUAAAUCAUUUGGGUUGCCUCCCAAAAAGCGCCUUUGUUUUAUGUCUUUGGCUAGACACAUUUAUGCAUCAAUCUCCAUAAUUGGGACUCUCGAGAGCCACAUCCUCCAUAAUAUUCACCGAAAAACCUUCAUAAAAAGGUUUUAAGCGAUGACCAUUAACCUUAAAAACUUUGUCAGAGGUCGGACUCCGAAUUUCAACUGCACCAUGAGGAAAAACAUUAGUAACAAUAAAAGGUCCAACCCAGCAAGAACGUAAUUUACCCGGAAAAAGUUUAAGCUUAGAAUGAAAAAGAACUUUUUGACCAACAGAGAACUCCUUUAUCAAAAUCAUUCUAUCAUGAAAUGUCUUCGUCUUUUUCUUGUAAAAAACUUCCUGCACUAUAGGGUUAAUAACAUCCACAGAGAAUAUUGAAUGUUCCUCACUAGGAUAUUUCAUGGCAUCAUUCAUAUUGAAUUCUAUAACCUCUCCAUCAAACUCCAUAGUGAGAGUCCCUUUAUGUACAUCCAUUUUAGUCCUAGCAGUCUUAAGAAAAGGUCUUCCUAGCAAAAUUGGGACAGAAUUAGAGGAGUUAUCAUCUUCCAUAUCAAGUACAUAAAAAUCAGCAGGAAAAACCAACUCAUUAACUUGUACUAAGACAUCUUCUAAUACCCCAUCAGGAUAUGCAUUAGACCUAUCAGCUAGUUGAAUUAUCACGCCAGUUUCUUUUAAUGGACCAACAUUCAAAGAUGAAUAAAUGGAACGAGGCAUGACAUUAAUAGAAGCUCCUAGAUCUAACAUAGCCUUUUCAACUCUAACACUACCAAUUUUACAAGGGAUAGUAAACAUACCUGGAUCCUUGCACUUAGGAGGUAGUUUCUUUUGGAGAACUGCUGAAACAUUCUCCCCCAUGUGAACUUUUUCAUCUCCUCUUAAUUUUCUCUUGGAGGUGCACAGUUCCUUAAGGACUUUAGCAUAUCGAGGUAUUUGUUUUAUAGCAUCUAACAAAUGAAUAUUUACCUCAACCUUGCGAAAUGUCUCAAGGAUGUCUUUAUCUUGUUCCUUCUUCUUGGAUUUUGCAAACCGGCUUGGAAAAGGAGGAGGUAUCACAAUAGGUAGGGGUUUCGCUCUUGUGGGUUGUGCAUCUUGAGAUUGAGGCAUCAAUUCAUUCUUCUCAAGCUCAUCUUCUACAUGCUUUGUCACUUUCUUACUAGGCUCUUGCAACUCCGUCCCACUUCUAAGGAUGACAGCACUAACGUUUUCCUUUGGAUUCACCUCAGAUUGUGAAGGCAAUCUCCCUAAUACUUGAGACUCCAGACGGCUCACUGUAGUCGCCAAUUGACUCAUUUGGUUCUCCAAGUUCUGAAUGCUUGCUGUAGUUGCCUGCUGAAAUUGUUGAGUGUUAGUCGCAAGUGAUUUAACAAUUUCUUCAAGAGAUAUACCUGACUUGGAGUUUGACUGUGGAGGUGCUGGUUGUCUUGGUGGAUACUGUUGUGGGAAUCCUGAUUGCCUAACUCCAUAGCUGAAGUUGGGAUGAUCCUUCCAUCCCGGAUUGUAUGUUUGUGCAUAAGGAUCAUACCUCCUCUGAGGCAUGCCUGGAAAUCCUCCAACUGCAUUGGCUUGUUCAACGGGUUCUUCUUGAAGUGUAGGACACAUAUCAGUUGAAUGACCCAUAUUGUAACAAAUGCCACAAGUCUUCACCUGUUGCACAUUACCUACAACAAACUUUUCCACAAGAGAAGUAAGUUUAUCUAAACGUUGUUCAACAGAAGAAAUAUUUACCUCAUUCACCGUUCUUGAAGUGGCAUCUUGUCUGCUGCCAAAUUGUUGUGCAUUGGCAGCCAUAUUUGAGAUCAACUCCCUUGCUUGAGUAGGGGUCUUGUUCACCAACACACCUCCACUAGCAGCAUCUAUCAUACUCAUAUCCAUCAAUGACAGUCCUUCGUAAAAAUAUUGAAUAAGAAGUUGAUCAGAAAUCUGAUGCUGAGGACAGCUGGCACACAAUUGUUUGAAUCGCUCCCAAUACUCUUACAAAGUCUCCCCAGGAAGUUGUCUGAUCCCACAAAUAUCUUUUCUGAUGUUGGCAGCUCUUGAAGCAGGAAAGUACUUCUCAAGGAACUGCUUCUUCAAACCAUUCCACAUUGUAAUCGAUCCAGGAGGCAAGUAGUACAACCAAUCUUUAGCUAGCCCAUCUACAGAGAACGGAAAAGCACGCAGCUUAAUCUGCUCUUCAGUCACGCCUUGUGGCCUCAUACUUGAGCACACAACAUGAAACUCCUUAAGAUGUUUAUGAGGAUCUUCACCUGCAAAACCAUGAAACUUGGGUAAUAAAUGAAUAAGACCAGACUUUAAUUCAAAAUUUACCUCCAAAUCUACAUAUUGAAUGCAGAGUGGUUGCUGAUUCAAGUCUGGUUCAGCUAACUCUCUAAGAGUUCUUUCUACAGGUGCAGGUCUAUCCAUCACUUGUUCUUCUGAAUCACUAGAUGAUUCAACUAAAUCAGGCACCGUAUCUGUUUCAGAAAGCAAAGGCGACGAGGAUCGUUGCUUAGCUCGCUUUGUCUGCUGUCUCAGCUGGUGAGCUGUCUUCUCAAUUUCAGGAUCAAACGAAAGUGUACCUGUACGAGAAGAACGAACCAUACACCAAGUAAAACGUAAAAAGGAUUAAAUAAAUGACACCAAUCCCUGGCAACGGCGCCAAAAUUUGAUGGGUGUCGAAGCCAACAAAAAUAAAUUCCUACUCUAAAUAAAUUGUGUAUAGUGAUUGAGCAGGGUCGUGUCCACAGAGAUCGGUAAUUAUUUAAAUCCUUUUGAAACGUAAAACGUAAAAUGGGGGAAUUGUUGACAAUAAUAAAAAUCAAAUUGAAAUAAACAAGAAUGCAAAUUAAAGUUGUAAUUCAAAUUGGAGAAAGCUCUGGUUGAAGGAAUUAACUCAGCUUGAUUCGACUACUGAUCAUUGAUUCAAAUAUAGAUUAUUAUUAUUACUUAUGAAUAGAUCGGUUAUAGCUACUGAGACCCUCUAAUAGCCAAUCUCUCCUUAACUAGUCGAUAACCAAGGUACGACCGUUGGUUAUUUCCCUAAUCAAUAGACAACCCUAGAUACGAUCAUAGGAUUUAAUCAAUUGACAGCCUGAGAAACCAGAGAGACCCAAAUCCUAAUCAACACAUAUGAUGAUUCAUUUAAAUUAGAUUGUUUAUUCUCACAACACAACUCUCUGCUAUGUUAUUUGUCACAAACAUUAAAUUCUUCAUAUGAUGAAUCCUUUAAUUGACAAUAGAUUAAGUUGAUAAUUAAAUAGUGGCCAAUUACCUAAUUAACAAACAUAAUCAUGAAACUAAUUCAGAGAAUAAACAAAUACCCAAAAAGCAAUAAAACAAUUAAAGCACAAGAAAGAUCUCACAGUAGUGAUGAAUCAAAGCUUCAUUAUCCUUCAACCAGAAAAAUGGGUUUAGUUCCUCAUAGAGAGAAGAGAAAAAUUAGAUCUAGGGUUUCUUUUUCUCCAAUCCAAAAAUCCCCCCUUUUUCACAAUAGAUUCCUCCCUUCAAUACUCUCUCUCUCUUCUCUUUUAGAAUUCUAUUUAAAAUAAAAUACUAAUAUCUGAAAUAUUAAAUUCGUAAUUACAAAAAUAACCAAAAAUACAAAACACGUUAACCUAAAAACUGUAGGUCCGCAGUUGACAGCACGCGCCCACGCCUUAUCAACAAAGUUCUUCUGACGCUCAGAAAUUUCUCCAAGAGAACAAUCCUCCUUAAACAUCAUCUUUUAGCUCAAUUUUAUCAUCAAUCAAUAGAAUUGCACCUACAAAAGUAAAACACAAGUAAAACAUUAUUAUUAAAUGCAAAACAUCGAUAUUAAGGGAAGUAAAUAAUGCAAAACUAGUGCAUAAAUUGCACUCUAACAGUAUAUGGAUCAAUGAUUAGGAUAUCCACUUACAGAUUAAACAUUCUUCAUCACAGAAGCACAGUUUAUCAAUAAGGCAAGGCUGAACCCAGAUAACAUUGCUAUGUAAGUGUAACUUGUCAAAAGCGGUAUCGAUAAAACCUGUACAUACAUAGAAAAUUACGUCACCAAAUCCAUGAAGAAAAGUAUUUUAUAAACAAAUAUGUUUGAGACAAACUAUCAAAUGAUCUAAAUGCCACAUGGUGUGUUCAAAAUUUUACCCCUGCAAUGCGUGUUAUUAUUAUUGGCCCGAUCAUCCUCUCAACGUAAGGGUACAUAGUAAGUUGAAAAACAAGGAGAAUGAAAUCUAUAGUAACUUCAAAAUGAGGACAAUCGUCAAGCAGUUUUGGGGGGUUGAUGCAUGAGAAAAGAAGUUAAGAGGAACGAGUAACAUUUUCAGUUUCGUAAUAAGUAUAAAUGGGGAGCAAGAGUAUCAGUUUUGCACCUGAGAUGGCAAGAACUUGGCCAACAUUUUCGGUUGAGUAACUCAGACCCCCGUACUUCCACCGGCUGAUAGCCCACAGUGAAAAUAUCUAACAGAAUAGUUGCAAUAUUAUGAUUUAAAAAAAUUACACAGAUAAGAAAUUCUUAGGAUCAGUAAUAGCCAUAUGUCUUCUUUAUGUAUAAAACUCUCAACAAUCCCAUCAACAGCAAUAGCACCCUCUGUUUCAGGUAGAAGUUAAGAGAUAACUUUGCAAAUAUCUAACAGAAUGCGAUCUGAUCCAGGAUCCUGGACUUUAUUCAAGUUCGGGAAAGCCAUUGGUCAUUGGACUAUUAAACCAUAUGGCUUAAUAACUUUCCCGAACAUUAACAUAGUUUAGAUUUUGGAUUGGAACAUUUUUAUGUCAUAAUAAAGUAGAAUAUAUAUAUAUAAACAAUCAAGUAGAGAUAUUUAUACCUCGGUGUAAGCGAUAUCAUGAAGCGAGAAAACACAAUAAACAAUAAUAGAAGAAAUAAAGGGCCAAUUCUUCAUGAGGCUUUUCUUAGCAGUGGCCUCCUCACUUCCUUCAUCUUGUUUAAAUUCUGCAUUGGACCCACAGGAUGCGGAUUCCAAAGCAUCACAUGAUACAUCAAGUGAUACACCAUCUUCAUUGUGUUUGUGCAAUGUCUCACACUGAUCCAUAGUUGAGAGAGGCUGUGGGGAAGUUAAUGGAGUUGAAGGAGAGGGAUAAUGAUAAUGAAGAUUACUCUUCAUAUGCUAGUGAGGAUUAUGUCUACUCUUCUAGAGCAAUGACUGAUGAGGACUUCUCAUUCUCAGUAACUGGCUGAACUCAACUUAUUUUUUCUUUCUUUGGCUUUUGGCAGCUGAUGUUCUUUUUGGGGUUAGUAGAAGGAAGGAUAAAGCUGGCAAUUAAAGGAAGCCAUUUAUGUUAAUCUUAGUAAUUUCCCCAUAUAUAGAUAUAUCUUUGAAUGUUUUUAACUUUUGCAAGGUUCAUUAUGUAACGAGGCAGUGACACUGAUUAAACUUGUAUUAUUAUUAUUAUUAUUAUUAUUUUGAAUAGAAGCAAAUUGAUUGUGUUAUGGGUUUCUUUUGCUUCCCAUCGGAUUAGCAACUGGCACUGGCACCGGCAUGAUUGGCAAAGGCCAAGUUGAAGCUGCCUGCAGACUCUCAGUGGACUGAAUUACAUAUUACAUAAUACAAGUGAAAGGAAGGGACUCGUAAAGCUUUAUUGUCGUAGUUUGGAUAAGAUUAAGAAUUGCUGUCGCUUCUUGUCAGAUUGCAUUGAAACGCUAGUAGUCGCUGCUGCGAGCAUUGGUAUUAGAAGAUUAGCACAAGCAGCCCCUACCUAUCAUGGACUCUGAUGUUAUGGACCUUACGGAUAUCAAUUACCUAGUUAAAAGCUAGUUAAAAGCUACCUCCAUAUUUUUUAUUUUUACCCUAAUGCAUGUCUGAUUCUUUUAAAAUUUUACGUUAUAUAUAUUAAACAAAUAUUAUAAUUUUAAUCAUUGAAAAAUUAAUGACAGACAUCUUUUGAAUAAUUUUUUUUUUUAAAAAUACAGAGCUAGAGAAAAUGCUAUAAUUGAUUGAAUAAGAAGGCUACAACUUGAUGAUAACUUUAUUGCAAUGUUGCGUGAUCUCAAUAUAUUAUUGGCUUAUGUGUGAGUAAAAGUUGCUGGCUCCUGUUUUACUAAUUUGCCUUUGAAUUUGACUGGCUCGACAAAGAAUCGAUUUACCUCAUACUCAAAUUACAAACAUCGAAACCGGAUCUGUCAUUACGUUAAUUGGCCUCCUAAAAUAAUCAAUCACUUUCUCUUUAGUCUACCAUCCACGCUUUCCAGUCGCUUAGUUUCAUUCUAAUCAUCUAAACGGCUCUUUGCUACUGUUUCUUCUAUUUGUCAUUGUUCUUGUUCUGUUAUUAUUUAGCUUUGCUCACUCCUGAGUCUCAUUUCUUAUUCUGUACCCAUCAGCUCUUUUAGCUCUUUACGUCGUGAUAGAAACCCUUUUCUUGUUUCCUUCAUCUCAUCUGAAAAACACAAUUGCUUGUCCUAUCGCUGUCUCUUUGUUUUUACUUUCCUUUGGCCUUCUUCGCUUCUACGUUUUUGUCAGGAUUCGAGAUGCUGGAAAUCAUUGUGACUAUCGUCUUGGAACUUGUAAAAUGCUUGGCUCCUCCAACUGCACGCCAACUUGUUUAUUUGCGAUAGCGGAACUACAAUGCCAACUUUGAGAAUAUCAAGGCGGAAAUGGAGAAGUUGAAGGUUGAACGUACGAGCAUUCAGCGCAAAGUUUCAGAGGCGAAAGAAAAAGGGGAAGAGAUUGAAGAGAAGGUUGAAAAGUGGCUGGUUAGUGCGAAGUGCGAACGGCAUCAUUGACCGGGCAGCCAAAUUCAUUGAAGAUGAGGAGUCAACAAAUAAGCGCUGUCUCAAGGGCUUGAGUCCUAAUUGGAAGAGUCGCUAUCAGCUUAGCAAGAAAGCAGAGACGGAGGUGAAGGCCAUUAUUGAACUUGGAGAAGAAGUUAAGAAGUUUGAUACUGUUUCCGUAUCAUUCCGGAGGAGAUACGGCUCAAGUCUAGCAAUGGUUACGAGGCCUUCAAAUCAAGACUUUCUACUUUGCAGUCUAUAAAAAAUGCAUUGACUGAGGCGAAUGUCAGCAUUAUUGGGGUGUACGGCAUGGGCGGCAUUGGAAAUACGACAUUGGUGAAGGAGUGUGCUAGGCAAGCCAGGGAAAGGAAGCUGUUUGAUCGGGUGGGUUUUUCAGAGGUUUCACAAACUCCUAACAUAAAAAAGAUUUAAGGGGAAAUUGCAGAGAAGUUAGGUCCGGAGUUGUCCGACGAAGCUGAAUAUAGAAGAGCAAGCAGGCUGUAUGAACGAUUGAAGAGUGAGAAUAAGAUUCUUGUGAUUCUAGAUAACAUCUGGAAACAUCUUGAAUUGGAGACGGUUGGAAUUCCUUUUGGAAAUAAUCAUAAAGGAUGUAGACUGUUGCUGACAGCAAGAGAUAAUAAUGUGCUUUUAAGUAUGGGCUCCAAAGAUAACUUUUUGAUUGGCAAUCUAACUGAACAAGAAGCCUGGAGAUUGUUUAAGAUAAUGAAUGGUGAUGAUGUUGAAAAUUGUAAGUUCAAGUCUACAGCAAUUAAUGUAGCUAAGGCAUGUGGAGGUUUGCCAAUUGCGUUGAGGGCACUGAGAAACAAGAGUCUCCAUGAAUGGAAGAAUGCCUUGCGAGAGCUCCGAACGCCUUCAAUGGUAAACUUCGAAGGUGUGCCUGCAGAGACUUAUUCAAGUAUUGAGCUGAGUUUCAAUUAUUUAAAAGGUGAGCAAGUCAAGAAAAUUUUUCUGCUUUGUGGACUAGUAGGUAACAGUGUUUGGUUUUCAGACUUAUUUAGAUACUCCAUGGGUUUGGGCAUAUUUCAAGGAGUCAACAUUCCCUUCAUAUUUACCAAAGGUAAGUGAUAAAUCCUACAUAUCCCACUCAAGAAUGCAUAAGUUUCUUCAAUCUCAAGUACCUAAAGUUUUCUUCUACGUUUAUAAAAAUUUCAGCACCAUCUCCCUAUAAUUCUCCAAGCUCACGACAUAGCUAUAUAAGUGUUUAUGCGUUAUGCCAAAACAACACAUGACACCCGCUCACCUAGAACGUACCCAGAGAACACGAGGAGCAGCUACCGAAAAAGCCAUAUUUACGUGGGAAAAAAACUUCAGCUACUAGCUACCAGAGAGACCUAUGCAUUCCCAAACUGUCCAAGCCUGGACAAUUCAAGAAUUAUUAAUAGACAUAUGAUCCUCACUAUCAUCCAAAGAUGACACUAAUACAACAUGUGUCUAUUAAUAAUUUCUUAAACAAGUCUAAGCUUUCAAUGCACGUAUCAAAAGUUUAAAAUUGAAUCUGAAAUUUGAAUAACACAUAAAUAUCAUAAAUCUCUUCAAUUUAUUCCUGAUACAAUGUAGCAUUAUUUCAGAGAUCAUUUCUUAAGCAAAACCAUAAAAAAUACAAACGAUAAAUACAUUUUCCCACUGAUGCAGAUUAUGUUUACUGAGCAAUAAGUUUUAAGCCAUUCAUGUUGAAAUACUUCUGCCUGUUCUUUCAACAUAUAACUAGUACGUACACACAAUUAAUAAAUUAAAAAAAAAAAAACUGGUGGUGAAUCUGCAAAAUCUUCCUUUUUUUCUUUUUUUUUCUUUUUCUUCUUUUUUUGGGGGGGGGGGGUGUUGGGGGAACUAUGAAUCUUGCAAAUCCUCAAGAAGCUAUGUUAAGACAAGGCCAGCUUACUAUUAGGGUAUGAAAGAUAAAACCUUUUAUUUCCUUUUCAGAAUAAAAAGAACAUUGACAGUGUUAAAAAAAUCUAGAGGAUUUCAGGCCUCCAGAUCCUUACAAAUCAAGGAUAUUAAAAAAUUUACUUAGAGGAGAAUGGUUAUGCUCAUUUGUAUCUUGUUAGAAGAAAUUGAUCCAAAGCCUCAGUUUUAAUUAGCUUCAUAUAGCCAAUGAUUAGGUGUUUAAAAACCAAUGAAUAUUUUUAUAAGAAAUCGACAAUAUUGUUGAAAGAAAAACCAAAUAAAAAUAAUAAAGCCAAUGAAUAGAUCAAGGCUCUUUGUGGUCUAAAACUAAUCAAACUAAGUUGUGGGCAAAGGCGAAUAUGUUUGUUUGGUCAAUAAUAAGCUCAACAAAUCACUAAUAAUCACCUAAUCACUAUUCCUUACGCUAUGCAAUAUAAUGGCCUGGGUAAUGGCGCCAAGGCAGACAUUAACUAGCUAGCCAGUUAUGAUAGUUGAUUAACUUAACCUACUGGAAAUCUGAAGACCAAAACGAAGAAGCUUUGUCUAGAACUAGAAUAGGAACAUUCGUACCCAAAACUAAUAUACACAAUUAAGAAACUUGAUUAUAUGUAUAUUUCUGUUGGCCACACUUAAAGAGAAUUUUCAAAAGAUGCUAAGGUACACCAAAUCCCACUAUUUCAUACUCAUAAACACAAAAAACCAUGGCAAAAAUUAAUGACUAUAUCAAAUAAAAUCGGUGAUAGGACAUUGAGAUUAGGACAACUUGAUUUGUAUACCGUAAAAUAACUAUAUCUGCAUGGUGAACUAUAUUUCUGUUAGAACUCUGAAGUUUUCUAUUAAGUUUUUUUCUGUUAGGUAAACCACUUAACUGAAGUGCUUAAGCCAAUAUUGACAAUCAUAGACAUAAAAGUAUUAAUAGGCUCAUUCAAGUGAAAUGAGCAUUAUUUCACACAUCCUUUAGGUUUUUAAGUCAUUUAGAAGUCAUUCAUGUUAAAAAAAAAAAUUCAUAUACUUUCAAUAUAAUUAGAACAUACACAAUUAAUUAAUUAAAUAAAUCUUUUUCAGCUAGUAUAGGAACUUAAUUAAUCAAAGCUAGUAGUUAUAGCUAGGACUUGAACGAGGCACCUUUCAAAGUUCAAGAAGAGCAUCUGAACAGAAUGAAAGCACUUUGUAGAAAUGGUAAUGAUGCUUUACAUCUACAUGCUCUUACACAAUAUGAACUUUCAUUUAUUCAAGAACAUAACACUACUCCAAGCUCUUAUUCUACAAGUCAAUUCAGUUUGUAGAUGCACGCCAUUGUAAAAACUUUUGCAUUAUAAUUUCUGAAAAUAGAACGUAACAUUAUUAGUAUAGAAUCAGCAAUGUAAAUAACUUAUCAGACAAUAUAACAAGCACUUGGUGAGCAUACAAGAAAAACUAAAACAAGUUAUCUAGAUAAUGAAACUAAAACCCAAGCUCCGCUAUUCAUUGUAGAAGCUUUAAACAUAAAAUUAAAGUAAAUCUAAUAGCAAAACAUUAGAAUGGAUAUUGAAAUUAAAGCUAAAUUCAAUAGUAAUUCAAAUGAAUCCAUUUGAACUUUGUAAAUUCCGCAGAACAAAAUUAAUUUGAGUGAGCAAACUCACCAAAAUUAAAAAGAUAUUGCUGGCGGGAAAAAAAUUGACAAUAACAGCUACAAUACGAAUUUAAAAAAAAAAUCAAAAUCUAUAAUUACAAGCUUAACUCAAAAGAUGAAGGGAGAAUACGAUGAAGAAGAAGAUGGCUGGUGUUUUACGCCGUUCGCCGGCAACCAGUUAGGUUUACGAUGGUGGCUAGUAACACGGAGUCCAGCGAAUAGUUUUCUAACUGGAAAUAAAUUUAAAAUUCUAAAAUAGUACCGAAUGGCUCGUUGCCGUCACGUGGUUAGUAACAUAUGUGACCGCAGUGUGGCCGUCACAUAAAAGGUAUUGGGGUUACAAAGUUAGUGAUAUACGUGAUGGCUGCUCUUGCAUUCACAUUAGGGAUCACAUAUACCCUAUUUUCUUGUAGUGCAUGGUAAAUUCUAUUUGAAAAUUGCUAAGUAUUUUAGAUUUGUACGAAUUCAUUUUUGUGUGCUCAUUGGAUAAUAAUAUAUAAUAAAUUAAAUUUUUGGUGUCAACCAUACCAUACCAUACCAUAAAAUCAAAUUUUAUCGUGUCAUUCUUCUUGGUUCAAAUUUUUGGAAACAAUAAUCAAAUGCAUCCAUGAACUAGUAUAUUCCGACAUAUAUAUAUAUAUUGAAAUUUUAAUAACAACAAUUGGGCCAAGCAUAUGUUGGUACUUGAAGAUUUAUAAGCUCCAUCCUUGAAAAAAAUAAGGCUUGACUGUUCUCAAUCUAAAAUUCUUUUUGUUUUAAGUUCUUAAUUAAGCUUUCUUGCUUGUUUUCAAGAGCCAGUUUUGUAAUGAUCGACAAACAUGACUUGCAUAUACUGCACUUGGCUUUUAUGUGUCACUUAUUAAUUAGAUUUAGAUUUUAUGUCUCAUGCACUCGCUAAUUAAGCUCUUAAUUAAGUGCUCCUUAUAUGGAUAUUGUGUCAAAACAAGUGCUUUCCAUACGGAUAUUGGAUCUAAAGAGAAAAUUAUCUUUAGGUAGUGUUGCCAAAUUUGGAGGCUUUGGAGCUGAAUGCUAUUAAUGUCGACGAGAUUUGGCAUGACAAUCAACUUACGGCCAUGAUUACUUGCUUUCAAAGUUUGAUACGAUGGAUAGUGUGGGGCUGUGACAAAUUAAAAUACAUAUUUUCAGCUUCUAUGAUCUUAAGCCUUAAGCACCUCCAACACCUGGAGAUACGGAUAUGUAUGGGUUUACAAGAGAUCAUCUUCAAAGACAGCAGAUCAAGUGACCCCAUAUUUUGUCUUUCCACAAGUGACCACUGUGAAUCUCGAAGGUCUACCAGAACUCAGAUGUUUAUACCCUGGAAUGCAUACUUCAGAAUGGCCAGCACUAAAAAAAUUGGAGGCCUGUAAUUGUGAUAAAAUAACGUUGUCCCAGAAUAACGAGAAUGAUCAAUUUGGUAUUCCGCCACUACAACCCCUGCUCUCGUUCAAGAAGGUAUGAAACCAAAAUUUAGAUUUUUUUUAUCAAUUAUCUUUGUUGUUCCUCACUCACAGAUCAGGAGGUUUAAUAACUACCUAUAUGGAGUUUUUUUCUAGUGGGAAUGCCCUUAUUUUUUACUUUUUUCAUGCGGAGAAGCUUUCAAAUCCCUCGGUUUAAGAGCGUGUUUGUAAUGAUCCACAAACAUGAUUUGCAUAUACAGUAUUGCACUUGGCAUUUAUGUAUCACUUACUAAUUAGAUUUAAAUUUUAUAAAUUAAUUAAACUGAUUAAUAUUUUAUAUGUGCACUGAAUGAUAGAUACUACAUAAAUUGGGACACUAUAACUACGUAUCCCAACUAUGUAAUAUUUGUUUGUCACAAACCCAAUCAUGACCUGAUAUUCUGAAUAUUAUUUAGGAUACCAUUUCAAGCCCCAUGAGGGCUCUUUCCAUUUUAAAAAGUAUGAAAUAGAUGUAGAUUUUUCUUUAGAUAUUAUCAGUGAGAGUACCUUUGGUGGCAGUGGUCCGGGAUGAUUUGUGUUAAGGAAGCUCAUUGAGCACGUGUGUCAAUGAUGAGUCAGCAGUUAGUUGGGUAAAGAAGCCAGCUCAGCAAAUCUGUUAAUCAUGUUUUACGUUCUGUUCUUCAGUUGUUAGUAAUGCUUUUAAUUCUGUUGAGAUAUGAGUUAGUAUAAAUAUGUUGUUAUUGUAUUUGUAAUUGUGAACGUGAGAUUCAAUAAAAAAUAAGUAGUUUCUAAGGAAAAAUCUUAUCAUUAUUUUCUUAGCUUCCAAACAACUUUUACAGUCACAAUUCAACUUUCAAACAUGGUAUCAGAGCCAGUAAGAGCAAGCUCUAGUGCUCAGCAAACAAAUCAACAAAGUCAAAUAAAUUUUUCUUUCAACACUCCAAUUAAACUAGAUCGAUCGAACUAUCUACUUUGGCGUUUUCAAGUUUUUGCUUCCAUAAGAGGCAAUCGAUUGGAAGGCUUCAUCAAUGGAACAAAACCAGCUCCUGAAGAAUAGUUCACUCAAGUUGUAGCUGAUGGAUCUAUUCAGAAAAUUGAUAAUCCAGAAUAUCAGAAUUGGAGAUCACAGGAUCAAACAUUGCUUGGAUGGAUGCUAUCAUCAAUAAGUGAAGGUACUCUAAAUCUUGUCAUAAAUUGUGGUAGCUCGUUUGAUGUUUGGAGAACUUUAGAAAAGAAAUUUGGUGUGCAAUCUGAAGCUAGGGUUCUUCAACUUAGAUAUGAGUUGAAUACUCUUAGGAAGGAAUCAAUGAGUAUUGAAGAUUACUGCAUCAAAAUGAAAAUUGUAGCAGAUAAGCUUGCUAGUGCUGGAAGUCCUAUAACAGAGAAAGAUCUCAUGCUGACAAUUCUUAAUAGCUUAGGAGCAGGUUAUCGUGAUAUUGCUACCUUUAUAACUGGCUCAAAAAUGGACUAUGAUGAUGCUUAUGCAUUAUUAUUGACUCAUGAAACCAGACUUGAACAAGAGCAGAAUGAUAAAAGCAUGUUUAAUGCAAAUUAUGCUUACACAAAUGCCUAUUAUCCAAGGGCAUUCUAUGCCCAAUCUAGAAAUAAUUUUAGAAGAGGAGGAUAUGCUGGUGCUCAGUUUGGUAAUACUGGUAGAAAUCAUACUGCUGGAAGAGGAAAUAUUUUUCAGUCUCCAAGGAUGUUUACUGGCAAUCACAGAGGUGGAUAUGGAAGAGGACACUCAUUUGGCCCAAAUAAUGUUAACUCUUUUCAUGCACCUAGGAAUCCAAUACAAUUUACUAGGACUGGAGUCACUAAUAUGAAUGGACCUCAAGGAAUUCCAAGUAAUGCAGAAGAAUUGGUUUGCCAGAUUUGCUUUAAGCUGGUCACACUGCUGAUAUUUGCUGGCAUCGAUUUGUGGAGGAUUAUGUCCCUUCUUCAAGAAGUCUAGGCAGAGGAAAAGGACCAAGAUCAGCAUAUAUUGCUAAUUUUGAUGGCUUUACAUAUCCAUAUCAAGGUUAUGAUAACUAUGAUAAUCAUCCUGCAUCUGAGACAAGCUGCUAUUCUGGAAUUGAUAACUAUGCACCUACAGAAGCUUAUGUGGCUAAUUUUGAAAGCUUUGCUGAUGAUGGCUGGUAUUUGGAUAGUGGGGCAACUCAUCACUUGACCAACAACAUGGAGAACUUGCAUUUUAAGGAAGACUACAAAGGUACUGAUCAACUCAUUAUUGGAAAUGGUCAAGGUCUGUCAAUUUCUCAUAUUGGUCAUGCAUUUUUAUCAUUUAGAGCUUCAAAACAUCCUUACACACAUGCCUCCACUAUAGCACUUAAAGAUAUGUUACUUAUUCCUACAAUCACUAAGAAUUUACUAAGCAUCUCCAAACUUACAUCUGAUAAUUCACUCUCUGUUGAAUUUUGUGGAAAUGUUUGUUAUGUUAAGGACAUGAAAGGGCAAGUUCUUCUGCAGGGCCUUGCUGAGAAAGGUCUUUACAAGCUGUUGAUGAAAUCUUCUUCCAUGUCAUCUUCUGCUUAUCAUACAUCACCUGCCUUUCAUCUUUCUCAACUUCAGUCACAUAAACCAAUAUCCAUGCUGUCAUGCUCAAAUGUGUCUUCUAUUUCUCAUCAUUGUAAUGUCUCAACUUCAGUCACAUAAACCAAUAUCCAUGCUGUCAUGCUCAAAUGUGUCUUCUAUUUCUCAUCAUUGUAAUGUCUUUGAUAAGACUUGUUUCAGCUCAAUUUCAAAUAAGUGUAACCAGAAACAUGAUGAACUUAUCUUGUUACACAGAAAGUUUGGUCAUCCAAGCUCAACAGUAUUGAUGCAUUUGCUUAAGACUUGUAAACAAGUUAAAGUCUCUCAAAAAUCAAUUUUAUCUCCUGAGCAUUCUAUGUGUGAAGCAUGUCAAUUAGGAAAAGCUCACAAGCAACAUUUUUCUACAACCGAAACCAAAACAACUCAAGUAUUAGAACUGAUACAUACUGAUCUGUGGGGGCCUUCACCUACUACAUCUAGAAAUGGUUUCAAAUACUACAUUAGCUUUGUAGAUGAUUACAGUAGGUAUACCUGGAUUUACCCACUCAAACUCAAAUCAGAAGCUUUUGAAGUUUUCAAAUUAUUCAAAAUCCAAGUAGAGAAUCAGUUCAAUACCAAAGUCAAGAUGCUGCAAUCUGACUGGGGGGGAGAAUAUAGAGUUUUUACUAACUUCUUAAACCAGAAUGGGAUCAUUUUCAGACAUUCAUGCCCUUACACACAUCAUCAAAAUGGUCUAGUAGAAAGAAAACAUAGACAUAUAAUUGAGUUAGCUUUGACUCUCUUAGCUCAAGCCAAUCUUCCUUUUAAAUUCUGGUGGGAAGCUGUUCAUACAGCAGUGUAUCACAUAAACAGAUUACCAACACCUGUAUUGAAACUCUUAUCUCCAUAUGAGAAGCUCUUUAAACAUAAACCAGAUUACAGCCUCCUUAAAUGCUUUGGUUGUCUUUGUUAUCCAAACUUGAGAGAUUUUAACAAACAUAAAUUUGACUUUCAUACCAGCAAGUGCAUCUUUAUUGGUUAUAGCUCAUCUCAUAAGGGAUAUAAAUGUCUUACAAGCUCAGGUCGAGUUCAUAUCCUUAGACAUGUUGUUUUUUAUGAAAGUGUAUUUCCAUAUACAACAUUCUCUGUUCCUUCUUCAUCUGAAAAUGUUGCCAACUCAGAAACACCAGUGUCAAAUUUCUCUAAACAGCAAGUCUAUCAUCUUUUAACUCUACCCUUAUUCAACAGCAGUUUUGAAGAUACUUUCUCAGCAGGUGUACCAAGUGAUGAACAAACUCCUGUUUUGCCUGAGCAUACAGAUAAUUUGAAUCAACAAGAAUCAUCUAGUUAUUCUUUAUCAGAACCAUCAAUAUCACAAGUUAUCCCUCAAAUCCCUGAAUCUACUCAAACACAACCUGAACCACAAACAAGCAAUCAACAACACUCAGAAUAUAAUCCAAACAGAAUUCAGAUCUCACAACCUACACACAAAAUGAUUACCAGAUCAAAGUCUGGAAUAUUCAAGCCUAAGUUAUAUACAGCCACCUUGACCAACAAAGAACCUGACACAAUUCAAAAAGCUCUGAAUGAUAAAAAUUGGUAUAAGGCCAUGAAAGAGGAAUAUGAAGCUUUGAUCAGGAAUGAGACUUGGUCUCUUGUACCACCUCCAGCUGAAUACAAAAUAGUUGGAAACAAAUGGGUGUUCAGGGUUAAACAAAAUAGUGAUGGCAGUAUAGCAAAGUACAAAGCUAGAUUGGUUGCUAAAGGUUUCCAACAAACUGAAGGGAUUGAUUAUUUCGAAACUUUUAGCCCUGUUAUAAAGGCUUCCACAGUGAGGGUUAUAUUAAGCCUGGCUGCAAUGCAGAGUUGGAUGAUCAGACAGGUAGAUGUUAAUAAUGCUUUUCUGAAUGGUGACUUAACAGAAGAUGUCUACAUGUGUCAGCCUGAGGAUUUUGUUGAUGAGAAGAGAUCAGGCUAUGUAUGUAAGUUGAAGAAGGCUUUAUAUGGUUUGAAACAAGCUCCCAGAGCUUGGUUUGAUAAACUAAAAGGCUGUUUGGUUGCAAACUGGGGAUUUCAAAAUUCCAGAGCUGAUACCUCACUAUUCUUUAAAGGAAAACAAGAUUCAAUGAUAUUAGUUUUGAUCUAUGUUGAUGACAUACUGAUAACAGGGCCUAACAGUGAUGAACUUGAAAAGUUUAUUUCAGACUUCAGCAAAGUGUUUGCAUUGAAAGAUUUGGGAAGACUCUCAUAUUUUCUGGGUAUAGAAGUAUCUUAUGCUGAGAAUAACAUUUACUUAUCUCAAAGAAAAUAUGUUAGAGACCUGCUAAGUAAAGCUGAUAUGCUUCACUGCAAAGGGUGUGAUACACCAAUGGUUACAGGGACAAAACUUCAAAAGGAAGCUAAGGGAUCUUUGGGUCAGCAUGUUGAAGAUGCAACAAGUUAUAGAAGUUUAAUUGGAGGGCUGCAGUAUUUGGUUCUGACCAGGCCAGAGAUAGCUUUUGCAGUGAACAAGCUAAGCCAAUAUGUUUAUACACCUACACUACAACAUAUCCUAGCCUGUAAGAGAAUGCUUAGAUAUUUGAAAGAGACAGAAGACUAUGGAUUAAAGUUUUCAGCUGAUGGAGAAAUAAAGUUAACAGGUUUCACAGAUGCAGAUUGGGCAUGUGAUAUUGAUGAUAGGAAAUCAACAGGUGCAUACUGUAUUUACUUGGGAAAUAACUUGAUCUCUUGGUCAUCCAAGAAGCAAUCCAUAGUUACAAAGUCAAGUGCAGAGAGUGAGUACAGAGCUCUUGCUUCUGCAAGUGCAGAAAUUACAUGGUUACAGUCAUUGUUCAAGGAACUCAAGAUUGAAUGUAUUUCAGUGCCCACAAUCUGGUGUGACAAUAUAAGUGCAACUGAGCUGGCCAAAAAUCCUGUCUACCACUCGAGAACCAAACACAUUGAAUUGGACAUGCACUUUAUAAGAGACAAAGUGUUAGCAAGAGAGCUGGAAAUCAAUUACAUUCCCAGUGAAGAACAGAUUGCAGACAUCUUGACCAAGCCUCUCACAUUCACUCAAUUCAAUUAUCUCAGGAGCAAACUUAAUGUGCAGCCAUGCCCCUUAAGUUUGAGGGGGGCUGUUAAGGAAGCUCAUUGAGCACGUGUGUCAAUGAUGAGUCAGCAGUUAGUUGGGUAAAGAAGCCAGCUCAGCAAAUCUGUUAAUCAUGUUUUACGUUCUGUUCUUCAGUUGUUAGUAAUGCUUUUAAUUCUGUUGAGAUAUGAGUUAGUAUAAAUAUGUUGUUAUUGUAUUUGUAAUUGUGAACGUGAGAUUCAAUAAAAAAUAAGUAGUUUCUAAGGAAAAAUCUUAUCAUUAUUUUCUUAGCUUCCAAACAACUUUUACAGUCACAAUUCAACUUUCAAACAAUUUGGGAUUUGACAAUUCCACUCUCAUCUUAAUUAUCAAAUGGAAUGUAAGUAGAGAUAAACUUGUCCUGUUUAUAUAUUUGUGAUCAAAAUUAGGACCAAUAUAAAAAAUAUUAGGGUCCGACUAUCUAUACUUUAAAAAUCAUUAUGAACACUUAAUUAUUUAUGUACUCAGCUAAUAAAUUUAAAAAAUUAAGUUUUACUUUCCACACUUUUUUUAGGAGUACUUUCUACACUUUUUAAAAUAACAAAAACAUCUUUACAUGAACUUAAUAAGUUUCUUUAAAAAAAUUAAAUCAACUAUUUUUAUUUAUUCAAAAUACUAAUAAAAAUAUUUAGCAGACCGUGAAAGAAAAUUUUUAAGAAAUUUAACACGAUUUUAGUUAUUACUUAUUGUUUAUUAAAGAAUGUGUUCACUAUUGUAUUUAAUUUUGUUAGUAAAAAAAAAAAGAAGAAGUUUGGGUUUAAGAUACAUUUAAUUUUUAGUGUAACAGUUGUAUCAAAACAAUAAAAACUAAAAGAUCCAAAAGUCACAAGUUCCAACACCACCCAAAUAAAAAGGUCUGUUAAGAUUAUUUUUGGGAAGCUCAAAAGUGAUUUUAAAAAUUUAAAACUAAUUUUUAGUGUUUUAUAAAUUUUUUAGUAAUUACUUUUGGCAAAAUCAUCUCAUUGUACAGUAGAUUUUGAAAAAGUAGGGAAUGAAUAAUUUUUCAAAAUAUGAUUUUGAGAAUCACUUUUAUAUUUAAUCAAAUUCUAUAUAUAUAUACUCAUUAUAUAAUAAAAAUUCAAAAUUAUCUUUAUUAAUUAAGAAAUAAAAUGAUUAACUUUAAAGAGAUUAUUAUUAUUACCAAUUAUAUUGAGAUAAAAAAAUAGAGAAUAAAAUUUAAUAAUAUAAAAUAUUUAUUUUAGUUAUCAAUAAUUAUAUGUACAAUAAAAAUAUUUUAUAUACAUGUUUAUAAAUGUGUAAAUAAAUUUUAUUUAACAUUAUGUCCAAUUCAGUCAUUUACAUUUUUGGUCCAAUUUAACAAUAAGAUUUACGAAAUAUAUACGACGCUUUUAAAACUAAAAGUAUUUUUAAAAAUAAAUUUUACUAAAUGUUCAGCUGAUUCUCUUGACGAUUGAUCAAUUUCUACAGCAUAGCUAACUGUAAUUAUUUUAAAGGCUACAGGAUUACCAAACUGACCCUAAAUCAAACCAAUAAAAAUGUUUAAAAAUAAUAAUAAUAAACCAAAGUAAACGUACAAAAAUUCAUGCAUAAAUUGAUAAUCAACAAAAACAUCCACAAGUUUACCUCCAAGUUUUCUAUUCAAUUGACAUAACCCUUAAAUUUCAAAAGGCAUAAUCAAUUUUUGUCUAAUCCUAUAAAAUUAGAAAAUUAAAGAAUAUUAUGUACUGAUAAUUAAAUAAUAUGCAAUUAACAAUGUUAAAAAAAAUAAUGUUAAACAUAUUGUCAACUAAAACAAUUGGGAUUAACGAGCUGCUAUUGAAAUUAAUGUUAAAAAAAAUAAUGUUAAACAUAUUGUCAACUAAAACAAGCAUCAUGUGCAGUACCCACCGUGAUCUACUCACAUUGGAAUAAGUUGUUGGCAGCUGGUAAAAAAUUCAAUGUUGAUUUUGAUCCCACUAAAUUAAGUCAUCAAAAAUUGCUGGGAAGGGAGUAAUAUCUAUUUAUAACUGGAAAUUAGUCACCGUACAAAGAUGAUUGGAGCUGCAUAUAUCGUUUAUUAUUAACAACUAACUUAUGAAAUGCUUUGAAUGUACCUCCUAGGUCGUAUUAUUUACUAUACUAGUUAGGAGAAAUUGCAAUGUUAAAUUAUUUGAUAAAUACUUAUUAUAAUUUGAAAAUAUGUUAAUUUUGUCCUCCAUUUAUGAUAAAAAAUUUUGUAAUAUAUAUAAAUCAUUCAUUCUAUAAUCUUGAACUUUAUUAAAGUUCGAAAAACUAUUACUCUAUAUGAUAUAAUAGUGUGAUGUUAUUACACUAUUAUACCAUAUAAAAUAUAUUUGCUUUCUCAAAUUUUAAUAAAGUCUAGGUCUUGGACAGAAGCACUUUAUAUAUGUAUAUAUAAUGAUUCUCUAGUAACGACAUUCUCAUUUUAACAAAGUAAUGAUAUCACUAACAAACUAAAUAACACAUAUUUCAAUACACCAAUAGAUUAAAAAAAAUACAAUUUUUAAUGUGUUAAAAUAUAGGUCUUUUGUAUGUUAUUGAUAUUUUCACUUUAACAAAGUGAGGGUCUCCUCACUAUAAAAGUAAUUUAUAAAUAUUCCUUGUAUUUUUGUGAAAAUUAUUAUUUAAAUGUCAUAUCUUACCAAAAACUAUUAGUUUUUAUUUUAUUACUACGCUAUACUUUUCAAGAUAGAACACCUUAAUACCAUGACCUUAAUUUUUGAACCCUCUUGUACAAAGUUGUUGGCUGGUCUAUUUAGCUUAAUCUUUCAAUUAUUUGUCGUUUGAACUGAGAUGAUCCGAAUAAGGCUAUGUAUCAAUAAUUUCUUAGUGAAACUUCGGGAAAAAAUAAAAAUCAUCUCAUACAGUAGCAUUAUUUUAAUUCUCAGCUUGAUUAUGUUUUGAGUUAACUUAUAGAUUAUUUGAAAUGAAAAUAAUAUAAUUUAUUUUUUCCAACUGAAAUUUUUAAAUAAUUUUAUUAGUUUGAUGAGUAAGUAUACACUUACAAAGUUAUGAUAUAAAAUUAUAUCCCAGAAUCCCAAUAAUAUGACACCAAUUAACUAUUGCUAUGUGUUUCUUAGUAAUUAACUUUUUAUACUAUUAUUAAUGAGAUAAUUAACUUCAACACCAAUAAACAAUUAAUACAUCCUCUAACUUUAUUAUCAAAUAAUCAUACGUCAUAAUCAAACCAAGUUACCAGAGCCUACCACUAAAAGAUUGAUUGAAGGGUUUUCCAAGUUUGAAAAUGUUAGUAGCAUUGGCAAAUGGCAACUUCCAGGAAUCUUCCUGCUACAAUCAAUCAUUUAGUGAAAUGCCCAAAUGACACAAAGGACCCCGCCAACCGUGAAGUCACAUCAUUUAUUUAUUUGUAAAUGAAAAAUAAGGUUCCGAUCGGAAGAAAUCAGCACCUUAUAAUGCAUGAUUACCCGUAUGUCAAGUUUGGCGAUUAUAAGUCAUCAUCACAAUAACUUUGGAUUUUGAUAUUUAAGUCUCCGUUUGGGACCAAUGUAUGCCAAUUGGACAACACAUCACUCAAUUAUAGAGAGCGAAAUAUUGAUAUUGUCAUUAUUUUACGUAAUGUAUAAACUUUUCCUUUUAUUUUUGUUUGUUUAUUUAUUUUUAAUACCUAAUAAAUAUAAAUUUAUUUUUUAAUAUUUAAUAAAUUUUGUCAGAAAAUAACAAACAAUGACCCAAAUCCUUUUAUUUUACAGAAAUAAUUUCAAUUCACAACUAUGACAUUACAUUACCAAACAAACACUAAAUAUUUUGAUGAUUGGAGUUUAUCUUUCAUUCAUAGCAUGAAAAGUUUGAAAUAGAAUCUCAAAACAAAAGAGUACGACAUGUCUUGUUGGGUUUACAGAAGAAGUGUACGCCAUGUCAUCCGAAAACUAAAAGGCAUGUAUGACAACCAAACGGUAUCAUCCCUGAUUUGCCUACACUUUAAGGAUGAAUUCUGGGUUUUGAGUGACAAUUAAAAGCCAGAGUGAGAAUUAGAGAGAGAGUUAUAUAUUCUUAUUUAUUCCUAGUCACUUGCUAUAUUGUGUGGGUCUUUUGUGAUUCCAAUAAUAAAAAUGUUCAAUAUUUUUUUUGAUAGAGCAAUAUUUUUUAAAGCAUAAAGAAAGGCAGAAAUAUUGUAAAUCCAUCUCAAAUUUUCUGUUUAUUGUGGUUGCUGCUAGCGCUAGCUGUUUUCUUAUUUAACUUUGUUCCCUUUUGCCAUCAGCUCUUUGCAUUUUCAUUGGAUCAAGCGGCCCUUUUCUUGUUUCAAUUUUUUAUCUCAAAAGCACUUUGAUUCUCUUCUGUUACACUGAUUUUCUCCUUAUUUUGCACAAAUAUCGUUUCUCUUUCCCAUUUAGCCUUGAUUUGCUUCUACUUGACUACCAAUUGCCCAGUCGUUGACCCUGUUGUAUUUUUAUUUCAUUCACUUCCAAUAGACCAAAAAAAAAAAAGAGAUGUUGAAUAAAAGCUUAAAAACUAAUUUGAUUUUUAAUAUGAUUUAGCUAAGAUGUCCAAUUUAAUACUAAGAGUAAUGUUAAGGAUCCUAAUAAUUGAGUCCCAACUGAUAUGGUAGUCAUUUAUUAGAUGAUGGAAAUAUAAAUUUUAUUAGUUGUGAAAUUCAUUAUUCAAUAAAAAAAUAACACAUAACAAUUAGGUCUCAAGUUAGUAUUUUACUAUUGGAAUUCCUAACAUUAUUCUAAUAUUAAAAAAUUCAUCAAAAUAAUAUCCGUUGAUGCUGAAAUCUAGUCGCCUUUGGACCGACCAGAUUGGUUCACCAACGCUUGUAUUGACAAAGGAAUAGAGGCUGCGAUCCAUUAGCUUCAACAAUUUCCCGAGCUUCUGGGACCCAAAUCACCCGUCUUCUUCCUUCCAGGCCUAUGUUCACAUAAACAAAUCAGAGAAGCCGGUGGUUUUUUGGGCAUAAACCCUUCGAUACUUAAGUUAGUACAAGGUGUUUACGAGAAAAGUUAAUGAUUUGUGUUGUACAUAUUAGUUGCAAUAUUCUCAAUACCAAAUGUAUCAAGGAUUUGGAUAUUUGAAUUUCUGAUUAUAAUUUGACAGAGUUUCCCCUUUACUCUCAAUUUGUGUCUCCCCCUUUUCAUUGAUUUCUUGGCCUUUUAUAGGCAAUCAUCCCAUGUUUUCUGAGUAUUAUUCAUGCCCCUCAUUUUCGGGUGAUGACGGACCUUCAUGGGUCUCCAACCACCGAAUCGUGGGUAAACGUGGGGCGUCAUGUUCUCCCCAACGGUUUGGGGCAUGACAAAACUGUCGUGAGUUUGUGAGAUCGUGUCCUCUUUCUUUGAAUAAUGAGUACUUGGUCGAUAUGUACAUCUGGUCGGUACUCGUUUCUAGUCGGCAUAUGCCCCGUACAGGAUGUAUUACCAGGAAUCUGCUCGUGCCAUUCAUCUGGGGAGAUUCGCCCCAGGGUGAGGGAAGAGGGGAUAGCUGAGCUGGUACUUUUCAUUACUCAACAAUAUCUAUUAUCUAAAAAAAUAAAAUAAAAAUCUAAAACCAUAGAUUUACUUUUCAAUCUUCGUGAUUUGACUGAUUUCUUUUAAAGCUUUGGUUUCUUUAGAAGUGCAAGGAGAAAUAGUAAUAAGAUUAAAAAAGCAAUGAAGUAAAACUUUAAAAUUUUUGUUUCUUUAUAUUUUUAUCGGUCAUUUUACCGGUACUGGCGUUUGAUUUUCUGACUAAGCUACUGUUUAGUUCUAAGUUUUGGCAAUUACCCGGACUGCUCUCUUUCGUGUAACAUCGACACAAUGAGGCUUUGCAUCUAAAAGUCGGCAGCCACGCAACUUCUUGGAAUCUUCGUGCAAGUGUUGGAUAUCGACCGUUCGAUAAUGACGGCAGCAUUGUUCUGGAGUGUAAUUGACGCAGUGGAAUAAGGAUCACAUGUCUCAAACUUUCGGUGAAGAUAUUGUUAGAUAUUUUAUUGAUUAAGGAUCAUUCUUUGCACUCAUUCUCAAUCAAGAAACGCAUAUGCUUUUGUUCAUUGUAGUCACUGCUGUUUUGUUAUUAAUCUUUGCUCCCUUUUGCUGUCAACUCUCUUGAAUUUCACUGGAUCAACUUUUCUCUUGGCAUCUGCUUUGUUGUAAUCUCCAGUCUUUGUUAAUUAGUCUCUCCGCUCGCAAUCCAGUUGUUGAACUAGAAACCUUUUCCUUGUUUCCAUCUUCUCAGCAGAUCCAUAACAGCUAUUACGAUUUCUUUCAUUUCUCCUCGUCCACAACCAGAUAAACUGUCCAUCUUUGCGUUUCUUUUUCUUUUUCUCCUCACUCUCUCUGUGUUUCGCUCAUUGUUUAUUUUCUUGUCAGAAACUUCGAAAAAAAGAAAAGGGAUUCAGGAUGGUGGAAAGCAUUGUUACUAUUGUUUUAGAAUUUGUGAAAUGCUUGGCUCCUCCAACAGAACGCCGACUUGGUUAUUUGCGUACUAUAAAGCCAACGUUGAGAAACUCGAGGCAGAAAUAGACAAGCUCAAGGAUGAAAGGAGAAGCAUUCAGCACAGGGUUUCUGAGGCUGAAAGAAAAGGGGAAAAUAUUGAAGAGAAGGUUGAGAAGUGGCUGGUUAGUGCGAACAUCAUCAUUGAGCAGGCAGCCAAAUUCAUUGAUGAUGAGAAGACAACAAAUAAACGAUGUCUCAUGGGCUUGUGUCCUAAUUUGAAGACCCGCUAUCAGCUUAGCAAGAAAGCAGAAACAAAGGUGAAGGCCAUUGUUAAACUCCGAGAAGAAGCUGGGAGAUUUGUUGAUGGAAUUUCCUACCGUACCAUUCCGGAGGAUAUAUGGCUCAAGUCUCACAAAGGCUACGAAGCCUUCGAAUCAAGACUUUCUACUUUAAAGGCCAUACAAAAUGCAUUGAUCGAUGUUGAUGUCAGCAUCAUUGGGGUGUACGGCAUGGGCGGCAUUGGAAAGACGACACUGGUGAAGGAGUUUGCAAGGCGAGCCAUUGAAGACAAGCUUUACGAUAUGGUGGUUUUUUCGGAGGUUACCCAAUGUCCAGACAUAAGAAAGAUCCAAGAGGAAAUUGCGGAAACGUUAGGCCUAGAGUUGUCCGAGGAAGCUGAGUCUAGAAGAGCUAGUAGACUAUAUGAAAGAUUGAAGAAUGAGAAGAAGAUCCUUGUGAUUCUCUAUAACAUGUGGAAACCUCUUGAUUUGGGGACUAUUGGCAUUCCUUUUGGAGUUGAGCACAGAGGAUGUAAAUUAUUAUUCACAACAAGAGAUCUUGAUGUGCUGUUAAGGAUGGGAUCUGAAAAAAACUUCUCGAUUGGCAUUUUAAAUGAACAAGAAGCCUGGAGAUUGUUCAAGAUAAUGGCUGGUGAUUAUGUUGAAAAUCGUGAGUUAAAAUCUGCAGCAACAAGUGUAGCCAAGGCAUGCGGAGGUUUGCCUAUUGCCCUAACCACAGUAGCAAAGGCACUGAGAAAAAAAGAGCUGCCUGUGUGGAAGAAUGCCUUGCAAGAACUCCAAACGCCUUCAGAGGCAAGCUUCGACGAAGGAGUACCAGCAGAGGCAUACUCAACAAUUGAGCUGAGUUACAAGUACUUAAGAGGUGAGCAACUCAAGAAAACUUUUUUACUGUGUAGUCUUAUUACGCCAGCACCAAUUAUGGAUUUGUUCAAAUACAGCAUGGGCUUGGGUGUAUUUAAAAGUGUCCAUAAGCUAGAAGAUGCACAUAACAAAUUACAUGCAUGGGUCCAUCAACUAAGAGACUCUUGUUUGUUGCUUGAGGAUGGUGGCAGUAAAUACAUUUCUAUGCACGAUGUUGUUCGCGAUGUUGCCAUUUCAAUUGCAUUUCGUGACAUGAAUGCAUUUGUGGUGAGAAAUGAGGAUGAUUGGAAAUGGCCAAAUGCAGAUGAAUUAAAAAAAUAUUUUGCAAUUUCUUUUAAAGAUAGUAUUGUUAAUGACAUUCCUGAAGGGUCGGAAUCUCUACAACUUGAACUUCUAUUCAUGUCUCCCAAGAACUCUUUUGCUGUGCCUAAUAUUCCUGAGAACUUCUUCAAAAGGACGAAAAAGCUUCGGGUUUUGGAUUUGACUAGAAUGCGGUUAUUGUCAUUGCCAUCUUCAAUUGGUCUUCUAGUAAAUCUUCAGACACUUUGUCUUAAUCAAAGCAUUUUGGGAGGCAUAGACAUAGCCAUUAUUGGAAAGUUGGAAAAUCUAGAAAUCCUUAGCUUUUUGCAAUCUGAUAUUGUAGAGUUGCCUAAAGCACUGGGUCAACUGACUAAGCUAAGGCUGUUAGAUUUAACAGACUGCUUCCGUCUGAAAGUUAUUGCCCCAAAUGUCAUAUCGAGCUUAAUCCGAUUAGAAGAAUUGUAUAUGGGUAAUUGCUUCAUUGAAUGGGAGGUUGAAAGAGCCAACAGCAAAAGAAGUAAUGCUAGCCUUGACGAAUUGAUGCAUUUACCUCGGCUAACUACUCUAGAAAUUGAUGUUAAAAAUGAGAGUAUGUUACCAGAAGGCUUUUUGGCCAGAAAGCUCGAAAGGUUCAAAAUACAUAUUGGAAAUGGGUUAUUCAUGCAUCCCAUGCUUUUUGGACAACAUUGGUUUAAAAGUCAGCUGCACUUUUUGAUCGACAGUAAUCGCAAGAUUUCAAGAGAAUUGGAGCUCAAGCUUGAUUUUAUGGACAUUUGCUCCAUGAAAUUGCAAGGCAUCAAUAACGUUGAAUACUUACGGUUGGACAAGCUGCAAGGCAUCGAGAAUGUUCUUUUCAAUUUGGACACGGAGGGCUUUUCACAAUUGAAGGUCCUCUGGCUUCAAAAUAAUCCUGACUUCUUUUGUAUCGUCGAUUCAAGGGAGAUGGUCGCUUGUGAUGCCUUUCCUCUGUUGGAGUCACUUGCCCUUCACAAUUUGAUCAACAUGGAGAGGAUAUGUAUUGAUCGGCUCAAAGUAGAGUCUUUCAACGAACUCAAAAACAUAGAAGUAUAUAAUUGUGAUAAGUUGAGUAAUAUCUUUUGGCUCUACUACAAAAUGCCUUCCAAGACUUGAGAGAAUUGCAGUUAUUAAUUGCAGCAAAAUGAAAGAGAUUUUUGCAAUUGGGGAAGAAGUUGAUAAUGCAAUUGAGAAGAUAGAGUUUGCUCAAUUAAGAUCUUUGAGUCUGGGGAAUCUUCCAGAGGUUACAAGUUUUUGCCGUGAGGUGGAGACUCCUUCAGCAUCACCGAACAGACAAGUGUCGCAAGAGGAAUCGACGACUAUGUAUUGCUCCAGCGAAAUCACUUUGGAUAUUUCAACUUUGCUUUUCAAUGAGAAGGUGCGUAGGCUAACAUUUUAUUCAUAUAUAUAUAUAACAGAGUUUAUUCUAUCAUGCGUUCUCUUAUGUCAAACGUGGAAAAUAAUUAAAUCAUUUAGAGAAUUGAAAGAAAAUGAAAACAAUGAGGAAAAAAAUAAUCUCACGCACUCACUAAUUGAGCUCUUAACAGGUAGUAUGAAUUAGAAUGUUAAUUUGUAAUCAAAGAGAAAUUUUCAACAAGAAAUUCUUAUCUUUUUAGGUUGCGUUGCGUAACUUGGAGGCUUUGGAGAUAUCUGAAAUUAAUGUCGACAAGAUUUGGCACUACAAUCAAAUUCCAGCGGCAGUGUUUCCUCACUUUCAAAGUUUAACACGAUUGAUUGUGUGGGGUUGUCACAAAUUAAAAUACAUAUUUUCAGCGUCUAUGAUCGGAAGCCUUAAGCAGCUCCAACGCCUAGAAAUACGCUCCUGUGAGGAUUUACAGGAGAUCAUCUCUGAAAACAGAGCAGAUCAAGUGAUCCCUUAUUUUGUCUUUCCACAGCUCACCACUUUGAUACUCCAUGAUCUACCAAAACUUAGAUGUUUGUACCCUGGAAUGCAUACUUCGGAAUGGCCCGCCCUAGAAAUUCUUUUAGUGUAUCGUUGUGACAGAUUAAAGAUAUUUGCGGCAGAUUUAUCGCAGAAUAAUGGGAAUGAUCAACUUGGUAUUCCUGCACAACAGCCCCUAUUGCCAUUGGAAAAGGUAUGAAGCCAUUUUCUAGAUUUUUUAUCUAUAGCUUAUUUUUAACUUUGAAAAAUAUGACAAAGUAUUGAUAAAUUAAUGCUCAAUAAAUUGAAAACUUUUAUUAUACAAUAAUCUUUGCUAGUCUAGACUAAGGGAUCAAUGUGGUAGAUUAAUGAUUAUAUAAACUUUUUUAGGUAUAGCAUUUGUAAAAGAAUCUUGAGUCUUUCCAUAUAGAAGAACUUACAAAAUAAAUUAGUAAUUUAUUAUUGUGCAGUAAAAUAAUUUCGAGUCAGUAUAAAUCAACCUUUUUUCCCUAAUUUCUUUUUUACCUCUAAAAUUAACAUAUAAAAAAUCAUUUAAUAAAUUUUAUCAAUAAUUCAAUUUUUUUAAAUAUAAUAUAAAACAAAUACUAUAAACUCACUGCUUAUGAUUGGAUUACUCAAAAUCAUUUGAGAAAACAUCAAUUGACCUUAUUAGUUAUUAUGAUUGAUGAUGAUCAGAUCUUACCCAACUUGACGGAACUAUCACUAUGCGGAAAAGACGUGAAGAUGAUUUUGCAGGCCGAUUUCCCACAACACCUUUUUGGCAGUCUUAGAGAUCUAGGGAUUGCUGCUGAUGACUCAGCUUGUUUUCCAAUCUGGAAUGUACUGGAGAGAUUUCACAAUCUCGAAAUGCUCGUACUGUGUUAUUUUUCAUUCCACGAAGAGGUAUUUUCGAUGGAAGGAUGCUUAGAGAAACAUGUGGGGAAGUUGGCAAUGAUAAAAGAAUUAGAGCUGUACCGGCACUAUCAUCUGAAGCAGCUGUGCAAACAAGACACCAAAUUUGGCCCCAUCUUUCAGUAUCUUGAAAUUCUAAGAGUAUAUCAUUGUCAAAGUCUGUUAAUUCUAUUGCAAUCAUCAUCGGUAUCUUUUGGGAACCUAACAAAACUUGUAGCUUUCGAUUGCAAGAAAUUGAUACACUUAGUAACAUCCUCCACAGCAAAAACUCUAGUGCGACUCGUAUCACUUUGUGUAUACGGAUGCAGAGCAAUGACAGAGGUGGUAAUAAAUGACAAAGACGGGGUUGAAAAAGAAGAGAUUGUUUUCCGCAAAUUGAAGAGGUUGGAACUGCGUGAUUUAGACAGCCUCACAAGUUUCUGCUCUGCCAAUUACACCUUCAAAUUCCCAUCUUUGCAAGAUCUAUCUGUGAUUGGUUGUCCCAAAUUCAAGAUUUUCACUACAGGAGAAUCAAGCACGCCUCCGAGAGUAAACGUCUGGUAUGGAGAGACAUCGAAUCAACGGCGUUGGGCUAGUAAUGAUCUUAACACGACCAUACAACAAUUACAUGCUGAGAAGGUACGGAUAUACGUGUUACUCUCUAUCUCCCAUGGAAAAAUUUUACAAAAUUUGCUUUUUCUUUUUAAAUAAAAUAUGGAUAAGAUAUUUGUUAUAAAGUUAGUUUAAAUUGAUGAAUAAGAAUUUUAUUUUCAGCUGUUGGCGGGGUCGUCGUCAUACUCUGUGGAUUACGACUAAUUUCAUAGGCUUCUUAUGACUUGGAGUUACGAAUUUGAAGAAGAAAGUCCCAGCUGGUAAUUAAUUCUUAUUUUAUUUAUUUGAUCUCGUGGGUUGUUUCACAAUUUCAUCUCAAUUGUUUAGAAUGGGUCACUUGGUUUACUGUCAAUAUGGAAUGCACUUUUCAUGAUUCGUUCAGGCUUUUAUGGGCAGAUUUUGCGUCAUUGAGCGUCUUUUGGUCUAAUUUAAUUUAAUUUGAGUAUUUUGUUUUGAGAGUUCCCUUGUUCUCUAAAAUUUUAUAAUUCCUUGCAAGCAUUUUAUGUUGAAAUUUCAAUAAGAGGGGCAACACUUGCAUGUUGAAAGUGUUCAGAUUUUAUAAUUCCUUGAAAUCAUGCAAACUUUUUUCUUUCUUUCCUUGCCAAUUAUUUAUUGUCAUCGUUACUGUUCCGUUAAAUUUGUUUGUGCUCUGUUUGUUCAUUGGAAACUUGGAAGGCAACGAAAGUACUUAAGAGAAUGUUCUUGCCUAUUAACACAUAAUUAAGAACAGCUGAAUAUCAUUCAUCGGAUAAAAAAAAAAAAAUCUAAUUAGCCCGUCAUGCCUACAACAAAUGCUUAAACCAUCAAAGGUUAGCUAUGAACAAAUAUAUUAUGGAAAUAUUGUUUUAAAGCAUUCGAUAGAAUUUUCAAAAAUAUCAAGUUUUCACAAACCAAAAAGGGAACUAAUUUGGUCUAGUUUUGUUACAAGUAUAGAAGUACAAUAUUUUGUCUGUUAUUCUUGUUAAAAUUCUCAGCUCUGUGUUUGUAGAAUGUCUGGAUACUGAUAGAGAUUCAAGUCACUCUUCUUCUGUACAACAUUCGAAAUGAAGCCUUUUUUCCCCCUCCAUUCAAAUUUUAUGUUGUGAAGGGUUUCCGUUUCCAUCUUCAUGUGAUUUACUUCACCGUGUCGCUACAUCUAUGAUAGUGUGUGUUAUAUCCUGUCUGUUUCCUUUAUUUGACCAUCGAAAGUUCAAAGACAGUUUAUUCUAAAUAUGUGUAAAUUCAUUUUCUGUAUAAGCUCUUUGUAUGCAUUUUGACAUUUUAUUCUCAAUAUGUAUGACUUAAUGAGAGGUCUUUUGUUAUACAUAUGUCCCGAAUUUCUUGUGUAUUUUUAGAUUUGAUGAUGUAUUCUUGUCUCAUUGCAAGGUCUUAUAAUCACUGAUUCUCAUUUCUCGUAUACAUACGUAUAUAUGGGCAAGAAAUUUGGUAAAUGAUCUAGUCAUUUUCUCAGUAAAACAUCUAGUACUUUAUAUGUUGGAAGGGUACUAAGCAGCAGGCCAAGAUUUGUCAACUCAAAGAUCGUCAUGUCAUUUUUUAAAAAUAUUAAGGAAUUCUAAGGAACCUCAAGAGAAAAUUUAGAAAUACUAUAGGGACUACUUCUGCAUUGUUCAUUUUCGUAAUUACGUUCAUUAUUAUUUUUUUUUUUUCAAUUAAUCAAACUUCAGUUCCUUAGCAUUCAUCUAAUUAUGUACUUCAUCUGGAAAUCCUUAAUUUACUCAUCAAAAUGUGAACGCUAAGGAAACUAUGAAAAUAAAUAUAAAACUACUAGCUAAGUUUAUCAUCACAUAUGAUCAGCACUAGACUAUCAAAUAAUCAUAAAAGCAUAUAAAUUCAAGCUACUGUAUUAUUUGUAGCUUUCUAAUUUGUGUUUAUAAAGAAUUUAGUUAUGCAACAAAAAAAGGGGAUACGAAAGUAGCCAUAAAAAAUACUCUGUUUUGUAGUACUUCAACAUAUCUACUGGCUAAGAAGUAGCAUCACAUAUGAAAAUGUCGGCACAAAUACUCAAGCAAGUGCAAGUGUGUGGACGAGCCACUUGUGUUAUCAUGAAACUUAAUAUAAGUAUCAAAAGUUGGUGGAUUAUUGUGGUUUUCCUGCUUUAUCGUUUUUGGUUGAAUAAAAUAAUAUAAAGCUGUCGAUUCUGCAUUAAAGCAUAUGAUUUGUGAAGAUAUGAAUACCACAUCUUUCCAACUCCUCAACUCUUGAGUAAUUACUAGGUUCCCACCCAUGCAAACAUAUUUUCUUUCGAGAAAAAGGGAUGCCUGAUUCAGGGCAUCCGUUGCCUCGGUUUAUUUGAUUUUGUUUGGUUCAAUUGUGGUUCUGUUAUUUAGUUUUUCCUCUGAUGGUUCUGUUUCUCUGUAUAUUUCACUGGGUUUGCUUUGCUUCACAUCUUUCUUUCAAAACUAAGAAGGCAAGGAAAGAGAGUACUUAAUUAGAAAAUGCAAGAAGCAUAUAUUAAAUAUGCAUAUGGCUCAUGCUCUUGCCUAUGAACACAUAAAGAACAACUGAAUAUCCUUCGUCGGAUAACAAAAAAGAAAAUCUAAUCAUCCAUUUAUCCAUACAAGAAAUGAUACCAUUACUUUUAGCAAAUUGAAAGUGUUGUAUCUUUUUUAUUUAAAAAGUCUCUUAAGAUUUUUAUUUUUUCCGGUAAUUACACCUCCAAAUUUCCACAGCUAUAAUGUCAAUUUGUAAUUAUUUGUCCCAAGAUGCAGAUUUUCACUAGAGGAGAAUUAAUAAUUACGCUAUUUCGGCCCAGAGGACCAUGAAGCCCCUUGGGUUGUUGACAUUAACACUAGUGCGUUUACCAACCUAAACCUUCGGUUUGGUCAACAGUGUCUAAAUUGAACCUAUGGUGAAUGGAGGAAAAAGAAAAAGAGAUUUAUUAGAAACCUCCCCUGAAGUUUGAUAUAUUUUUAGUUUAAUAGAUUAUAUUUGUGUAUUCUCAAAUACCUCCCCUGCUGCUAGGGUUGGCAAUAGGACGAGAUAUGAUAGAAUUUACCAAUUACAGUCCCAUCCUGUAUAUGUAAAUGGGAUUAAAAAACAUAUCAGUCCUGUCCCUAUAUUUGUUUUUAGGACAAAAAAUAUAUCCUAAUCUCGUCCAAAAAGAGAUAGAAUCCUGUAGGAUCUCAUCCCAAUUAGAAAAUUUUUUAUUCUUAAUCGAUAAUGAGACGAGAUGGGACAGAAUUUGUCAAUCCUACUCCCGUCCUGCAUAUGUAAUUGGGAUAAAAAAAAUCUCACUCCCGUCCUUAAAUUUUUUUAUGGAAUAAAAAUAUGUCCCAAUUUCAUCCCAUCAAAAAAAAUUAUCAUUCCUAUCUGGCGCUAGUAUACCUUUCUUAAUACCCCUAAUUUAGAAAAAAAAAAUUUGUAUACUGAAAAUAAAAAAUUGUUGGUUAGUACCAGCAUGUUUGUUUUGGUGCCAAGGGAUGUGAAUGCAAUGAAAAUAUCAAAUCAUCCCCGUUACUUUCCAAAAUGACUUUGAUAAAUGAAACAAACAAAAGAUUUAAGUCAAAUAUCAAAGAAUCAGAGGGAAGCUGUUUUGCACUGGCCUAAUUGCUAUGCUGUCUGAAUCAAAUUUCGUUCAAUCUUGGUGUCCCUCUUUUAUUCAAUAUAAGAAGAAUGAAAAAAGUAGGUUGUUUUUUACACAAGUGAUAGAAAUACUUCUGAACUUUAGACAGUGUAACACCAUACACAUCAAAGAAAUAAGACAACAAACCAAUUCCCAUACAUAAAGCCAACAAAAUUACUAUUUAGUACAAGAGAUGCAACAUAAUUUUAAAUUUUAUUCCUCAAGAGCUACAAGUGAUACAAAUGAGUACACAAAUCAACCAUCUGUAGCUUAACCAGAAGUUGAUGCGAAUGCAUGAAAAUGAAAAAAGCCUACGAAUAGUAUACAUGGUAAGUAUGACUAAGUAAAAUAACAAUUCUGAUUGAUAAUACCACCAGCAACAGGACCUUCAUACCCUCUCUUUAUUAAUCACUAGUUGGUAUGCUAUAGCCCAGCCAAGUGUAAAAUGAAUGGCGAUCGAGCUCUUGAGCCUCUUUAUACCCUCCAUAAGUUGUCCUCAACUUCAUCAAGGACUGCAAAUAUAUUAAGCAAUAGAAAAAUAAUCGUGAUACAUUGAGUAACAUAUGGAGCAUGCACCUGCUUUAUAAAUAUCCAAGAGUCUGAAGAUAGAUACAUGGAGCUUGAUUUGCCAAAUGAUCUAUCAAAAAAGCCUCAGUGCAAAAUCUUCAUCCAUAUUCCAAACAAAACCAGGCAUAUCAAUCCUCUGCCAGGCGACAAUCCUAUAUAUGUAAAGCUUCUUAACAGGGAGCUCCGGCCUUUAAUCUGGGGGUCUCCUCUCGUCAAUAACUUAAACAUUCAGCGUGAUUUUCCAAAGACACUGCAAUUUUCAUUUAUAACUCAAACAAAUAAGACAGGACUUAUCUAAAGACACUGCAAUUUUGGACAUUGGCUAACAAGUGUGAUUAGGUCAAGACUUUGUAUAGUGGCAUAGCUCAUAUUCAAGGUUAUUAGGCCAGAGCAAACAAAAUUGACAGAUCACACUAUUUGAGACCAUAAUCAGGUUGCAUCUACAACUCAUUUUCCAAAAUUAUACCAAUCUCUAACCCAGUACAUUGCUAAUCAAUAUUCCUGAUUAAUAUAGGCAGCAAUGACUGUAUAAACAAUUAUUUCCAGCCAACCAGGUAUGCUAGAAGCCAAAUCUAUAGUAGAGAAGGUUUUGCAGAUCUCCUAAAAAAAAAUCUCAUCUUCAAUUUAACAAAAACUAGCAUGAAUCUCUGUUCAAUAAUCAGCAGUAAUACCUUAAACAAAUAAAAAAAUUUCAGAGCCAUUUUCAAUCUGUCACACGGCAGCAUAACAAAUCACAAGCCAUUUUCAAUCAAUCACAAGCUAACAUGCAUUUGCAACAAUCAUUCACCUACAACUAACAUUAAUCGAUGGAAAAAAAUGUAAGCGACAGAAAUACUCUAAAAAAUUUUCGAGACCCAUUAUUCUUUUUUCUAUUUUUUUACCAAAUAGAGUGACCAUGUCGUGCUGUGAAAUUUGAUAAGAAACCUCGACGUGUUUGUUUUGUUACUGUUUUGGGACUUUCAUUUGGUUUGCUUGUUAAUUUUAUUAUUGGUUCGGUUUCGGUUUUCAUUCAUCCCAACCGAAAUGAAACCGUCCAAUUUAGGUUAUUGCACAACCGAAUCAAAUAUCGAACCGAAUCUGAUACGGUUCUUCAAUUUUCUGCCCACUCCUACUUCAUGACAAUAAACAACAAAAACAAAAUCCAUAAUAUAGCUUUUGAAUUCUUAAAAGGGGGGAGAAAAAAAAGCACAGGUGAGUAAGCUAUUAAGGUAAGAAGUUGAGAUUAGACACGUAUCAGUAAUAUUGAUAUUUAAAUUUUACUCAAACAACUCUAAUUCAAAAUAUGUAGAAACAAUUCAAAAUAACAAUAAAAAUUAAAAAAAUAUUAUUUCAAGGAAUCCAAACAGGGUAUAUGAUGAGUAUGAUGCUGUUUUAAAUUCUCAACUGAGGAAAAACAGAGAUAGAGAAAGAACAUACUAUCAACACCAGCAAAGGCUUUGGAUUCUUAAGCAGGUGGUGAUGCAUGGUUUGUCAGGAGGUGGAGAUGGAAUUCUGAUUUGUUGUUGGCAAUAGCACACGAUUUUUGGCAGAUUCGGGCGAAAUUACAUUCUUAUAUAGAACCGAGGAAAGGGUGCUGGCCAAUAAAUGAUAAAGGCCUGUAUAAAGAAAGACAAACAAUAAUGUGGGCUUUAGAGAAUCAGAAACUUGAUAGAAGAGAAGGGGAAUAUCAACAAUUAUUUCAGAAGAAAGAAAAAGAAAAAAGCAAGCACGCUUGAAAAUUUUUCAAGAUAAUGAAACCGCAUUAAUUAACAGGUUAAAAUUUUUUGUAAGAUUACUGGUUUCUAAAAAAUUCUAUGAACCUUUCAGUUUCACAGAAAGAGAGAUAAAGACAAAGACAGUAGUCUACAUUAAAAGCACUUAAAAAAUCCAGUGCAGAAUACAUCUCUAAAAGUACUACAAAAUAUAUACAAGUAAAUAUUUAUAAAAGAAGCAUUGAAACGAGUCAGAAUGUGACCCACCGUGUGUCCUUGACUGUAUAUAGCAUUAAAGCAAUACUCCCCUAGUAUGAUAUGCGCACACACAAUUUAUAUAGACGCAUAAAACAAAAACAGCACAAAUCUUAUUAUUUGUCUUGCUAAAACCCAAGAAAUAGCUUAUAAGAUGAAAUGGACUGCCCAUGGUUCAUACAAAGAAAAGAAUAAGCCACAUAUUAAUUGAAGCUAACAACAGACAUAAAAUGAUAAAUGAAAAAUGCUCACCUUCAGAAUGAAGUCAAUGUAAUGAAGAGCUCAAAUUCAGUUCUGCCACCUGAAAAAAUGUGGUAUUCACCAGUAACUUUAACCCCAUUUUGCUAACCCUUAACUUCUGCAAGCUUUGUGUGGGGAAAAUUAUAAUACCAAAUCUAUCCCACACAGCAUGAGAACAAAUCUUAGCCCAAGUGAAUUAAAAGUACUCAAGUAUAUAUUUUAUAAUGCAUAAUAUAAGAUCAUACCCUAUCCCUGCUUUGGGGCCACUUAAUUGAGUGUUUGUAUCCUUCCGGUAAAGGAGCAAUACAGGUACAAGCUUCUUCAGGGCAAUACCUCUCUCGAUGUUCAUAAUGCUUUUGUGCUGGAAAGCAUUCUAAUUGCUUGCAAAUUGUCCAGGCAAGGGAUGCAAUCUGGCCUAGCAGUGGCAUUACACACUUUCCAGCGAUGACCAUACGGGUCCUUAGAUAUAGAAGUUUGUUGUGAUAUUUUCUGAUUCUAUGACUCAAUAGGUUGAGUUAAGCAAGCCCCAUUCUGAGCAUUAGUUUCCUUCAGAAUUUCUGACUAGUCACCAAAAGGAAAAAUCUCAGUUGAAGCCUGAUCCUUUCAACGACUCUCAGUGUCAUUAUCUUGAUCUUGAGAAUCCUUCUCCUUUUCAAUCUGACUAGCCUCAUCCAUUUAUUUUCAUCCAAGCUCUUCUCUGAUUCAAUUUGCUCAAUUUUAUUCAAUUCGCCGCCUUCUGUUUCUCCAGCUUCUGAAUUCGAAUCUCCACCUUCACUUUUAGAUUCCUUAUCUUCCCUUUUUCUAACAUCGUAAUUUUUAGACACCACCUUAGAUUCCUCUUCAGACUCAGUAUUCUCAUCAAAACUCUCCUUCACUAAAUUCUCUUCCUGGUUUUGAUUAACCAUAUUCUUAGAUUCACUCGUCUCACCAUCACCCUCAUACAUAUUCAUCUCUUCGUAAUUAUCUUCCACUCUAUUCUCUAACUUUUCAACAGGAACAUCAUCCCCAUCCCCAUUUGUUGAAUCCUGUCAUUCAUCACCUUGAUUUUCUACGGAAGGCCCAGAAAAAUCUCAGAUACUCUCUGUUUCACUUUGCUUAUAGGCUCUUAAGAGGACAACAUCCUGGAUCCCACACCAGUACAACUGAUGAUGACAUUAACAUCCAAACGCCAACCAGAAAACGACCAACAAACACUACUACAGUAACCAUUGAACAAAGACAAUAUCACAGGUUCUUUAGCUAUUUAAUAUUCCAUCAAAUAUAAUUAUAUAAUACCUACCAAGGAUUUCCGAAUAGAAGGCAUUCUCAUCAUUCUCAUCUCAAGCAGCAACCUCACCAGUAACACAUUUUCAUAUCAUGUUUCCACCACAGGUCGCACAUAUAGAAAGAAUGAAGUAUUAAUUAGCUUCAACAGAGCCUAUUUCUUUAUUUCUUUUUUUCCCAAAUAAACCUUCAUUCUUAUACGUAUAAUUAAAAUAUCAACUGAAUAAACAAAGUCUGUGAUUACUAGUACAACAUUUUCAUUUUCAAGCGGAGCUAGAUAAGAUAUCGAUGUCUGUCAAAUAAACCUAAUUUAAUCUUGAAACCAUAAACUGCACUAAGCAUAGCAGCAAAGCCAGAGCCUGACUAUAAAGAAGAUAAUAUAUAUAUAUAUAUAGAGAUUAAACUUUUGUUUUAUCUUCCACAAGCAAGAAAUUCGACUGGAACAUGAAAUUUUUAACAAUCUUACAAACAUUAUACACAAAUCUCAAUUAACGGCAAAUAGGGGGAUGAAUCACUGACAUCACCCAAUUCAUAUAUUCAAUUAAUGUAUUCCCACCCCAGUCAGCAACGUGCUACCACAGUUGAUUAGUUAUUAGGGAUAAGGCUUACCGCAAAGAACUGAAUGGCGUUAUCUAAAUAAUGAGUUGAAACGGCAUCUGCAAUCGCAUUAAAUGGCAUUGAACCGAAAGGUAGGGUUUAAAUGAAUGUUGGCCUGAGACAAAAGGGCGUGGCAUAUUGGGGUCUUAUGGCUUCGUUUUGUUUCAAUUGACGGAGGGAAGCUGAGCGAAAGCUUUGAUAUGUAAAUUUCAGCUUAAUUUAAGCUAGGGUCUUCUUUCGAUUGAAACAGAAAAAGAUUUUGGGUUAUUAAAGUGAAAGAGAUGGAAUAAUACAAAAAAUUAGCAAAGUGAAAGCGAGGGAAUACAAGAUUUAUUAUGGGUCCUAAGAGCUGAAGGCAAUUCGCCAUGGUUCUGAUAUACGGAAAACUUUCUUAGCUUUAUCGGUGGUGGAAGUGAGGGUUAGGGCUAGGGUUCUACACAAUGUCGUUGAGAAUGGCUCAAAGUUCAUUGAUUUUAGGUUGCGGCGAGAGAGGGGUUUAUUCAACACUUGUCGAUAUUUGGCUGAAGUGUUGGUAUGUUUUAAGUUUCAUAAAAACGACGUCGUUAAUUUAAACGUCAUCAUUUUAAGAUAUUAUAAAUCCACAAAACUUGAGCAUCACUUAUAUCUAUAAUUUAUUUAUGUUAGUUAAGUUAUAAGUUAUGAAUAUGUCAUAAACUCUAAACAUAUGAAUAUAUGCCACACCAAUAAAGUGUUGGCUCCAUUAGCAAUGGAGUCCCCUUAAGUGGCUUGAUUGGGUUUGCUCCUCAGUUCUAGUUGCAGGGAAGUCGCCUUUGUUGAGAGAACUUGUGCCUCCCGGUUCGAGCGGGGACUUCUAAUAUGGGUUGUGGUACGGGCUUAAAAGUGUCUCCCACAAUUGGGGCCCUCCUCAAAAUACCUCGUGGUUAAGACAAAAUAUAUAUAUAUAUAUAUGUCACAAAUCUAUCACACUUUCAUGAUACAUUUGUGACGUAUCGAAGGUUCAUGUCAUUCCUCCGGUGCAACAUUCGAAAUAAGGCCAUUGCCCUUGUGAAAUUUGCAUUACUUCUAUUGAAAAUCUACAUAAUAAGAGCUCUCCCGUUGCAUUUUUCGUUGUUUUGCUUUUGCUUUACUUUAAUGUGUCGCUACAUGAACAAGUAUAUUGCAACAUAUGUACCAUCAAUUUUGCUAUGUCUUAUUCCCAAUUUUAUAUAAUACAAAUCAUUUUGAAAUUAUAAUAACAACAACGGGGUCAAGCACAUUUUGUGUCUUGAAGAUUUGCGAGGGCUCCAUCCUACAAAGUUAAAUUAUUAUUGUUGUUGUUGUUAUUAUUAUUAUUAUUAUUAUUGAUGACGAUGAUGUGCUGUUGAUGUUUUUAUUAUUUGAGAGAUGGUAGAAUAAAGUUAUUCAUUUUGGAGCUUAACAGUGGAAAAUAAGGAAAACAAGAAAAAAGUUGUAUUCGUGUUAAUUUCCUUUGUCAUUUCUUGUUUCUAGAAAUAUUUUUGCUUCGUUUAUUCUAUUUUAUUUGCUUAUUUCAUUGGGCUUGCUUCACAUAUCAUAUCUAUCUUUCUUUCAAAAUUUGAAGGGAAGGAAAGUACUUAGAAAAUGCUCUUGCCUAUGAACAUGUAAGAAAAACUGAAUAUCAUUCAUCGGAUAACAAAAAACACUAAUCAGCGCAUAAUCCCUAGAACAAAUAAUUAAACCAUCAAAUGUUAGCUAUGAACAACUAUAUAUCCUAUCAUAUUUAACUUCUAUUUAUGGUCAUAUCCCUAACAUAUUUAGAGUGGUUUUGGAAUUUUGAUUACAUCUGAGCUUUCUCAAAAGCAGAUGCUGUGAAAUGAAGUUACUAUUUGCUUUUCAAAACUGUUAAUAAUGAUAGUAGUUUAGAAACUUGAACCACCACCUACGUGAGUCUGUGAAUUUCACCUUUUUGUUUGAUAAUUGGAGGUUUUCGUUUAAUGCCUAAAUUCGUAAACUGUGGAAACGUUUGAAAGCAUCUAUAGCAUAUUCAUUAAAAUCACGUUUUCACAAACCAAAAAGGGUACUAAUUUGGUCUCGAUGUGUGAAAAGUAACACCUACCUAGCCAUCCAUCAGGUAAGUGAAUAAGUAUAAAAAUAUUAAUAUUUUCUCUGUAGUUCCUAUUAAAAUUGUCUAUUAUAGUUGCAGAAUGUCUAGGAAGUAUAAAAGGAUGUCGUUCAAACAUGAUUAAGAUAGAAAGGGAAAAAAUAAGUAAUUAUCCAUGGACCACUUCAUCUUUUAGCCUUUAUAAAAAACAUACAAACAUUUUUUAUUGUUUUCAACAAUCCAUCUAAUAUUUACAAACUGCAUCACAGCUCCACUACUAUCAUAACCCUUUAAAAAUGUUGCUUAAUCACGAGAACCUAUUACUUGUAAAUUAUUUUUCAAGCAAAUGCAACAAUAGAUCUAGUUUUGAUCUGGGUGACUUUUAAGUGUACAGAAACGAGGAGAACGACCUUAUGUCAAGUUGAAGGAUUAAGAUAAAUCAAUUACAAAUCCAAACAAAACUUAUGAGUGACAUUUUAGUAUUAAGCAAACCUACCAUAAUUAAUCAUCCAGUGAUAGGUUUGUUUUCAAUUAGAGUAAUGAUAGAUAUCUCAAAAUAUUUUAUCCCAAAUGGUGUGUCAUUACUUGAAUAGUAGGUAAUUCUUUCAAGAUUUGAGUGAAUUAAUUGUAUUAUCUCUUCAAUCUAUUGAUAAAUACCAUAUCAUUUGAGAUAAUUUUUUAAGAUAAAAGAUUUAGGAUGUGUGGCACUACUCAUUAAUUAUGCAACUUAAAUGCAAUUUUUUUAAAACCAUUUAUUUUCAUUAAAUUUUGAGCCAUUAAUGAAAUAAAUAUAAGUAAAGCUAUUUGAACCUACUCAUUUUCUCACUACAUCAUUUAUUUAAUCAAAUUAAAAUUUAAUUUUAAAAUAUAAUUCAUUAAAUUAUUUGUUUGACUUUGUUCUCUCUCUCUCUCUCUCCCUUCCUCUCUCAUUCUCUCCAACCAUUUUUUUUUUGUUUACAUAGACUAAAUAUUUCAAUUAACAAAUAAAAUUGUUAUAAAGAAUAACAAAUUUAACCAUAGACACCAAUAUUAAUUAAUAAACAAAAAAAUUGAAGAGUGAUAGAAUUAAAGUCUGUUAUACCACAAUUUGCUUUACUUUUAUAUUUUUAUUUUAGUGCGGAUAUGAUGUAGACAUUAUUUUAGGAUUUUAUAAUUUUUAUUAUUUUAUCGUUUUCUAUUUUAAUUAUAGUCAACUAUGGUAUAUGUCUUAGUUUUUUUAUUUCUAUUAAAAUUGUGAUUUAGUUUUUCUUUUUAAGUUAACUUAGUGAAGUAGGUUUAUUAUAUUAUAAAUCAAAAUCUUAUUAUUGUAACUUCAACUAUUGAUCAACUAAUAAAGCCCUUUUUAAUAAUUCCCUCUAAAAUUAUUUAUUAAAAUCUCUCUUGCAAAGUUAUUUAGAUUAAAACGUCGUCUAAUCUCGCUUUAUGCGUUAUUAAAAUCUCAUUGAGCCAUUGUUAGAAUGAGAUCUACUCACGUUUCGAUUAGGACGUAAACUAUCCACAUUACCUUAGCCAGUAUUAGAACAAUAGCUAAUAUUUCCGACCUAUCAAUUCCACUUCCGCUAUUCCAAUUUGUUAGUUUGUAUUAGAGUGGUUCAAUGCCAAUUGCACAGUUUUCCUGGCUACCCAUAUCCAUCCCCACCAAAUCCAUCAUUGUUUAUGCAACAAAAAAAUAUUACAAAAUUACAAAACCUUAGCAGCCGCCCACCGCCAUUUCCACUCUCCACUAAUAGUUCAUCAUUGGCUAAUCCAUCUACCAAACUCAUUAGCCACUACUGACCAAACCUUAGCCACUCCUGCCAUCAAUCGCCGCUUGUACCUACUAUAAAUCAUCUAGACCUAAAAAUUGGGAGCAUCCACCAGCUGCCACCGUGAAACCAACCAUCUUCACUGUCAACCAACACCACCACUAAACUUGCUAGAUUCCACUGGUCAUAACUUGACAAAACCCACCAAUGAUCACCGCCAUAAAUCGCCACAACGCUAACCCAAAACCCGGGCUUCACCUAGCACCACCGCAAACGCCACUUUCUCAUUGUCGAUAUCCAAAUCGCAAUUGAAAUCUCUAACAUGAAUGAAGCACCACAUAUGCCAAUUCAAGUCAACUUUUUGACCAAACCACCGUGAAUCCAGCCAAUCCUCGGCCAUUGUCGAGUUUCUCACGACCAUAUCUAGCAAAUCUAACCACUAAGGUCACCAGCCCCAGCGAAAGAAACUCUAAAGGAUAACUUUAAUCUUAGGUGUUCAAGUAAAAUGGUAAUUUUAAUCUUAUGACAUCAACAAGAUUCUAACGAGCUAAGAUGACAGUGAAUAAUUAAUAAACUCUAGGUGGAUUUCUACAAAGAAAAACGUUUCUGUGUAUUUUUAAAAAAGACCCAAAGACUACAUGGUUAGUGGAUAAUUUCCUUUUUUGUUCUUAUUUUCUACUAUUAUUAACAAUAAAAGUUUUUCAAUAGUAAUUGUUCCAACCAUUAUAACAAUUAUUAUUGUUAUUGCUGUUGUUGUUGUUGUUGUACAACAAUUGUGAAAUUCUAUCUACACAACCCAGGAGGGCGGUGAAUUGGCUAUUAAAAUUAUACUUACAAAAAUACAAAACAAAUUAAACAAAUGCUUUAAGAAAUUUAUAAUAGCAAAAUUAAACAAUGAAUGCAAUUAAAAAAAUAAAGGAGAAGAUAACAAACAAACGAAUUUUUAUGUGUUUCGACAAAACUCGCCUAUGUUUAUGCCGCCGAGCAAACUAAGUUUGAGGAUUCCACUAUCCAAACCUUCUCAGGCUCCAAGAUUUUACAAUUGACUUUUAAUGUGUCAAUAAACUUUUAUAGUAGUAAUGUGUACACAUACCUCUUUCCCCAAGUGUUUCCCACACUUAUACUCAUAAAAUUUUGAUAUUUAAUUGAAGAUUACAAAGAUUAAUCUCUAUAAGAGUGUAUAAGCAAAUGAUAACUCAAUAAUGAUUUAAUGCAUGUAGAUAAGUAAAAUGAAAGCUCAAGAUUAGUUGUAUGAACAAGUUUUAACUUAAUUGGGAUUGAAAAAGUUGUUAGAUUUGAGUUUGAUUUGGGUUCUUCUAGUUUAAACAAUCAAACUAGUCAUAAUUGACUUUUUGAGGACCCACUGGAUUGCUGCUAAAAUAAAGAAGUUAGUUGCUAUAUUGAUGUGGCAAGUUACCGUUACAAAUAAAAUUUAAAAACUUUUUUGCCUAAGCAAAUCGUCGCCUGAUUUAAAUGGUUAGCAGCUAUGUUUUUGGACCUGAAGCAGUUAGCCACUAUUCGUUAAGUGGUUAGUCGCUACUGUUUCAAAAUUUAUAGAUUUAAACUAAAAGUUCCUAAAAUUAUACUAUGGCCUAAAAUUUUGAAAUAUUUACAAAUAGGUCCACUUCAAGAAUUUAAUACAUUACUAAUUAAUUUCAAAGUUCUCAAAACUUUUCAGUCCAUAAAUUUGAAAACAAUUAAUUUUAUAAAAUCAUUUUUACUUACGUUUAAAACUUUUAUAUUAUAGAAAAUGAUGAUUUAAUUUGAAAAUUGUAUGAAAAAAUAUCUUGAACUCUUAAAUACUAAAUCAUGCAUAAAUUAAAUCAUAUUAGCUUUACAAGAAAUAUAACUAUGAAGAUUGCUUAAGCUAGUACCUUUAGUAUUCAUCCUUGAUUGUUGUUGUCUAUUGAGUGACUUGAAAUUGAUCUCACUUGAAUGAUUUUUGUCCUUCAAGAACUUGUCAGAUUGUGAGAAAUAAAUUUAUCAUUUUACCUUAUGUGGUUUGUUAUCAUCAAAAUUAAGGAUCAUAUAGCCGUUUACCCCAACAAUCUCUCCUUUUUUUAUGAUGACAAACACCCUAUGUAUUUUGACAUUUCUAUUGCCCCUGAGUAUAUGACAUAAUUCAAAAAAUAUAACCAAAUAUAUAAACUCACUCCCUCUAAGUACAUGAUCCAUAUAAUUGUACAACAUUUGUAAACUCUCCUUGAGUGACUCAGAAAGUAACUAAAAUACUACAAACACUCAAUCAACCCCCAUGAGCCAAAAACAUGUCAAAACACUUCAAAAUACAUGUCAAUAUCUUCUCCCCCUUCAUCAUGAAAAAUCACUCCUCUAUUAUACAAAUAUUAUCAAUAAUUAUCCCCUACAAAGAUCAUCAAUCGAAAAUCCACACAUGACCAUUAAUCAAGUAUCCAUAUACAUAAUCCAUAAUCAAUAAAGAUAAUCCAUAAAGAUAAUUAAUAAAGAUACCACAAUCAAUAACUAGAAUGCAUAAAGAUAAUCCAUAUCAACUCAAGUAUCUAUAAUGCAUAAGUAAAAUAAAAUCCAUCAAGUAUCCAUAAUGCUAAAAACGAAAAUGCAUAUGAUAAAUAAUGUCGGUGCAUAAAACAAGGAAGCAAAAGAGAUAAAAGAAAAUCACUGAUGAGGCAGCAAACAUGAUAAUAAGGAUGGUGGCGAAAAUUUGAGAGCAAUGAAAAUAAGCUGGUGAUGGUCUAGAAUUUGUUGUUGUUGAAGAAAGAGACGCUGCUGCUCAGAAAGAAAAUGAUCCUGGAAUGCUGCGAACGAUAUCUUAAGUUCGUUUUACUGUUCGGAUAUGGAACGCACUUUAUUCAACAACUGCUGGAUUGGGUUAUUGGGAAUGGCUGAAGAUGAUGAUGGUGGAGCAUCAGAAGGCCAAUGUAGAGCUUGUGACCUCAGGGAAGAACUAAGAUCAAGAACCCAGUAAGGGGAAGCACAUCGUUAAAGAUGCAAUGAUAAAAAAGAGCCAGCUUUGUGGGUUUUCUCAACAAGUUCUAAUUUUUAACCUAUUGGUCAUCUACCCACCCAAAUCCUAAGCUAGCAAUGACCUCAUCCCUUAACUCCUUGGGUUCAUCAUGAGAUGGUUCAGCUAUAGGGACCCAAAAAUAUUGAAGGAUAUGGGUAAUGACACUACCAACCGAAAAGGAUAGGUUUCCUAUACUCAGUGUAUUAAGCAUGUGCUGAAUGAUAAUAUUCUCACAUUUAGCUUUUACCCUCAAGGAUGCUAUCUAAUAAAGUAACAUCUAAGCGUGUAACCUCAGCACCAUGUCCCUUGUGAGGACUGAUCACAAGCUGAAGGACAUUAUGUAGGAUCCGAACUUGAAGAGGCAACACUUGUGAUCUAAGAGAGGAGUUAAAAAGCUCCAUGGAUAGAUCAGAUCACCUACAUAUGUUUCGAACAUCUAUGUUUCAAAUAUCAUCUACAACUAAAUACCAGGGAUAAUCAAUUUUAAUCCUAGAUGUAUACAAAUGCAACCUAUCAUCUAGGAUUCAUGUUUAAAUCUUCUACAGUAAACUUAAUAGGAAUCCCAAUAACAUUAGUAAUAAUCAUGUUGGCAAUAUUUGUAGAAAUAAGCAUGUUCGAAUAAAAUACUCGUACCAAAUUAGGACAAAUAUGUUCCUUAAGAACUAAGACAUUUGUCCAACCCAAUUCAGCAAGUAAAGUUCUAAGAUUUUUGCUACAACUUGAAAAAUUUUCUAAUUAAUCAAGAUUAACAUAUAUAGUAUGGGAGGACUGACCUUGUCAUAAAUCGAUCAGAGAAUCAUUCCAUUGAGGCAGAUUUGGGAAGUGGGUGGAAAUGAAUUUCAAAAUGUCUUUAUGAAUCUUUUUUUUUUUACAUUUUAGGCAUAUGCUUACCCUUGGACUUCUCACCACUAGCCAUUAAGAAAUUAUCAAAAUGUGUCCAAAAUUGCACAAAUUCGAGUUCACAAAGUUUUUAAAGAAAUAGAUGAUUUUGAACCGAUUAAAAUGUUCUUUGAGAAGAUCUAAGGAAUGUAUGGGUUUAUUUUGGUCGAAAAUGGUCAAAUAAUGGUUCAAAUUUGAGAAUGUUGAAACUGGUGACUUAGGCUUUAAGAUUUUGAGAGAAGAAUGAUUAGAUUGUGUUUUAAAAGCAAAUGUGUGAAGAUUAAUUGAUGGGAAAUGAUUUGGAAAGUUUAAUUUGACACAAAAGUGAUGUAAAAAUGGAAGAUUUUAGAGAGAGAGUAAAAGAAAUGAGAGAUGACAGUGAUAGAGAGAGGGUAACAACUGAAAGUAGGAAAAAGAAGAUGAACAACAUUUGAAAAUGUGAAGCCAGCUAGCCUCUUGAAGAAAGCGGUUAACCGUUUCAUUUUUAGAAACCAAGCAAUUAACCGUUUACUUUGAGCCGGCUGGCCAGCUAGUUUCUGCCUCACAAUUGGCUAGUCGCUUGUGGUUAACGGUUAGCUAGUUCCUCUAAAUUUUGCAUGAUUUUGCUUUUUGGCCAAAAUUUAAUUAAUUUUGAGACCAUUUUGUGAUCCCGAAGUAUUUCAAAAGCCAUUUUUAAUGCAUAAGAUAUGAUGAUAAAUAUUCAAAGAAGUAAAUUCAAGCAUAUAAAACAUUAAAAUCAAGUUUUUAUCAUACAAUCAAUCAAGAUAGAAAAUCAAGCAAAUUUGUAGUCUCAAUAUCAUGCAACGAAAUAUUGAUGUGAAAAUGUCAUCAUUCCAAACUCAAUCCAAAUCUUUGAAAACUAUUCUUCACAAAAAGGCUUUGUAAAAAUAUCAACAAGUUAUUUUUCUAUAGAAACAAAUUCUAAAGCAAUAUCUCUCAUUUGAACAUGAUCACGUGAGAAAUAAUGCCUAGUUUCAAUAUGUUUGGUCCUAGAAUGUUGAAUGAGAUUCUUUGACAAAUUUAUUGAGCUAAUAAUUUAUAUGAGUUCCCUUAGACCAAGAUCAAUUGUUCCUCAUAAAUAAUGAAAAAUUAUUUUAACCGCAAGCAAAUGAGAUUCUUUGAGAUAUGGUUGAAAUCAUGCACACAAACAUACACUAAAGUAAUGUCUACUAGCAGUAAAGUAAAGUAAAGAUAUGAUCAUACCUCGAUAUCUUUUGAUACAACAUCUUUACUUUUUUUAUCCUUAUCGAGCUUGAUUGUAGUACUCAUUGGAGUGUCCUUAGUCCUGAAUGCAAAAUCUUUUGAGUAGAUCUCUGAAAUACUUGGCUUGAUUAAUGAAUUCUUUUUUUCUUUUAAAUUUUAAGUCCAAGAAAGUACUUCUAUUCUCCCAUCAUGCUCAUCUCAAAUUCUCUACUCAUGCAAGAUGAAAAUUCCUUACACAGAAACUCAUUAGUAGAACUAAAGAUAAUAUCAUCAAUAUAAAUUUGAACAAGUAUACCUUGAUCCUUGUAUUUAACAAAUAGAGUAGUAUUCGCUUUACCCAUUGAAAAACUAUUUUCUAAAAGAAAUUUACUAAGUCUAUCAUAUCAUGCUCUAGAUGCUUACUUUAAACUAUAUAAAACUUUGGACAACUUGUAAACAUGAUCCAAAAACAUUUUUCGUUUUUAAAAUGAGGGGGUUGUUUCACUUAAGCUUCUUCAUAAUACAACUAUUUAGAAAGGUGCUUUUAGCAUCCAUUUAAUAUAAAAUAAAAUCAUUAUGAUAUGCAAAUAAUAAAAGCAUGUAAUGGAUUCUAAUCUAGAUACAUGUGCAAAGGUUUCAUCAAAAUCAAUUUCUUCUUUUUGGUUGCAUCAUUGAGCUACUAAUCUAACUUUAUUCCUUACAACCACACUAGAUUCAUCGAUUUUAUUCAUAAAUACCCAUUUACUGCUUAUUACAGAUUGAUGUUAUGGUUUAUGAAUAAGUUUCCAUACAUUGUUUCAUUCAAAUUGAUUUAACUUUUCUUGUAUUGCUAUAAUCCAAGAUUCAUCAUUUUCCACAUCUGAAAAAGAUUUUGGUUCAACUUGAGAUAUGAAUACAGUAUGUUCACAUGUAUUUCUAAGUGAUUAUCUAGUAGUUAUACCUCAUGAAGGAUCUCCUAAGAUUAAGUCUUAGGGUGUGAAGAGACAUACCUUAGCUCCUUGGAGCGUGUUUGUGAAUUACCUUCAUUUUGAAUCUGUUUAACUUGUUCUUCUUGUUGCUUAUCUUGAUUUUUACCUCGUAAAUCAUCUUGUUUGUCUUUUAAAGACUUUUUGUUUUGUAACUCUUCAUAUGCAUCAUCAUCAACAACAACUUCCUUCAUAGAAGAAAAGUUAGAUUCAUCAAACAUAACAUGUAUAGAUUCUUUAGUGACCAAGGAUCUUUUAUUAUACACUCUAUAAGUUUUGCUUGUAUUUGAAUACCCAAGAAAAAUAUCAACAUCAGAUUUUAGAUUAAAUUUACCAAGAUUGUCUUUUGUAUUCAAUAGAAAACAUUUGCAACCAAAAACUUUAAAAUAGUCAAUGUUUUUUCUAUUUUUCCAAAGCUCAUAAGGAGUUUUAUUUAGGUAAGGUCUAAUCAAUGCACGAUUUAAAAUAUAACAAACAAUGUUGACGGCUCCAACCCAAAAAUAUUCUAGUAAAGCAUUUUCAUUUAACAUGGUCCUAGCCAUUUCUUGGAUAGACCUAUUCUUUCUCUCAACUACUCAAUUUUAUUGUGGAGUUCUUGGUGACAAGAAUUGAUGCUCAAUGCCAAAGUUAUUGUAAAAAUUUUCAAAAUAUAAUUUUCAAAUUCUCCACCAUGAUCACUUCUAAUGCAAGAAAUAACAUAUCAUUUUUUAUUUUGAACCUUUUUAUAGAAAUUUUGAAAGCAUUAAAGGUGUCAUCUUUAUUAGUUGAGAGUAAUACCAUGUGUAUAUAGAAUAAUCAUCUAUAAUUAUAAAUGCAUAAUAUUUACCACUUAAACUAGCAUAUUUAGAAAAUUCAAACAAAUCCAUGUGAAAAAGUUAAAGUGGUUUUGAAGUAGAAAUAUGAAUUUUAUUUUUAAAGGACGUUUUAUUUGUUUUCUAAAUUGGCAAACUUCACAAAUUCUAUCUUUUUUAGAACCAAUUUUUAGAAGACCUAUAACCAAAUCAUUUUAAAAAAAUUUUGAAAUCAAAUCCAUGCUCGCAUGACCUAGUCUUCCAUGCCAUAUCAACUAUCAUCAUGUAAUGUGAAAAAAAUAUUUAUCAUGAGUUGAUACACUAUCUAUAUCAAUGGUGUAUACAUUAACACAUCUUUAUCUAACAAAUAAAACUUUGCCAUCACAUGCAUUUUUAAUAACACAUUUUGUUUUAUAAAAAAUAACUCUAUAGCCUUUAUUACAUAAAAAUAACUUUGUAACCUUUAUCACACAAUUGACUAAUACUAAGCAAAUUCUAAAGCAAUAUAUUUCAUUUUUCUUUUUCAAAUCAUUUACAAGUAAACCUUUAUUCUUAGAUGAAACAUUUUGUUUUUUCUUUAAAAGAUGCAAUUUCUUCACAAAUACUUCUAGGCACUUAAUCUUUUUAUUCAAAGUGUCAUUCUCAUUUAAAAGUUCUACUUUUUUCUUUCCAAGAGAAACAUUUUACAUUUCAAUCUUCUUUAAAUCUUUAUGCAAUUUAGAGAAUACUUCAAACAACUCAUCCUAAGAGGUUUACCUCAUCAAGUUCAUCUUCUAUAAUCAUCUCCUAUAACCAUAAGUGCCAAAUUUGACACUUCAUGGGACUACUCUUCAUCUAUAGUCUCCUUAUCGCUAUCAUCCCGUGUUGCUACCAUGGCUUUCUUCUUUAAUUUUUUGAGAAAAGGACAUGCUAGUUUUAUGUGUCUAGGCUUCCUGCAUUUAAAGCAAGUAAUUGCCUCCUUCUUCUCUUUCUGAUUUUUGAAUUUCCUUCGCUCGAUGGAUUUCUUGAAAAUUAUUUUGAAUUUUCCAGCUAUCAUAGCCAUGUCUUCAUUUUCGAUCUCACUUUCGUUGUCACUUCUAGAUCUUGAUGCUUUUAAGGAAAUACUCUUCUUCUUCUCGUCUUCAUUAUAUUUUUUAGUUGUCAAAUCCUUUUCAUAAGAAAUAAAUGAACUAAUUAAAUCAUCAAUAGAUAAAGUAUCCUUGGCUUCCUUAAUGGCAAUUUUCUUAGGUCUCAAUUCUUUUGGUAAAGACCUACUGAUUUUUUUUACCUUCUCGCUGUUUGAAAAGGUUUUUCUAAGAGUUCCUAAAGUGUUUAUAAUGUCUGUUAAUCUAGUGUAUAUAGGAUUAACACUCUCAUUUUGUUCCAUUUAUAGCAAUUCGUAUUGCCUAGUAUAUUUACUAAUUUUAGACUAUUUGACUUGAUUUGUAGCUUUAUAAACGACUUUAUGUUUUUUCCAAAUUUCAUAAGCAUUGGAACAACCUUAAACUCUAUAGAAUUCUUUUUUAUCUAAGGCACAAAACAAAGCAUUCAUGACUUUGAAAUUAAGAGAAUCUUUUCUCUUUUCCGACUCAUUCCAUUCUUGUGAAGGUUUUAGAAUUUCUUUCCCUUCUUCAUUUUUAGCAGUAGGCAUGAAUGGACCAUCACAAUCAACUUCCUAUAUUUCAUAAUAUAAUGCUUGCAAAUAAAUUCUUAUCAUAAUUUUCCAACAUAGAUAAUCAUUCCCAUCAAAGAAUGGUGAUCUAGUAAGGGAUUAACCUUCCCCAAAUCUGGGAUCAUUUUGGAUUACUAUGGAUCUUUUACUCUAGAUGGUUAAGUCCUAACAAGAGAACUUCCUCUGAUACCAAAUGAAAUUCUAGCUAAGCAACCCAAGAGGGGGUGAAUUAGGUAUUAAAAAUUAUACUAACAAAAACACAAUACAAAUUAAACAAAUGCUUCAAGAAAUUUAAUAAUGGUAAAUUUAACUAUGCGUGAAAUUAAAAAGAUAAGGGAGAAGAUAACAAACACAUGAAUUUUUAUGUGGUUCGGCAAACCCGCCUAUGACUACGCCUCCAAGCAAUCCAAACUUGAGAAUUCUACUAUCCAAACCUUCCAAGGCUCCAAAAUUUUACAAUUGACUUCUAAGGUGUCAAUAAACCUUUACAAGUAAUUAUGUAUACACACACCUCUUUUCCCAAGUGUUUCCCACACUUAUACUCACUCAAUUUUGAUAUUUAAUUGAAGAUUACAAAGAUUACACUCUAUAAGAGUGUAUAAGCAAAUGAUAGCUCUAUAAUGAUUAAUGUAUGUAGAUAAGCAAAAUGAAAGCUCAAGAUAUAUGAAUAAGUUUUAGCUUAAUUGAGAUUGAAAAAAAUUGUUAGAUUUGAAUUUUAUAGUUUAAACAAUCAAACUAGCAAUUAUUGGCUUUUCUAGGGACUUGCUGGAUCGCCGUUAAAAUGAGGCGAUUAGCCACUAUGUUGAUAUGGUAAGUUACAGUUGCAAAUCAAAUUUGAAAACUUUGGUUCAAGCAGAUUACCACUUGAUUUAAGCGGUUAGCUGCUAUGUUUUUGGACUUGAAGUAGUUAGCCGCUAUUGGUUAAGCGAUUAGCCACUAUUGUUCUAGGAUUUAUAGAUUAGACCUAAUUUUUUUGAAAUUAUAUUACGACCCAAAACGUUUGAAAUAUUUAUAAAUAUGUCAAUUUCGAUGAUUUAAAACAUUAUUAGUUGAUUUCAAAGUUCUCAAAACUUUUCAAUUUAGUCCAUAAAUUUGGAAAAAGCAACUAAUUUUAUAAAAUCGUUAAAACUUUUAUAUUAUAGAAAAUGAUGAUUUAAUUUAAAAAUGUCAUGAAAAAUAUCUUGAGCUUUUAAAUGUUACAUCAUGCACACGUUCAAUUAUACUAUCUUUACAAGAAAUUUAACAAUAAAGAUUGCUUAAACUAGUACCCUUAGUAUUCAUCCUUGAUUGUCAUUGUCUAUUGAGUAUCUUGAUCUUGAUCUCACUUGAAUGAUUUUUGCCCUUCAAAAACUUGUGAGAUUGUGAGAAAUAAAUUUACCAUUGUACUCUAUGUAGUUUGUUAUCAUCAAAAUCAAGGAUUAUAUAACCAUUUAGGCCAACAAAAUAUUAUAAUAAAUAAUAAUUAUUAUGAUAAAAAAUUAAAGAUAUUUUGUAAUUUGUAACAACUCAUCGUGAUUUUAAAAUAAAAUAAAUAUAUCAAUGAUGAUAUAAUUUAUUUUAAUUUUAAUUUUUACAAUUUAAAUAAAUUAAUUAAUUAUCAUUCCAUAUUUUAAUUCCAACUCAUUCCAUUCCAAUUCAUUCAUAUUUUAAUCAGUAUAUCAACUACCCCCGAGCAAUGCCCGAAAGACAUUGAGGCAAGGGCCACAGAAAAAUAUGCACUUGUUAGCUUAGCGUUGGUGUCAAGUUUCUUUAGCAUUUUAAAUUCAUAAAAGAACUUAUAGUGUUUCUUCAUCCUUUGGCCUUUUCGGUGUUUACUUUCUGGAGUGAGUGUCAGCAGUGUGAAUUCCUCCCACUCCAGUGUUUACUUCACCAUUUUAAGGAGGGAUUGGGAAUCCCACUCCAUGGACCCCACUCAUUUUUGGAGUGGGGAGUGUGAGUGGGACUCCCAUGGGAAACCCACUCCCACCUCUCCAUUUUCUACUUUUAUUUAAUUAAAUUUAAUAUUUUAUAUUUAAUAAAAUAAAAUAAAAUAAAUAAUAUUAUUAUAUUAAUAGAGAAUUAAUAAUAUUACUAUAUGCUAUCUUUAUUUGAAGAUAUCAUAUUAUUAUAUUUAUUUAAAAAUAAUAGUAUUAUAUUUAUUUAAUAUUAAUAAUUAAUAAUAAUAAAUAGUUUAUUCUAAGAAAAUAUUAAUUUUGUACUAAAUAAUAUUAUAUUAUUAUUUAUAUAAUAAUAAAUUUAAUAUAAUAAAAUAAAAAAAUAUUUCAUUUUAUAUUUACCUUCCUUUUUUAACCCCCUUUUAUUAAAUUUACUAUAAUUAUAUUUAAUAAAAUAAAAUAAAUAAUAUUUUAUUUAUUUAAAUAAUAUUAUUAUAUUUAACUAAAUAAUAAUUUGGUUUGAUUCUAAGUUUAAAUUACUUAAAAAUAAUAAUAUUAUAUUAAUAGAGAAUUAAUAAUAUUACUAUAUACUAUCUUUAUUUGAAAAUAUAAUAUUAUUAUAUUUAUUUAAAAAUAAUAGUAUUAUAUUUAUUUAAUAUCAAUAAUUAGUAAUAAUAAAUAGUUAAUUAUAAGAAAAUAUUAAUUUUGUACUAUGUUCAUAGUAAAAAUGUUUCAUUUACAUUGCUCUUAUCAAUAAUUUUUAAUUUAUAUAAUUAAAAUUAAAAUUAAUAAAAAAUUAUGAUGUACAUAAUUAAGAAUAUUAAUAAUUAUUAUAAAUUUACAAAUAUAAUAAAAUAAAUGUUUAUUCAUUAAACAUAUUUUUUUAUUAACUUUGUAAUUAAAAACUAUAAUUCUUUAAAUAAAGGUAAAAUUAUAAUUUGAAACUAUUUACUUCCAAUCCAAGAUAAAGUAAACACAUAAAUUGGAUUAUAAUUUUCAUUCCGUGCUUAUAUUCCAGUGUAAGUAAACAACUUACACCCACUUUUACUCCAUACUCUCAAUCCUAAGAUUUCCACUCUUCAAGAUUCUCAGUCCAAUCCAAAAUGUAAACACUAUCUAUGGUAAUUGUUCACGCAACUAUUUUAAUCGAAAAUAUUUUAAUCGAAAAUAUUUUAAUCGAAACUAAUAGACCUUUCAACAAUUUUAAUCGAAAAUAAUAGACCUUUUAACAAUUUUUGCGGAUUCUGGCAAUUGUUCAGGCAACUAUUUUAAUAGAAAAUAUAUAUGGCUCCAUAAACAAUGAUUAUCUCUUGACAGCUGUUCUGGACUCGCUAUUUGUACUGAAAUAGAAGAUUAUCUCUUGAUGAUUAUUUAAUUGAAAAGAAUUUGUCGUUUAUAUUUGUUCACCUGGCCUUUGGAUGAGGAUCACAUGUUUUAUGACAAUCGUAAUGUUACUAAUGUAAGUCAAGCAAUUAUUUUUAAAUAAUGAUAUUAUAAUUAAAAAUCUAAAAACAUUUAUAAUACUUAAAGACUAAUUCAGAUUAUUAAUUUUUUUAUAUGACUUCAUUAUUAGCUGACAAAUAAUUAAAAGGCCAUAGAUCAAUAUUUUUAGGUCCAAUUUUUAAUUUAAUAUGACACAACUUGUACUUUCAUUCCUAUACUAAAGUAUAUCGAACCUACUAAUAAUUAAGAAAUAUAUAUAUUCAACACAUAUUUGUUAGAAAGAUUAUCUACUAAUUAAUCAUUGAUUACGAGAUUAAUAUAUUGAAAUUCAGAACUUUUUUUUUUCCUUCUGCAGUUUAAAAAGGAGUCGCCCUCUUGAUCCCCGUAUUCGUCAGCUUCUACUCUUUGCCUUCAAUUCUCAGUCAAGAAAACCUCUCCUGAUUUUCGUCUUUUGAUCUCAUACACACUUUGCUUCUGUUUAUCGUGGUCACUGCUCGUGCUAGCCGUUUUCUUAUUUAUCUUUGUUCCCUUUUUCCAUCAGCUCUUUGCAUUUUCAUUGGAUCAAGCAACCCUUUUCUUGAUUCAAUUUUCUGAUCUCAAAAACACUUUGAUUCGCUUCUGUUACACUGAUUUUCCCCUUGUUUUGUACAAAUAUCAUUUCUUUUUUCAACUUUGCCUUGUUUUGCUUCUACUUGAUUAUCAAUUGCACAGCCGUUGACCCUGUUCUAUUUCUAUUUCGUUCACUUCCCCAAAAAAAAAAAAAAAAAUGGACAUUUUGAAAAGCAUUGUUCCAGGAGUUGUAAACUGCUUGUCUCCUCACGCACAACGCGAAUUUUGUUAUUGGUAUAACUCCGCUGCCAACUUUGAGAAUCUCAAGGAAGAACUCGAUAGGCUCAAGGAUGAAAGAGAAAGCGUUCAGCGCAGAGUUUCUGAGGCUGAAAGAAAAAGUGAAAAGAUUGAAGAGAAGGUUGAGAAAUGGCUGGUUAAUGCGAACAAGAGCAUUGAGGAGGCAGCCAAAUUCAUUCUAGACGAAGAGAAAGCAAAUGAACGAUGUCUCAUGGGGCUGUUUCCUAAUUGGAUUACUCGCUAUCAGCAUGGAAAGAAAGCAGAAACAGAGAAGGAGGCCCUUUUUAAACUCCGAGAAGAAGCUGGGAGAUUUGAUGAUAGAAUUUCCUACCGUACCAUUCCGGAGGAGAUUUGGCUCAAGUCUCACAAAGGCUACGAGGCCUUCGAAUCAAGACGUUCUACUUUGGAGGCUAUAAAAAAGGCAUUGAUCGAUGUUGAUGUCAGCAUCAUUGGGGUGUACGACAUGGGCGGCAUUGGAAAGACGACACUGGUGAAGAAGGUCGCCAGGCAAGCUAUGGAAGACAAGCACUUUGAUAUGGUGGUCUUUUCAGAGGUUUCGCAAACUCCAGACAUAAAACAGAUUCAACAGGAAAUUGCCGAGAAGUUGGGCUUGGAGUUGCGCGAGGAAGCUGAAUCUAGAAGAGCUAGUAGACUAUAUGAAAGAUUGGAGAAUGAGAAGAAGAUCCUUGUGAUUCUGGAUAACAUCUGGAAACCUCUUGAUUUGGGGACUAUUGCAAUUCCUUUUGGAGAAGAUCAUAAAGGCUGCAAACUACUGCUGACAGCAAGAGAUCGUAGUCUCCUCUUAAAAAUGGGAUCUAAAGACAACUUUUUGAUAAACAAUUUAAAUGAAGAAGAAGCCUGGAGAUUGUUUAAGAUGAUGGCCGGAGAUGAUGUUGAAAAUCGUGAGUUGAAAUCUACAGCAAUAGACGUCGCCAGGGCAUGUGGAGGUUUGCCCAUUGCCUUGACUACAGUGGCAAAGGCACUGAGAAGCAAGAGUCUUCAUGAAUGGAAGAAUUCCUUGCGAGAACUCCGAACGCCUUCAAUGGUAAACUUCGAAGGAGUAUCUGCAGAGACUUAUUCAAGUAUUGAGCUGAGUUUCAACCAUUUAAAAGGUGAGCAACUCAAGAAAAUUUUUCUGCUCUGUAGUCUAAUGGAUAACCGUAUUCUUACUUCGGACUUGUUUAAGUACUCCAUGGGUUUGGGUAUAUUUAAAGGAGUCAAUAAGAUGGAAGAUGCACGAGACAAAUUAUAUGCAUUGGUCCAUGAACUUAGACACUCUUGUUUGUUGCUUGAGGGUGAGAGCAAUGAACAAUUUUCAAUGCAUGAUGUUGUUCGUGAUGUCGCAAUAUCAAUUGCAUGCCGCCACCAACAUGUGUUUUUGGUGAGAAAUAAGGAUGUGUGGGACUGGCCAGAUGAGGAUGCACUUCGAAAAUGCAAUGCGAUCUCUUUAAGAAAUAAUAGUAAUCGUGAAUUUCCUGAAGGAUUAGAAUGCCCAAACCUUGAAUUUUUAUUUAUCUCUCUCAAAGAUUCUUCUCUUGAAAUCAAUAUUCCUGAGAACUUUUUUGUAGGGAUGAAAAAGCUUAGAGUUCUAGAUUUUACUCGAAUGCAGUUUUCUUCUUUUCCAUCUUCAAUUGAUCUUCUACCAAAUCUUCAGACACUAUGUCUGGAUCAAAGUGCGUUGGGGAACAUAGCAAUCAUUGGAAAGUUGAAGAAUCUAGAAGUCCUUAGCUUUUUGAAGUCUGAUAUUAUGCAGUUGCCCGGAGAACUAGGUCAAUUGAAUAAGUUGAGAUUGUUAGAUUUAACCAAUUGUUUCCAUCUAAAAGUUAUUGCGCCUAAUCUCAUAUCAAGCUUAACUCGAUUAGAAGAGCUGUAUAUGGGUAAUUGCUUCAUUGAAUGGGAGGUUGAAAGAGCCAACAGCAAAAGAAGUAAUGCUAGCCUUGACGAAUUGAUGCAUUUACCUCGGCUAACCACUCUAGAAAUUGACGUUAAAAGUGACAAUAUUUUACCAGAAGGUUUUUUGGCCAGAAAGCUCGAAAGGUUCAAAAUAUCUAUUGGAAAUGAGUCAUUCAUGCCUCCCAAGAGUGUUAGAGGAUCAACAGUUAUCGCAAGAGUUUAAGAGGAUUGAAGCUCAAGCUUGAUUUUAUGGACAUUUGCUCCAUGAAAUUGCAGGGCAUCAAUAACGUUGAAUACUUAUGGUUGGACAAGCUGCAAGGCACCGAGAAUGUUCUUUUCAAUUUGGACACGGAGGGCUUUUCACAAUUGAAGCUUCUCUGGGUUCAAAAUAAUCCUGACUUCUUUUGCAUCGUCGAUUCAAGGGAGAUGGUCGCUUGUGAUGCCUUUCCUCUUUUGGAGUCACUUACCAUUCGCAAUUUGAUCAACAUGGAGAGGAUAUGUAUUGAUCGGCUCAAAGUAGAGUCUUUCAACAAACUCAAAACCAUAGAAGCAUAUAAUUGUGAUAAAUUGAGUAAUAUCUUUUGGCUCUCUACAACAAAAUGUCUUCCAAGACUUGAGAGAAUUGCAGCUAUUAAUUGCAGCAAGAUGAAAGAGAUUUUUGCAAUUGGGGAAGAAGUUGAUAAUGCAAUUGAGAAGAUAGAGUUUGCUCAAUUAAGAUCUUUGAGUCUGGGGAAUCUUCCAGAGGUUACAAGUUUUUGCCUCCAUGAGGUGAAGACUCCUUCAGCAUCACCGAACAGACAAGUGUCGCAAGAGGAAUCGACGACUAUGUAUUGCUCCAGCGAAAUCACUUUGGAUACUUCAACUCUGCUUUUCAACGAGAAGGUGCGUAGGCUAACAUUUUCUUCAUAUGUAACAGAUUUUAUUCAUAUAUAACGUUCUCUUUUGACGUCAUACGUGGAAAAUAAUUAAAUCAUUUAAAGAAUUGAAAGAAAAUGGAAAAAAGGAUAAAAAGAAUCUCACUCGCUCACUAAUUGAGCUCUUAACAAGUAGUAUGAAUUAGAAUGCAUACUCAGCUGUCAGUUGGAAAUUGAUUCAGACUUGCAUUAAUUUGCAAUCAAAGAAGAAAUUUUCAACAAGUGCUUCCCAUAUGGAAAUUGGAUCUAACGAGGAAUUCUUAUUUUUUUAGGUUGCGUUGCCUAACUUGGAGGCUUUGGAGAUAUCUGAAAUUAAUGUCGACAAGAUUUGGCACUACAAUCACCUUCCGAUCACGUUUCCUCGCUUUCAAAAUUUAACACGAUUGAUUGUGUGGCAUUGUCACAAAUUAAAAUACAUAUUUUUAGCGUCUAUGAUCAGAAGCCUUAAGCAGCUCCAACACCUAGAAGUACGCUUCUGUGAGGAUUUACAGGAGAUCAUUUCUGAGAACAGAGCAGAUGAAGUGAUCCCUAAUUUUGCCUUUUCACAGCUCACCACUCUGAGACUCGAAGAUCUACCAAAACUUAGAUAUUUGUACCCUGGAAUGCAUACUUCGGAAUGGCCCGCACUAGAAAUUCUUUUAGUGUAUCGUUGUGACAAAUUAAAUAUAUUGGCUGCAGAUUUAUCGCAGAAUAAUGAGAAUGAUCAACUUGGUAUUCCUGCACAACAGCCCCUAUUGCAGUUGGAAAAGGUAUGAAGCCAUUUUCUAGAUUUUUUAUCAAUAGUGUAUUUUGAACUUUGAAAAAUAUGACAAAGCAUCAAUAAAUUAAUACUCAAUAAAUUGAAAACUUUUAUUAUACAAUAAUCUUUGCUAGUCUAGACUAAAAGAGUUUGUUUGUUAAAUGUCUGAAGUUUGAAAUUUUAUUAAUUUCAGACCUUUUCCAACAUAUGCUUAUUUGUUUUUUUGGAACUUAUUGUUUGUUUUUUGGAACUUAUGUUUGAUUUUCAGACAUUUACAUAUGAAUAGAAAAAGUAAACUUUUGUGACUUUUAUUUGAAUGGAAAAAUGUCUGAAUGACAAGUAAAUAUUAAAUUCCAAAAAUAUCCUUGUAAAAUAAUUUAUUUCCUAAACUAUAAAAUGUUAUCCUCUUUUUUGUUUUAAUUUACAAGGACAUAAAUGUCAAAUAACCAAAUUAAGAUGUUUUUUAUUAUAAAAACAAACAAGAUGCCACUUAUAUUCAGAUAUUUAAAAAAGAAAAGGGAAAAGGACAAACACACCCCCAACGUUUAGGUAAAGGGACAAAAACCUCCCUAAUGUUUCAAAAAAGACAUUUACACCCCAAUUUAUUAUAAUUUUACCAUUAUACCCUUCUAGCAUAUAAAAAAAUUAUUAGAUUAUCCAAUUUGUCUAUAUAUUGUUAAUAAAAUUAUAAAUAUACCCUCAUUGCCUCAUUCCUCUAUUUAAAUUUUUAUCAAUAACCAAUUUUAAAGAAAGACAUCUACACACUUAAAAAAAAUUGUAAAUAAAUUAUAAUUUAUAAAAAAUUGGUUAUGAAUACCAUAAUAAAUAACAUAGAAAAUUGGUUAUAAAUGUACAAGUUUAAAUGAUUGACAUGUGGAGAAUUGUUAAAUAUACAAGUUUAAAGUUUAAAUAAAAUUGGUUAUUAAUAACCAAUUUUAUUUUUUAAAUUAUAAUUUAUUUACAAUUUUUUUAGGUGUAUAGAUAUCUUUUUAAAAAAUUGGUUAUUGAUAAAAAUUUAAAUAGAGGAAUUGGGCAAUGAGGGUAUAUUUAUAAUUUUUUUUUAAUAUCCAAAUUGUCUAUUUAUAAUUUUAUUAACAAUAUAUAGACAAAUUGGAUAAUCUAAUAAUUUUUUUUAUAUGCUAGAAGGGUAUAAUGGUAAAAUUAAAAUAAAUUGGGGUGUAAAUAUCUUUUUUAAAAUAUUAGGUGGGUUUUUGUCCAUUUACCUAAACGUUGGGGGUGUGUUUGUUAUUUUCCCAAAAGAAAAACAAACAUGUCAUUCAUAUUUUCGUAAUCAGACCCAUUCAGACUUUAAAAAAAUUUAGACUCAUUUAGAUUUCAGACAAAAAAAACAAAAGCUACCUAAGGGAUCAAUGUGGUAGAUUAAUAAUUAUAUGAACUUUUUUAGGUAUAAAAUUUAUAACUAUAUGAACUUUUUAAGUCUUUCCAUAUAGAAGAACUUACAAAAUAAAUUAGUAAUUUACUAUUGUGCAAUAAAAUAAUUUCGUUUUUUUCCCUAAUUUCUUUAUUACCUCUAAAACUAACAUAUAAAAAAUUCAUAUAAUGAAUUUUAUCACUAAUUCAAUUUUUUUAGGGGUAAAACUAAUAUAAAAUAAAUACUAUAAAGUCACUGCUUGUGAUUGGAUUACUCAAAAUCAUUUGAGAGAACAUCAAUUGACCUCAUUAGUUAUUAUGAUUGAUGAUGAUCAGAUCGUACCCAACUUGAAGGAACUAUCACUAAGUGGAAAAGAUGUGAAGAUGAUUUUGCAGGCCGAUUUCCCACAACACCUUUUUGGCAGUCUCAAACAACUAGAGAUUGUUGGAGAUGACUCAGCUUGUUUUCCAAUCUGGAAUGUACUGGAGAGAUUUCACAAUCUCGAAAUACUCUCACUGUUUCAAUUUUCAUUCCACGAAGAGGUAUUUUCGGAGGAAGGAAGCUUAGAGAAACAUGUGGGGAAGUUGGCAAUGAUAAAAACAUUAGAGCUGCGCUGCCACUAUCAUCUGAAGCAGCUGUGCAAACAAGACUCCAAACUUGGCCCCAUUUUUCAGUAUCUUGAAAUUCUGAGUGUACUUCAUUGUCAAAGUCUGUUAAUUCUAUUGCCAUCAUCAUCGGUAUCUUUUGGGAACCUAACAAAACUUGUAGCUUUCGGUUGCAAGGGAUUGAUACACAUGGUAACAUCCUCCACAGCAAAAACUCUAGUGCGACUCGUAUCACUUUGUGUAUACGGAUGCAGAGCAAUGACAGAGGUGGUAAUAAAUGACAAAGAUGGAGUUGAAAAGGAAGAGAUUGUUUUCCGCAAAUUGAAGAUGUUGGAUCUGCGUGAUUUAGAUAGCCUCACAAGUUUCUGCUCUGCCAAUUACACCUUUGAAUUCCCAUGCUUGCAAGAUCUAUUUGUGAUUGGUUGUCCCAAAUUGAAGAUUUUCACUAGAGGAGAAUCAAGCACGCCUCCGAGAGUAAACGUCUGGUAUGGAGAGACAUCGAAUCAACGGCGUUGGUCUAGUAAUGAUCUUAACACGACCAUACAACAAUUACAUGCUGAGAAGGUACGGAUAUACAUGUUACUCUCUAUCUCCCAUGGAAAAAUUUUACAAAAUUUGCUUUUUCUUUUUAAAUAAAAUAUCGAUAAGAUAUUUGUUAUAAAGUUAGUUUAAAUUGAUGAAUAAGAAUUUUAUUUUCAGCUGUUGGCGGGGUCGUCGUCAUACUCUGUGGAUUACGACUAAUUUCAUAGGCUUCUUAUGACUUGGAGUUACGAAUUUGAAGAAGAAAGUCCCGGCUGGUAAUUAAUUCUUAUUUUAUUUAUUUGAUCUCGUGGGUUGUUUCACAACUUCAUCUCAAUUGUUUAGAAUGGGUCACUUGGUUUACUGUCAAUAUGGAAUGCACUUUUCAUGAUUCGUUCAGGCUUUUAUGGGCAGAUUUUGCGUCAUUGAGCGUCUUUUGGCCUAAUGUAAUUUAAUUUGAGUAUUUUGUUUUGAGAGUUCCCUUGUUCUCUAAAAUUUUAUAAUUCCUUGCAAGCAUUUUAUGAUGAAAUUUCAUUAAGAGGGGCAACACUUGCAUGUUGAAAGUGUUCAGAUUUUAUAAUUCCUUGAAAUCAUGCAAACUUUUUUCUUUCUUUCCUUGCCAAUUAUUUAUUGUCAUCGUUACUGUUCCGUUAAAUUUGUUUGUGCUCUGUUUGUUCAUUGGAAACUUGGAAGGCAACGAAAGUACUUAAGAAAAUGCUCUUGCCUAUGAACACAUAAUUAAGAAGCUGAAUAUCAUUCAGCGGGUAAUAUAUAUAUAUAUAUAUAUAUAUAUAUAUAUAAUUAGCCCAUUAUGCCUACAACAAAUCCUUACACCAUCAAAGGUUAGCUAUGAACAACUAUAUUAUGGAAAUAUUGUUUGAAAGCAUUGGAUAGAAUUUUCAAAAAUAUCAAGUUUUCACAAACCAAAAAGGGAACUAAUUUGGUCUAGUUUUGUGACAAGUAUAGAAGCACAAUAUUUUGUCUGUUAUUCUUGUUAAAAUUCGCAGCACUGAGUUUGCAGAAUGUCUGGAUACUGAUGGAGAUUCAAGUCACUCUUCUUCUGUGCAACAUUCGAAAUGAAGACUUUUUUCCCCCUCUAUUCAAAUUUUAUGUUGUGAAGGGUUUCCGUUUCCAUCUUCAUGUGAUUUACUUCACCGUGUCGCUACAUCUAUGAUAGUGUGUGUUAUAUCCUGUCUGUUUCCUUUGUUUGACCAUCGAAAGUUCAAAGACAAUUUAUUCUAAAUAUGUGUAAAUUCAUUUUCUGUAUAAGCUCUUUGUAUGCAUUUUGACAUUUUAUUCUCAAUAUGGAUGACUCAAUGAGAGGUCUUUUGUUAUAUAUAUGUCCCGAAUUUCUUGUGUAUUUUUAGAUUUGAUGAUGUAUUAUUGUCUCAUUGCAAGGUCUUAUAAUCACUGAUUCUCAUUUCUCGUAUACAUACGUAUAUAUGGGCAAGAAAUUUGGUAAAUGAUCUAGUCAUUUUCUCAGUAAAACAUCUAGUACUUUAUAUGUUGGAAGGGUACUAAGCAGCAGGCCAAGAUUUGUCAACUCAAAGAUCGUCAUGUCAUUUUUUAAAAAUAUUAAGGAAUACUAAGGAACCCCAAGAGAAAAUUUAGAAAUACUAUAGGGACUACUUCUGCAUUGUUCAUUUUCGCAAUUACCUGCAUUAUUAUUUUUGUUUUCAAUUAAUCAAACUUCAGUUCCUUAGCAUUCAUCUAAUUAUGUACUUCAUCUGGAAAUCCUUAAUUUACUCAUCAAAAUGUGAACGCUAAGGAAACUAUGAAAAUAAAUAUAAAACUACUAGCUAAGUUUAUCAUCACAUAUGAGCAGCACUAGAUUAUCAAAUAAUCAUAAAAGCAUAUAAAUUCAAGCUACUGUAUUAUAUGUAGCUUGCUAAUUUGUGUUUAUAAAGAAUUUAGUUAUGCAACAAAAUGGGACACGAAAGUAGCAAAACUUCAUCAAAUACUCUGUUUUGUAGUACUUCAACAUAUCUACUGGCUAAGAAGUACCAUCACAAAUGAAAAUGUCGGCACAAAUAUUCAAGCAAGUGCAAGUAUCAAAAGUUGGUGGAUUAUUGUGGUUUUCCUACUUUGUCGUUUUUGGUUGAAUAAAUUAAUAAAAGCUGUCGAUUCUGCAUUAAAGCUUAUGAAUUGUGAAGAUAUGAAUACCAAAUCUUUCCAACUCCAACUCUUGAGUAAUUAUUAGGUUCCCACCCAUGCAAACAUAUUUUCUUUCGAGAAAAAGGGAUGCCUGAUUCAGGGCAUCCGUUGCCUCGGUUUAUUUGAUUUUGUUUGGUUCAAUUAUAGUUCUGUUAUUUAGUUUUUCCUCUGAUGAUUCUGUUUCUCUGUAUAUUUCACUGGGUUUGCUUUGCUUCACAUCUUUCUUUCAAAACUAAGAAGGCAAGGAAAGCGAGUCUGUAAUUAGAAAAUGCAAGUAGCAUAUAUCAAAUCAUGCAUAUGCUUAUGCUCUUGCCUAUGAACACAUAAAGAACAGCUGAAUAUCCUUCGUCGGAUAACAAAAAAUAAAAUCUAAUCAUCCAUUAUCCAUACAAGUAAUGAUAUCAUUACUUUUAGCAAAUUAAAGGUGUUGUAUCUUUUUUAUUUAAAAAGUCUCUUAAGAUUUUUAUUUUUCCGGUAAUUACACCUCCAAAUUUCCACAGCUAUAAUGUCAAUUUGUAAUUAUUUGUCCCAAGAUGCAGAUUUUCACUAGAGGAGAAUUAAUAAUUACGCUAUUUCGGCCCAGAGGACCAUGAAGCCCCUUGGGUUGUUGACAUUAACACUAGUGCGUUUACCAACCUAAACCUUCGGUUUGGUCAACAGUUUCUAAAUUGGUUUAGGUCAACAGUUUCUAAAUUGAACCUAUGGUGAAUGGAGGAAAAAGAAAAAGAGAUUUAUCAGAAACCUCCCCUGAAGUUUGGCAUAUUCUUAGUUUAAUAGAUUGUAUUUGUGUAUUCUCAAAUACCUCCCCUGGUGGCUGGUGCUAGUAUACCUUUUCUUAAUACCCCUAAUUUAGAAAAAAAUAAUUUGUAUACUGAAAAUAAAAAAUUGUUGGUUAGCACCAGCAUGUUUGUUUUGGUGCCUAAGGGAUGUGAAUGCAAUGAAAAUAUCCAAUCACCCCCGUUACUUUCCAAAAUGACUUUGAUAAAUGAAACAAACAAAAGAUUUAAGUCAAAUAUCAAAGAAUCAGAAGGAAGCUGUUUUGCACUGGCCUAAUUGCUAUGCUUUCUGAAUCAAAUUUCGUUCAAUCUUGGUGUCCCUCUUUUAUUCAAUAUAAGAAGAAUGAAAAAAGUAGGUUGUUUUUUACACAAGUGAUAGAAAUACUUCUUAACUUUAGACAGUGUAACACCAUACACAUCAAAGAAAUAAGACAACAAACCAUUUCCCAUGCAUAAAGCCAACAAAAUUACUAUUUAGUACAAGGGAUGCAACAUAAUUUUAAAUUUUAUUCCUCAAGAGCUACAAGUGAUACAAAUGAGUACACAAAUCAACCAUCUGUAGCUUAACCAGAAGAUGAUGCAAAUGCAUGAAAAUGAAAAAGCCUACGAAUAGUAUACAUGGUAAGUAUGACUAAGUAAAAUAACAAUUCUGAUUGAUAAUACCACCAGCAACAGGACCUUCAUACCUUCUCUUUAUUAAUCACUAGUUGGUAUGCUAUAGCCCAGCCAAGUGUAAAAUGAAUGGCGAUCGAGCUCUUGAGCCUCGGUAUACCCUCCAUAAGUUGUCUUGCUAAAACCCAAGAAAUAGCUUAUAAGAUGAAAUGGACCGCCCAUGGUUCAUACAAAGAAAAGAAUAAGCCACAUAUUAAUUGAAGCUAACAACAGACAUAAAAUGAUAAAUGAAAAAUGCUCACCUUCAGAAUGAAGUCAAUGUAAUGAAGAGCACCAUUCUCAAAUUCAGUUCUGCCACCUGGAAAAAUGUGGUAUUCACCAGUAACUUUAACCCCAUUUUGCUAACCCUUAACUUCUGCAAGCUUUGUGUGGGGAAAAUUAUAAUACCAAAUCUAUCCCACACAUCAUGAGAACAAAUCUUAGCCCAAGUGAAUUAAAAGUAGUCAAGUAUAUAUUUUAUAAUGCAUAAUAUAAGAUCAUACCCUAUCCCUGCUUUGGGGCCACUUAAUUGAGUGUUUGUAUCCUUCCAGUAAAGGAGCAAUACAGGUACAAGCUUCUUCAGGGCAAUACCUCUCUCGAUGUUCAUAAUGCUUUUGUGCUGGAAAGCAUUCUAAUUGCUUGCAAAUUGUCCAGGCAAGGGAUGCAAUCUGGCCUAGCAGUGGCAUUACACACUUUCCAGCGAUGACCAUACUGGUCCUUAGAUACAGAAGAUUGUUGUGAUAUUUUCUGAUUCUAUGACUCAAUAGGUUGAGUUGAGCAAGCCCCAUUCUGAGCAUUAGUUUCCUUCAGAAUUUCUCAGUAGUCACCAAAAGGAAAAAUCUCAGUUGAAGCCUGAUCCUUUCAACAACUCUCAGUGUCAUUAUCUUGAUCUUGAGAAUCCUUCUCCUUUUCAAUCUGACUAGCCUGAUCCAUUUAUUUUCAUCCAAGCUCUUCUCUGAUUCAAUUUGCUCAAUUUUAUUCAAUUCGCCGCCUUCUGUUUCUCCAGCUUCUUAAUUCAAAUCUCCACCUUCACUUUUAGAUUCCUUAUCUUCCUUUUUUCUAACAUCGUAAUUUUUAGACACCGCCUUAGAUUCCUCUUCAGACUCAGUAUUCUCAUCAAAACUCUCCUUCACUAAAUUCUCUUCCUGGUUUUGAUUAACCAUAUUCUUAGAUUCACUCAUCUCACCAUCACCCUCAUACAUAUUCAUCUCUUCGUGAUUAUCUUCCACUCUAUUCUCUAACUUUUCAACAGGAACAUCAUCCCCAUCCCCAUUUGUUGAAUCCUGUCAUUCAUCACCUUGAUUUUCUACGAAAGGCCCAGAAAAAUCUCAGAUAUUCUCUGUUUCACUUUGCUUAUAGGCUCUUAAGAGGACAACAUCCUGGAUCCCACACCAGUACAACUGAUGAUGACAUUAACAUCCAAACGCCAACCAGAAAAAGACCAACAAACACUACUACAGUAACCAUUGAACAAAGACAAUAUCACAGGUUCUUUAGCUAUUUAAUAUUCCAUCAAAUAUAAUUAUAUAAUACCUACCAAGGAUUUCCGAAUAGAAGGCAUUCUCAUCAUUCUCAUCUCAAGCAGCAACCUCACCAGUAACACAUUUUCAUAUCAUGUUUCCACCACAGGUCGCACGUAUAGAAAGAAUGAAGUAUUAAUUAGCUUCAACAGAGCCUAUUUCUUUAUUUCUUUUUUUCCCAAAUAAACCUUCAUUCUUAUACGUAUAAUUAAAAUAUCAACUGAAUAAACAAAGUCUAUGAUUACUAGUACAACAUUUUCAUUUUCAAGCGGAGCAAGAUAAGAUAUCGAUGUCGUCAAAUAAACCUAAUUUAAUCUUGAAACCAUAAACUGCACUAAGCAUAGCAGCAAAGCCAGAGCCUGACUAUAAAGAAGCUAAUAUAUAUAUAUAUAUAUAUAUAUAUAUACCUUUGGAAAUUGAAACUGUUCACUGUAGCGGGUUUUUAAGUGCACAGUAACCUUUGGAUCGUAGCUUUGAAUAGUAGGCUGACCGUAGCUUUGAACAGAAGACUACUUUGUACGAAUACUGAAAUACAAAAUGAAAUACAAUACGGGUGAAGAGACAUGUGCGGAUCGAAGGAUGGAUGUGCUUUCAAAAUACUUUAUUAUUAAAAACUCAAAUUAAACAAUCAAUAGAAUCAGCUUCGUCAGAUUUUAAAAGAACUUGAGCCCAAUACAGAGUUGCAAAAUAAUUUCCCGUCCAAGGAUAAGUUUUCCGUUUAGGGCUGUAAAACCAUACCUGUAGCCAUUCUGACCAAACCAAAGAUAGAACCCAGGAUUCUAACCAUGGAUCCUCUUUACUGUAGAGCAUCGUCCUUUUCUAGCUCUUCUUCUGGGAAGACUAGUGAUUCAAAGCAUGUUGUGAGUUCAGAAGAAUUUGUUAUUGAGAACUUUGAUAAAGCAAUUGAUUGUUGGGAACUUCCAAAGAUUUCAAAAGAAAAGAUUUACAGAACAAAAAAGCUUGAUUUCUGGAAAAAUGAUUAUGUUAUAAAAACUGAAGAACGUGAUAUAACUCUUUCAAAGCCUUUUGAAACAAUUAAUUUGUUUUCAGAAAAAUCUUUAAAUAAGUUAAAAGAAAAGAAUUUUAAUUACAUUCAUAUAGGUCUCAUCCAAAUAGGCAUAAAGCCCCUUACCAAAGAAGGCUUGGAUACUUCUAUCCUUGCUGUUCUUAGAGAUGGUCGAUUCAUCUCUUUUGAUGAUUCUCUGCUAAGUAGCAUUGAAUCCAGCCUAUGUAAAGGUCCCAUUUCAUUUGAUUGCUAUCCAAACAUAACAUUGUCUCUUAAAGACAAAAACAUUUUGAAAAGCAUGAUUUUACAAAUCAAAACGCAUAACUAUCAUAUGAUUGAGGGAUCUAUCCCUGUUGCAUUGAUUUUUAAAAUCUCUUACAAAGCUAUGAUUACUGCAUUCAGCACUCAGCAUAAAUUUCAGUCCAAAAGAGAUGAAACUCUUCUCUUACAGACUGAUCUGUCCAGAGCAAACACUGUCAUUCCAAAACCAAUCCAAUGGAAAGAUGUCAAUCUUCCUGAGGAAUGGAUUCUUGAAGGAGCCGCUCCACCAGCGAUUCCAAAACAACUUGAGCCCAAUACAGAGUUGCAAAAUGUGACUCAGUAUUCUGAUGGUAAAGUCAAAUUAUCAUUUAGGAGAUCUAAUUCAUCCAGAUUCUCCGAUAAAGCAUCAUGCUCAAGCAUUCCUUCAAUGGAAAGGAAAUUUACAAAAAUACCCUCUGUCAUAAAUCUCCCAUUUCAGAGUCAACCUAGGUUCUCCACUUCGGACUUACCUAGUUCUUCUAUUAGUUCUGUUGACUACACUACAAAGGUACCACAUCCCAUUUACAUUAGCAGUCAACAUGAACAAAGACAGGAAGAGAAGGAACCUUCUCCUCCAACUUCUCCUACAUUCUCUGCAGUCACAGAAAAUGUUUUAAAUGUUAUUGAAAAGCAUUUUGAAUUAGAUAAAACCAUAUUGCAUAAUGAUUUUUAUUCAGAUGAUAAUAAAGAAAAAAGACUUUGGUUUUUUAAACAUUUUUUAAAUCAAAGGAAGGAAAUCCAACAAACUUACUAUGAAUUUGUUAAUUUCCAUCAAGUUCAUAUAUUGUUUUUUGAUUGGUUCGAGAUAUAUUCUUCUAAGAACAACAUUUCCUAUCCUUUCAAAGAGUCAAACCCUAUUACUAUCAGAAAUAAAACCACUGAGUGGAAACUCUUCGAUAGUAAUAGAACUGUCAAUUCUGAGCAUCCCCCUCUUAGGAGUGUAAUCAUAGAUCAUGGUGAACCUCCUGUUGAAAUCAGAGCCUCACCUUACAAAAUCCCAAAGCCUAAUGAUCCUGAAAUCAAUUUAAGUAGUAUUAUUCAACAGAAUAAUUUCUGUAAUACUAACUUAAAUACCAUAGGAAAACAGUUGACCAGAUUGGAAAACCAAUUUCAACAGUCAACCAUAUCUGUAGUCCAAAACCUGUUUCUUUAAAGUCAGAUUCUGAUAAAAAGCUUAAAGAACCUAUUUUCAAACCUUUUCAGGUUUCGAAAACUAGCCAGAAGCUUGUCCAUGAAUCAAAAUCAGAUUUUGCUAAAGCCAUUAGAGAACAACUUGAUAGGAUAGAAGCUGCUUCUUCCUCAUCAAGCAAAGUUCAUAUUGCUCCUGAUACUCCCCAAUCUAGCAAGAUUGGAGUAUUGGAGCAAGACCAGGUUUCUAUUGCCUCCUCAGACUUAGAAGCCUUUACCGAAACACCUAUUCCUAAAACCAAUAAAAUCCAUUGGGAGUUAGCUCUUCCUACUUCCAAAUCUCCACCAGAUUUAACUAUAGACAACAGGCCUAGUGCAUUAAAUCAAGCUCGAUAUAAUGCAUCCUCUGUCUAUGAGUGGAAUAUAGAUGGAAUGUCCGAGUACAACAUUCUAGGUGUAUUGCAGCAAAUGACCAUGGCAGCCAAUGCCUAUAAAACCCAAUCAGGAACUUCUGACAAAGCCAUUGCAGAAAUCCUUAUUGCUGGUUUUACUGGUCAACUUAAAGGAUGGUGGGAUCAUCUUCUCACUAAAUUGCAGCAAUUAGACAUCCUUAAUGCCAUCCAAAUCGAUGAGAAUGGUGCUCCCAUUCUUGACGAAUUAAAUAAUCCAAUUCAGGAUGCUGUUGCUACCCUGAUUUUAACCAUUUCUCUUCAUUUCAUAGGUGAUCCUUCUCACCUCAGAGACAAAAAUGCUGAGUUACUACAUAACUUGAGAUGUAGAAAACUUAGUGAUUUCCAAGAUUACAAAACCACUUUCUUUACCAGACUCUUCCUAAGGGAUGAUGCAAAUCAUGUAACUUGGAAGGAAAAAUUCCUUGCAGGUUUACCUACCCUUUUGGGAGAAAAGGUAAGAAAUUCUAUCAAAACCCUUUUUGAUAAUCGUAUUCCCUAUGACGAACUCACCUAUGGUGAAUUAGUCAGUUUUGUCAAUAAAGAAGGUUUAAAGAUCUGUCAAGACUUGAAACUUCAGAAACGUCUAAAGCAAGAGCUUAGGCAAUCUAAGCAAGAAUUAGGCGGGUUCUGCAAGCAAUUCAAUUAUGACCCCUUUAAAGCUUCCACCUCCAAAGACUGUAAUGGUAAGUGUUCUUCAAAACCUUACAAAAAACAUUACAAGUCUAAAAGCCAUAGAAAGCCCUUUCAUGAUUUUAGAAAACUUCCUUAUAAGAAACCUUCGAGGCCUUAUAAGAAACAUAGUUUCUCUAAAAAGAAAGAGUUUAAAGCCAAACCUAAAACCCCUUUCAAUUUUAAAGAUGCUACCUGUUAAAUGUGGUAUGAAAGGUCAUACUGCACGAUUUUGUAAAAUGAACAGGAGACUCCACGAGCUCGGCCUCGAGGAGGAAAUCCUUUCCAAAAUUGCCCCUCUUCUGGUCGAGCUUUCUGAUUCUGAGUCUUCCUGGUCGGGAAAUGAUGACCCUCUUCAAGUCGAUGAACUAUUCGAUUCAGAUAGCUCUACUUCCAGUAAUAGUGAUUCUGAUUCGGAUAAUUCUUAUUUAAAGAAAAUAAAUGUUUUAACCAAAGAUCAAGAGAUUUUCCUUGAACUUGUAAAGCAUAUUUCUGAUCCAAAUCUUCAAAAGGAAUAUCUUGAUAAACUUUUAAAAACCAUGGAUUCAAGCAUUACAGAGGCUUCUUCUUCUAAAAUCCCUAUUGUCAAAAAGAAUUCUUAUGAUUUAACUGAGAUUUUAGAUAAAAAGAAAACAAAGAAGUCUACUCCUAAUAUCCAAGAUCUUCAAAAAGAGAUUAAGGAUAUUAAACUUGAAAUAAAGGAUUUAAAAGAAAAACAAAAAACUGAUUCUGCAACUAUUCAACUCCUUUUACAAAAACAGUUGCAAGAUACUUCCGACAAGGAGGUUGAAUCAGAAAAUGAUGAUGUUGAGCAAAAGAUUGAUAAUAUUGAGUCUAUUCCAAAUGAUUUUCUGUUUGUCUUAAAGCAAAUCACCACCAGAAAAUAUUUGAUUAAAAUUACUUUAAUUUUUUCAAAUGAUUUUGCGAUGGAUGCCAUUGCUCUUUUUGAUACUGGUGCUGAUUUAAAUUGUAUUCGAGAGGACAUUGUUCCUAAAAGGUUUCGUGAAAAAACAAAAGAAAGACUCUCUGCUGCUAAUAAUUCAAAGCUCAAUGUUACUUCCAAAGUUGAAGCAUCUAUUUAUAAUGACAAAAUUGAGUUUAAAACCUCUUUUGUUCUUACAAAUGAUAUACACCAUGCUAUCAUUUUAGGAACACCUUUUAUAAAUUUGAUAACCCCAUAUGCUGUCAACUAUGAUGGUAUAUAUUUUAAAGCAAAAUCCAAAGAACUUGCUUUUCCAUUUAUUGAAAAACCAAAGACUCGAAACCUCAAUAUGGUUAAAGCCUGCUCGGUCUACCAGAACAAAAUCAAUGCUAUUGUAAAGUCUAAACAAGAUGACUUGUUUCAUUUACAAAAGGAUUUAAAUUUUCAAAGAAUUGAGAGUCAAAUACAAAGUGAUUUUAUACAAAGAAAAAUUUCUGAUUUCAAAAGCCUUAUUGAAAAAAAAUUUGUGCUGAUUUACCAAGUGCUUUUUGGAAUAGGAAACAACAUUUGGUAGAUUUUCCAUAUGAAAAUUCUUUUGAUGAAAAGCAAAUACCUACUAAAGCCCGUCCAAUCCAAAUGAAUUCGGAUUUGGAACAGCAUUGUAAAGAAGAAAUUAAUGAUCUUAUUUCCAAAGGUCUUAUUGUAAAAUCCAGGUCACCUUGGUCUUGUGCUGCCUUUUAUGUCAACAAAAAUUCUGAGAUUGAAAGAGGUGUACCUAGACUUGUGAUAAAUUACAAACCUUUGAAUAAAGCUUUAAAAUGGAUUAGGUACCCGAUACCUAAUAAGAAAGAUUUACUUCAAAAACUCUGCUCGGCCUUCAUUUUUUCUAAAUUUGAUAUGAAGUCGGGUUUUUGGCAAAUUCAAAUUCAUCCAAAAGACCGUUACAAAACAGCAUUUACUGUUCCUUUUGGUCAGUAUGAGUGGACAGUAAUGCCUUUUGGUUUGAAAAAUGCACCCUCAGAAUUUCAAAGAAUCAUGAAUGAUAUUUUCAAUCCCUACUCUGAGUUUUGCAUUGUCUAUAUCGAUGAUGUUUUGAUUUUUUCUCAAAGCAUUGAUCAACAUUUCAAACAUCUAAAGACUUUUUAUCUUGCUACAAAGAAGGCUGGAUUAGCCCUUUCCAGUUCAAAGAUUUCAUUGUUUCAAACAAAAGUCAGGUUUCUUGGUCACUACAUUUCCAAAGGAACCAUUACUCCUAUUGAAAGAUCUCUUUUGUUUGCGGACAAAUUCCCAGACAAAAUUUUAGAUAAAACUCAAUUACAAAGAUUUCUCGGUAGUCUAAAUUAUGUUCUUGAUUUCUGCCCUAACAUCAAUAGGAUGUCAAAACCUCUGCAUGAUAGGUUAAAGAAGAAUCCUGUUGCAUGGUCAGAUGAGCAUACUAGAGUUGUUAGAUUAAUAAAGCAGUCUGUUAAAAGCAUUCCUUGUUUGCAUCUUGCAAAUCCUGCAUUUCCUAAAAUUGUUGAAACUGAUGCAUCAGAUUUAGGAUAUGGAGGUAUUUUAAAACAAAAAGAAAAUGAUAAAGAACAGAUAGUCCAAUAUGUUUCUGCUCAUUGGAACGAUUGUCAGAAAAAUUAUUCUACUAUCAAAAAAGAAAUUCUUUCUAUUGUUUUAUGCAUUACUAAAUUCCAAAGUGAUUUGUUAAAUCAAAAAUUCUUACUUAGAAUUGAUUGCAAAGCUGCAAAACAUGUUUUAGAAAAGGAUGUUCAAAACAUUGCAUCAAAACAGAUUUUUGCACGUUGGCAAGCUAUUCUCAGUGUUUUUGAUUUUGAUAUAGAAUUCAUUAAAGGUGAUAAAAAUUCUGUUCCUGAUUUUCUAACUCGGGAAUUUCUUCAAAACAGGUAAUGGCUCCAAAGAAAAAGGACAAAGGGAAAGCACCUGCUUCCCAAGAACUUUCCAAAGAACCUCAUGCAACCCCCUCUAAAGAAAAGCUCCUUUCCUCAGCCAUGCCAAUUAAAUCUUGGAUUGAAUUGGUUGAAGAACAUGAAGCCAAAUACAAAUCCAUUUCUUCUGAAGACCAAGUAAAGCAAUGGAUGAGUUCCAUUACAAAGUCACCCGAGCUUAUGAUAGCCCUACAAAGCCUCUCCCAAAGUCAACCUAAAGAGGAAGAAAAACCCACUUCCAAAGAAAUCUCAAAGCCUUCCUCUCAAAACAUUGUUGUUUCUGGUGAGAGCUCAUCCUCCCAAAUUGUGCUCUCUCAGCCAACACCUUCAAAGAAAACUUCCGAUUGGUUUGAUAAAACCCAUUUUCAAAACAUUAUUUCAAUGGAAGAUGGAUUUUACCAUUCUGAUCCUUUUCAAAGUAUUUCAAAGUUUUUUCCCCCAGGCUGGUUUUUCAAACCAUGAGAUUUGACAAAACCCCAGUCUUAUUAUCACAGUAUUUUGGAAAUUACUGAUUCAGUAAAAUUCAAACAUUUCUUUUUUAGCAAAACCCAUUCUGAGCCGGCCUAUUCAACGGCUACAAUUUUAAAAGUUUUGAGCCCGAACCAGUGGGGUGAUCUGCUCCACAAUUUUAAAACUUUCCCCCUUGAUUUUGAGACCCGUUUGCCACACUGUAGGACUUUCUCCUACUGGGAUUACCAACAGGCCUGGUAUAACACUUUCUUCAUACAAAACCCUAAAAAAUCCCAUUCCUGGUUAUUUUUCUUUAAUUCAAAAAUAACCGUCCAAAGCCUGCCGAACUGGUUUCACCAUUGGUGGAACUAUUUUGGUCCAACCUCAGAUAUCCUUACUCAAAAUGCCCUCCAAUGCCUAAACCUUUUCAAAGCCAAUUAUAAACCUACGGAGUCUGAGAAAAGAUUUCCUCCUUUUCUCUGCUUCUGUACCAAUUUCUUCCUUCCAUGGGUCUGGAUGUGGAGUCUUCGACAUCACACUCAGGAUUCCCAUUUUAUCCUCCAAAGAACCUUCAGAGUCAAAUGGUGGUCCAAAUUUGAUGAGCAGACCAAAUUAACCACCAACCAAGUACAAAACUGGCUUUCUGCCCAAGGCCAUCUACAACCAGCCAUCAAAGAUAUUAAAGCCCAAGGCACUUUCCUCACUCAAAAAUCCAAAGCCCAAGCCCUCCUAGCAAGUGCCAAAACCGAAGAAGAAUACUUCAAAGCAAUGGAACAGCUCCUCCGCUUCUCGAUCCAAGUCCUCAGUUGCAGAUUCUACUGAAGACGACGACGACGAUGAUGACGAGCCAACCGUCUCUCUCGGAGAUAAAAACGAAGAUGACUGUUUCGGCAUUUUCUCUCCAAUAAAGCAUUGUAAAUAAUUAUUUGAUUAUUUACUUAAAAAAAAAAAGUGUAAUUGUUCAUUUCGGGUGGUCCCUUGGACACAAGUGAGAGCGCACAUGUCUCUUCACCCGUAUUGUAUUUCAUUUUGUAUUUCAGUAUUCGUACAAAGUAGUCUUCUGUUCAAAGCUACGGUCAGCCUACUAUUCAAAGCUACGAUCCAAAGGUUACUGUGCACUUAAAAACCCGCUACAAUGAACAGUUUCAAUUUCCAAAGGUUACUGUGCACUUAUAGCUCCGCUACAGUGAACAGUUUACAAAGUUUUGUAUAUAACCCAAGAGGAAGACUUAGACUCCUCACGGGUUUUUAUUUUAAGUUUUCAUUUCUCUCUCUUCUCCUCCUUCUCUCUAAAAAUUCUCUCUAAAGCACGAAGAGCUCAAAGAAAUCCUCUGUUUACGCAAUAGUUCUAUCUUAGAGCUUUGAGUAAUCAGACUAGUUCUUUACCUUCAACAAAUCUUCCCGUCUUUCAAUCUUCCCUUCUGGAAAGAUUUGAAAAAUUGUAAAGCAGCAAAAGCAAAGUGUAUGUCUAGAUCUUUGAUCUAGUUUUAUUUACAAAGCAAUUUCAAUUCAUGUAAUUUAAUUUUAAAGCAAUUUACUUUUCUGCAAUUUCAUUUCAGUAAUUUACUUUAAAGCAUUUUCUUUUACAAAGCAUGUUAGCAGACUGAUCUGUAUCAGAUCUGCCAUAUAAAAUAUACAUUCUUCUGAGGCAAAGAGACCAGAUCUCGAUCCUCAGUCGUAAACUUCUCUCUCCCCCCUUCUUCAGAGCACCAUUUCCGGGAACCGGAUCUGGUACUGUGUAUGUUUUAGAAGCCAACCUUAAUGCAUGUUUAUUUCAGUAAAGCCCUGCUGCUAGGUUUGCUAAAAUCAACCUAACUCAGAUCUGGUAAAGACACUUCUAAAAUUGACGAAUCGCAUUCCAAAGCAAAGUAGAUCUCCAGAUCUACCAAAGAAUUUAAUAAAUAAUCGGUAAAGCACACUAUUCCGGUAUAUCGGCUGGAAACCAGAACGUGCGGGCUAUUGAUCUGUCCUAAGUCAGAUCUGGGUCCAAAGGCAGAUUAAUUUCUGCGUCGAUCCGGUAUAACAACGCCACGUACCAGUCUAGAUCUAAAAUUUUGACCAACCGCGUUCCAAAGCAAAUUAAUUUGAUAAAGAAACGGUAAGUUCUUUUAAAAUCUGACGAAGCUGAUUCUAUUGAUUGUUUAAUUUGAGUUUUUAAUAAUAAAGUAUUUUGAAAGCACAUCCAUCCUUCGAUCCUAUUUCCUUCUGGUAUCAGAGCCUCACCUUACAAAUCUCCAUUAACGGCAAAUAGGGGGAUGAAUCACUGACAUCACCCAAUUCAUAUAUUCAAUUAAUGUAUUCCCACCCCAGUCAGAAACGUGCUACCACAGUUGAUUAGUUAUUAGGGAUAAGGCUUACCGCAAAGAACUGAAUGGCGUUAACUAAAUAAUGAGUUGAAACGGUAUCUGCAAUCGCAUUAAAUGGCAUUGAACCGAAAGGUAGGGUUUAAAUGAAUGUUGGCCUGAGACAAAAGGGCGUGGCAUAUUGGGGUCUUAUGGCUUCGUUUUGUUUCAAUUGAAGGAGGGAAGCUGAGCGAGAGCUUUGAUACGUAAAUUUCAGCUUAAUUUAAGCUAUGGUCUUCUUUCGAUUGAAACAGAGAAAGAUUUUGGGUUAUUAAAGUGAAAGAGAUGGAAUCAUACAAAAAAUUAGCAAAGUGAAAGCGAGGGAAUACAAGAUUUAUUAUGGGUCCUAAGAGCUGAAGGCAAUUCGCCAUGGUUCCGAUAUAUGGAAAACUUUCUUAGCUUUAUCGGUGGUGGAAGUGAGGGUUAGGGCUCGGGUUCGACACAAUGUUGUUGAGAGUGGCUCAAAGUUCAUUGAUUUUAGGUUGCAGCGAGAGAGGGGUUCAUUCAACACUUGUCGAUAUUUGGCUGAAGUGUUGGUAUGUUUUAAGUUUCAUAAAAACGACGUCGUUUAAAUAGUCAUCAUUUUAUGAUAUUAUAAAUCCACAAAACUUGAGCAUCACUUAUAUCUAUCAUUUAUUUAUGUUAGUUAAGAUAUAAGUCAUGAAUAUGUCAUAAACUCUGAACAUAUAAACAUAUGCCACACCAACAAAGUGUUGGCUCCAUUGGCAAUAGAGUCCCCUUAAGUGGCUUAACUGGGUUUGCUCCUCAGUUCGAGUUGCAGGGAAGUCGCAUUUGUUGAGAGAACUUGUGCCUUCCGGUUCGAGCGGGGACUUCUAAUAUGGGUUGUGGUACGGGCUUAAAAGUGUCUCCCACAAUUAGGGCCCUCCUCAGAAUACCUCGUGGUUAAGACAAAAAAUAUAUAUAUAUAUAUGUCACAAAUCUAUCACACUUUCAUGAUACAUUUGUGACGUAUCGAAGGUUCAUGUCAUUCCUCCGGUGCAACAUUCGAAAUAAGGCCAUUGCCCUUGUGAAAUUUGCAUUACUUCUAUUGAAAAUCUACAUAAUAAGAGCUCUCCCGUUGCAUUUUUCGUUGUUUUGCUUUUGCUUUACUUUAAUGUGUCGCUACAUGAACAAGUAUAGUGCAACAUAUGUACCAUCAAUUUUGCUAUGUCUUAUUCCCAAUUUUAUAUAAUACAAAUCAUUUUGAAAUUAUAAUAACAACAACGGGGUCAAGCACAUUUUGUGUCUUGAAGAUUUGCGAGAGCUCCAUCCUACAAAGUUAAAUUAUUAUUGUUGUUGUUGUUAUUAUUAUUAUUAUUAUUAUUGAUGACGAUGAUGUGCUGUUGAUGUUUUUAUUAUUUGAGAGAUGGUAGAAUAAAGUUAUUCAUUUUGGAGCUUAACAGUGGAAAAUAAGGAAAACAAGAAAAAAGUUGUAUUCGUGUUAAUUUCCUUUGUCAUUUCUUGUUUCUAGAAAUAUUUUUGCUUCGUUUAUUCUAUUUUAUUUGCUUAUUUCAUUGGGCUUGCUUCACAUAUCAUAUCUAUCUUUCUUUCAAAAUUUGAAGGGAAGGAAAGUACUUAGAAAAUGCUCUUGCCUAUGAACAUGUAAGAAAAACUGAAUAUCAUUCAUCGGAUAACAAAAAACACUAAUCAUCGCAUAAUCCCUAGAACAAAUAAUUAAACCAUCAAAUGUUAGCUAUGAACAACUAUAUAUCCUAUCAUAUUUAACUUCUAUUUAUGGUCAUAUCCCUAACAUAUUUAGAGUGGUUUUGGAAUUUUGAUUACAUCUGAGCUUUCUCAAAAGCAGAUGCUGUGAAAUGAAGUUACUAUUUGCUUUUCAAAACUGUUAAUAAUGAUAGUAGUUUAGAAACUUGAACCACCACCUACGUGAGUCUGUGAAUUUCACCUUUUUGUUUGAUAAUUGGAGGUUUUCGUUUAAUGCCUAAAUUCGUAAACUGUGGAAACGUUUGAAAGCAUCUAUAGCAUAUUCAUUAAAAUCACGUUUUCACAAACCAAAAAGGGUACUAAUUUGGUCUCGAUGUGUGAAAAGUAACACCUACCUAGCCAUCCAUCAGGUAAGUGAAUAAGUAUAAAAAUAUUAAUAUUUUCUCUGUAGUUCCUAUUAAAAUUGUCUAUUAUAGUUGCAGAAUGUCUAGGAAGUAUAAAAGGAUGUCGUUCAAACAUGAUUAAGAUAGAAAGGGAAAAAAUAAGUAAUUAUCCAUGGACCAAACAUUUUACAAACUGCAUUUUUUAGAAAACACACAAACAUUUUUUAUUGUUUUCAACAAUCCAUCUAAUAUUUGCAAACUGCAUCACAGCUCCACUACUAUCAUAACCCUUUAAAAAUGUUGCUUAAUCACGAGAACCUAUUACUUGUAAAUUAUUUUUCAAGCAAAUGCAACGAUAGAUCUAGUUUUGAUCUGGGUGACUUUUACGUGUACAGAAACGAGGAGAACGACCUUAUGUCAAGUCGAAGGAUUAAGAUAAAUCAAUUACAAAUCCAAACAAAACUUAUGAGUGACAUUUUAGUAUUAAGCAAACCUACCAUAAUUAAUCAUCCAGUGAUAGGUUUAUUUUCAAUUAGAGUAAUGAUAGAUAUCCCAAAUGGUGUGUCAUUACUUGAAUAGUAGGUAAUUCUUUCAAGAUUUGAGUGAAUUAAUUGUAUUAUCUCUUCAAUCUAUUGAUGAAUACCAUAUCAUUUGAGAUAAUUUUUUAAGAUAAAAGACUUAGGAUGUGUGGCACUACUCAUUGAAUUAUGCAACUUAAAUGCAAUUUUUUUAAAAUCAUUUAUUUUCAUUAAAUUUUGAGCCAUUAAUGAAAUAAAUAUAAGUACAGCUAUUUGAACCUACUCAUUUUCUCACUACAUCAUUUAUUUAAUCAAAUUAAAAUUUAAUUUUAACAUAUAAUUCAUUAAAUUAUUUGUUUGACUUUGUUCUCUCUCUCUCUCCCCCUUCGUCUCUCAUUCUCUCCAACCAUUUUUUUUUGUCUACAUAGACUAAAUAUUUCAAUUAACAAAUAAAAUUGUUACAAAAAAUAACAAAUUUAACCAUAGACACCAAUAUUAAUUAAUAAACAAAAAAAUUGAAGAGUGAUAGAAUUAAAGUCUGUUAUACCACAAUUUGCUUUACUUUUAUAUUUUUAUUUUAGUGAGGAUACGAUGUAGACAUUAUUUUAGGAUUCUAUAAUUUUUAUUAUUUUAUCGUUUUCUAUUUUAAUUAUAGUCAACUAUGGUAUAUGUCUUAGUUUUUUAUUUCUAUUAAAAUUGUGAUUUAGUUUUUCUUUUUAAGUUAACUUAGUGAAGUAGGUUUAUUAUAUUAUAAAUCAAAAUCUUAUUAUUGUAACUUCAACUAUUGAUCAACUAAUAAAGCCCUUUUUAAUAAUUCUCUCUAAAAUUAUUUAUCAAAAUCUCUCUUACAAAGUUAUUUGGAUUAGAACGUCGUCUAAUCUUGCUUUAUGCGUUAUUAAAAUCUCAUUGAGCCAUUGUUAGAAUGAGAUCUACUCACGUUUCGAUUAGGACGUAAACUAUCCACAUUACCUUAGCCAGUAUUAGAACGAUAGCUAAUAUUUCCUACUCUAUCAAUUCCACUUCCGCUAUUCCAAUUUUUUAGUUUGUAUUAGAGUGGUUCAAUGCCAAUUGCACAGUUUUCCUGGCUACCCAUAUCCAUCCCCACCAAAUCCAUCACUGUUUAUCCAACAAAAAAAUAUUACAAAAUUACAAAACCUUAGCAGCCGCCCACCGCCACUGCCACUGCCACUCUUCACUAAUAGUUCACCAUUGGCUAAUCCCUCUACCAAACUCAUUAGCCACUACUGACCAAACCUUAGCCACUCCUGCCAUCAAUCGCCGCUUGUACCUACUAUAAAUCAUCUAGACCUAAAAACUGGGAGCAUCCACCAGCUGCCACCGUGAAACCAACCAUCUUCACUGUCAACCAACACCACCACUAAACUUGCUAGAUUCCACUGGUCAUAACUUGACAAAACCCACCAAUGAUCACCCCCAUAAAUCGCCACAAUGCUAACCCAAAACCCGGGCUUCACCUAGCGCCACCACAAACGCCACUUUCUCAUUGUCGAUAGACAAAUCGCAAUCGAAAUCUCCAACAUGAAUGAAGCACCACAGAUGCCAAUUCAAGUCAGCUUUUUGACCAAACCACCGUGAAUCCAGCCAAUCCUCGGCCAUUGUCGAGUUUCUCACGACCAUAUCUAGCAAAUCUAACCACUAAGGUCACCAGCCCCAGCGAAAGAAACUCUAACGGAUAAUUUUAAUCUUAGGUGUUCAAGUAAAAUGAUAAUUUUAAUCUUAUGACAUCAACAAGAAUCUAACGAGCUAAGAUGACAAUGAAUAAUUAAUAAACUCUAGGUGGAUUUCUAAAAAGAAAUUUUUUUUUGUGUAUUUUUGAAAAAGUCCCAAAGACUACAUGGUUAGUGGAUAAUUUCCUUUUUUUUCUUAUUUUCUACUAUUAUUAACAAUAAAAGUUUUUCAAUAGUAAUUGUUACAACCAUUAUAACAAUUAUUAUUGUUAUUGCUGUUGUUGUUGUUGUACAACAAAUGUGAAAUUCUAUCUACACAACCCAAGAGGGCGGUGAAUUGGGUAUUAAAAUUAUACUUACAAAAAUACAAAACAAAUUAAACAAAUGCUUUAAGAAAUUUAUAACAGUAAAUUUAACAAUGAAUGCAAUUAAAAAAAUAAAGGAAAAGAUAACAAACAAACAAAUUUUUACGUGUUUCGGCAAAACCCGCCUAUGUUUAUGCUGCCGAGCAAACUAAGUUUGAGGAUUCCACUAUCCAAGCCUUCUCAGGCUCUAAGAUUUUACAAUUGACUUUUAAUGUGUCAAUAAACCUUUAUAAGUAGUGAUGUGUACACAUACCUCUUUCCCCAAGUGUUUCCCACACUUAUACUCACAAAAUUUUGAUAUUUAAUUGAAGAUUACAAAGAUUAAUAUCUAUAAGAGUGUAUAAGCAAAUGAUAACUCAAUAAUGAUUUAAUGCAUGUAGAUAAGUAAAAUGAAAGCUCAAGAUUAGUUGUAUGAACAAGUUUAACUUAAUUGAGAUUGAAAAAGUUGUUAGAUUUGAGUUUGAUUUGGGUUCUUCUAGUUUAAACAAUCAAACUAGUCGUAAUUGACUUUCUGAGGACUUACCGGAUUGCUGCUAAAAUAAAGAAGUUAGUCGCUAUAUUGAUGUGGUAAGUUACCGUUACAAAUAAAAUUUAAAAACUUUUUUGCCUAAGCGAAUCGUCGCCUGAUUUAAAUGGUUAGCAGCUAUGUUUUUGGACCUGAAGCAGUUAGCCACUAUUCGUUAAGCGGUUAGUCGCUACUGUUUCAAAAUUUAUAGAUUUAAACUAAAAGUUCCUAAAAUUAUACUAUGGCCUAAAGUUUUUGAAAUAUUUACAAAUAGAUCCACUUCAAGAAUUUAAUACAUUACUAGUUGAUUUCAAAGUUCUCAAAACUUUUCAAUUUAGUCCAUAAAUUUGAAAACAACUAAUUUUAUAAAAUCAUUUUUAUUUACAUUUAAAACUUUUAUAUUAUAGAAAAUGAUGAUUUAAUUUGAAAAUUGUAUGAAAAAUAUCUUGCACUCUUAAAUACUAAAUCAUGCAUACAUUAAAUCAUAUUAGUUUUACAAGAAAUAUAACUAUGAAGAUUGCUUAAGCUAGUACCUUUAGCAUUCAUCCUUGAUUGUUGUUGUCCAUUGAGUGACUUGAACUUGAUCUCACUUGAGUGAUUUUUGUCCUUCAAGAACUUGUUAGAUUGUGAGAAAUAAAUUUACCAUUUUACCUUAUGUGGUUUGUUAUCAUCAAAAUUAAGGAUCAUAUAGCCGUUUACCCCAACAAUCUCUACUUUUUUUAUGAUGACAAACACCCUAUGUAUUUUGACAUUUCUAUUGCCCCUGAAUAUAUGACAUAAUUCAAAAAAUAUAACCAAAUAUAUAAACUCACUCCCUCUAAGUACAUGAUCCAUAUAAUUGUACAACAUUUGUAAACUCUCCUUGAGUGACUCAUAAAGUAACUAAAAUACUACAAACACUCAAUCAACCCCCAUGAGCCAAAAACAUGUCAAAACACUUCAAAAUACAUGUCAAUGUCUUCUCCCCCUUCAUCAUGAAAAAUCACUCGUCUAUUAUACAAAUAUUAUCAAUAAUUAUCCCCCACAAAGAUCAUCAAUCAAAAAUCCACACAUGACCAUUAAUCAAGUAUCCAUAUACAUAAUCCAUAAUCAAUAAAGAUAAUCCAUAAAGAUAAUUAAUAAAGAUACCACGAUCAAUAACUAGAAUGCAUAAAGAUAAUCCAUAUUAACUCAAGUAUCUAUAAUGCAUAAGUAAAAUAACAUCCAUCAAGUAUCCAUAAUGCUAAAAAUGAAAAUGCAUAUGAUAAAUAAUGUCGGUGCAUAAAACAAGGAAGCAAAAGAGAUAAAAGAAAAUCACUGAUGAGGCGGCAAACAUGAUAACAAGGAUGGUGGCAAAAAUUUGAGAGCAAUGAAAAUAAGCUGCUGAUGGUCUAGAAUUUGUUAUUGUUGAAGGAAGAGACGCUGUUGCUCAGAAAGAAAAUGAUCCUGGAAUGCUGCGAACGGUAUCUUAAGUUUGCUCUACUGCUCGGAUAUGGAACGCACUUUAUUCAACAACUGCUGGAUUGGGUUAUUGGGAAUGGCUGGAGAUGAUGAUGGUGGAGCAUCAGAAGGCCAAUGUAGAGCUUGUGACCUCAGGGAAGAGCUAAGAUCAAGAACCCAGUAAGGGGAAGCACAUCGUUAAAUAUGCAAUGAUAAAAAAGAGCCAGCUUUGUGGGUUUGCUCAACAAGUUCUGAUUCUUAACCUAUUGGUCAUCUACCCACCCAAAUCCUAAGCUAGCAAUGACCUCACCCCCUAACUCCUUGGGUUCAUCAUGAGAUGGUUCAGCUAUAGGGACCCAAAAAUAUUGAAGGAUAUGGGUAAUGACACUACCGACUGAAAAGGAUCGGUUUCCUAUACUCAGUGUAUUAAGCAUGUGCUGAAUGAUAAUAUUCGCACAUUUAGCUUUUACCCUCAAGGAUGCUAUGUAAUAAAGUAACAUCUAAGCGUGUAACCUCAGCACCAUGUCCCUUGCGAGGACUGAUCACAAGUUAAAGAACAAUAUGUAGGAUCCGAACUUGAAGAGGCAACACUUGUGAUCUAAGAGAGGAAUUAAAAAGCUCCAUGGAUAGAUCAGAUCACCUACAUAUUUUUCAAACAUCUAUGUUUCAAACAUCAUCUACAACUAAAUACCAGGGAUAAUCAAUUUUAGUCCUAGAUGUAUACAAAUGCAACCUAUCAUUCCUAGUCCUGAGAUUCAUGUUUAAAUCUUCUACUGUAAACUUAAUAGGAAUCCCAGCAACAUUAGUAAUAAUCAUAUUGGCAGUAUGUGUAUAAAUAAGCAUGUUCGAAUAAAAUACUCGUACCAAAUUAGGACAAAUAUGUUCCUUAAGAACUAAGACAUUUGUCCAACCCAAUUCAGCAAGUAAAGUUCUAAGAGUUUUGCUACAACUUGGCAAAUUUUCUAAUUAAUCAAGAUUAACAUAUAUAGGAUGGGAGGACUGACCUUGUCAUAAAUCGAUCAUAGAAUCAUUCCAUUGAGGUGGAUUUGGAAAGUGGGUGGAAAUGAAUUUCAUAAUGUCUUUAUGAAUCUUUUUUUUUUACAUUUUAGGCAUAUGCUAACCCUUGGACUUCUCACCACUAGCCAUUAAGAAAUUAUCAAAAUGUGUCCAAAAUUGCACAAAUUCGAGUUCAGCAAGUUUUUAAAGAAAUAGAUGAUUUUGAACCGAUUAAAAUGUUAAAAUGUUCUUUGAGAAUAUCUAAGGAAUGUAUGGGUUUAUUUUGGUCGAAAAUGGUCAAAUAAUGGUUCAAAUUUGAGAAUGUUGAAACUGGUGACUUAGGCUUUAAGAUUUUGAGAAAAUAGUGAUUAGAUUGUGUUUUAAAAGCGAAUGAGUGAAGAUUAAUUGAUGGGAAAUGAUUUGGAAAGUUUAAUUUGACACAAAAGUGAUGUAAAAAUGGAAGAUUUUAGAGAGAGAGUAAAAGAAAUGAGAGAUGACAGUGAUAGAGAGAGGGUAACAACUGAAAGUGGGAAAAAGAAGAUGAACAACAUUUGAAAACGUGAAGCCAGCUAGCCUCUUGAAGAAAGCGGUUAACUGUUUCAUUUUUAGAAACCAAGCAAUUAACCGUUUGCUUUGAGCCGGCUGGCCAGCUAGUUUCUGCCUCACAAUUGGCUAGUCGCUUGUGGUUAACGGUUAGCUAGUUCCCCUAAAUUUUGCACGAUUUUGCUUUUUGGCCAAAAUUUAAUUAAUUUUGAGACCAUUUUGUGAUCCCGAAGUAUUUUAAAAGCCAUUUUUAAUGCAUAAGAUAUGAUGAUAAACAUUCAAAGAAGUAAAUUCAAGCAUAUAACACAUUAAAAUCAAGUUUUUAUCAUACAAUCAAUCAAGAUAGAAAAUUAAGCAAAUUUGUAGUCUCAAUAUCAUGCAAUGAAAUAUUGAUGUGAAAAUGUCAUCAUUCCAAACUCAAUCUAAAUCUUUGAAAACUAUUCUUCACAAAAAGGCUUUGUAAAAAUAUCAGCAAGUUAUUUUUCCAUAGAAACAAAUUCUAAAGCAAUAUCUCUCAUUUAAACAUGAUCACGUGAGAAAUAAUGCCUAGUUUCAAUAUGUUUGGUCCUAGAAUGUUGAAUGAGAUUCUUUGACAAAUUUAUUGAGCUAAUAAUUUAUAUGAGUUCCCUUAGACCAAGAUCAAUUGUUCCUCAUAAAUAAUGAAAAAUUCUUUUAACCGCAAGAAAAUGAGAUUCUUUGAGAUAUGGUUGAAAUCAUGCACACAAGCAUACACUAAAGUAAUGUCUACUAGCAGUAAAGUAAAGUAAAGAUAUGAUCAUACCUCGAUAUCUUUUGAUACAACAUCUUUACUUUUUUUAUCCUUAUCGAUCUUGAUUGUAGUACUCAUUGGAGUGUCUUUAGUCCUGAAUGCAAAAUCUUUUGAGUAGAUCUCUGAAAUACUUGGCUUGAUUAAUGAUUUCUUUUUUUUCUUUUAAAUUUUAAGUCCAAGAAAGUACUUCAAUUCUCUCAUCAUGCUCAUGUCAAAUUCUCUACUCAUGCAAGAUGAAAAUUCCUUACACAGAAACUCAUUAGUAGAACUAAAGAUAAUAUCAUCAAUAUAAAUUUGAACAAGUAUACCUUGAUCCUUGUAUUUAACAAAUAGAGUAGUAUUCGCUUUACCCAUUGAAAAACUAUUUUCUAAAAGAAAUUUACUAAGUAUAUCAUGUCAUGCUCUAGAUGCUUACUUUAAACUAUAUAAAACUUUGGACAACUUGUAAACAUGAUCCAAAAACAUUUUUCGUUUUUAAAACGAGAGGGUUGUUUCACUUAAGCUUCCUUUAUAAUACAACUAUUUAGAAAGGCGCUUUUAGCAUCCAUUUAAUAUAAAAUAAAAUCAUUAUGAUAUGCAAAUGAUAAAAGCAUGUAAUGGAUUCUAAUCUAGCUACAUGUGCAAAGGUUUCAUCAAAAUUAAUUUCUUCUUCUUGGUUGCAUCAUUGAGCUACUAAUCUAGCUUUAUUCCUUACAACCACACCAGAUUCAUCGAUUUUAUUCCUAAACACCCAUUUACUGCCUAUUACAGAUUGAUGUUAUGGUUUAUGAACAAGUUUCCAUACAUUGUUUCAUUCAAAUUGAUUUAACUCUUCUUGUAUUGCUAUAAUCCAAGAUUCAUAAUUUUCCACAUCUGAAAAGGAUUUUGGUUCAACUUGAGAUAUGAAUACAGUAUGUUCACAUGUAUUUCUAAGUGAUUAUCUAGUAGUUACACCUCAUGAAGGAUCUCCUAAGAUUAAGUCUUUAGGGUCUGAAGAGACAUACCUUAUCUCCUUAGAGAGUGUUUGUGAAUUACCUUCAUUUUGAAUAUGUUUAACUUGUUCUUCUUGUUGCUCAUCUUGAUUUUUGCCUAGUAAAUCAUCUUGUUUGUCUUUUAAAGACUUUUUUUUUUUUUGUAACUCUUCAUAUGCAUCAUUAUCAACAACAACUUUCUUCGUAGAAGAAAAGUUAGAUUUAAUCAAACAUAACAUGUAUAGAUUCUUUAGCGACCAAGGUUCUUUUAUUAUACACUCUAUAAGUUCUACUUGUUUUUUAAUACCCAAGAAAAAAUAUCAACAUCAGAUUUUAUAUCAAAUUUACCAAGAUUAUCUUUUGUAUUCAAUAGAAAACAUUUGCAACCAAAAACUUUGAAAUAGUCAAUAUUUUUCUAUUUUUCCAAAGCUCAAAAGGAGUUUUAUUGAGGUAAGGUCUAAUCAAUGCACGAUUUAAAACAUAACAAACAAUAUUGACGGCAACCUAAAAAUAUUCUAGUAAAGCAUUUUUAUUUAACAUGGUCCUAGUCAUUUCUUGGAUAGACCAAUUCUUUCUCUCAACUACUCCAUUUUAUUGUGGAGUUCUUGGUGACAAGAAUUGAUGCUCAAUGCCAAAGUUAUUGUAAAAAAUUGAGAAUUACAAUUUUUAAAUUCUCCACCAUGAUCACUUCUAAUGCAAGAAAUAACAUAUCAUUUUUCAUUUUGAACCUUUUUAUAGAAAUUUUGAAAGCAUUAAAGGUGUCAUCUUUAUUAGUUAAGAGUAAUACCAUGUGUAUAUAGAAUAAUAAUCUAUAAUUAUAAAUGCAUAAUAUUUACCACUUAGACUAGCAUAUUUAGAAAAUUCAAACAAAUCCAUGUGAAAAAAGUUAAAAUGGUUUUGAAGUAGAAAUAUGAAUUUUAUUUUUAAAGGACGUUUUAUUUGUUUUCUAAAUUGGCAAACUUCACAAAUUCUAUCUUUUUUAAAACCAAUUUUUGGAAGACCUAUAACCAAAUCAUUUUAAAAAAAUUUUGAAAUAAAAUCCAUGCUCGCAUGACCUAGGCUUCCAUGCCAUAUCAACUAUCAUCAUGUAAUGUGAAAAAAACAUUUAUUAUGAGUUGAUACACUAUCUAUAUCAAUGGUGUAUACAUUAACACAUCUUUAUCUAACAAAUAAAACUUUGCCAUCACAUGCAUUUUUAAUAACACAUUUUGUUUUAUAAAAAAUAACUCUAUAAUCUUUAUCACAUAAAAAUAACUUUGUAACCUUUAUCACACAAUUGACUAAUACUAAGCAAAUUCUAAAGCAAUAUCUUUUAUUUUUCUUUUUCAAAUCAUUUACAGGUAAACCUUUAUUCUUAGAUGAAACAUUUUGUUUUUUCUUUAAAAGAUGCAAUUUCUUCACAAAUACUCCUAGGCACUUAAUCUUUUUAUUCAAAGUGUCAUUCUCAUUUAAAAGUUCUACUUUUUUCUUUCCAAGAGAAACAUUUUACAUUCCAAUCUUCUUUAAAUCUUUAUGCAAUUUAGAGAAUACUUCAAACAACUCAUCCUAAGAGGUUUACCUCAUCAAGUUCAUCUCCUAUAACCAUAAGUGCCAAAUUUGACACUUCAUGGGACUACUCUUCAUCUAUAGUCUCCUUAUCGCUAUCAUCCCGUGUUGCUACCAUAGCUUUCUUCUUUAAUUUAUUGAGAAAAGGACAUGCUAGUUUUAUGUGUCUAGGCUUCCUGCAUUUAAAGCAAAUAAUUGCCUCCUUUUCUUUCUGAUUUUUGAAUUUCCUUCGCUCGAUGGAUUUCUUGAAUUUUUUUUUGAAUUUUCCAGCUAUCAUAGCCAUGUCUUCAUUUUCGAUCUCACUUUCGUUGUCACUUUUAGAUCUUGAUGCUUUUAAGGAAAUACUCUUCUUCUUCUCGACUUCAUUGCCUUUUCAAUUUGUCAAAUCCUUUUCAUAAGAAAUAAAUGAACUAAUUAAAUCAUCAAUAGAUAAAGUAUCCUUGGCUUCCUCAAUGGCAAUUUUCUUAGGUCUCUAUUCUUUUGGUAAAGACCUACUGAUUUUUUUUACCUUCUCGCUAUUUGAAAAGGUCUUUCUAAGAGCUUCUAAAGUGUUUAUAAUGUCUGUGAAUCUAGUGUAUAUGGAAUUAACACUCUCAUUUUGUUCCAUUUAUAGCAAUUCGUAUUGCCUAGUAUAUCUACUAAUUUUAGACUAUUUAACUUGAUUUGUAGCUUUAUAAACGACUUUAUGUUUUUUCCAAAUUUCAUAAGCAUUGGAACAACCUUAAGGCACAAAACAAAGCAUUCAUGGCUUUGAAAUUAAGAGAAUUUUUUCUCUUUUCUGACUCAUUCCAUUCUUGUGAAAGCUUUUAACAGUAGGCAUGAAUGGACCAUCACAAUCAACUUCCUAUAUUUCAUAAUAUAAUGCUUGCAAAUAAAUUCUUAUCAUAAUUUUCCAACAUGGAUAAUCAUUCCCAUCAAAGAAUGGUGAUCUAGUAAGGGAUUAACCUUUCCCAAAUCUGGGAUCAUUUUGGAUUACUAUGGAUCUUUUACUCUAGAUGGUUAAGUCCUAAUAAGAUAACUUCCUCUUAUACCAAAUGAAAUUCUAGCUAAGCAACCCAAGAGGGGGUGAAUUAGGUAUUAAAAAUUAUACUAACAAAAACACAAUACAAAUUAAACAAAUGCUUCAAGAAAUUUAAUAAUGGUAAAUUUAACAAUGCGUGAAAUUAAAAAGAUAAGGGAGAAGAUAACAAACACAUGAAUUUUUAUGUGGUUCGGCAAACCCGCCUAUGACUACGCCUCCAAGCAAUCCAAACUUGAGAAUUCUACUAUCUAAACCUUCCAAGACUCCAAGAUUUUACAAUUGACUUCUAAGGUGUCAAUAAACCUUUACAAGUAGUUAUGUAUACACACACCUCUUUUCCCAAGUGUUUCCCACACUUAUACUCACUCAAUUUUGAUAUUUAAUUGAAGAUUACAAAGAUUACACUCUAUAAGAGUGUAUAAGCAAAUGAUAGCUCUAUAAUGAUUAAUGUAUGUAGAUAAGCAAAAUGAAAGCUCAAGAUAUAUGAAUAAGUUUUAGCUUAAUUGAGAUUGCAAAAAAUUGUUAGAUUUGAGUUUAAUUUGAAUUUUAUAGUUUAAACAAUCAAACUAGCAAUUAUGGGCUUUUCUAGGGACUUGCUGGAUCGCCGUUAAAAUGAGGCGGUUAGCCACUAUGUUGAUAUGGUAAGUUACAGUUGCAAAUCAAAUUUGAAAACUUUGGUUCAAGCGGAUUCCGCUUGAUUUAAGCGGUUAGCUGCUAUGUUUCUAGACUUGAAGUAGUUAGCCGCUAUUGGUUAAGCGAUUAGCCACUAUUGUUCCAGGAUUUAUAGAUUAGACCUAAUUUUUUUGAAAUUAUAUUACAGCCCAAAACAUUUGAAAUAUUUACAAAUAUGUCAAUUUCUAGGAUUUAAAACAUUAUUGGUUGAUUUCAAAGUUCUCAAAACUUUUCAAUUUAGUCCAUAAAUUUGGAAAAAGCAACUAAUUUUAUAAAAUCGUUAAAACUUUUAUAUUAUAGAAAAUGAUGAUUUAAUUUAAAAAUGUCAUGAAAAAUAUCUUGAGCUUUUAAAUGUUAAAUCAUGCACACAUUAAAUUAUACUGGCUUUACAAGAAAUUUAACAAUAAAGAUUGCUUAAACUAGUACCCUUAGUAUUCGUACUUGAUUGUCAUUGUCCAUUGAGUAUCUUGAUCUUGAUUUCACUUGAAUGAUUUUUGCCCUUCAAAAACUUGUGAGAUUGUGAGAAAUAAAUUUACCAUUGUACCCUAUGUAGUUUGUUAUCAUCAAAAUCAAGGAUUAUAUAACCGUUUAGGCCAACAAAAUAUUAUAAUAAAUAAUAAUUAUUAUGAUAAAAAAUUAAAGAUAUUUCGUAAUUUGUAACAACUCAUCGUGAUUUUAAAAUAAAAUAAAUAUAUCAAUGAUGAUAUAAUUUAUUUUAAUUUUAAUUUUUACAAUUUAAAUAAAUAAAUAAAUUAUCAUUCCAUAUUUUAAUUCCAACUCAUUCCAUUCCAAUUCAUUCAUAUUUUAAUCAGUAUAUCAACUACCCCCGAGCAAUGCCCGAAAGACAUUGAGGCAAGGGCCACAGAAAAAUAUACACUUGUUAGUUUAGCGUUGGUGUCAAGUUUCUUUAGCAUUUUAAAUUCAUAAAAGAACUUAUAGUGGUUCUUCAUCCUUUGGACUUUUCAGUGUUUACUUUCUAGAGUGGGUGUGAGUAGUGUGAAUUCCUCCCACUUCAAUAUUUACUGUACCAUUUUAAGGAGGGAUUGGGAAUCCCACUCCAUAAACCCCACCCAUUUUUGGAGUGGGGAGUGGGAGUGGGAGUGGGACUCCCAUGGGAACCCACUCCCACCUCUCCCUUUUCUACCUUUAUUUAAUUAAAUUUAAUAUUUAAUAUUUAAUAAAAUAAAAUAAAUAAUAUUAUUAUAUUAAUAGAGAAUUAAUAAUAUUACUAUAUGUUAUUUAUUUGAAGAUAUAAUAUUAUUAUAUUUAUUUAAAAAUAUAGUAUUAUAUUUAUUUAAUAUUAAUAAUUAAUAAUAAUAAAUAGUUUAUUCUAAGAAAAUAUUAAUUUUAUACUAAAUAAUAUUAUAUUAUUAUUUAUAUAAUAAUAAAUUUAAUAUAAUUAAAUAAAAUAAUAUUUCAUUUUAUAUUUACCUUCCUUUUUUAACCCCCUUUUAUUAAAUUUACUAUAAUUAUAUAUUAAUAAAAUAAAAUAAAUAAUAUUUUAUUUAUUUAAAUAAUAUUAUUAUAUUUAACUAAAUAAUAAUUUGGUUUGAUUCUAAGUUUAAAUUACUUAAAAAUAAUAAUAUUAUAUUAAUAGAGAAUUAAUAAUAUUACUAUAUACUAUCUUUAUUUGAAAAUAUAAUAUUAUUAUAUUUAUUUAAAAAUAAUAGUAUUAUAUUUAUUUAAUAUCAAUAAUUAGUAAUAAUAAAUAGUUAAUUAUAAGAAAAUAUUAAUUUUGUACUAUGUUAAUAGUAAAAAUAUUUCAUUUAUAUUGCUCUUAUCAAUAAUUUUUAAUUUAUAUAAUUAAAAUUAAAAUUAAUAAAAAAUUAUGAUGUACAUAAUUAAGAAUAUUAACAAUUAUUAUAAAUUUAUAAAUAUAAUAAAAUAAAUGUUUAUUCAUUAAAUAUAUAUUUUUAUUAACUUUGUAAUAAAAAAUUAUAAUUCUUUAAAUAAAGGUAAAAUUAUAAUUUAAAAUUAUUUACUCUCAAUUCAAGAUAAAGUACACACAUAAAUUGGAUUAUGAUCUCCAUUCCAUACUUAUAUUUCAGUGUAAGUAAACAACUUACACUUAUUUCCACUCUACACUCUCAAUCAUAGAUUUUUAUUUCUCAAAAUUCUCACUCCAAUCCAAAAUGUAAACACUAUGGUAAUUGUUCACGCAACUAUUUUAAUCGAAAAUAUUUUACUCGAAACUAAUAGACCUUUCAACAAUUUUAAGCGAAAAUAAUAGACCUUUCAACAAUUUUUACGGAUUCUGGCAAUUGUUCACGCAACUAUUUUAAUAGAAAAUAUAUAUGGCUCCGUAAACAAUGAUUAUCUCUUGACAGCUGUUCUGCACUCGCCAUUUGUACUGAAAUAGAAGAUUAUCUCUUGAUGAUUAUUUAAUUGAAAAGAAUUUGUCGUUUAUAUUUGACUGACUUGACAAAGAGUUGUUCACCUGGCCUUUGGAUGAGGAUCACAUGUUUUAUGACAAUCGUAAUGUUACUAAGGUAAGUCAAGCAAUUAUUUUUAAAUAAUGAUAUUAUAAUUAAAAAUCUAAAAACAUUUAUAAUACUUAAAGACUAAUUCCGAUUAUUAAUUUUUUUAUAUGACUUCAUUAUUAGCUGACAAAUAAUUAAAAGGCCAUAGAACAAUAUUUUUAGGUCCAAUUUUUAUUCUAAUAUGACAAAAUUUGUACUUUCAUUCCUAUACUAAAAUAUAUCUAACCUACUAACUAUCAAGAAAUAUAACUAUUCAACACAUAUUUGUUAGAAAGAUUAUCUACUAAUUAAUCAUUGAUUACGAGAUUAAUAUAUUGAAAUUCAGAACUUUUUUUUUUCCUUCUGCAGUUUAAAAAGGAGUCGCCCACGAGUAUUGAAAUAAUUUUAUCAGAUUCGCUUAAAAGUAGUUUUAAUUCUCAGUCAAUUCUCAGUCAAGAAUUGACUUUUUUUUUUCCUUCUGAACUUUUUUUUUUCCUACUCUUUGCCUUCAAUUCUCAGUCAAGAAAACCUCUCCUGAUUUUCGUCUUUUGAUCUCAUACACACUUUGCUUCUAUUUAUCGUGGUCACUGCUCGUGCUAGCCGUUUUCUUAUUUAGCUUCGUUCCCUUUUGCCAUCAGCUAUUUGCAUUUUCAUUGGAUCAAGCAACCCUUUUCUUGAUUCAAUUUUCUGAUCUCAAAAACACUUUGAUUCUCUUCUGUUACACUGAUUUCCCUUGUUUUGUACAAAUAUCAUUUCUUUUUUCAACUUUGCCUUGUUUUGCUUCUACUUGAUUAUCAAUUGCGCGGCCGUUGACCCUGUUCUAUUUCUAUUUCGUUCACUUCCCCAAAAAAAAAAAAAAAAAAUGGACAUUUUGAAAAGCAUUGUUCCAGGAGUUGUAAACUGUUUGUCUCCUCACGCACAACGCGAAUUUAGUUAUUGGUAUAAUUCCGGUGCCAACUUUGAGAAUCUCAAGGCAGAACUCGAUAGGCUCAAGGAUGAAAGAGAAAGCAUUCAGCGCAGAGUUUCUGAGGCUGAAAGAAAAAGUGAAAAGAUUGAAGAGAAGGUUGAGAAAUGGCUGGUUAAUGCGAACAAGAGCAUUGAGGAGGCAGCCAAAUUCAUUUUCGACGAAGAGAAAGCAAAUGAACGAUGUCUCAUGGGGCUGUUUCCUAAUUGGAUUACUCGCUAUCAGCAUGGAAAGAAAGCAGAAACAGAGAAGGAGGCCCUUUUUAAACUCCGAGAAGAAGCUGGGAGAUUUGAUGAUAGAAUUUCCUACCGUACCAUACCGGAGGAGAUUUGGCUCAAGUCUCACAAAGGCUACGAGGCCUUCGAAUCAGGACGUUCUACUUUGGAGGCUAUAAAAAACGCAUUGAUCGAUGUUGAUGUCAGCAUCAUUGGGGUGUACGGCAUGGGCGGCAUUGGAAAGACGACACUGGUGAAGAAGGUCGCCAGGCAAGCUAUGGAAGACAAGCUCUUUGAUAUGGUAGUCUUUUCAGAGGUUUCCCAAAUCCCAGACAUAAAAAGGAUUCAACAUGAAAUUGCCGAGGAGUUGGGCCUGGAGUUGCGCGAGGAAGUUGAAUCCAGAAGAGCAAAUAGAAUAUUUGAGCGAUUGAGAGAUGAGAAGAAGAUCCUUGUGGUUUUAGACAACAUCUGGAAACACCUUGAUUUGGAGACCGUUGGAAUUCCUUUUGGAGAAGACCAUAAAGGAUGCAAACUACUGCUGACAGCAAGAGAUCGUAGUGUCCUCUUAAAAAUGGGAUCUAAAGACAACUUCUUGAUUAACAAUUUAAAUGAUGAAGAAGCAUGGAGAUUGUUUAAGAUGAUGGCCGGUGAUGAUGUUGAAAAUCGUGAGUUGAAAUCUACAGCAAUAGACGUUGCCAGGGCAUGUGGAGGUUUGCCCAUUGCCUUGACUACAGUGGCAAAGGCACUGAGAAGCAAGAGUCUGCAUGAAUGGAAGAAUUCCUUGCGAGAACUCCGAACGCCUUCAAUGGUAAACUUCGAAGGAGUAUCUGCAGAGACUUAUUCAAGUAUUGAGCUGAGUUUCAACCAUUUAAAGGUGAGCAACUCAAGAAAAUUUUUCUGCUCUGUAGUCUAAUGGAUAACCGUAUUCUUACUUCGGACUUGUUUAAGUACUCCAUGGGUUUGGGUAUAUUUAAAGGAGUCAAUAAGAUGGAAGAUGCACGAGACAAAUUAUAUGCAUUGGUCCAUGAACUUAGACACUCUUGUUUGUUGCUUGAGGGUGAGAGCAAUGAACAAUUUUCAAUGCAUGAUGUUGUUCGUGAUGUCAUAUAAUUUUCAACUAUCACUAAGUGGAAAAGAUGUGAAGAUGAUUUUGCAGGCCGAUUUCCCACAACACCUUUUUGGCAGUCUUAAACAACUAGAGAUUGUUGGAGAUGACUCAGCUUGUUUUCCAAUCUGGAACGUACUGAAGAGAUUUCACAAUCUCAAAAUGCUCAUACUGCGUUAUUUUUCAUCCCACGAAGAGCUAUUUUCAAUGGAAGGAUGCUUAGAGAAACAUGUGGGGAAGUUGGCAAUGAUAAAAGCAUUAGAGCUGCGCUGGCACUAUCAUCUGAAGCAGCUGUGCAAACAAGACUCCAAACUUGGCCCCAUUUUUCAGUAUCUUGAAUUCAAAAUGUACUUCAUUGUCAAAGUCUGUUAACUCUAUUGCCACCAUCAUCGGUAUCUUUCCAGAACCUAACAGCUCUGGUGGCUUUCGGUUGCAAGAAAUUGAUACACUUAGUAACAUCCUCCACAGCAAAAACUCUAGUGCAACUCGUCAAAGUGUGUAUAUAUGGAUGCAGAGCAAUGACAGAGGUGGUAAUAAAUGACAAAGAUGGAGUUGAAAAAGAAGAGAUUGUUUUCCGCAAAUUGAAGGCGUUGGAACUGUGUGAUUUAGAUAGCCUCACAAGUUUCUGCUCUGCCAAUUACACCUUCAAAUUCCCAUCUUUGCAAGAUUUGUGGGUGAUUGGUUGUCCCAAGAUGAAGAUUUUCACUACAGGAGAAUCAAUCACGCCUCUAAGAGUAAACGUCUGCUAUGGAGAGACAGCGGAUCAACGGCGCUGGGAUAAUAAUGAUCUAAACACAACCAUACAACAAUUACAUGCUGAGAAGGUACGGAUAUACAUAUUACUCUCUAUCUCCCAUGAUAAAUUUUUACAAAAUUUGCUUUUUUUAAAUAAAAUAUCGAUAAGAUAUUUGUUUUAAAAUUAGUUUAAAUUGAUGGAUAAGAAUUUUAUUCUCAGCUGUUGGACGGGUCGUCGAUAUACUCUACGCAAUACCACUAAUUUCAUUGGCUUCUUAUGUCUUGGAGUUGCGAAUUUGAAGAAGAAAGUCCCAGCUGGUAAUUAAUUCUUAUUUUAUUUAUUUGAUCUCGUGGGUUGUUUCACAAUUUCAUCUCAAUUAUUUAGAAUGGGUCGCUUGGUUUUCAUGUUUCGUUCAGGCUUUUGUGGGCAGAUUUUGCGUCAUUGAUUGUCUUUUGGUCUAAUUUAAUUUAAUUUGAGUAUUUUGUUUGAGAAUUCGCUUGUUCUCUAAAAUUUUAUAAUUCCUUGCAAGCAUUUUAUGAUGAAAUUUCAUUAAAAGGGGCAACACUUGCAUGUUGAAUGUCUUCAGAUAUUAUAAUUCCUUGAAAUCAUGCGAACUUUUUUCUUUCUUUCUUUGCCAAUCAUUUAUUGUCAUCAUUGCCUUUCCGUUAUAUUUGUUUCUGCUCUGUUUGUUCUUUGGAAACUUGGAAGGCAACGAAAGUACUUAAGAAAAUGCUCUUGCCUAUGAACACAUAAUUAAGAAGCUGAAUAUCAUUCAGCGGGUAAAAUAUAUAUAUAUAUAUAUAAUUAGCCCAUUAUGCCUACAACAAAUCCUUACACCAUCAAAGGUUAGCUAUGAACAACUAUAUUGUGGAAAUAUUGUUUGAAAGCAUUGGAUAGAAUUUUCAAAAAUAUCAAGUUUUCACAAACCAAAAAGGGAACUAAUUUGGUCUAGUUUUGUGAAAGUAUAGAAGCACAAAUUUUGUCUGUUAUUCUUGUUAAAAUUCUCAGCACUAUGUUUGCAGAAUGUCUGGAUACUGAUGGAGAUUCAAGUCACUCUUCUUCUGUGCAACAUUUGAAAUGAAGCCUUUUUUUCCCCCUUUAUUCAAAUUUUAUGUUGUGAGGGGUUCCGUUUCCAUCUUCAUGUGAUUUACUUCAUCGUGUCGCUACAUAUAUGAUAGUGUGUGUUAUUUCCUGUCUGUUUCCUUUAUUUGACCAUCGGAAGUUCAAAGACAUUUUAUUCUAAAUGUGUGUAAAUUCAUUUUCUGUAUAAGCUCUUUGUAUGCAUUUUGACAUUUUAUUCUCAAUAUAUGUGACUCAAUGAGAGGUCUAUUGUUAUAUAUACGUCACGAAAUUCUUGUGUAUUUUUAGAUUUGAUGAUGUAUUAUUGCCUCAUUGCAAGGUCUUAUAAUCACUCUGAUUCUUAUUUCUUGUAUAUAUAUGUAUAUAUGCGCAAGAAAUUUGAUAAAUGAUCUCGUCAUUUUCUCAGUUAAACAUCUAGUACUUUAUAUGUUGGAAGGGUACUAAGCAGCAGGCCAAGAUUUAUCAACUCAAAGAUCGUCAUGUCACUUUUUGAAAGUUGACUAAAAAAUAUUCCUAAAAGUAGCAAAAGUUGGUGGAUUAUUGUGGUUUUCCUACUUUAUCGUUUUUGGUUGAAUAAAUUAAUAUAAAGCUGUCGAUUCUGCAUUAAAGCUUAUGAAUUGUGAAGAUAUAUGAAUACCAAAUCUUUCCAACUCCAACUCUUGAGUAAUUAUUAGGUUCCCACCCAUGCAAACAUAUUUUCUUUCGAGAAAAAGGGAUGCCUGAGUCAGGGCAUCCGUUGCCUCGGUUUAUUUGAUUUUGUUUGGUUCAAUUGUGGUUCUGUUAUUUAGUUUUUCCUCUGAUGGUUCUGUUUCUCUGUAUAUUUCACUGGGUUUGCUUUGCUUCACAUCUUUCUUUCAAAACUAAGUAUAUAUCAAAUCAUGCAUAUGCUCAUGCUCUUGCCUAUGAACACAUAAAGAACAACUGAAUAUCCUUCGUCGGAUAACAAAAAAAAAAAAUCUAAUCAUCCAUUACUUAAUUAGAAAAAAAAUUUGUUCGCUCUGCUUGCUUUAGUAAUUUGUCUUUUAUAUUUGACUGGCUCGACAAAGAGUUGUUGACCUCGUUUUGAUACACUUACAUUGCAGAGAUUGAAACCAGAUCUGUCAUACAUUAGUUGGCCAUAAAAAUAAUCAAAUCACUUUCUCUUUUUCACCUAUUUUCACGGAGAAAAAUGCUAAAGAAACUGGGAGAAUGCUAAAUUCAAAGGUGGAAAGUGUACAGAGAGAGGAAGCGCGUGUUUAGAGAGAGAGGUCUCAAAUAUAUAAGUUGGAUUUCUCAUAAAAGGUAGUAAGGUUUCUAUAAUUCUAUUUCUAUUUAUGCUGAAUUUCAUGGAAACGAAGUUAAUUUAGAGAUUUGUAUACUUUAUUUAUAGUUAAGUUUUCCAAAAAAAGGCGUAAAGUUGCUCCUAAGUUCAUUUUUAUAAUUGGUCGAUUAUUUUAGAAGUCACAAGGGUGCCAACAAGGAAUUGUAGAGUCGGAUACGUGUAGCCUUCAUUGUUUUCCUGAUUCGGUAUGUAUAUAGUUAUAUGUAUGUUUAGGUAGAUUAUGGUUGGUGAUGAUAUUGUUAAUAAUAUGGAUGAUUUGUUAGAUAUGAAAAUUAAGUUAUUAAGGGUGAAACAUGAAACCGAAUCCGUCACUGCAUUUGCUUGAAAAACAAUUUUACGAAUAAUAGGUCCUCGACAACUUUCAAUGUGGUUUAGUUACAUGUAUUCAAAACAUAAAUUAUUGUUAUGAUUUUAGAAAAUUUUGUUGUUUGUAAUUUAUAUUUGAAAUUUUGCAACAAUUGUUUGGCACAAAUAUUUUUAUUUAAGAAAAAGAGUGAUCUCAUUAUUGAGCUGGUUUUGAUAACACAUAUGGAAAUAAUAAAUUGAUUCAUAAUUAAGUCAAUUACCUAAUUAAAAUGUACCUCAAUAUUUUUUUCCUCAAUAUUUUUUUGGUAAUGUUGUAUCUGUUAUAGUAAUUUUUGGUAGUUAUGUUUGGAAAUAAUCACUAUGAAGAGAAUGAGUUAAACAUUUAGGAAAAUUUAUUUUUAGAAGUCCUAUUGAUAAUGUAAAUGCUAAAUUGAAUAUAAUGUUAAAUAAAAUUUAUUUAUACAUUUAUAAACAUUUAAAUAAAAUAUUUUUAUCUUGUAAGUAUAAUAAUUGAUUACUAAAAUAAAUAUUUUAUAUUAUUAAUUUUAUUUUUAGUUUGUUAUCUCAAUGUAAUUGUUGAUAAUAUCUUUAAAGUUAAUAAUUUUAUUUUCUAAUUAAUAAGGAUAAUUAAUAUAUGUAGGGAUGUAUAUGGAAUUAUAUUGAGUAUAAAACUGAUUAUCAAAAUCAGAUUUUGAAAAACUAUUUGCUUUCAAAAUUUAUUGUAGGAUUGAUGAUUUUACCAAAGGUGACUUCUAAAAUUUUUAUUAAAUACCAAAAUUAGCAUUUAACUUUUCAAAAUUAAUUUUGAGCCUCUAAAAAUAAUCCCAAACGGAACUUUAAUAUAUGUUUGAUUUUUUUUAAUUUUAUAUUAUAUGAGACAAAAAUAUAAUUUUUAUCGUUGAAAAACAAAUGACAGAUUUUUUUGAAUAAUUUAAAAAAAAAAGAAACACAGAGCUCAAGAUAAUGCUGUAAUUGUUGCAUAAGAAGGCUGCAACUUGAUGAUAAAUUUAUUAUACUAGUUUUAAGGUUUUAUUUUGUGUGUAAAAGUUGCUGGUUCUUGUUUUAGAAAUUUCUCUUUCUAUUUGCCUGACUCGACAAAGAGUCGGUGUACCUCGUACUGAUACACUUAAAUUACAAACAUGGAAACCAGAUCUGGCAUCAUAAAUUAAUCAAUCACCUUCUCAUUAAUCUACCAUUACUCUUUUCGUUCCCUUAUUUUUAUCUAACCAUUUAGGAUAGGAUUUGAAUUCAGUACUUAAUUAUUCUUUUUAAUAAUUUUAAAAAAUUAUAAUUAAUAGUUAUUGGAUAAAAAUAUAAAAUUAAUUAUAUUAUUUGUCAUACGCGUGUGACAAAAGGUUAAGAAAAAUUUAUUUACGUUUGCUCAAUCCACUCUCUUAUUAGCUCCCCCACUCUCUUAAUCAUUUCUUCUCAUUCGAAAAACACUUUGCUUCUGUUUGUUUGUUAUUUAUUUUUAGCUCCAUAACUGCUCGUCGUAACGCUGUCUCUCUGUUUUGACUGUCCUUUAGCCUUCUUCACUUCUACAUUGUUGUCAGGAUUCAAGAUGCUGGAAAUCAUUGUUACUCUCGUUUUGGAACCUUGUAAAAUGCUUGGCUCCUCCAACUGAACGCCAACUUGUUUAUUUGCGAUGGCGGAACUACAAUGCCAACCUUGAGAAUCUCAAGGCGGAAAUGGAGAAGUUGAAGGUUGAACGUACGAGCAUUCAGCGCAGAGUUUCAGAGGCGAAAGAAAAAGGGGAAGAGAUUGAAGAGAAGGUUGAGAAGUGGCUGGUUAGUGCUAACGGCAUCAUUGACCAGGCAGCCAAAUUCGUUGAAGAUGAAGAGUCAACAAAUAAGCGCUGUCUCAAGGGCUUGUGUCCUAAUUUGAAGACCCGCUAUCAGCUUAGCAAGAAAGCAGAGACGGAGGUGAAGGCCAUUAUUGAGCUUGGAAAACAAAAUUAGAGAAAUUUCCACGUUCAAAGACAUUUUAAUAUGUUAUAACUAAACUAAUCAGAAAAACGAGUUUAAAGAAAAAAAAAAAAGGAGAGGGAGGGGACGGCAUCGUUUAAUUAAAAAGAGCUAAAAUUUUACUCUGUCCAUGUUGCAAAGCAAGAAAGCCGAAAAGCACAAAACAACAAUAAGCCAACGUUUGGGGAACUCCUCCCACCAGGGAACCAAGCUCUCCGAAUCCACGCCCAAAUCCUCACUCCCCAACGCGACGUCUUUCAACGCCUCCUCAAACUUCACAGAUUUCUCCGACACAUUGUACGACUCGGACUUCACAUCCCGAACGGAUACUCGGAACGAGCAACCCCUGUCUCCGGACAGAACCCCAAGUCGAACAAAGGUUACGAGGCCUUCGAAUCAAGAGUUUCUACUUUGAAGUCUAUACAAAAUGCGUUGACUGAUGUGAAUGUCAGCAUUAUUGGGGUGUACGGCAUGGGCGGCAUUGGAAAGACGACACUGGUGAAGGAGUUUGCUAGGCAAGCCAGGGAAGACAAGCUGUUUGAUCGGGUGGUUUUUUCAGAGGUUUCACAAACUCCAGACAUAAAAAAGAUUCAAGGGGAAAUUGCAGAGAAGUUAGGUCUGGAGUUGUCCGAUGAAGCUGAAUAUAGAAGAGCUAGCAGGCUGUAUGAACGACUGAAGAAUGAGAAUAAGAUUCUUGUGAUUCUAGAUAAUAUCUGGAAACAUGUUGAUUUGGAGACGGUUGGAAUUCCCUUCGGAAAUGAUCAUAAAGGAUGUAGACUACUGCUGACAGCAAGAGACAAUAAUGUACUAUUAAGUAUGGGCUCCAAAGAUAACUUCUUGAUUGGCAAUCUAAAUGAAGAAGAAGCUUGGGGAUUGUUUAAGAUAAUGAAUAGUGAUGAUGUUGAAAAUUGUAAGUUCAAGUCUACAGCAAUUAAUGUAGCCCAGGCAUGUGGAGGGCACUGAGAAACAAGAGUCUGCAUGAGUGGAAGAAUGCCUUGCGAGAACUCCAAACACCUUCAGUGGUAAACUUCGAAGGUGUGCCUGCAGAGACUUAUUCAAGUAUUGAACUGAGUUUCAAGUAUUUAAAAGGUGAGCAACUCAAGAAAAUUUUUCUGCUCUGUAGUCUAAUAGGUAACAGUUUUUGGAUUACAGACUUGUUUAAAUACUCCAUGGGUUUGGGCAUAUUUCAAGGAGUCAACAGGAUGGUAGAUGCACGAAACAAAUUAUAUGCAUUGGUCCAUGAACUUAGUGUUGGGGAAAAAUUAGGUUUUUAAAUUUUUAUAAAACCUUUUGAAGAUCGCUCUCAUAUAAUAUAUAAGAAUUUGUAUUCUAGAAAUCGUACCUUGAAAAUCUGAAUUGGCUUUUUCCGCUGAAGUGAUUUAGGCUCCUAGAUCACGAUCCGCCACCACCACUCCUGAUAGAUCACGAUCUGUCACCACCACGCUUGUUAGAUCACGAACUGUCUCCAAUGAUCUUCCAGGUUAUGACUCAUGUUCGAUCUGCACUUGACGUGUGGGCGCCUUUAUCACUACCAAAGCAACUAGCAUGAGAAAAUUUUUCUCUCAACAAUAGAGAGAAAAAUCUUAUUCUCCGAUCUGUAUAAAGUGGCUCCUUUCUUUUUUCUUUAGGGAAAAAUAAGCCUUUUAUAUCACCCUUUAGUGAAAACCCUAGGCUCCUAAUGAUCAAAAAACAAAACCCACGUUUAUUUGCUUUUUCAAUAGGGGACCCACCUUGUAAAAUAACAUAAGGCCCCUUAUACAAAAGCUAAUUAAAUGGAGCCUCCCACUAAAUGAUAUAUUUAGGCUUUUGACCCAAAUAGCUAGUUAUCUUACUUAUUAGUCCAGUAGUGGUGCAAUCAAUUAAAUGAGCUAACCCGGGGAUCAUUUGGGAACAUACAAUAGUGGCUACAAUAAUUAGGCCUAUAAUUAAACUAGCCCAAUUAUUUAAUUCCAAAUCUACUCCACUAAAAGAUUGGAACCGACUUCCAUAAUUGUACGCUCGAAUAAUAAUUCGUCCCAAGCCACAUUGAUUUCUUUACUGCACAAUCCUUUGUACCACAUCGUUAAUUAAAUUGAUAUCUCAACUGUCCAAUCAAUUUAAUAACAUCUUAUUCCUUGAUCCUUACUGGUUUUCUCUAAUGAUCAUUUUCAACAUACUAAAUAUGUUGACACACUCUGGCCAGAGAAUUCUAUGAUCAAGUGCCGAAAACCCAUCAAGAGAUGUGUUGUACAAAUUCUAUAUUGUUAAUCCAUAACUUCAAUACUCAUAAUUGCUCCCACCAAGAUAACGGGUAAUCUUGACCACAAGGAUGUGUCGUGCCCAUUGGUAACUCAAAUGGAAUAACAAUUACAAUCAUGAAAUCAUAAUUAACUCAAGAUUAAGAUUACAGUAAAAUCAACGCCUAUGAGAUUUAAUAAGUCUGACAGUUAUUUCAAAGUUAAUUAAAUCUCAUAUGUGAUCCUGUUCAAUGUAGUCGCACUACAUCAAUAAAUUCAUACAUGAUUAAGACAAAUCAUUCAAUGAAUUUAUUACAGUCUAGCAUGACAAGUCGGUUGAAGAUUUGUCAUCAGCAUGACAAGUCGGUUGACAGUCCAGAGAGAGCUAUAUGACAAGAUUAUCGUGUCGUCUAUAUACGCAAAGAAAGCAUGUGGUGUUCACGUGUUUCACUUAAACUAAACGGCUGCUUGAACUGUCGUUUUGUUACUUGGAAUAACCAAGAUGAAGACACGUGUAAUGAAGGCUUAUUCAGAAGUCUGUUAAGCCGUUAAUCAGCGUGGGAAGUUACUGUUCUUCUCCACGGGAAACAGGGGAAGCUUGCUGGUGAUUUGAGAGUCCUUCUUUGAUCAAGCAUCGCCUAUAUAUAUAGCUGGGUAUUCUGGGGUUAACACUUUAAGUUCAUGUAUGCUUAGCUUCUCUAAAUAAAGCUUGCACUCUGUAAGACACUCGUUCAAUAAAGCUUGGAUUCACCCUUUCACAGUGGACGUAGGCUUCCAUAGCCGAACCACUAUAGCUUUCUUGUGUUGUCUUUUCUGCUCUUGAAUUCUUCGAUUAAACUAGCUUUGAUUCUUGGCUUGUUAAAGUGUUCUUUAAGCCGAGUUCUGUUCACAUUAGCUUUAGUUACAAGAACCCUUCUUGAGUGGAUCUUGGGGAGCCAUUUUUCGGUUCUUUACUGAUAUUUGGCACAACAAAUUGGUAUCAGAGCCUCCCUCUGAAGUUCUUGAUCUAAAGAUGACUGGCCCUAAACUUGAAGUAGAAAAGUUUACUGGGGAAAAUGACUUUCACCUAUGGAGACUCAAGAUGAAAGCACUGUUGGUACAUCAAGGCCUGGAUGAAGCCCUUGCCGAAGUCACAUCACCCAAGAAACCAAGGAAGAUAUCAGAUGAUGACCUCCUAGAUGUGCUUGAUAGGGCUCACAGUGCAAUUAUCUUAAGUCUUGGAGAUGGUGUACUCAGAGAAGUGGGAGGAGAGACAACAGCUGCUGGAUUGUGGAAGAAGCUUGAGGACUUGUACACCAAAAAGUCCAUGGCCAAAAGGUUAGCCACCAAAAAGAAGCUUUACACAUUGCAGAUGGAAGAGGGUUCAUCAAUCUUUGAUCACAUUGAUGCCUUUAACAAGAUCAUCUUGGAUCUUGAAGACAUUAAUGUAAAGAUCGAUGAUGAAGAUAAAGCCAUGAUUCUGUUGUGCUCUCUACCAAGCUCUUAUGAGCAUCUGGUCGACACUCUCAUGUAUGGAAGACAGUCCCUCUCGAUGGUGGAUGUAAAAGAGACAUUGAACUCCAAGGCUGCAAGCAAGAAAGAAGCAAGUCAUGGGGAAGGAUUAACAGUUAGAGGGAGAUCAGAAAAGAAAGAAGGUGUUAAAGGGAAGAAGAAAAGAUCCAAGUCAAGACCAAAGAACAUGAAGUGCUUUCACUGCCACAAGGAAGGCCACUUCAAAAAGGACUGUCCAGAGAGGAAAUAUAAAAACAAUGAAGCAAAAGAGAAGACUGGAGAUGCUGCUGUUGCAUCAGAAGGACAAGAAUCUGAUGGUUAUGACUCUGCUGGGGUUCUCAUAGUCUCUGAUGGUGCAUCUAAAGGUAACUGGGUUUUAGAUUCUGGCUGUUCAUUCCAUAUGUGCCCUAAUAAAGCCUUCUUUAAAAACUAUGAAACCUAUGAUGGAGGGAUAGUUGUAAUGGGGAAUGAUGCUAGUUGUAGAGUAAUUGGCAGGGGCACCAUUAAACUGAAAAUGCUUGAUGGCACAAUAAAAGAAUUAGCAAAUGUCAGACAUGUUCCUGAUUUAAAGAGAAAUUUGAUUUCCCUUGGCAUGCUUGACAAAAUGGGGUGUGUUAUCAAGCUUGAGUCAGGCACUCUAAAGGUGUUGAAAGGGUCUAUGGUGUUGAUGAAAGGAAACUUAGACAAUGGCCUGUAUGUACUCUAGGGGUCUGUAGUCACAGGAGAUGUUGGAGUUUCAAACCAGAAUCUAAACAAAACCUUAUUGUGGCACUUUAGAUUAGGCCAUAUGAGUGAGAGAGGCUUGAGAGAACUAUCAAAACAGAGAGUCUUGGGUGAAGAUAAAAUAGAGCCCUUGGAAUUUUGUGAGGAGUGUGUCCUAGGCAAAUCAUCAAGAGUCAAAUUCAGCACAGGUGCACAUGUUUCAAUAGGAACUCUAGAAUACAUACAUGCUGAUCUGUGGGGACUUGCACAGACAGCAUCUUUAGGAGGGGCAAGGUAUUUUCUAUCUCUAAUUGAUGACCAUUCCAGAAUGGUUUGGGUGUAUGUGCUGAAGAACAAAGAUGAAGUGUUUGAACAUUUCAAGAACUGGAAAACACUGAUUGAAACUCAGACCAAUAGGAAGGUUAAGAAGCUCAGAACUGAUAAUGGAUUAGAAUUCUGCAACAAGAUGUUUGAAGAGUUCUGCAGCAAGCAUGGGAUCAUGAGGCACAGAACAGUAAGAUAUACACCUCAGCAAAAUGGAUUAGCUGAGAGGAUGAAUAGAACCUUAGUUGACAAAGUGAGGUGUAUGCUCAUUCACUCUAAGCUACCUAUGUCCUUGUGGGCUGAGGCUCUGUCAACAGCUUGUCACAUUGUGAAUAGAAGUCCUUCAACUGGAAUUAACUUUAAAACACCAUAUGAACUUUGGUAUAGUAAACCAGCAGAUUACUCCAGUUUGAAGAUCUUUGGUUGUCCAGCAUAUGCUCACAUCAAACAAGGAAAAUUAGAGCCCAGGGCAUUGAGGUGUAUAUUUCUUGGUUAUCCUGAAGGGGUAAAAGGGUACAAACUGUGGUGCACAGAUAUGAAGCCACCAAAAGCAAUCAUAAGCAGAGAUGUAGUAUUUAAUGAAGCUGAGAUGCUCCAGCACUCAGUAUCUCUAAAGACUACAAAUGCUGAAAUAAAAGAGAAAGAUGAGAGAUCUUUUCUUGAGGUGGAGCUGUUAAACUCAAACCAGAAACAGAAAUCAAGAUCAGAGGCUGGAGACAAAACAGACAUGGAAAUACAUGACACUGAGAAUGAAGCAGCAAGUGAUCAGGCAAUAAGUGAAGAUUAUCAGUUAGUGAGGGAUAGAGUAAAGAGAGUAAUAAGACCUCCUAGUAGAUAUGCAUAUGCAGAUCUAAUAGCAUUUGCAUUAACAGCAGCAGAUGAAAUAGCAACAGAUGAACCCAGAACAUACUCAGAAGCUAUUAACAGUGAUAAAGCAGUAGAAUGGAUAAAGGCUAUGGAUGAGGAAAUGAUGUCUUUGAAAAAGAAUCACACCUGGAAUCUCAUUGAAAGACCAGCAAACAAGAGGGUAGUAGGAUGCAAAUGGAUAUUCAGAAUCAAGGAGGGAAUACCAGAUGUUGAGCCACAAAGAUACAAAGCCAGGCUGGUUGCAAAAGGCUUCACUCAGAAAGAGGGGGUUGACUUUACAGAAGUUUUCUCCCCAGUGGUGAGACAUGCUUCCCUGAGAAUCCUGUUAUCCCUAGUGGCUGUACAAGACAUGCAUCUUGAACAGAGGGAUGUGAAGACUGCUUUCCUGCAUGGUGAAAUAGAUGAGAUGAUAGUGAUGUCACAACCUGAAGGGUAUGAGGAUUCAGAAAAGGCUGAUCAUGUAUGUCAUCUAAGGAAGUCACUAUAUGGAUUAAAACAAUCUCCAAGACUGUGGUAUCUGAGGUUUGACAGGUUUAUGUCAGAUCAUGGUUUUAAAAUGAGUAGUUUUGACUGCUGUGUUUACUUUAAAACUAUAGAAGGUGGUGACAAAAUCUACCUACUACUCUAUGUAGAUGACAUGCUAAUAGCUUGUAAAGAGAUGGAAUUCAUCAAUGAACUGAAACAGCAGCUGAGCAAUACAUUUGAGAUGAAGGAUCUGGGUGCUGCAAAGAAGAUCCUUGGAGUUCCGCUAAAGAGAGACAGGAAGAAUGGCAUCCUAAGCCUAACACAGCACAAAUACAUCAGGAAAGUACUUGAGAAAUUUAAUAUGGAUAAAUGUAAACCAGUACAGACACUACUGCCUUCACAUUUCAGACUGUCCUGUCAACAGUGUCCAAACUCUGAUACUGAGAAGGCUGAAAUGAAUAGAUUUCCAUACUCAAGUGCUGUUGGAUGUUUAAUGUAUGCAAUGGUCCUUACUAGGCCUGAUCUCUCACAUGCAGUGAGUGUGGUAAGCAGGUAUAUGGCAAACCCUGGGAAGGAUCAUUGGAGGGUUGUUGUAUGGAUCUUAAGAUACCUUGCUGGUACAACUGGAUAUGGUUUGAUCUAUGGAGCUGAGAAAUAUGCAGAGGUUAGUGUGGAGGGUUAUGUAGAUGCAGAUUAUGCUGGAGAUCUGGAUAAAAGAAGGUCUUUAACAGGUUUUCUUUUUAUGCUUAAUGGCUGCACCAUAAACUGGAAGGCUUCACUGUAGAGUGUUGUUGCUCUGUCAACAACUGAGGCAGAAUACACAGCAGCUGCAGAGGCAAUCAAAGAAGCUAUCUGGCUCAGAGGGAUGGUGACAGAACUGGGGUUUGAACAAAAACAAAUCACAGUUCAUUGUGACAGCCAAAGUGCCAUAUGUCUAAGCAAGAACCAGAUUCACCACGAGAAGACCAAGCAUAUUGAUAUCAAGCUUCACUUUGUCAGAUUGGAAAUAUCAAAGGGUGUGAUUAAGCUGGCUAAAAUACACACUGAUAGCAACAUUGCUGACAUGCUUACCAAAGCUGUACCAGGAGCUAAGUUUGAGUUAUGCUUAAACUCAGCUGGCAUUUGCAGGGUAUAGACUGCAGGAAAUAAGUGGAAGGGUGAACCUGAGGGAAUGGAUGAUUUGAGCUCAAGGUGGAGAAUGUUGAAUAUGAACUGCAAAUCGGUUUUAUAGUCAAGCAUGACAAGUCGGUUGAAGAUUUGUCAUCAGCAUGACAUGUCGGUUGACAGUCCAGAGAGAGCUAUAUGACAAGAUUAUCGUGUCGUCUAUAUACGCAAAGAAAGCAUGUGGUGUUCACGUGUUUCACUUAAACUAAACGGCUGCUUGAACUGUCGUUUUGUUACUUGGAAUAACCAAGAUGAAGAAACAUGUAAUGAAGGCUUAUUCAGAAGUCUGUUAAGCCGUUAAUCAGCGCGGGAAGCUACUGUUCUUCUCCACAGGAAACAGGGGAAGCUUGCUGGUGAUUUGAGAGUCCUUCUUUGAUCAAGCAUCGCCUAUAUAUAUAGCUGGGUAUUCUGGGGUUAACACUUUAAGUUCAUGUAUGCUUAGCUUCUCUAAAUAAAGCUUGCACUCUGUAAGACACUCGUUCAAUAAAGCUUGGAUUCACCCUUUCACAGUGGACGUAGGCUUCCAUAGCCGAACCACUAUAGCUUUCUUGUGUUGUCUUUUCUGCUCUUGAAUUCUUCGAUUAAACUAGCUUUGAUUCUUGGCUUGUUAAAGUGUUCUUUAAGCCGAGUUCUGUUCACAUUAGCUUUAGUUACAAGAACCCUUCUUGAGUGGAUCUUGGGGAGCCAUUUUUCGGUUCUUUACUGAUAUUUGGCACAACAAAAAUAAUCCAGACUUCCUGUGUAUCGUCGAUUCAAUGAAGAGAGAACCUUGUGUCGCCUUUCCUCUUUUGGAGUCCCUUACUCUUCACAAUUUGAUCAAUACGGAGAGGAUAUGUAUUGAUCGACUCAAAAUAGAGUCCUUCAAAGAACUCAAAACCAUAAAAGUGGAAAAUUGUGAUGAGUUGAGUAAUAUCUUCUGGCUCUCUAGUAGUACAAAAUGCCUUCCAAGACUGGAGAGGAUUGCAGUUAUCAAUUGCAACAGCAUGGAAGAGAAGCUGAUGUUGAUGUUGAUGAGAAGAUAGAGUUAGGUCAAUUAAGAUCUUUGAGUCUGGGAAAGCUUCCAAAGUUUACAAGGUUUUGCCGUGAAGUGAAGACUCCUUUCACAUCACCAAACAGACAAGAGUCGCAAGAGGAAUUGACAGCCAGUUCCAACGAGAUCAGUUCGGAAACGUCAACUCUGCUUUUCAACGAGAAGGCACGUAGGCUAAUGCUUCUUUUUUUUUUAAGUUCUAUCAUGCACUCGCAUUUGAAAAAAAAAAGUCUCAUACACUCGCUAAUUAACCUCUUAAUAAGUGCUUCUCAUAUGGAUAUUGUGUCAAAACAAGUGCUUUUCAUACUGAUAUUGGAUCUAAAGAGAAAAUUAUCUUUAGAUAGUGUUGCCAAAUUUGGAGGCUUUGGAGCUGAAUGCUAUUAAUGUCGACGAGAUUUGGCAUGACAAUCAACUUACGGCCAUGAUUAAUAGCUUUCAAAGCUUGACACGAUUGAUAGUGUGGGGCUGUGACAAAUUAAAAUACAUAUUUUCAGCUUCUAUGAUCCAAAGCCUUAAGCACCUCCAACACCUGGAGAUACGGAUAUGUAUGGGUUUACAAGGGAUCAUCUCCAAAGACAGAGCAGAUCAAGUGACCCCAUAUUUUGUCUUUCCACAAGUGACCACUCUGAAUCUCGAAGGUCUACCAGAACUCAGAUGUUUAUACCCUGGAAUGCAUACUUCAGAAUGGCCAGCACUAAAAAAAUUGGUGGCCUGUAAUUGUGAUAAAAUAACGUUGUCCCAGAAUAACGAGAAUGAUCAAUUUGGUAUUCCGGCACAACAGCCCCUGCUCUCGUUCAAGAAGGUAUGAAACCAAAUUUUAGAUUUUUUUUUAUCAAUUAUCUUUGUUGUUCCUCACUCACAGAUCAGGAGGUUUAAUAAAUACCUAUAUAGAGUUUUUUUCUAGUGGGAAUGCCCUUAUUUUUUACUUUUUUCAUGCGGAGAAACUUUCAAAUCCCACGGUUUAAGAGCGUGUGUGUGUAUAUAUAUAUAUAUAUAUAUAAUCAUUCUCAGGUGUGGGGGUCCGCAUUUUUUUUAAUGUGGACACGCUUUUAAACUGUGCGGUUUAAGAGAGUUAGUUUUUAAAUGAAUUAUGAGUCAUGCGGUUUUAGGGAGUUAAAAACUAACUCUUUUAAACCAUGGAGUCUAAAAACUGAUCCACAUGAAAAAAAAAAAAAGAUGUCCGCACUAGAGAAGGAAUAUAUAUAUAUAUAUAUAUAUAUAUAUAUUAGUUAGAUCAUUGAAAACUUUGAUUACACAAUGAAUUUUGCCAGUCUUGAAUUAUGGAUCAAUGUGCUAAGUUAAUAAUUUGAGCUCGAUGAUGAUCAGAUCUUACCCAACUUGGAGGAACUGGCAUCAAGUGGAAAAGACAUCACGAUGAUUUUGCAAGGCGAUUUCCCACAACACCUCUUUGGCAGUCUUAAACUACUACAGGUUGGGGAUGAUGACUUAGCUUGCUUUCAACUUGGUUUACUUGAGAGGUUUAACAAUCUUGAAUUUCUCUUCCUAUCGGAUUGUUCGUAUGAAGUGGUAUUUUCAAAUGAAGGAUAUUUGGAGAAACAUGGGAGGAAGUUGGCACUGAUAAAAAGGUUAAACCUGACCAGACUUAAUCGUCUGCAGCAACUGUGGAAACAUGACUCCAAACAGCUGGACUUCAUUUUUCAACAUCUUGAAAUUCUAAGAGCAUAUCACUGUCAAAAUCUGUUAAGUCGAUUGCCAUCAUCAUCGGUAUCUUUUCGGAAUCUCGCACAUCUGCAAGCUUUUGCUUGCAAGAAAUUGAUGAACUUAGGAACAUGCUCCACAGCAAAAAGUCUGGAGCGACUCUUAUCAUUGAAGGUAUUUGGAUGCACAGCAAUGACAGAAGUCGUAGUAUGUGACGAAGAUGAAACAGCAAAUAUAAAAGAAGAGAUUGUUUUCAGCAAAUUGAAUGUGCUGUAUCUGUCUGAUUUAGAUAGUCUCACAAGCUUCUCCUCUGCCAAUUACACAUUCAAAUUCCUAUCUUUGCAAGAUUUGUCCGUGAUUGGUUGUCCCAAGAUGAAGAUUUUCACCAAAGGAGAAUCAACCACGCCUCCGAGAGUAAACGUCCGGUACGGAAGGAGUGAGGACAAACUACGUUGGUCUAAUAAUGACCUUAACACAAUCAUACAACAAUUAUUAAUGAGUGAGUUUUUUAUCACGUUUUUAUAUGAGAAUCUUAUGAAAUUCCUCGGAAAUUCAUUAAUCAUUAGUUUUUAUUUCAUAAUAUGAAUUUUAAUUUAAAUUGAUGAAUGCUAAUUUUAUUUUCAGCUGUUGGAGGGGUCGUCUCGUUACUCAUCGCAGUACUGAUCUCAUACGCCUUUAGUACUAGGCGAGCUGUCAAUCUGAAGAAUAAGGUCCCACGUAUUUUAUUUUUAGAAUGAAAUCCCUAGAAAAUAUCAUUCAAAGUGACAACACUUUCAUGUGGAAAGCUUUCAGACUUUUUUCCCCCGCUUUAAUCGAGGGGUCUGUCAAAUUUAGUUUUUAAAUGAGAAUAAUUUUCAUGGGCCAUUUCACAAUGAAAAAUUAGUUUUUUCUAAAGUGAUGACAGUAAAAACAUAUGAAUUAAUGACCCAGUACAUUACCACAAAAUUAAUCUUGGUUAGUUAGGUUAUAUGAAAAUUGUACAAAAUAAAUAUUUUUUCUAGUUCAUGCUCAAUGUCGUGCUCUAUAAUUGCAGAAUUCCCAAGUGAUGAAGAAGAUUGAGGUCACUCCUCUGUGUUUGCAGCAUCAGAAAUAAGAGCUGUUUUUCUGUCAAACUCGUGCUCCGUCCUUUGAAGUUAAGUUUACAUGCUGAGGUUAUUCACUUUACUGUAUCACUAAUGCAGCUUUGAAAGUGUUUCAUUAACCCUCCGUUGUGUUUCUUUCAUUUGACUAUCUUAAGUUCAAAAACGAUGUAUCAAUUUACCAUUGGUGUGUACUGCUUCUUGUAAUAUAUGCAAUAAAUUUCCAGUUUAUUUUGACAUUUUGAAUAUAAAUUCUUUUGAAUUUUCAGUCAGAGGUUUGGUAGUUGUUCUGAUUUAUCUUCAGUUUAAUUUUGUGAUCACAGGAACGUUAGGACUUGCAUGCAUGAACGCACAUUAAAUCACAGAAUUUUUGUCAUACAUCCAUGCAGAUGAAAUUUUAUCAGCAAUCUUGUAAUUUUCUGUUAUUGUUGUCGUUGUCAUUAUUCUAUUGCUGGUCCUGUUUGAAAUUUCUAGUAUUUUAGAUGUGAAAUUUAUUAUAUUAGGUAUUCAAGGUAUAUAUAUGAUGCUGAAUACAGGGCUUCUGUUGUCUAAAUUUGUUUUAUUUUGUUUGCUUCACAUAUAAUUUUCAAAAACUUUUGAAGAAUGCUGAGAGAAGGAACAAUUGGGCUAAAGAAUCAAAUGUAAUAUUGAAGUUAGUUUGUUAAUUGCCAUCAUUGCUGUCCUGUUAUUUUAAUUUUUGCCCUGUUUGUUCUGUUUCCCUGUUUGCUCCACAUCUAUCUUCCCUAACUUAGAAGGCAAGGAAUUUGUACUUGAAGACGAAUAGCAGUUGCACAAAAUGUGGCAACCACACCAAAUAAUCAGUUUGUUGAGAAAUUUUCAAAGCUUUACUUGAUAAAAAUUUGAAAGUUUUGAAGAGGAUUCAGGUCGCUCUUCUGUGCAGCCUCUGGAAUAAGAGCUGUGUCACUGUUGAAAAGUUUACAUGCUGAGAGGCUUCCAUCUUCAUUGUUCUACUUAUGCUUUACUUCAUCUUCACCGUGUCACUACAAGGUUAAGGCAGCUACAGUUAUGACGGAGAAGGAUCAUUCCCUGAUUUUGGCUGCUUCAAGUUAGUUGGGUUUGGUGAACCAAGUUGUGUCAGGAUUAGCUUAUAAGGGCCCACAUGAUUUCAGACGAGCCUGAGCUUUUGUCUCUCCCUCAUCCAUCUCAACACACUCAAUCUUCAUGUGGCUUUUGCCCGCCAAUCCACUAGCUCCAGCUUCCUGAAAAUGUAAAACAACUACUAGUAUUAUGGUCAGUGAUCGCUGUCAGAUUGAUUGGAUUAAUUAUAAUUACAGAUCAAACUGUUGAAAUUCAAUUUAACAGAUACACACGCCUUGGCGCGUUUCCAAGUUUCGGCAACGGUGAGAGGACCGUGUUCCUUGACUAUGGCAAACAUAACCCUCGUAAUUCUCUGAGUUUGCUCCGGUGGAGUUUUUGAGAUCUAUGGGUUUCAUCUUUGGUUUCGGCUUCGUCGACAAAUAUCUCACAAACAUUCUGCAUUCAAGAAACAACACAACUCCCGCUCUAAAUGUAUUUUAUACACUUUCAAACGCACCGUUUUGAUUUUUGUUAUAAACAUGACGCCGCCAUUUUUAUUUUUUAUUUUUUUUUUGAACAGGCGUAGCACUACUGUUUUCAGUAAUUUUGGGAUGUGUAGCACUACUGUUUCUUUUUAAUCCUUUCCUUUUAUCUUUUAUAGCCAUCUUCCAUGUUAUUAGGAGGAGUGGUUUUUACUAUUUUAAAAAAAAUUUGAUCAAAUUAAACUUUUGAUCAGAGUUCAUAACAAAAAUCAAAACGGUGCAUGACAUCGAGAUUAUGAUGAAUCAAAUUGAACUCCCAGUACGUUAGUUCAUAAAAAAUGCUUUUCUUCUUCCAAGUAAUCUUAUCAUUUCCUUCAUUUUAUUCACUCUCCUCUUUUCAAGUCUUCAAUCUUACACUCGGUAAGUAAAAUAUUCAACUGCUUUUUCACUUCAGUUCCGGACAACCGAGAAGGUGCUUGUCUCUACUCUCCACUCCCUAUUCUCUAGUUUUAUCAAAAGACACUAUUUUCGAAACCUAUGAUUCGUUGGUUAAAAUCGACGGUAACCCAGUGACAAAAUUUUCUAUUAUGUAUCAACCAAUUAGAUCUAGUGUUUUGUUGGCAAACAAGAAAUGCUUAUUUACCUUUAAUAGUCCACCCAAACAAGUUGGCAUUUGCUAGAAAGUCAGAGAUAGUCCAUAACAAUGCUGCAUGUAACUUGAACAUUUGAUUACGUGAUGCAUCGUGUAUCAUUCCAACCAUACUAUCAUCAGCACCCGAGCCAUGACUAACCUGUUUCUUAGUUAGAUUUCAAAGAUGAAGAUGGCUUACCCUGCAAUAUCCAGCUUUAAUACUUUAACCAAAAACCAUUUAUAAUGAUAUGGUCUCCUGCCACUUCCCUUAUAACGAAAUAUCGAUUACGACACUUCUUACAAGGACAAUAAAUACUUGUAUCACCAACAACAUUCUCAAAUGCAAAAUCUAGAAAUUUUUCAACCCCAUUGGUAUAUGACUUGGAUAUCUAUUUGGCAAACCAACCCAACUCUUGUCCAUGACUAUCUCCCUUUAAUGCACUACAAAAAUUAGUUAAAUAAAUCAUUUUAGUUCUUCAUUUCUACUACUAAACAAGAUAUUUUCAUGUGUGCACAGUUUUGGAAUAUAAUGAAAAAAUCAUUAUACAAUUUUAUGGUUAAUUUCGUUAGAAUAUUUAUAUAGAUGAAAGGAAGCAAAGCCAAAAGAAUCAGAGAAAAAGAUGUGAAAAUUAAAGUAUAUAUACAAUAAUAAUUAAUGUAAAAAAAAUGUUUCCAAUACCUUGUGCAAAGAAAUAUCCUCACCCACUGCUGAGAACUUCACUUGGCUAUCAAUUACAGAUAUAUAAAGCCUGUUACCUUAAAAAAAAUUAGGCCAGCCAGCUGAAGCAUACUUAUAAACCAACAUUGGAGAUAGUACUCCAUUUAUAAACAAAAUUACAACUUUACAAGCUCAAAACCAAGUCAACUCAGCAAAACCAUUACCGAUUACAUCCAUCCAACUCAGCUCCUCCACUCCCAUCAAUGCAUCCAACAUUCCCUUCAUAUUUACAAAAGGUAAGUGGUUCUAUAUAUCCCACUCAAGAAUGCAUAAGUUUCUUCAAUCUCAAGUAUCUAGAGUUUUCUUCUAUGUUUAUAGAAAUUUCAGAAGAAUCUCCCUAUAAUUCUUCAAGUACAUGACAUAGAUAUAUGAGUGUUUAUGUGCUAUGCCAAAACAACACAUAGUAUGUACCCAGAGACCAUGAGGAGCAGCUACUAAGAAACCCAUUUUUACAUCGGAAAAAAACUUCAUGUACUAACCAAUGAGUAGUUGUUAAAAGCCAAUGAAUAAUUUUAUAAGAAAUCAACAAUAAUGUUGAAAAAAAAACCAAACAAAAAUAAUAAAGCCAAUGAAUAGAUUAAGGCUCUUUAAGGUCUAAUAAACUAAUCAAACUAAGUUGUGGGUAAAGGCGAAUAUGUUUGUUUGGUCAAUAAUAAGCUCAACAAAUCACUAAUAAUCACCUAAUCACUUUUCCUUAUGCUAUGCAAUGUAAUGGCCUGGGUAAUGGCUGCAAGGCAGGCAAUAACUAGCUAGCCAGUUAUGAUAGUGGAUUAACUUAACCUACUGGAAAUCUGAAGACCAAAACGAAGAAGCUUUGACGAGAACUAGAAUAGGAACGUUCAUACCCAAAACUAAUAUAUAUGAUUAAGAAACUUGAUUAAAUGUAUAAUUUUGUUUGCCGCAAUUUAAGAGAACUUUCAAAAGAUGCUAAGGUACACCAAAUCCCACUAUUCCAUACUCGUAAACACAAAAAACCAUGGCAAAAAUUAAUUACUAUAUCAAAUAAAAUAGGUCGUAGGACAUUGAGAUUAGGAAAACAUGAUUUGUAUACUGUAAAAUAACUAUAUCUGCAUAGUCAACUAUAUUUCUGUUAGAACUCUAAAGUUUUCCAUUAAAUUUUUUUUCCCUCUUAAGUAAACCACUUAACUGAAAUGCUUAAGCCAAUAUUGACAAUCAUAGACAUACAAGUAUUAUUAAGCUCGUUCAAGUGAAAUGAGCAUUAUUUUACAUAUCCUUUAGGUUUUUAAGUCAUUUAGAAGUCAUUCAUGUUAAAAAAUUUCUUCAUAUACUUUCAAUAUAAUUAGUACCUGCACAAUUAAUUAAUUAAAUAAAUCUGUUUCAGCUGGCACAGGAACUUAAUUGAUCAGAGCUAGUAGUCAUAGCUAGGACUUGAACGGGGCACCUUUCAAAGUUCAAGAGGAGCAUCUGAACAGAAUGAAAGCAUAUAACUUAUCAGACAAUAUAACAAGCACUUGGUGAGUAUACAAGAUAAACUAAAACAAGUUAUCUAGAAAAUGAAACUAAAACCCAAGCUCCGCUAUUCAUUGUAGAAGCUUUAAACAUAAAAUUAAAGUAAUUCUAAUUGCAAAACAUUAGAAUGGAUGUUGAAAUUAAAGCUAAAUUCAAUAGUAAUUCAAAUGAAUCCAUUUGAACUUUGUUAAUUCCGCAGAACAAAAUUAAUUUGAGUGAGCAAACUCACCAAUGGAACAAGAACACUGGGGCUUCAACUUGUAGGAAUAAAAAAAGGAAAAAUAUUGCUGGCGGGACAAAAAUUGACAAUGACGGCUAAAAUACGAAUUAUAAAAAAAAACCAAAAUCUAUAAUUACAAGCUAAGAGAAGAAACUCAUAAUCACAAGCUUACCUCAAAAGAUGAAGGGAGAAUACGAUGAAGAAGAAGAUGGCCGGUGUUUUACGCCGUUCGCCGGCAACCAGUUAGGUUUACGAUGGUGGCUAGUCCAGCGAAUAGUUUUGUAACUGGAAAUAAAUUUAAAAUUCUAAAAUAGUAGGAUACCGAACGGCUCUUUACCGUCACGUGGUUAGUAACAUAUGCGACAGCAGUGUGGCUGUCACAUAAAGGGUAACAAAAGCAACUCGGGUUUACAAAGCUAGAAGUUAGUGAUAUACGUAAUGGCUUUGUUUGCAUUCACAUUAGGGGUCACAUAUACCCUAUUUUCUUGUAGUACAUGGUAAAUUCUAUUUGAAAAUUGCUAAGUAUUUUAGAUUUGUACGAAUUCAUUUUUGUGUGCUCGUUGAAUAAUAAUGUAUAAUAAAUUAAAUUUUUGGUGUAAUUUUCACAAUAUUGUAUUAUAAAUAUGUCUCGUUGAGAGGUUUUGAAACCGUUUUGAUUUAUCAUAAUUGAUAUUUCCACAAUUACAAAAGAUGCCAGAGAAAAUUUGAUUAUCUUAAGAAAUGAGUGCAUGAGAUAUGAAAUCAACCAUACCAUAAAAUCAAAUUUUAUCAUGUCAUCCUUCCUUGUUCAAAUUUAUGGAAACGAUAAUCAAAUGCAUCCAUGAACUAGUAUAUUCCGACAUAGGUACCAUCAAAUUAUUGCUAUGUCAUACUUAUAAAUUUUAAUAACAACAAUUGGGCCAAGCAUAUGUUGGGCAUUUGAAGAUUUAUAAGCUCCAUCCUUGAAAAAAUAAGGCUUGACUAUUCUCAAUAUAAUUCUUUUUGUUUUAAGUUCUUAAUUAAGCUUUCUUGCUUGUUUUCAAGAGCCAGUAUUGUAAUGAUCGACAAAGAUGAUUUGCAUUUAUUGCACUUGGCAGUUAUGUGUCACUUAUUAAUUAGAUUUAAAUUUUAUAAAUUAAUUAAGUUGAUUAGUACUUUAUGUUGAUGCAGAAAUCUGGUCAAGUCGGUUGUUGACUCAAUACCACAUCCUCGCGUCAGCAUUAAAUUUGUUUGGUGGAGAAGCGGCUUGUUAAUCUCCAAGAAAAUCCUCUAACCACGAGCAGAUAAUCCAUGAGCAGAUGAUCCAUGAGCUGCUAAUCAGUGAGCACCAUGAGCAGAUGUUCUAUGAGUAGAUAAUGAAUGAGAAGAUGAUCCAUGAGCAGAUAACCCGCAAGCAUGCAAGCACAAAGAACAGUCAGGGGGCACCAUAAGCUUUUCCAGCGAAAACCCUCUGACGCUCAAGUCAGGGAUUUGGGUCUACUUAGAAAAAUCCGUACCACAAUUCACGCGGCUUAAUUAUGAAUACUUUAAAAAAAAGCUUUUAAAUAAAUUUAUGGAAAAAGAAUAGAAAAUAAUCAAUCUUAAAAAAAGAAAUCAUGGCAGAAAGAGAAGUUUCCCAGUGAUAGAGAGAAAAAGAUCCCAUGGGUUCAGUCGCCCAGAGAGAGAGAGAGAUAAAAAGAAUCCCCCCAUUUUCCUCCCUUUCCCAGAGUUUUUAUAGGAAAUUAUAAUUGUUUUUUUCCUCUCACCUAAAACUCUCAAGAAGACUACUAAUUUUCAGCCCGCUAAGAAUAUGGUCCCUAAUAUUUCGAAGAAAAUAAGUGAGAUUUGUUUUGACUGAGUCGUGCUUCCUGGUAACCUCCUGGUCGAGAUAAUCUGCUCGAGGUCACCAAAUAAUCUCAAGGUCGAGGUGAUAUGCUCAAGGUGGCCAAAUAAUCUCUUAGUCAAGAUGAUGUGCUCGAGAUCACCAAAUAAUAUAUUGGUCAAGGUGAUGUGCUCGAGGUGACCAAAUAAUCUCUUGGUAGCCUAUCAACUAUUUGUUCACUUUUUACUUUGAGAAGAGCACAAUAAUGUAUGAGUAAAUACCUUAUCUUGGUCACCCUAUUUCAUUCCCCGAAUACUUUAUAUGUGCACUAAAUGAUAGAUACUGCAUAAAUUGGGACACUAGUAACUAUGUAUCCAAACUAUGUAAUAUUUUUUUGUCACAAACUCAAUCAUGGCCUGAUAUUCUAAAUAUUAUUUAGAAUACCAUUUCAAGCCCCAUGGGGGCUCCUUCCAUUUAAAAAAAAAAGUAUGAAAUAGAUGUAGAUUUUUCUUCAGAUAUUAUUAGUAAGAAAGAGUACCUUUGGUGGCAAUGGUCCGGGAUGAUUUGGGAUUUGACAAUUCCACCCUCAUCUUAAUUAUAAAAUGGAAUGUAAGUAAUAAGUAUGGAUAAACUCAUCCUGCUUAUAUAUUGGUGAUCAAAAUUAGGACCAAUCUCAAACCGCUCACAAUUAUGUCCUAUCCUAACUAUCCUGAAUGUCUCGAAUGCCUCCCUUAAUUAUCAUUUUAGUUCUCAUUAACAUAUUAGCAAAAUUUCCAUAUAUUAAAAAUAUUAGGGUCUGACUAUCUAUACUUAAAAAAUUACUAUGAACACUCAAUUAUUUUAUUCCCUCAUCUAAUAAAUUUAAAAAAUUAAGUUUUAUUUUGCACACUUUUUAAAUAACAAAAACAUCUUUACAUGAACCUAAUAAGUUUCUUUAAAAAAAUUAAAUCAAUUAUUUUUAUUUAUUCAAAAUACUAAUAAAACUAUUCAGCAGACCGUGAAAUAAAAUUUUUAAGAAAUUUAGCAUAUACAACAUUGAAAUCAAUUUAUGUUUCAAAUAAAUUCUUUAAUACAAUCAUAGUAAUUACUUAUUGUUUAUUAAAGAAUGUGUUCACGAUUGUUUUUAAUUUUGCGAAAUCAAAAAAGAAGAAGAAGAAGUUUGGGGUUUAAGAUACAUUUAAUUUUUAGUGUAACAGUUGUAUCAAACAAAAUAAAAACUAAAACAUCCAAAAGUUACAAGUUCCAACACCUCCCAAAUAAAGGCCCGUUAGGAUUGUUUUUGGGAAGCUCAAAAGUGAUUUUGAAAACUAAAAGCUAAUUUUUAGUGUUUUAUAAAUUUUUUUAGUAAUUACUUUUGGAAAAAUCAUUUCAUCAUACAGUGGAUUUUAAAAAGUAUAAAUAGUUUUUCAAAAUUUGAUUUUGAAAAUCACUUUUAUACUUAAUCCAAUUUUAUAUAUAUAUCCUCAUUAUAUAAUAAAAAUCCAAAAAUAUCUUUAUUAAUUAAGAAAUAAAAUUAUUAAGUUUAAAGAGAUUAUUAUUAUUAUUACCAAUUAUAUUGAGAUAACAAAAUAAAGAAUAAAAUUUAAUAAUAUAAAAUAUUUAUUUUAGUUAUCAAUAAUUAUAUGUACAUAAUAAAAAUAUUUUAAAUACAUGUCUGUAAAUGUGUAAAUAAAUUUUAUUUAGCAUUAUGUCCAAUUUAGUUAUUUACAUUCUUGGACCAGUUUAACAAUAAAAUUUAUGAAAUAUAUACGACUGCUUUUAAAACUAAAAGUACUUUUAAAAAUAAAUUUUACUAAAUGUUCAGCUGAUUCUCUUCACGAUUGAUCAAUUUCUACAACAUAGCUAACUGUAAUUAUUUUAAAAUUACAGGAUUACCAAAAUGACCCUAAAUCAAACCAAUAAAAAUGUCUAAAAGUAACAAUAAAAAACCAAAGCAAACGUACAAAAAUUCAUGCAUAAAUUGAUAAUCAACAAAAACAUCCAAAAGUUCAACUCCAAGUUUUCUGUUCAAUUGACAUAACCCUUAAAUUUCAAAAGGCAUAAUCAAUUUUGUGUCUAAUCGUAUAAAAUUAGAAAAUUAAAGAAUAUUAUAUACUGAUAAUUAAAUAAUAUGCAAUUAAUAAUGUUAAAAAAAUAAUGUCAAACAUAUUGUCAACUAAAAUAAUUGGGAGAAUUGGAGUUCCAAGAUAAAUUCUUAUCUAGUCCCAAAUCAACAAUUGGAAUUAAUUUCAAUCUUAAACUCUGACUGCCUUUAAAAUUGGUCCUAAUAAUAUGGACAAAUCCCAUUCUGAUCAGUAUGGAAUUCCAACCCCAUAUCUUUGGGUCUCGAUGGUGUUUAGUUGGAGGGAUGAGACGGGAAGGAAAUGAAUUCAAAUUCCUUUCACUUUUCUGUUGUUUGGUUUUCACUAAUAUAUGGGAAUUCAAUUUCUAUUGAAAUUUAAUUUUCAUCAAAUUGUGCAUUUUGGAUUCCUCACCGAAGGUUGUAAAAUUCAAAUGCCCCUCCUAUUAGAAAUCGAGUCAUCCAAAAUUGCUCCUCUCAAAUAUUUAUCAAUUAUUUUAAUUCUUAUCAAAUAAUUCUUAUUUAUGAUUUUAUUUUUUCAAUUUAAAUUGUCACUAAGGAUUCUUGACUUACUACCGUAGAAAAGCAAAAAUACAAUUUAUAGAUUAUGAUAAUUCUAUGUAUUGUAUGAGAAUUGCAAUCCAAAAAUUUUCCCUACUAAACGAUUUUCAAUCGACAGCAAAUACAUGCUUUCAAAUUUAGUCAGCUGAACUAAUUUUUGUUUUUUUGGAUUAAUUUUGAAAUGUUGCAUCCAUAACGAGCUGCCAUUGAAAUUAAUGUUAACAACAAAAGUAGAAGCAAAAGGAGAAACAAGCGUCAUGUGCAGUACCCACUGUGAACUACUCACAUUGGAAUAAGUUGUUGGCAGCUGGUCUGUUUGGCCAUUAAUAUUUUGACUAUUCAGUGUUGAUUUUGAUUCCACUAAAUUAAGCCAUCAAAAAUUGCUGGGAAGGGAGUAAUAUCUAUUCAUAAUUGGAAAUACUCACCGUACAAUGAAGGUUAGAGCUGCAUGUAUCAUUUAUUAUUAACAACUAACUUAUGAAAUGCUUUGAAUGUACCUCCUAGGUCGUAUUUACUAUACUGGUUAGGAGAAACUACAACAUUAAAUUAUUUGAUAAAUACUUAUUAUAAUUUUAAAAAUAUAUUAAUUUUAUCCUUAACUUUAUGAUAAAAAAUUUAAAAUAUAUAUAAAUCAUUCAUUUUAUAAUCUUGAACUUUAUUAAAGUUUCAAAAACUAUUACUCUAUAUGAUAUAAUAGUGUGAUGUUAUUACACUAUUAUACCAUAUAAAAUAUAUUUGCUUUCUUAAAUUUUAAUAAAGUCUAGGUUUUGGAGAGAAGCACUUUAUAUAUAUGUAUAUAUAAUGAUUCUCCAGUGACGACAUCCUCAUUUUAACAAAGUGAUGAUAUCGCUAACAAACUAAAUAACACACAUUUCAAUACACCAAUAGAUUAAAAAAAUCCAGUUCUUAAUGUGUUAAAAUAUAUGUCUUUUGUAUAUUAUUGAUAUUUUCACUUUAACAAAGUGAGAGUCUCCUCACUAUAGAAGUACUUUAUAAAUAUUCUUUGUAUUUUUGUGAAAAUUAUUAUUUAAAAGUCAUAUCUUACCAAAGACUAAUAGUUUUUAUUUUAUCAUUACGCCGUACUUUUCAAGACAGAACACCUCAAUACCAUGACCUUAAUUUUUGAACUCUGCUGUACAAAGUUGUUGGUUGGUCUAUUUACUUUAGUGUUUCAAUUAUUUGUCGUUUGAACUGAGAUGAUCCGAAUAAAGCUAUAUAUCAAUAAUUUCCUAGUGAAACUUCGGGAAAAAAUAAAAAUCCUCUCAUACAGUAGCAUUAUUUUAAUUCUCAGCUUGAUUAUGUUUUGAGUUAACUUAUAGAUUAUUUGAAAUAAAAAGAAUAUAAUUUAUUUUUUCUAACUAAAUAUUUUAAAAUAAUUUUGUUAAUUUAAUGAGUACUUAUACACUUACAACGUUAUGAUAUAAAAUUAUAUCCCAGAAUACUGCUAUGUGUUUCUUAGUAAUUAACUUUUUAUACUAUUAUUAAUGAGAUAAUUAACUUCAACACCAAUAAACAAAUUUUAUAUUAAUACAUCCUCUAGCUUUAUUAUCAAAUAAUCAUAUGUCAUAAUCAAAGCAAGCUACCAGAGCCUACCACUAAAAGAUUUAUUGAAGGGUUUUCCAAGUUUGAAAAUGUUAGUAGCAUUGGCAAAUGGCAACUUCCAGGAAUCUUCCGAUCAAAAUAGUUGAAUCAACUAUUCAAUGAAAUACGCAAAUGGCACAAAGGACCCCCACCACCCAUUAAGUCACGUCAUUUAUUUAUUUGUAAAAGAAAAAUAAGGUUCCGAUCGGAAGAAAUCAGCACCUUAUAAUGCAUGAUUACUCGUAUGUCAAGUUUACCGAUUAUAAGUCAUCAUCACAAUAACUUUGGACUUUAAUAUUUAAGUCUCUGUUUGGGACCAAUGUAUGGCAGUUGGACAACACAUCACUCAAUUAUAGAGUGUGAAAUAUUGAUAUUGUUCUUAUUAUUUUAUGUAAUGUAUAAACGUUUCCUUUUAUUUUUGUUUGAUUAUUUAUUUUUUAUACUUAAUAAAUAUAAAUUUAUUUUUUUAAUAUUUAACAAAUAGUCACGGCUAGACAAUAUUGUCAGAUAUUACAAACGAUGACCCAAAUCCUUUUAUCUCACAGAAAUAAUUUAAAUUCACAACAACUAUGACGUUACAUUAUCAAAUAAACACUAAAUACUUUGAUGAUUAUAGUUUAUCUUUCAUUCAUAGCAUGAAGAGUUUGAAAUAUGAUCUCAAAACAAAGAGUACGACAUGUCAUGUUCGGUUUUCAGAAGAAGUGUACGCCAUGUCAUCCGAAAACUAAAAGGCACGUAUGACAACCAGACGCUGUCAUCUCUGAUUUGCUUACACUUUAAGGAUGAAUUCUGGGUUUUGAGUGACAAUUAAAAGCUAGAGUGAGAAUUAGAGAGACAGUUAUAUAUUCUUAUUUAUUCCUAGCACUUGCUAUAUUGUGUAGGUCUUUUGUGACUCCAAUAAUAAAAACGCUCAUAUUAUUUUUUAUAGAGCAAUAUUUGUUAAAGCAUGAAGAACGGCAGAAAUAUUGUAAAUCCAUCUCAACUUUUUUGUUUAUUGUGGUCGUUGAUAGCGCUAGCUGUUUUCUUAUUUAACUUUGUUCCCUUUUGCCAUCAGCUCUUAGCAUUUUCAUUGGAUCAAGCGACCAUUUUCUUGCUUCAAUUUCUGAUCUCAAAAGCACUUUGACUCUCUUCAGUUACACUGAUUUUCUCCUUGUUUUGUACACAUAUCUUUUCUCUUUCCCAUUUAGCUUUGAUUUGCUUCUACUUGACUAUCAAUUGCCCAGUCGUUGAACCUGUUGUAUUUUUAUUUUGUUCACUUCAAAUAGACCAAAAAAAACAAAUGUUGGAUAAAAGCCAAAAAUCUAAUUUGAUUUUUAAUAUGAUUUAGCUAAGAUGUCCAAUUUAAUGCUAAGAGUAAUGUUAAGGAUCCCAAUAAUUGAAUCUCAACUGAUAUGAUAGUCAUUUAUUAGAUGAUCGAAAUAUUAAUUUUACUAAUUAUGAAAUUCAUUAUCUAAUAAAAUAAUGACACAUAACAAUUGGGUCUCAAGUUAGAAUUCUACUAUUGAAAUUCCUAACAUUAUUCUAAUAUUAAAAAUUCAUCAAAAUAAUAUCUAUUAUCUAAAAAAAUAAAAUAAAAAUCUAAAACCAUAAAUUUACUCUUCGAUCUUCGUGAUUUGACUGAUUUCUUUAUAUUUUUAUCGGUCAUUUUAUUGGUACUGGUUUGAUUUUCUGACUAAGCUACUGUUUAGUUCUAAGUUUUGGCAAUUACCCGGACUGCUCUGUUUUGUGUAUCAUCGACACAAUAAGGCUUAGCAUUUAAAAGUCGGCAGCCACGCAACUUCUUGGAAUCUUCGUGCAAGUGUUGGAUAUCGACUGUUCGAUAAUGAUGGCAGCAUUUGACUGGAGUGUAAUUGACGCAGUGGAAUAAGGAUCACAUGUCUCAAACUUUUGGUGAAGAUAUUGUCAGAUAUUUUAUUGAUCAAGUAAGGAUCACAAAUAAUGGAUAUUGGAUGAGGAUCACAUGUUUUAUGGGACUUAACUAUGUUGCAACAGUGAUACUAUACCAUUGUUUUUGUCAUUAUUCAUCGCGGCCAUUGGAUGGUAACUUAUUUAAUCUAAUGGUUUAAAUUAGUUAAUGGAGAAAUGACGCGGCAACUUACAACCCUUGCAGCCGGUUCUGUAUUGAUCUAAUAGCAUGGAGUAGUAAGCGUGCGUUCCAGAACCUUGUCACUGAUCAUGAAGAACAUUGAUCCAAUAGCAUGGAGUAGUAAGCGUGCGUUUCAAAGAUGCUAAGAUACACCAAAUCCCACUAUUUCCAUACUCAUAAAAACAAAAAGCCACGGCAAAAUGAAUGACUAUAUAAAAUAAAAUAGGUCAUAGGACAUUGAGAUUAAGGCAACAUGAUUUGUAUACCAUAAAAUAACUAUAUCUGCAUAGUCAAUUAUAUUUCUGUUAGAACUCUAAAGUUUUCCAUUAAAUUUUUUUCCCUCUUAUGUAAACCAUUUAACUGAAACGCUUAAGCCAAUAUUAAAAAUCAUAGACAUACAAGUAUUAAUAGGCUCGUUCAAGUGAAAUGAGCAUUAUUUAUUUAGGUUUUUAAGUCAUUUAGAAGUCAUUCAUGUUAAAAAAUUUCUUCAUAUACUUUCAUUAUAAUUAGUACAUACACAAUUAUUUAAAUAAAUAAAUCUGUUUCAGCUAGUACAGGAAAUUAAUUAAUCAAAGCUAGUAGUUAUAGCUAGGAUCUGAAUUACAGAGUUCAAGAGGAGCAUCUGAACAGAAUGAAAGUCCUUUAUAGAAAUGGUAAUGUCGCUUUACCAUUUAGAUAUCUUCUAGAAAGUACUUACAUCACGCAAUUAGGGACCGAUAUUUAAUGACAAUAACAAUCCAAAAGAUUGGGAGGGCCAACUAAAGGAAUAAAUCACUCAACCAAACCCUUAGGGACAGAUAGUUAAUGACAAUAAUAAAAGAUCCAUUCCUAUGCAUACGAGCUUAGUCUAUUAUGUUAAAGAGGCACCCUGUUGUUCGAUAGUCAGCACAACAAGUGAUCAAUGAGGUUGUUGCACAGACUGAUGACAUGGAAUUACGGCUCAGCCCAAGUGGUUCUGUGAUCUGUAGUAGACAAGCUGAGUAGUGGGAUUGGUUAGCUUGAUUUGCUGUGAAUAGUAGCUUAGUUAACAAGUUUGUUAGAUUACUGCAUAUAAAGCAAGCGAACUCUCUGUGUAUUCAUACUGUGAAGUAAAUCAAUCGAUUCAUUUUCUCUCAAAUCUCAAUGGUACUUUCUCUAUUUAAAUUUUAAAAUACCUUUAAUUAGGAUUAAUUAGAUUUUUCGCUUAUUAGGAUAAAAGCGAGAAAAAAGCACAACUACAAAAUUUGAUUGCAAAGUGUAAACCUACAAUUUUUUUGGGUAAAACAUGGAUAGUAAAACAUACAAUUAAAGAAGGAGAUAAAAAGCGUUUAUAUUUCACCUGAUUAGUUUCAGAAUUUGAGUGGUCUCAUCCCCACCAGCCAUUGAAUCGUUGAUAUGAUCACAUGCAUUGUUUUUAGAGGCACACAGGAGAGGUCUAUUUAGCACAACUAGCGUGACAAACGUUUUGCUGCACUCGUAGCAGACACUUGUACGACCGAUCGGGAUGGGUGAUUUCUGUUUUGCAACAACUUUCUGAAAAGUUAUGAAUGAUCACCUUCAACUUUUUUGGCAUCUUCUCUUCCCUGGCAUAAAUUAUAUGUGUUAUGAAUGAAGCACCCUUCAGAGUUCAAGAGGAGCAUCUGAACAGAAUGAAAUCACUUUGUAGAAAUGGUAAUGAUGCUUUACAUCUACAUGCUCUUACACAAUAUGAACUUUCAUUUAUUCAAGAACAUAACACUACCCCAAGCUCUUAUUCUACAAGUCAAUUCAGUUUGUAGAUGCACGCCAUUGUAAAAACUUUUGUAUUAUAAUUUCUGAAAAUAGAACGUAACAUUAUUAAUAUAGAAUCAGCAAUGUAUAUAACUUAUCAGACAAUAUAACAAGCACUUGGUGAGCAUACAAGAUAAACUAAAACAAGCUUUAAACAUAAAAUUAAAGUAAAUCGAAUUGCAAAACAUUAGAAUGGAUGUUGGAAUUAAAGCUAAAUUCAAUAGUAAUUCAAAUGAAUCCAUUUGAACUUUGUAAAUUCCGCAGAACAAAAUUAAUUUGAGAGAGCAAACUCACCAAUGGAACAAGAACACAGGGGCUUCAACUUGUAGGAAUAAAAAAAUAUUGCUGGCCGGACAAAAAUUGACAAUAACGGCUACAAUACGAAUUAAAAAAAAAAUCAAAAUCUAUAAUUACAAGCUAAGUGCGAGAAGAAACUCAUAAUCACAAGCUUAACUCAAAAGAUGAAGGGAGAAUACGAUGAAGAAGAGGAUGGCCAGUGUUUUACGCCGUUCGCCGGCAACCAGUUAGGUUUACGAUGGUGGCUAGUAACACGGAGUCCAGCGAAUAGUAGCAUACCGAACGGCUCUUUACCGUCACGUGGUUAGUAACAUAUGUGACUGCAGUGUGGCCGUCACAUAAAAGGUAUCGGGGUUACAAAGUUAGUGAUAUACGUAAUGGCUGCUUUUGCAUUCACAUUAGGGGUCACAUAUACCCUAUUUUCUUGUAGUACAUGGUAAAUUCUAUUUGAAAAUUGCUAAGUAUUUUAGAUUUGUACGAAUUCAUUUUUGUGUGCUCGUUGGAUAAUAAUUUAUAAUAAAUUAAAUUUUUGGUGUAAUUUUCACAAUAUUGUAUCAUAAAUAUGUCUCGUUGAGAGGUUUUGAAAUCGUUUUGAUUGAUCAUAAUUGAUAUUUCCACAAUUGCAAAAGAUGCCAGAGAAAAUUUGAUUAUCUUAAGAAAUGAGUGUACGAGAUAUGAAAUCAACCAUACCAUAAAAUCAAAUUUUAUCGUGUCAUCCUUCCUAUUUCAAAUUUAUGGAAACAAUAAUCAAAUGCAUCCAUGAAUUAAUAUAUUUCGACAUAUAUACCAUCAAAUUUUUGCUAUGUCAUGCUUACAUAUAUAUAUAUAUAUAUAUAUAUAUAUAUAUAUAUAUAUAUAUAUAUAUAUUGAAAUUUUAUUAACACCAAUUGGGCCAAGCAUGUGUUGGUACUUGAACAUUUAUAAGUCCCAUCCUUGAAAAAAUAAGGCUUGGCUGUUCUCAAUCUAAUUCUUUUUGUUUUAAGUUCUUAAUUAAGCUUUCUUGCUUGUUUUCAAGGGCCAGUUUUGUAAUGAUCUGCAAACAUGAUUUGCAUAUAUUGCACUUGGCAUCUAUGCGUCACUUAUUAAUUAGAUUUAAAUUUUAUAAAUUAAUUAAGCUGAUUAAUACUUUAUAUGUGCACCAAAUGAUAGAUACUACAUAAAUUGGGAUACUAGUAACUACGUAUCCCAACUAUUUAAUAUUUGUUUGUCGCAAAUCCAAUCAUGGCCUGAUAUCCUAAAUAUUAUUUAGGAUACCAUUUCAAGCCCCAUGAGGGCUCUUUCUGUUUUUUUUUUUUUUAAAGUAUGAAAUAGAUGUAGAUUUUUCUUUAGAUAUUAUUAGUGAGAGUACCUUUGGUGGCAAUGGUCCAGCAUGAUUUGGGAUUUGACAAUUCCACUCUCAUCUUAAUUAUCAAAUGGAAUGUAAGUAUCGAUAAACUCGUCCAGUUUAUAUAUUUGUGAUCAAAAUUAGGACCAAUCUCAAACCACUCGCAAUCAUGUCCCAUCCUAACUAUCCUGAAUGUCUCGAAUGCCUCCCUUAAUUAUCAUUUUAAUUCUCGUUAACAUAUUAGCAAAAUUUCCAUAUAUUAAAAAUAUUAGGGUCCGACUAUCUAUACUUUAAAAAUUAUUAUGCACAAUCAAUUAUUUAUGCACUCAUCUAAUAAAUUUAAAAAAUUAAGUUUUACUUUCUACACUUUUUAAAAUAACAAAAACAUCUUUACGUGAACCUAAUAAGUUUCUUGAAAAAAAUUAAAUCAAUUAUUUUUAUUUAUUCAAAAUACUAAUAAAACUAUUCAGGAAAAUUUUUAAGAAAUUUAGCAUAUACAACAUUGAAAUCAAUUUAUGUUUCAAGUAAAUUCUUUAACACGAUUUUAGUUAUUACUUAUUGUUUAUUAAAGUAUGUGUUCACUAUUGUUUUUAAUUUUUUUUUUAAUCAAAAAAGAAGAAGAAGAAGAAGAAGAUGUUUGUGGUUUAAGAUACAUUUAAUUUUUAGUGUAACAGUUGUAUCAAACCAAUAAAAACUAAAAGAUCCAAAAGUCACAAGUUCCAAUACCACCCAAAUGAAAGGCCCCGUUAGGAUUGUUUUUGGGAAGUUCAAAAGUAAUUCUAAAAAUUAAAAACUAAUUUUUAGUGUUUUAUAAAUUUUUUUUGUAAUUACUUUUGGCAAAAUCAUCUCAUCGUACAAUAGAUUUUGUAAAAGUAGGGAAUGAAAAGUUUUUUUAAAUCUAAUUUUGAGAAUCACUUUUAUAUUUAAUCAAAUUCUAUAUAGAUAUCCUCAUUAUAUAAUAAAAAUCUAAAAUUAUCUUUAUUAAUUAAGAAAUAAAAUCAUUAACUUUAAAGAUAUUGUUAUUAUUACCAAUUAUAUUGAGAUAACAAAAUAGAGAAUAAAAUUUAAUAAUAUAAAAUAUUUAUUUUAGUUAUCAAUAAUUAUAUGUAAGUAAUAAAAAUAUUUUAUAUACAUGUUUGUAAAUGUGUAAAUACAAUUCAGUCAUUUACAUUAUUGUAUCAGUUUAACAAUAAAAUUUAUGAAACACAUACGAUAGCUUUUAAAACUAAAAGUACUUUUAAAAAUAAAUUUUACUAAAUGUUUAGCUGAUUCUCUUCACAAUUGAUCAAUUUCUACAACAUAACGAACUGUAAUUAUUUUAAAAGGUACAGGAUUACCAAACUGACCCUAAACCAAACCAAGAAAAAUGUUUAAAAGUAAUAAUAAUAAACCAAAGUAAACGUACAAAAAUUCAUGCAUAAAUUGAUAAUCAACAAAAACAUCCAAAAGUUUUACUCCAAGUUUUCUAUUCAAUUGACAUAACACUUAAAUUUGAAAAGGCAUAAUCAAUUUUGUGUCUAAUCCUAUAAAAUUAGAAAAUUAAAGAAUAUUAUAUUCUUAUAAUUAAAUAAUAUGCAAUUAAUAAUGUUAAAACAUAUUGUGAACUAAAAUGAUUGGGAGAAUUGGAGUUCUAAGAUAAAUUCCUAUCUAAUCCCAAAUCAACAAUUGUGAUUAAUUUCAAUCUUAUACUCCGAUUGCUUUUAAAAUUGGUCCUAAUAAUAUGGACAAAUAUCAUUCUGAUCAGUAUGGAAUCCCAAUCCCAUACCUUUGGAUUUCAAUGGUGUUUAGUUGGAGGGAGGAGAGGGGAAGAAAAUGAAUUCAAAUUCCUUUCACUUUUCUGUUGUUUGGUUUUCACAAAUAUAUGGGAAUUCAAUUUUUAUUGAAAUUUAAUUUUCGUCAAAUUGUGCAUUUUGGAUUCCUCACCGAAGGCUGUAAAAUUCAAAUUCUCCUCCUAUUAGAAAUCAAAUCUUCCAAAAUUGCUCCUCUCAAAUAUUUAUCAAUUAUUUUAAUUCUUAUCAAAUAAUUCUUAUUUAUGAUUUUAUUUUUUCAAUUUAAAUUGUCACCAAGGAGUCUGACUUACUACCAUAGAAAAGCAAAAAAUACAAUUUAUAGAUUAUGAUAAUUCUAUGUAUUGUAUGAGAAUUGCAAUCCAAAAAUUUUCCCUAGAAAACGAAUUUUAAUCGACAGCAAAUCAAUGCUUUCAAAUUUAGUCAGCUGAACUAAUUUUUGUUUUUUUUUGGAUUAAUUUUGAAAUGUUGCAUCCAUAACGAGCUGCUAUUGAAAUUAAUGUUAACAACAAAAAUAGAUGCAAAAGGAGAAACAAGCAUCAUGUGCAGUACCCACUGUGAUCUACUCACAUUGGAAUAAGCCGUUGGCAGCUGGUCUGUUUGGCCAUUAAUAUCUAUUUAUAACUAGGUUUUUUUUUUUUUUUUUGAGAAGAUUUAUAACUGGAAAUUACUCACCGUAAAAUGAUGAAAUGCUUUGAAUAUACCUCCUAGGUCGUAUUUACUAUACUAGUUAGGAAAAAUUACAAUGUUAAAUUAUUUGAUAAAUACUUAUUAUAAUUUGAAAAAUAUGUUAAUUUUGUCCUCCACUGUAUGAUUAAUAAUUUAUAAUAUAUAUAUAUAUAUAUAAUUCAUUCUAUAAUCUUGAACUUUAUUAAAGAUAAAAAAACUAUUACUCUAUAUGAUAUAAUAGUGUGAUGUAAUUACACUACUAUACCAUAUAAAAUAUAUUUACUUUCUUAAAUUUUAAUAAAGUCCAGGUUUUAGGGAGAACCACUUUAUAUAUAUGUAUAUAUAACGAUUCUCUAGUAACGACAUUUUCAUUUUAACAAAAUAAUAAUAUCACUAACAAACUAAAUGACACACAUUUUAAUACAUCAAUAGAUAAAAAAAAUACAGUUUUAUUGUGUUAAAAUAUAUGUCUUUUGUAUAUUAUUGAUAUUUUCACUUUAACAAGUGAAGGUCUCCUCACUAUAGAAGUACUUUAUAAAUAUUUUUUGUAUUUUUAUGAAAAUUAUUAUUUAAAACUGUUUUGUGUAUCUUCGACACAAUAAGGCUUAGCAUUUAAAAGUCAGCAGCCACGCAACUUCUUGAAAUCUUCGUGCAAGUGUUGGAUAUCGACUGUUCGAUAAUGAUGGCAGCAUUGGACUGGACUGUAAUUGACACAAUAAAAUUAGGAUCACAAAUAAGGAUGAAACUAUGUUGCAACAAUUGUAGCAUGCCACUAGAUUUUAUCUUUUUUUUUAAUUAAUUACACUGCACUACCUUAUAUUUUAUGAAAAAAUUGAAUAGACAUUAAAAGUUACAAAAUUUUAUAUAUAAAUCCCUUUUUUUGGGAUAAAAUGGCUUUUCAAAAACAUUUGACUGUUAUUAUUAGUAUUAUUUAUUAAUAUCAUUAUUAUUAUAUUAAUAAGAAUAAUAAUAAUAAUAAUAUUAUCAAAAUUUAUUAUUUUAAUUAUUAUGAUUAUUUUUAAUUAAGUCAUUAUUAUUAUUUAUUAAUUUUAUUACUGUCAUUAAUAUUAAUUUUAUUACUAUUGUUAAAAUAUAUUAAUUUUAUUAUUUUAAUUAAUGUUAAUUAUUGUUAUUAUUAUUUUAUUAAUAUUAAUAUCAUUAAAAUUUAUUUGUUUUAUUAUUUUAAUUGUUAUGUUAUUAUUAAUGUCAUCAACAUCAUCAUCAUCAUCUUUAAACUUUAUAGAUUUUUUUGUUUAAAGUAAUACUAUUGUUAUUAUUAUUAUUUUACCUUAAUUGAACAUUAAAUAUAUUUUUAUUUUUAUUAUAAUAAAUAAAAAUAUAAAAUAAAUUAUACUAUCAUAUUAUUUUAUUAUAUCAUAUUAUAUUUAUAUAAAAUAAUUAAUAUAAAAAUAAUAAUUUAAUAUAAUUAAUAAUAAAUUUAAAUAAUGUUAGUAUAAUAUUAAUAUAAAAUUAAUGCAGUACAAUGUAAUACCAAUUACCAAAUGUUGUACAAAUAUUAUUAUAAUUUAUUACUAAUGUAAUAUAACAUAAUACAAUAUACCUUUAUUGAAUAAUGAAAUACAGUAUAGUAUAAUACAAUAUGUGAAAUGGACCCUUAAUUCUUUGAGUGAUGAUAGUUUAAAGGGAUGUAGAGAAAGUAAAAAUAAUCAUGGUAGAGUCUUUUGCAGUGGUUGAUUAGCCAUCAUCAAAAAAUUUAAGGUAACAUAAUAAAAAUUAAGCAAUCACCCUACAUUUAAAAGAGUAAUUAGAAACCAAUAAAUUUACUAUUCAAUUAUUUUUAAUCAAGAAUAAAUAAUAAAUUAUCAUUACAGCAAGAUUCACAAGCUCAAAUAUCUAUAAAAAAAAGUUAUAAUUCUCAAGAAACAUAAAACUCAAAUGCUUUUGAAGUAUUCUUAAAAAAAUUAAACUAACUUCCUUUUAUGCUAUUCUUUAUUUAUAUGACUUUGUUGGGCUACAUUUAAAAUUUUAAAAAAUUAAAAUGGUUUCCUUAAAUUUCAAGAGUAAUAUUAGUAUUUUAUAGGUAAAUUAACAUAUUUUAUAUACAAAUAAACUAACAUGUCAACUAAUAUUAAAAACAAAAAUGUAAUAAAAAAGUAAAGUUUUGUAAUAUUAAAAUAAUAAAAUUUUAGAACCUAAUACUUUUUACAGUUCCUUAUUUUGAAAUUUCACCUUUUUUAUUUUAUAAUUUUUUGAAGUAUUACAAGGUUAAUAACCUAUAUUCUUUACACAUAUUUAGUUUAUUUAUUCUAUAUUAAAUAUAAUGGGUCCGCCUACCUUGCAACAGUUGCACGGUACCCCAAAUUUUAUAUUUUUCUAAUUCAGCUGAUGAAUCUAAUAUCUAAAGUGUUCAACGGUCAAGGCCGGCUCAACCAUAUUUGGGGCCCUAGGCAAAUGAUUUUAAUUAAUUCUUAUAAAAAAUUAGGGUAAUCUAUGAAAUUUUAAUUCAAUUAUAACAUUUUUACUUAUUGUUCUUUAACUCAAAUUACAUCUUUUUUACUACUCCUUUUCUAGAUUAAACUAAUUUUUCUAUUUUAUAAAGUUUUUCGAUAUAGUUUUAUUUCAAAAUAGAUAAAACAAGCAUACAAAAAAAAAGAGUAGAUGAAUAAAAGAAUAUAUUGAAAAAAAUAAGAAUAAAUAAAUAAAUAACACAACUAAUUAAGAGAAUAAUAAAAAGAUAAAAUCUGGAAUUUGAGAUGAAAUCAUGAAUUAACUUUAUCUUUAUAUUAAUUGUUUGUGGAUUUGAGUAAUGACCAAUAGCCAUAGAGAAUAGAGAAAAUUAUUAGAUUUUUUUCUUCUUCUUGAGUGGAAAGUAGAGGAAGCAUGAUUUUUUCCCUCUCUCUCUUUCUUUCUCUCAAACACUAACAACAUAUCGUGUCUUGAUUAUUGGAGGAAAAAUUUAAUAGAUAAGUAAUAAAAUAUGGGGUUUUUAUAGAGGUUUAAAAUGAAUAUAAUACUUUUUAAUUAUAACAUAUUAAUUCUAACAAUUAAAUAGAGAAUUUGUAGGAUUGAAACUAUUAAUUUAUUGGUUUUGUAGGAAUUAAAACUACUAAGUACUACAUUAAAUAAACUUUAUAGAAAUUUGAUAGUUUAUUUAGGAAAAAGAUAAUUACAAAAUAAUAACAAAUUAAAUGCAUAAUAAUGACUUUUAAAUUCACUUUUCCCUUUUAUAUACAAAAUAAUCAUCUUACGGGGCCUUAAUGUAAAGUGGGGCUCCAGACAACCGCUUAAGUUGCCUAGAGGUCGAGCUGCUACUGUCAACGGUUGAGAUGUGUUCAAUUGGUUAUUAACACUUAAGUCUCUACUGUUUAUUAUAAUAUCAUAAAAACAAAAUUUUUAAAAUAUUUAUUUAUAUAACUCCUAUUGUUUUAAGUUUUUUAAAGUUUGAUCCAUUAGCCAAGCUUGAUCAUAAAAAUGAUUGAUGGUGUAAAGAUAAUAAUGUAAUAUCACAUAAAAUUUUUUUUAAACACAUGAAAAAUUGAUAAAUGUAAAUAUUGUUUUUUUUGGUUAUAUAAUAUAUUAACUUUAUUAUUUUAAUUAAUGUUAAUUAUUGUUUUUAUUAUUUUAUUAAUAAUAAUAACAACUAAUUUGUAUUUUACUUUUAAGGUUGAUUUGAUAAAUUUAAAUUUUUCUUUACAUUAACAUAUCUAAGAAUAUUGUUGCAAGCAUGUUAUUAUAAAAUCAAAGAAAAAUUAAGGGUAGGAUUAUAUUGUGCUUACCGACAAAGGUGUCUUGAGGGACUAAACGGUACUUCAUUCAAAAUAUAGAGACUGAACAAAUAUUUAUCAUUAUUUAAGCUGAAAUAGUGCAUUUUAACUAGUCCCGGGUUUGAUUCAUUGUAAAUAUCAUUUUCCUUCAUGAAAUACCUAUAGAGAAUCAUAAAUUUUGGAGAAAAGGACGUUACACCUAAGUUUUGGGAAAUAGUCAUGUAGACCCCUAAAUUUUUAAUAAGGAAUACGAAUACCUCUUUUGACUAUAAUACAUUUUGACUCUAUUAACUCAAAAAAUUGACUCCUAUGUUUUAUAAUAAAUAGAAAUAUAAUAUUGAAAUAAACAUAAAAUAUUAACAUUUUAAAACAACUUCAAUUUAGGAAAAUAUUUAUAUACUUAAGAAUCUUAUAUUAUAUUAGACUAAAUUUUAUAAUAAAUAAGAACAUAAUAUUAAAAUAAAUUUUAUAAAUUUUUUCAAUAUUAUAUAAAAUAAUUUCAAUAUUAUUACUACAUGAGAUAUAUUUUAUUAAUGAGAUGUGUUUUAUUAAUUUUAAAUUCUAUUUAACCCCAAUGAUUUAUUUGAUAUUUUUAUGAUAAAUAAAAUAUAUUAUUAAAAUAAAUAUAAUGUUUUUAUUUAAAAAAUAUUUUAUAUAUUAAAAAUAUUCUAAUAUUAUUAGUCUAUUAGACAGAUUAAACUAUUUAAGUUAUAUUUAUAUUUAUUAAAAAAUUCUUAAAGUCAUUUUUUUAUUUACUAUGUACAAAAAGUAUUAUAGUCAAAAAGAUAUUUUGGUUACUGAAAAUUGAAAGAUUUACGUGACCAUUUCUUUAAAUCUUGGAGUAUAGGUGUCUUUUCCUAUAGAUAUUAGAAUAAGGGCUACAUGUCUAUAUGUAAAUAGCAAGUAGUGGCGGACCUACAGUUGGACUAGACUGGGUUGUAGCUUGGUCUAGUACAGAAAAAAUCAUUUAUACACCUUGUUUUCUUAUAAUUUUUUUAUAAAAAAGAGUUUUUAUUUUGUUUUCAUAUAUGUCCCUAACUCAAGUAUCCUUAUGUUUUCAUCAAUUUAGUUUAACAAUAGAGUUUUUACUUUAUAUUCAAAUAUUUUCCUAACUCAAUUACCCUUAUAUUUUCAUCAAUUUAGUAUAACAAUUGAGCUAUUAUUUUAUAUUCAAAUAUAUCCCUAAUUCAAUUGUAUUGUUUCCAAUUGAAAUUAGUGACUUAUUUUAUAAAUUGAUUAAAUUAUAUACUCAUUGGAUAGAUUGAAAACAUUAGGGAGCUAAAGUAUUAUUAUCAAUUUAAUUUAUUUUAAAAAAUUUCUAAUUGAAAAAAAUAUAAAUCAAUGUAAUAUAACAUCGUCACUAGCAUUAAAAAUACUUACGAAAACAAUAUAUAGUAACAAUUAUCAACAUUUUCAUAAACAUUUUAUGUGAUUUUUUAGAUUCUAUUUAUUAGUUACAUUAACUACGACAAGAAGUUAGAAUAUAAAAUUUAGGUAUUUUGAGGAGCUUUAAUAGAAGAAUCAUCAACAUCUACUUCUAUAAAGAAAGUCAGUGCACUGGCAAUGAAACAACGAUAUCCAAAUAACUUUUUGUUGAAUUGAGUUUAGUUUAUUACUAAAACUUUUGACUAAUAAUACUUUUAUAAUUCGAAAGAAUGAAUGAAUUUUAAUUUUUAAAUUUAUUUAAACUUGGUAAUUUAAUACUUGACUUCAAACAUAAAAGUUUUACUUGUAAUCUUUAAUUAAUUUUAAUUACAUGUACUGAUCUAAUUUAGUUUGAAAUUCUUAAUUGAUUUAUUAAUCCUUAUAUAAUUACAUGUUAUUAUAGUUGCAAUGUCGGAUUCCAUAAUUGAAAAAUAGUGUUUUGAUAUUUGAAUUGCCUUUUGGUUUCUAUUCUUUUCUUAUAAUUAUUUUUGUUUAUAAUACAUAUUCAUAGGGAUAUAGCUCUCCAUGUCUCCCCUCAUUUAAUAUACUUCUUUUUACUUAUAAAUUUUUAUGUUCACUUCAAAAUAUAAAUUUUAAAAUUUAACCCAAAAUAAUAUUAAGUCCUGAAUCCGCACAUAUAGCAAGUUAAGUCACAUCCUUUUAUCUUUUUAUUUUCAUUUUAUAAAUAAAUAAAUAAAUAAUGCAUAUUGAAUUAGGAUCACGCGUCUGAAAUCUUUACGUGAAGAUUUUGUUAAACACCGUGUAAAAAAAUAAUAUGAAUAGUGAAAGCUUAAUAGUAAAAAAAUAAUAUGAAUAGUGCAUUGCGAUCUAUCAAUCGCAAUGCACCGAUGAUUGCAACAAUUAAAAAUCUUGAAAUAUGAUUAUUAUACAAAACGAAAAUGUACAACCACUCAUGAAUUAGAGUUAUUUUUUUUUAGAGAAGAUAAUUCGGGUUUUUAAGAUAGGUUCUUUUUUUAAAAAAAUUAUUAUCCUGAGGAUAUUUGAAUAAUAAUUUUUUAAAUUAAAAAAAUAAAUUUUAAAUAUAUUUUUGUGAGUUUAAAUAACCUCAUUCCCAGCAUAACUACAUGAGCUACGUAGUGCUUAUUUAUUGACAUUAAUAAACUGCAUCAAUUUAUACAAAAUACUGUUUUUCUUCUUCGUUUUUCUUUUUGACAUGUUGUGCUAAUGCUGUUUGUUGGCCUAGAUGGCGAAUAAAAAAUAUGAUAAUAUAUGCUAUCUACAAGCUUAAUUAUGAACGAACAGUUAAUAAUUACCCCAAAGUUCAUAUUUUAUAAUAGGUGUAGAAUCUUUUCACUCUAAUAAGUUUAUCUUCAAUUAUUUAUCACUAGUUUAGUUAAAUAAUGCACGUCAAUGUUGAAUUGACAUCCGCGAAUAUCACCUUUGCACUUUUAAAUCAAAUAAUCAAUGGCCAUCAAAUGAAGCGAAAUAAAUGGUUAAACUAAUUUAUGUUAAAACAAAUUAUUGUUGAAUAGAGUAGUGAUAGAUGAUAUCCCAAAUUUUUGGGUUCCUAAGGAAUAAUCAUUGUCAAAUUAUUAAACCGAACCUUACAUUCAGGAAUGAUAAAGAUUGAAGACCAAUAUCUGCAACAUUAACUCUUGUCAUACAUAAGCAAGAACAAAAAAAAUAAAAAAUCAUUGAAUUAUAUUAAUACAUGAAACAGAAAGGCCAAAAAUUAAACCCAAAUGAAUAUACAGUGAAAGGAAAUCGCAGUUGUAAUGUAACGCAUAUUCACAAAAGCUUUGUUGAUGAAGUCUAGUACUCUAAUGAUACUUUAUAAUGUGGGGGCAGAGCAGUAAAUUUCAAAGAAAUAAUUUUCUCUUUUGAUGUUUUGUCGUUAUUGUUGACUGAGACGAGAAAGAAAUAAUUGCUCGUUUGGAUAUUCUCUAUAUUGUAAAAGAAUUGCUUAUUAGAAUUGCUUAUUAGAAUUGCUUCAAAGCAGUUUUACCAGUUAUAAUUCAUCAGCUCCUACUCUUUGCGUUCAAUUCUCAAUCAAGAAACCCUCUCCUGACUUUCAGCUUUUAACCUCGAACACGCUCUGAUUCUGUUUAUUGUACCCACUGCUAUUGCUAGCUGUUCCCUUAUUUUGCUUUGCUCCCUUCUGCCAUCAGCUCUCUGUAUACUCAUUGGAUCAAGAAGCCCUUUUCAAUUUUCUGAUCUCAACAACACUUUGAUUCUCAUCUAUUACACUGAUUUUUUUUCCUUGUUUUGCUCAAAUACAAUUUCUCUCCCUAAUUUUGUCCCGUUCCCUUUCGCCGCCAUCUGUUUGUUCUUCGCUUCUUCAUUGAUUAACAAUUGUCCAGUCGUUUCACCUGUUCUUUUUCUGUUCCUUUCACUUCAGAUCAAUCCAUCCUCGCACAACCCCCCCCCCCCCCCCCAAAAAAAAAAAAGAAAAAAGAAAAAAGAUUGAAGGUGAUGGAAUGCAUUGUUACUGUCGUUUUAGAGGUUGUAAAAUGCUUGGCUCCUCCAACACAACAACAACUUCGUUAUUUGCGUAGUUCCAAUGCCAACUUUGAGAAUCUCAAGGCUGAAAUCGAGAAUCUUAAGGAUAAAAUUAGGAGCAUUCAGCGCAGAGUCUCAGAGGCUGAAAGAAAAGGAGAAAAGAUUGAAGAGGAGCUUGAGAAAUGGCUGGUUAAUGCGAAUAAGAUCAUUGAGCAUGCAGACAAAUUCAUUGACGACGAGGAGGCAACAAAUAAGCGAUGUCUCAAGGGUCUGUGUCCUAAUCUGAAGACCCGCCAUCAGCUUAGCAAGAAAGCAGAGGCAGAGGUGAAGGCAAUUGUCAAAAUCCGAGAAGAAGCUGGGAGAUUUGACGAUAGAAUUUCCUACCGUACGAUUCCGGAGGAGAUAUGGCUCAAGUCUCACAAAGGCUACGAGGCCUUCGAGUCAAGACUUUCUACCUUGAAGGCCAUACAAAAUGCAUUGAUCGAUGUUAAUGUUAGUGUCGUUGGGGUGUACGGCAUGGGCGGCAUUGGAAAGACGACACUGGUGAAGAAGGUCGCCAGGCAAGCUAUGGAAGAUAAACUCUUUGAUAUGGUGGUCUUUUCAGAGGUUUCGCAAACUCCAGACAUAAAAAAGAUUCAACAGGAAAUUGCCGAGAAGUUGGGCCUGGAGUUGCACGAGGAAGUUGAAUCUGGAAGAGCAAGUAGACUAUUUGAGCUAUUGAGAAAUCACAAGAAGAUCCUUGUCGUUUUAGAUAACAUUUGGAAACACCUUGAUUUGGAGACAGUUGGAAUUCCUUUUGGAGAAGAUCAUAAAGGCUGCAAACUACUGCUGACGGCAAGAGAUCGUAGUGUCCUCUUAAAAAUGGGUUCUAAAGACAACUUUUUGAUAAACAAUUUAAAUGAAGAAGAAGCCUGGAGAUUGUUUAAGAUGAUGGCCGGUGAUGAUGUUGAAAAUCGUGAGUUGAAAUCUACAGCAAUAGACGUCGCCAGGGCAUGUGGAGGUUUGCCCAUUGCCUUGACUACAGUAGCAAAGGCACUGAGAGGCAAGAGUCUGUAUGAAUGGAAGAAUUCCUUGCGAGAACUCCAAACGCCUUCAAUGGUAAACUUCGAAGGGGUAUCUGCAGAGACUUAUUCAAGUAUUGAGCUCAGUUUCAACCAUUUAAAAGGUGAGCAGCUCAAGAAAAUUUUUCUGCUCUGUAGUCUAAUGGAGAGCCAUAUUACUUUGGACUUGUUUAAGUACUCCAUGGGUUUGGGUAUAUUUAAAGGAGUCAAUAAGAUGGAAGAUGCACGAGACAAAUUAUAUGCAUUGGUCCAUGAACUUAGAGACUCUUGUUUGUUGCUUGAGGAUGAUAGCAAUGAACGAUUUUCAAUGCAUGAUGUUGUUUGUGAUGUCGCAAUAUCAAUUGCAUGCCGCCACCAACAUGUGUUUUUGGUGAGAAAUGAUGAGGAUGUGUGGGACUGGCCAGAUGAGGAUGCACUUCGAAAAUGCAAUGCUAUCUCUUUAAUAAAAAAUAGUAAUUGUGAAUUUCCUGAAGGAUUAGAAUGCCCAAACCUUGAACUUUUAUAUAUUUCUCUCAAAGAUUCUUCUCUUGAAAUCAAUAUUCCUGAGAACUUUUUUGUAGGGAUGAAAAAGCUUAGAGUUCUAGAUUUUACUCGAAAGCUGUUUUCUUCAUUUCCAUCUUCAAUUGAUCUUCUAGUAAAUCUUCACACACUAUGUCUGGAUCAAAGUGCGUUGGGGGACAUAGCAAUCAUUGGGAAGUUGAAGAAUCUAGAAGUCCUUAGCUUUUUGAUGUCUGAUAUUAUGCAGUUGCCAGAAGAACUAGGUCAAUUGAAUAAGUUGAGAUUGUUAGAUUUAACCAAUUGUUUCCAUCUAAAAGUUAUUGCGCCCAAUCUCAUAUCAAGCUUAACUCGAUUAGAAGAUCUGUAUAUGGGUAAUUGCUCCAUUGAAUGGGAGGUUGAAAGAGCCAACAGCAAAAGAAGUAAUGCUAGCCUUGACGAAUUGAUGCAUUUACCUCGGCUAACCACUCUAGAAAUUGACGUUAAAAAUGACAGUAUGUUACCAGAAGGUUUUUUGGCCAGAAAGCUCGAAAGGUUCAAAAUAUCUAUUGGAAAUGAGUCAUUCAUGCCUCCCAAGAGUGUUAGACAAGCUUGGUUUAAAAGUCGGCCGCGCUUUUCGAUCCACAGUUAUCGCAAGAGUGUAAGAGCAUUGAAGCUCAAGCUUGAUUUUAUGGACAUUUGCUCCAUGAAAUUGCAGGGCAUCAAUAACGUUGAAUACUUAUGGUUGGACAAGCUGCAAGGCACUGAGAAUGUUCUUUUCAAUUUGGACACGGAGAGCUUUUCACAAUUGAAGCUUCUCUGGGUUCAAAAUAAUCCUGACUUCUUUUGCAUCGCCGAUUCAAGGGCGAUGGUCGCUUGUGAUGCCUAUAGCUUAUUUUUAACUUUGAAAAAUAUGACAAAGCAUCGAUAAAUUAAUACUCAAUAAAUUAAAAACUUUUAUUAUACAAUAAUCUUUGCUAGUCUAGACUAAGGGAUCAAUGUGGUAGAUUAAUAAUUAUAUGAACUGUUUUAGGUAUAGCAUUUCUAAAAGAAUCCUUAGUCUUUCCAUAUAAAAGAACUUACAAAAUAAAUUAGUAAUUUAUUAUUGUGCAAUAAAAUAAUUUCGUUUUUUUCCCUAAUUUCUUUUUUACCUCUAAAAUUAGCAUAUAAAAAAUCAUUUAAUAAAUUUUAUCAAUAAUUCAAUUUUUUUUUUAAAAUAUAAUAUAAAAUAAAUACUAUAAAAUCACUGUGUGUGACCAUAGAUCAUCAAUUGACCUUAUUAGUUAUUUUGAUUGAUGAUGAUAUCUUACCCAACUUGACGGCACUAUCACUAAGUGGAAAAGAUGUGAAGAUGAUUUUGCAGGCCGAUUUCCCACAACACCUUUUUGGCAGUCUUAAACAACUAGAGAUUGUUGGAGAUGACUCAGCUUGUUUUCCAAUCUGGAACGUACUGGAGAGAUUUCACAAUCUCGAAAUACUCAUACCGUUUUUGCAUUCCACGAAGAGGUAUUUUGGAUGGAAGGAUGCUUAGAGAAACAUGUGGGGAAGUUGGCAAUGAUAAAAGAAUUAAAGCUGCACCGGCACUAUCAUCUGAUGCAGCUGUGCAAACAAGACUCCAAACUUGGCCCCAUUUUUCAGUAUCUUGAAAUUCUAAAAGUAUAUAAUUGUCAAAGUCUGUUAAUUCUAUUGCCAUCAUCAUCGGUAUCUUUUGGGAACCUAACAAAACUUGUAGCUUUCGAUUGCAAGAAAUUGAUACACUUAGUAACAUCCUCCACAGCAAAAACUCUGGUGCGACUCGUAACAGUUCAAGUAUAUGGAUGCAGAGCAAUGACAGAGGUGGUAAUAAAUGACAAAGACGGGGUUGAAAAAGAAGAGAUUGUUUUCCGCAAAUUGAAGACGUUGGAUCUGCGUGAUUUAGAUAGCCUCACAAGUUUCUGCUCUGCCAAUUACACCUUCAAAUUCCCAUCUUUGCAAGAUUUGUGGGUGAUUGGUUGUCCCAAGAUGAAGAUUUUCACUACAGGAGAAUCAAUCACGCCUCCAAGAGUAAAUGUCCGGUAUGGAGAGACAGCGGAUCAACGGCGCUGGGCUAAUAAUGAUCUAAACUCAACCAUACAACAAUUACAUGCUGAGAAGGUACGUAUAUACAUGUAUAUACAUCUUUACAAAAUUUGCUUUCUUAAAUACAAUAUAGAUAAGAUAUUUGAUGAAUAAGAAUUUUACUUUCAGCUGUUGGCGGUGCAGUCGGCGAUCUCUACCCAGUACUAAUUUCAUAGGCUUCUUAUGACUUGGGAGUUGUGAAUUUUUAGAAGAAAGCCUCAGCUGGUAAUUAAUUUUUAUUUCAUUUAUUUGAUCUCAUGGCUUGUUUCGCAAUUUCAUCUGAAUUAUUUAGAAUGGGUCAAUCGGCUUACUGUUAAAUUUGGAAUGCAAUUUUAAUGAUUCGUUCAGACUUUUGUGGACAGAUUUUGCAUCAUUGAAUGUCUUCUAGUCUAGUUUAAUUUGAGUAUUUUUUUUCUUUUUUUCUUUUUUUGAGAGUUCCCCUUGUUUUCUAAAAUUUUAUAAUUCCUUGCAUACUUUGUAUGAUAAAAUUUCAUUAAAAGCCUUCAUAUUUUAUAAUUCCUUGAAAACAUCAUUGCUGUUCUGUUAUUUUAGUUUGUUCAUUUAGUUUGGUUUGCUUCACACCUAUCUUUGUUUGGAAACUUUUUUUUAUUUUUUUGAUGAUCUUUCCAAAUGCUCUCCCCUAUGAACACAUAAUUAAGACCAGCUGAAAAUCAUUCAUCGGAUAAAAAAUAAAAAAUAAACAAAAUCUAAUCAGAGCAUUAUGCCUAGAACAAAUCCUUAGACCAUCAAAGCAAAACUCUUCGCUAUGAAAAACUAUAUUGUGGAAAUAUUGUUUGAAAACGUUGGAUACCAAGAAAGGGACUAAUCUGGUCUAGUUUUAUGAGAAGUGCAGAAGAACAGUAUUUUCUCUGUUGUUCCUAUUAAAAUUCUUUACUAUGUGAUUGUAGAAUGUCUGGAUACUGAUGAAGAUUCAGGUAACUCUUCUCCUGUGCAUCAUUUGAAAUAAGUUUUUUUUUUUUUUUUGGUAAUAUCUCCUACUGGGUUAUAGUUCAUACAAAGAGAAAUUCUUAAAUCAAGCCGGAUACUGGUAGAAACAAGUGGGGAAGUAGGCACUGAUAAAAUGGUUAAUCCUGUCCAGACUUAAUCAUUGAAGCAACUCCAAACUGGACUCCAUUUUAAAUAUCUUGACAUUCUAAGACUAUUUUACAAGCAUUUAAGUCUAUUCACAUGAUCAUCUAUAUCUUUUGGGAAUCUAAAAGAACUGUUGGUUUUCCAUUGCAAGGAAUUGUAACAUCCGUCCACUACAGCAGAAAGUCUAGUGCGACUCGUAUCAAUGAAGGUAGCUGGAUGCAGGGCAAUGACAGAGGUGGUAAUAGGUGACGGAGAAGAAGACGGAGCACCAAAUUUAAAUUCAAAACAAGAGAUUGUUUUCAGCAAAUUGAAGACAUCGAGUCUGUGUGAUUUAGAUAGUCUCACAAGUUUCUGCUCUGCCAAUUACGCUUUCAGAUAAAGAUUCUUGAAAUUGUCCUAUUUACAGCUGACAUUUCCACAAGAGUUAGAGAAAUAUAAAAAAUUCAUUAAUCGUUAGUUUUUAAUUUCAUUAUUCAAUGAAAAGUCCUGUCAAAUUAAAUUGCAAAUCUCAAUGUGCAAGUACCUAAAUUUACAAAAUUUACUUUAAAUUAAUGAAUGAAAGAAUUUAUUUUCUGCUGUUGGAGGAGUCGUCAUCUCUCUCGACAUAGUAUACGAUAUGUUUUGAUCCCAUAGGCUUUUUAAUAUAUUACCUUGUGUUGUUUGAUCUCUAGGUUUAUUUGCAAUGCGUCAGUUGGUUUAUUUGUUAAUUUUGGAAUGAAGUUGAUGCAGCUGAUGGUUGCAUAGGAUGAGUAGGAUAUCACUCCUAGAUCAUAACUUGAUCUAACAAUAUUGUGUAGGUCUUUUGUGACUCCAACAAUAAAAAAACUCAAUAUUUUUUUUAUAGAGCAAUAUUUGUUAAAGCAUGAAGAAAGGCAGAAAUAUUGUAAAUCCAUCUCAACUUUUCUGUUUAUUGUGGUCGCUGCUAGCGCUGGCUGUUUUCUUAUUUAACUUUGUUCCCUUUUGCCAUCAGCUCUUUGCAUUUUCAUUGGAUCAAGCGACCCUUUUCUUGCUUCAAUUUCUGAUCUCAAAAGCACUUUGAUUCUCUUCUAUAAUUCUGUUACACUGAUUUUCUCCUUAUUUUGUACAAAUAUCAUUUCUCUUUCCCAUUUAGCCUUGAUUUGCUUCAACUUGACUAUCAAUUGCCAAGUUGACCCUGUUGUAUUUUUAUUUUGUUCACUUCAAAUAGACCCAAAAAAAAAAAGAGAUGUUGAAUAAAGCCUAAAAUCUAAUUUGAUUUUUAAUCUGAUUUAGCUAAGAUGUCCAAUUUAAUAUUAAUAGCAAUGUUAAGGAUUCUAAUAAUUGGGUCCCAACUGAUAUGAUAGUCAUUUAUUAGAUGAUCGAAAUAUUAAUUUUACUAAUUAUGAAAUUCAUUAUCUAAUAAAAAAUGACACAUAACAAUUGGGUCUCAAGUUAGAAUUCAAAUAUUGGAAUUCUUAACAUUAUUUUAAUAUUAAAAAAUUCAUCAAAAUAAUAUAUAUUAUCUAAAAAAAAUAAAAAAUCUAAAACCAUAGAUUUACCCUUCAAUCUUCGUGAUUUGGCUGAUUUCUUUUAAAGCUUUGGUUUCUUUGGAAGUGCAACGAGAAAUAGUAAUAAGAUUAAAAAAGCAAUGAAGUAAAACUUUAAAAUUUUUAUUUUUUUAUAUUUUUAUGGGUCAUUUUACCGGCACUGGCGUUUGAUUUUCUGACUAAGCUACUGUUUAGUUCUAAGUUUUCAAUUACCCGGACUGCUCUGUUUUGUGUAUCAUCGACACAAUAAGGCUUAGCAUUUAAAAGUCGGCAGCCACGCAACUUCUUGGAAUCUUUGUGCAAGUGUUGGAUAUCGACUGUUCGAUAAUGAUGGCAGCAUUUGACUGGAGUGUAAUUGACGCAGUGGAAUAAGGAUCACAUGUCUCAAACUUUUGGUGAAGAUAUUGUCAGAUAUUUUAUUGAUUAAAGGAUCACAAAUAAUGGAUAUUGGAUGAGAAUCACAUGUUUUAUGGGAUUUACUAUGUUGCAACAGUGAUACCAUACCACUGUUUUUGUCAUUAUUCAUUGCGGCCGUUGGAUGGUAACUUAUUUAAUCUAAUGGUUUAAAUUAGUUAAUGGAGAAAUGACGCGGCAACUUACAACCCUUGCAGCCGGUUCUGUAUUGAUCUAAUAGCAUGGAGUAGUAAGCGUGCGUUUCAAAGAUGCUAAGAUACACUAAAUCCCACUAUUUCCAUACUCAUAAUCACAAGCUUACCUCAAAAAAUGAAGGGAGAAUACGAUGAAGAAGAAGAUGGCCAGUGUUUUACGCCGUUCGCCGGCAACCAGUUAGGUUUACGAUGGUGGCUAGUAACACGGAGUCCAGCGAAUAGUAGCAUACCGAACGGCUCUUUACCGUCACGUGGUUAGUAACAUAUGUGACCGCAGUGUGGCCGUCACAUAAAAGGUAUUGGGGUUACAAAGUUAGUGAUAUACGUAAUGGCUGCUUUUGCAUUCACAUUAGGGGUCACAUAUACCCUAUUUUUCUUGUAGUACAUGGUAAAUUCUAUUUGAAAAUUGCUAAGUAUUUUAGAUUUGUACAAAUUCAUUUUUGUGUGCUGGUGCCUGGUUGGAUAAUAAUAUAUAAUAAAUUAAAUUUUUGGUGUAAUUUUCACAAUAUUGUAUUAUAAAUAUGUAUCGUUGAGAGGUUUUGAAAUCGUUUUGAUUGAUCAUAAUUGAUAUUUCCACAGUUGUAAAAGAUGCCAGAGAAAAUUUGAUUAUCUUAAGAAAUGAGUGCAUGAGAUAUGAAAUCAACCAUACCGUAAAAUCAAAUUUUAUCGUGUCAUCCUUCUUGGUUCAAAUUUAUGGAAACAAUAAUCAAAUGCAUCCAUGAACUAGUAUAUUCCAACAUAUGUACCAUCAAAUUUUUGCUAUGUCAUACUUAUGUAUGUGUGUGUGUGUGUGUGUUUGUGUAUAUUGAAAUUUUAAUAACAACAAUUGGGGCAAGCAUAUGUUGGUACUUGAAGAUUUAUAAGCUCCAUUCUUGAAAAAAUAAGGCUUGACUGUUCUCGAUCUAAUUCUUUUUGUUUUAAGUUCUUAAUUAAGCUUUCUUGCUUGUUUUCAAGAGCCAGUUUUGUAAUGAUCGACAAACAUGAUUUGCAUAUAUUGCACUUGGCAUUUAUGUGUCACUUAUUAACUAGAUUUAAAUUUUAUAAAUUAAUUAAGCUGAUUAAUACUUUAUAUGUGCACUAAAUGAUAAAUACUACAUAAAUUGGGACACUAGUAACUACGUAUCCCAACUAUGUAAUAUUUGUUUGUCACAAAACCAAUCAUGGCCUGAUAUUCUAAAUAUUAUUUAGGAUACCAUUUCAAGUCCCAUGAGGGCUCUUUCCGUUAAAAAAAAAAAGUAUGAAAUAGAUGUAGAUUUUUCUUUAGAUAUUAUUACCUUUGGUGGCAAUGGUACGGGAUGAUUUGGGAUUUGACAAUUCCACUCUCAUCUUAAUUAUCAAAUGGAAUGUAAGUAUGGAUAAACUCGUCCUGUUUAUAUACUUGUGAUUAAAAUUAGGACCAAUCUCAAACCGCUCACAAUCAUGUCCCAUCCUAACUAUCCUGAAUGUCUCGAAUGCCUCCCUUUAUUAUCAUUUUAAUUCUCAUUAACAUAUUAGCAAAAUUUCCAUAUAUUAAAAAUAUUAGGGUCUGACUAUCUAUACUUUAAAAAUUACUAUGAACACUCAAUUAUUUUAUACACUCAUCUAAUAAAUUUAAAAAAUUAAGUUUCAUUUUGUACAUUUUUAAAAGUAACAAAAACAUUUUUACAUGAACCUAAUAAGUUUCUUUAAAAAAAAUUAAAUCAAUUAUUUUUAUUUAUUCAAAAUACUAAUAAAACUAUUCAGCAGACCGUGAAAGAAAAUUUUUAAGAAAUUUAGCACAUAAAACGUUGAAAGUUUCAACUAAAUUCUUUAACACAAUUUUAGAAAUUACUUAUUGUUUAUUAAAGAAUGUGUUCACUAAUGUUUUUAAUUUUGUGCAAUCAAAAAAGAAGAAGAAGAAGUUUGGGGUUAAAGAUACAUUUAAUUUUUAGUGUAAAAGUUGUAUCAAUCCUAUAAAAACUAAAAGAUCCAAAAGUUACAAGUUCCAACAUCACCCAAAUAUUACGAUUGUUUUUGGGAAGGUUAAAAGUGAUUUUAAAAAUUAAAAGCUUAUUUUAGUGUUUUAUAAAUUUUUUUUUAGUAAUUACUUUUGGCAAAAUCAUCUCAUCAUACAGUAGAUUUUGAAAAUUAAGAAAGGGAAUAGUUUUUCAAAAUCUAAUUUUGAGAAUCACUUUUAUACUUAAUCCAAUUCUCUCUCUCUCUCUCUCUCUCUCUCUAUAUAUAUAUAUAUAUAUAUAUAUAUAUAUCCUCAUUAUAUAAUAAAAAUCCAAAAUUACCUUUAUUAAUUAAGAAAUAAAAUCAUUAACUUUAAAGAAAUUAUUAUUACCACCAAUUAUAUUGAGAUAACAAAAUAAAUAAUACAAUUUAAUAAUAUACAAUAUUUAUUUUAGUUAUCAAUAAUUAUAUCUACAUAACAAAAAUAUUUUAUAUACAUGUUUGUAAAUGUGUAAAUAAAUUUUAUUUAGCUUUAUAUCCAAUUUAAUCAUUUACAUUCUUGCACCAGUUUAAUAAUAAGAUUUAUGAAACACAUAUGACUGCUUUUUAAACUAAAAGUACUUUUAAAAAUAAAUUUUACUAAAGGUUCACCUAAUUCUCUUCACGAUUGAUCAAUUUCUACAGCAUAGAUAACUGUAAUUAUUUUAAAAGCCAUAGAUUACCAAUAAAAAUGUCUAAAAGUAACAAUAAUAAACCAAAGUAAACGUACAAAAAUUCAUGCAUAAAUUGAUAAUCAACAAAAACAUCCAAAAGUUUUACUCUAAGUUUUCUAUUCAAUUGACAUAACCCUUAAAUUUCAAAAGGCAUAAUCAAUUUUGUGACUAAUCCUAUAAAAUUAGAAAAUUAAAGAAUAUUAUAUACUGAUAAUUAAAUAAUAUACAAUUAAUAAUGUAAAAAAAAAAUCAUGUUAAACAUAUUGUGAACUAAAAUAAUUGGGAGAAUUGGAGUUCCAAGAUAAAUUCCAAUCUAGUCCCAAAUCAACAAUUGGGAUUAAUUUCAAUCUUAAACUCCGAUUACUUUUAAAAUUGGUCCUAAUAAUAUGGACAAAUCCCAUUCUGAUCAGUAUGGAAUCUCAAUCCCAUAACUUUGGGUUUCGAUGGUGUUUAGUUGGAGGGAGGAGAGAGGAAGGAAAUGAAUUCAAAUUCCUUUCACUUUUCUGUUGUUUGGUUUUCACAAAUAUAUGGGAAUUCAAUUUCUAUUGAAAUUUAGUUUUCAUCAAAUUGUGCAUUUUGGAUUCCUCACCGAAGGCUGUAAAAUUCAAAUUCUCCUCCUAUUAGAAAUCAAAUCUUCCAAAAUUGUUCCUCUCAAAUAUUUAUCAAUUAUUUUUAUUCUUAUCAAACAAUUCUUAUUUAUGAUUUUAUUUUUUCAAUUUAAAUCGUCACUAAGGCGUCUAACUAAGGGCCAGUUUGGGAAUACUAUAACUUUUAAAAUAAUUAUUGUUAGUUGUGCUUUAGAAAUAAUCAGCUGUGAAGAAAAUUAAUUAAGUGUUUGGUAAAUUUUGUUUUAAAAAUACUGUGAGUUUUAAAAGCAGUUAUGGACAUUUAGUAAAUUUUACUAUUAAAUUGCUGAGAGAAAACAUAUGACUAAAAUGUAUAUAAUGUAGAUAAGAUUUACUUAUACAUAUAAAAACAUGUACAUAUAAUAUUUUUAAUUGUGUAUUAUAAUAAUUUUUAUUACAAAUAAAAUUUAUAAUAUAUUGAUUUUUUUAUUUUUUUAUCUUGAAACAAUUGAUAAUUAAAUUUGUAAUAUAGUGAAACAAAUUUAAUAAUAAUUCGACCAAUAAACUGAUAUUAAUAUAUUUAUAUAACCAAAUUAACGGGUGAAUUCUAUAAUCGAUUUCUUUUAUUAACAUCUCAUAACUAUGAGAAGUUUUAUAUUUUGAUAAAUGAUCAUACUCAAUUAUGUGCCUUAUUGGAUGAAAGACGGAGAAGGAAUGCCUUACCGGAUUCAAUUCAAUAUACACUUUUUGUUCCCAGGUCUAGCCUUUCGCGGGUACCUCAACAAAAAACUGAAGAGUAAUGGCAACAAGUGAUUGAGUUAAGUAGUUCCUCAUGUAAAAUUAUUGACUCUAGAGAUAUAGUAAUAUGGAGAAGACUAAACUAUUUCGUAUUGAUGAAUUAUAGUAACAAUUUAUUAAAAUAUUGAUUUUGAUUCUAAUUUUAAUAAGGAAGAACACCAAGAACGUUAUCCCUCUAAAUAUGUACUAUAUACAAAAAAUAAUUGUAAAAAAAGGGUAGAAAAAUAAAAGACAACUCAGAAAAUACUAUUUUUUUUAAUUAUAGAAUAUGACAUUGCAACCUAUAAUUACAUGUAAUUAUAUAAAGAUUAAAAAAUCAAUUAAGAAUUUCAAAUUAAAAUAGAUCAAUACAUGUAAUUACAAUCAAUUAAAAAUUGCAAGUAAAACUUUUGAAGUGGAAUACUAAAUUACCCGACUUAAUAAAUUAAACAAUUAAAAUUUAUUCAUCCUUUCAAAUUGUAAAAGUAUUAUUAGUCAAAAGUUUCAAUAAUAAACUAAACUCAAUUCAGCAAAAAGGUAUUUGAGUGCAAUUGUUUCUUUGUUAGGCGCUUUGCCUCUCUUUAAAGAACUAGAUGUUAAUUAUUCUUCUAUCAAAAAAUCCUUAAAAUAAUUAAAUUUUAUUUUCUAACUUGUUCUCUUAGUUUUUUUGAAACUAACAAAUAAAAUCUGAAAAUUCACAUAAAAAUUUUAUGAAAAUAUUGAUAAUUAUUACUAUAUGUUGUUCUGUAAGUACUUUUAAUACUAACAACGAUGUUAUAUUAUAUUGAUAGAUUUUUUUUUCAAUUAGAAGUUUUUAAAAUAAAUUAAAGCAAUAAUAAAAUUUUAGCUCCCUAAUUUUUCAAUCUAUUCAAUAAAUACGUAAUUUAAUCAUUUUAUAAAAUAAGUCACUAAUUGCAAUUGAAAAUAAUAUAAUUGAAUUAGGGACAUAUUUGUAAAUAAAAAAAACUAUUGUUAUAUAAAAUUGAUGAAAACAUAAGGAUAAUUGAGUUAAGGACAUAUUUGAAUAUAAAAUAUUGUUGUACUAAAUCGAUGAAAAUGUAAGGGUAAUUGAGUUAGGGACACAUUUAAAUAUAAAAUAAAAAAUCUAUUGUUAUACCAAAUUGAUAAAAACAUAAAAGUUAUUGAGUUAGGGACGUAUGUGAAAAUAAAAUAUAAACUCUAUUCUUUUACUAAAUUAAUGAAAAUGAAAAAAAGAGGUAUAAACGAUUUUUUCCCACAUGUAGGUCCGCCACUCGUGUUGUAUGAGAAUUGUAAUCCAAAAAUUUUCCCUACAAAACGAUUUUUAAUCGACAGCAAAUUUUCACUACAAAACGAUUUUAAACGAUUUUUGUUUUUUUUCGAUUAAUUUUGAAAUGUUGCAUACAUAACGAGCUGCCAUUGAAAUUAAUGUUAACAACCAAAGUAGAUGCAAAAGGAGAAACAAGCAUCAUGUGCAGUACCCACUGUGAACUACUCACAUUGGAAUAAGUUGUCGGCAGCUGGUCUGUUUGGCCAUUGAUAUUUUGACUAUUCAAUGUUGAUUUUGACCCCACUAAAUUAAGCCAUCAAAAAUUGCUGGGAAGGGAGUAAUAUCUAUUCAUAACUGGAAAUUACUCGCCGUACAAUGAUGAUUGGAGCUGCAUGUAUCAUUUAUUAUUAACAACUAACUUAUGAAAUGCUUUGAAUGUACCUCCUAGGUCGUAUUUACUAUACUGGUUAGGAGAAACUACAAUAUUAAAUUAUUUGAUAAAUACUUAUUAUAAUUUAAAAAAUAUAUUAAUUUUGUCCUCCACUUUAUGAUAAAAAAAUUAUAAUAUAUAUAAAUCAUUCAUUCUAUAAUCUUGAACUUUAUUAAAGUUCCAAAAACUAUUACUCUAUAUGAUAUACUCGGGUGAUGUUAUUACACUAUUAUACAGUACAAAAUAUAUUUGUUUUCUUAAAUUUUAAUAAAGUCUAGGUCUUGGAGAGAAGCGCUUUAUAUAUAUGUAUAUAUAAUGAUUCUCUAGUGACGACAUCCUCAUUUUAACAAAGUGAUGAUAUCACUAACAAACUAAAUAACACACAUUUCAAUACACCAAUUGAUAAAAAAAUCCAGUUUUUAAUGUGUUAAAAUAUAUGUCUUUUGUAUAUUAUUGAUAUUUUCAUUUUAACAAAGUGAAGGUCUCCUCACUAUAGAAGUGCUUUAUAAAUAUUUUCUGUAUUUUUGUAAAAAUUAUUAUUUAAAAGUCAUAUCUUACCAAAGACUAAUAGUUUUUAUUUUAUCACUAUACUGUACUUUUCAAGAUAGAACACCUCAAUACCAUGACCUUAAUUUUGAACUCUCUUGUACAAAGUUGUUGGCGGGUCUAUUUAGUUUAGUCUUUCAACUAUUUGUCGUUUGAACUAAGAUGAUCCGAAUAAAGAUAUAUAUCAAUAAUUUCCUAGUGAAACUUCGGAAAAAUAUAAAAAUCCUCUCAUAUAGUAGCAUUAUUUUAAUUCUCAGCUUGAUUAUGUUUUGAGUUAACUUAUAAAUUAUUUGAAAUAAAAAGAAUAUAAUUUAUUUUUUCCAACGGAAUUUUUUAAAUAAUUUUAUUAGUUUAAUGAGUAAUUAUACACUUACAAAGUUAUGAUAUAAAAUUAUAUCCCUAAAUCCCAAUAAUAUGACACCAAUGAACUACUGCUAUGUGUUUCUUAGUAAUUAACUUUUUAUACUAUUAUUAAUGAGAUAAUUAACUUCAACACCAAUAUAAAAAUUUUAUAUUAAUACAUCCUCUAGCUUUAGACGUUACAGACUCUGUAUGUAACGCAGCAAAUGAGGAGCAUCCACGCGUUGCAGGAGAGAGGAAAAGUUGUUGGAAUUUAGCUGAUACAAGACUAAUUUCCAUUGAGCUGUUACAUACAGAGUCUGUAAGGUAGUUUUAUUAUCAAAUAAUCAUAUGUCAUAAUCGAACCAAGCUACCAGAGCCUACCACUAAAAGAGUGAUUGAAGGGUUUUCCAAGUUUGAAAAUGUUAGUAGCAUUGGCAAAUGGCAACUUCCAGGAAUCUUCCUGCUACAAUCAAGUUGAAUCAACUAUUCAGUGAAAUACGCAAACGGCACAUAGGACCCCGCCACCCGUAAAGUCACAAUCAUUUGUUUAUUUGUCAAUCAAGUUGAAUCAACUUGAAUAAAGCCUAAAAUCUAAUUUUUUAUUUCGUUCACUUCAAAUAGACCCCCCCCCCCCAAAAAAAGAGAUGUUGAAUAAAGCAUAAAAUCUAAUUUGAUUUUUAAUCUGAUUUAGCUAAGAUGUCGAAUUUAAGACUAAGAGCAAUGUUAAGGAUCCCAAUAAUUGAGUCCCAAGUGAUAUGGUAGUCAUUUAUUCUAUGAUCGAAAUAUUAAUUUUACUAAUUAUGAAAUUUAUUAUCUAAUGAAAAAAUCACACAUAUCAAUUGGGUCUCAAGUUAGAUUUCUACUAUUGAAAUUCCUAACAUUUUUCCAAUAUUUAAAAAUUCAUCAAAAUAAUAUCUAUUAUCUAAAAAAAUAAAAUAAAAAUCUAAAACCAUAUAUUUACUUUUCAAUCUUUGGCUGAUUUUUUUUUAAAGUUUUGGUUUCUUUAGAAGUGCAAAGAGAAAUAGUAAUAAGAUUAAAAAAGCAAUGAAGUAAAACUUUAAAAUUUUUAUUUCUUUAUAUUUUCAUCGGUCAUUUUACCGGUACUGGUUUGAUUUUCUGACUAAGCUACUGUUUAGUUCUAAGUCUUGGCAAUUACCCGGACUGCUCUGUUUUGUGUAUCUUCGACACAAUAAGGCUUAGCAUUUAAAAGUCGGCAGCCACGCAACUUCUUGGAAUCUUCGCGCAAGUGUUGGAUAUCGACUGUUCGAUAAUGAUGGCAGCAUUGGACUGGAGUGUAAUUGACGCAGUGGAAUAAGGAUCACAUGUCUCAAACUUCUGGCGAAGAUACUGUCAGAUAUUUUAUUGAUCAAGUAAGGAUCACAAAUAAUUGACGCAGUGUAAUUUGCUUUUUUUGCUACUGAUGUAAGUCUUGCAAUUAUUUUUAAAUAAUGAUAUUAUAAUUAAAAAUCAAGAAAUAUUUAUAAUACUUAAAGACUGAUUCAGAUUAUUAAUUCUUUUAUAUGACUUAAUUAUUAGCUGACAAAUAAUUAAAAAGUCAUGGAACAAUACUUUUAUUCUAAUAUGACACAACUUGUACUUUCAUUCCUAUGCUAAAAUAUAUCUAACUUAUUAAUAGUCAAGAAAUAUAUCUAUUCAACAUAUAUUUGUUAGAAAGAUUAUCUACUAAUUAAUCAUUCAGACAAGAUUACGAGUCUCAACAUAAAGAGUAAUGAUAUAAUCAUAAAUUUUUGUAUAAAUUUAUUUUGUAUAAAUUAAUAUGUCAUAAUAAGAUUGGUUAAAUUAAAUAUCACUUGACUCAUAUAAUUUAUUUUUAUUAUUUUAUAUUUUCAUUCAACUAAUGAAUUAAUGUCAUGUUAAUUUAUACAAAAAUAUUUAUACAAAAAUUUAUAGUUAAUUUAUACUCCAAAUUAAGAUAAAAAUUAAUACAUUGAAAUUCAGAACCCUUUUUUAUUUUUUUUUUCCUUCUGCAGUUUAAAAAGGAGUCGCCCACGAUUAUUGAAAUAAUUUUAUCAGAUUCGCUUGAAAGUAGUUUUACGAGCAAGCGGUUUUUCCCUCUUGAUCCCCGUAUUCGUCAGCUCCUACUCUUUGCCUUCAAUUCUCAGUCAAGAAAACCUCUCCUGAUUUUCGUCUUUUGAUCUCAUACACACUUUGCUUCUGUUCAUCGUGGUCGCUGCUCGUGCUAGCCGUUUUCUUAUUUAGCUUUGUUCCCUUUUGCCAUCAGCUCUUUGCUUUUUCAUUGGAUCAAGCAACCCUUUUCUUGAUUCAAUUUUCUGAUCUCAAAAACACUUUGAUUCUCUUCUGUUACACUGAUUUCCCCCUUGUUUUGUACAAAUAUAAUUUCUUUUUCCAAUUUUGCCUUGUUUUGCUUCUACUUGAUUAUCAAUUGCGCGGUCGUUGACCCUGUUCUAUUUCUAGUUCGUUCCCUUCCCCCCCCCCCCAACCCAAAAAAAAUGGACAUUUUGAAAAGCAUUGUAAACUGCUUGUCUCCUCACGCACAACGCGAAUUUAGUUAUUGGCAUAACUCCGCUGCCAACUUUGAGAAUCUCAAGGCAGAACUCGAUGGGCUCAAGGAUGAAAGAGAAAGCAUUCAGCGCAGAGUUUCUGAGGCUGAAAGAAAAAGUGAAAAGAUUGAAGAGAAGGUUGAGAAAUGGCUGGUUAAUGCGAACAAGAGCAUUGAGCAGGCAGCCAAAUUCAUUCAAGACGAAGAGAAAGCAAAUGAACGAUGUCUCAUGGGGCUGUUUCCUAAUUGGAUUACUCGCUAUCAGCAUGGAAAGAAAGCAGAAACAGAGAAGGAGGCCCUUUUUAAACUCCGAGAAGAAGCUGGGAGAUUUGAUAGAAUUUCCUACCCUACCAUUCCGGAGGAGAUUUGGCUCAAGUCUCACAAAGGCUACGAGGCCUUCGAAUCAAGACUUCCUACUUUGGAGGAUAUAAAAAACGCAUUAAUCAAUGUUAAUGUCAGCAUCAUUGGGGUGUACGGCAUGGGCGGCAUUGGAAAGACGACACUGGUGAAGGAGUUUGCAAGGCGAGCCAUUGAAGACAAGCUUUACGAUAUGGUGGCUUUUUCGGAGGUUACCCAAAGUCCAGACAUAAAAAAGAUCCAAGAGGAAAUUGCGGAAACGUUAGGCCUACAGUUGUCCGAGGAAGCUGAGUCUAGAAGAGCUGGUAGACUAUAUGAAAGAUUGAAGAAUGAGAAGAAGAUCCUUGUGAUUCUGGAUAACAUCUGGAAACCUCUUGAUUUGGGGACUAUUGGAAUUCCUUUUGGAGUUGAGCACAGAGGAUGCAAAUUAUUAUUCACAACAAGAGAUCUUGAUGUGCUGUUAAGGAUGGGAUCUGAAAAAAACUUGUCGAUUGGCAUUUUAAAUGAACAAGAAGCCUGGAGAUUGUUCAAGAUAAUGGCUGGUGAUUAUGUUGAAAAUCGUGAGUUAAAAUCUGCAGCAACAAGUGUAGCCAAGGCAUGCGGAGGUUUGCCUAUUGCCCUAACCACAGUAGCAAAGGCACUGAGAAAAAAAGAGCUGCCUGUGUGGAAGAAUGCCUUGCAAGAGCUCCAAACGCCUUCAGAGGCGAGCGUCGACGAAGGAGUACCAGCAGAGGCAUACUCAACAAUUGAGCUGAGUUACAAGUACUUAAGAGGUGAGCAACUCAAGAAAACUUUUUUACUGUGUAGUCUUAUUACGCCAGCACCAAUUAUGGACUUGUUCAAAUAUAGCAUGGGCUGGGGUGUAUUUAAAAGUGUCCACAAGCUAGAAGAUGCACAUAACAAAUUAGAUGCAUGGGUCCAUCAACUAAGAGACUCUUGUUUGCUGCUUGAGGAUGGUGGCAGUAAAUACUUUUCUAUGCACGACGUUGUUCGCGAUGUUGCCAUUUCAAUUGCAUGUCGUGACAAAAUUGGAUUUGUGGUGAGAAAUGGCCAAAUGCAGAUGAAUUAAAAAAAUAUCUUGCAAUUUCUUUAAAAGAUAGUAUUAUUAAUGACAUUCCUGAAGGGUCCGAAUCUCUACAACUUGAACUUCUACUCAUGUCUCCCAAGAACUCUUUUGCUGUGCCUAAUAUUCCUGAGAACUUCUUCAAAAGGACGAAAAAGCUUCGGGUUUUGGAUUUGACUAGAAUGCGGUUAUUGUCAUUGCCAUCUUCAAUUGGUCUUCUAGUAAAUCUUCAGACACUUUGUCUUAAUCAAACCAUUUUGGGAGGCAUAGACAUAGCCAUUAUUGGAAAGUUGGAAAAUCUAGAAAUCCUCAGCUUCGUGCGGUCUGAUAUGGUGCAAUUGCCCAAAGCACUUGGUCAACUGACUAAGCUAAGGCAGUUAGAUUUAACUGACUGUUUCCGUCUAAAAGUUAUUGCUCCAAAUGUCAUAUCAAGCUUAAUCCGAUUAGAAGAAUUGUAUAUGGGUAAUUGCUCCAUUGAAUGGGAGGUUGAAAGAGCGAACAGCAAAAGAAGUAAUGCUAGCCUUGAUGAAUUGAUGCAUUUACCUCGGCUAACCACUCUAGAAAUUGAUGUUAAAAAUGAGAGUAUGUUACCAGAAGGCUUUUUGGCCAGAAAGCUCGAAAGGUUCAAAAUACAUAUUGGAAAUGGGUUAUUCACACAUCCCAUGCUUUUUAGACAACAGUGGUUUAAAAGUCGGCAGCACUUUUGGAUCAACAGUAAACGCAAGAGUUUAAGAGCAUUGAAGCUCAAGCUUGAUUUUAUGGACAUUUGCUCCAUGAAAUUGCAGGGCAUCAAUAACGUUGAAUACUUAUGGUUGGACAAGCUGCAAGGCAUCGAGAAUGUUCUUUUCAAUUUGGACACGGAGGGCUUUUCACAAUUGAAGCUUCUCUGGGUUCAAAAUAAUCCUGACUUCUUUUGUAUCGUCGAUUCAAGGGAGAUGGUCGCUUGUGAUGCCUUUCCUCUUUUGGAGUCACUUAUCCUUCACAACUUGAUCAACAUGGAGAGGAUAUGUAUUGAUCGGCUCAAAGUAGAGUCUUUCAACGAACUCAAAAACAUAGAAGCAUAUAAUUGUGAUAAAUUGAGUAAUAUCUUUUGGCUCUCUACUACAAAAUGCCUUCCAAGACUUGAGAGAAUUGCAGUUAUUAAUUGCAGCAAGAUGAAAGAGAUUUUUGCAAUUGGGGAAGAAGUUGAUAAUGCAAUUGAGAAGAUAGAGUUUGCUCAAUUAAGAUCUUUGAGUCUGGGGAAUCUUCCAGAGGUUACAAGUUUUUGCCGCGAGGUGGAGACUCCUUCAGCAUCACCAAACAGACAAGUGUCGCAAGAGGAAUCGACGACUAUGUAUAGCUCCAGCGAAAUCACUUUGGAUAUUUCAACUCUGCUUUUCAACGAGAAGGUGCGUAGGCUAACAGAUUUUAUUCUAUCAUGCGUUCUGUUUUGAUGUCAUACGUGGAAAAUAAUUAAAUCAUUUAAAGAAUUGAAAGAAAAUGGAAAAAAGGAUAAAAAGAAUCUCACGCGCUCACUAAUUGAGCUCUUAACAAGUAGUAUGAAUUAGAAUGCAUACUCAGCUGUCAGUUGGAAAUUGAUUCUGACUUGCAUUAAUUUGUAAUCAAAGAAGAAAAUUUCAACAAGUGCUUCCCAUAUGGAUAUUGGAUCUAACGAGAAAUUCUUAUUUUUUUAGGUAGUGUUGCCUAACUUGGAGGCUUUGGAGAUAUCUACAAUUAAUGUCGACAAGAUUUGGCACUACAAUCAUCUUCCGGUCAUGUUUCCUCGCUUUCAAAAUUUAACACGAUUGAUUGUAUACUGCUGUAUCAAAUUAAAAUACAUAUUUUCAGCGUCUAUGAUCGGAAGCCUGAAGCAGCUCCAACACCUAGAAGUAUGCUUAUGUGAGGAUUUACAGGAGAUCAUUUCUGAAAACAGAGCAGAUCAAGUGAUCCCUUAUUUUGUCUUUCCACAGCUCACCACUCUGAGACUCCAAGAUCUACCAAAACUUAGAUGUUUGUACCCUGGAAUGAAUACUUUGGAAUGGCCCGUGCUAGAAAUUCUUUUUGUGUAUGGUUGUGACAAAUUAAAGAUAUUCGCUGCAGAUUUAUCGCAGAAUAAUGAGAAUGAUCAACUUGGUAUUCCUGCACAACAGCCCCUAUUGCCGUUGGAAAAGGUAUGAAGUCAUUUUCUAGAUUUUUUAUCAAUAGCUUAUUUUUAACUUUGAAAAAUAUGACAAAGUAUCGAUAAAUUAAUACUCAAUAAAUUAAAAACUUUUAUUAUACAAUAAUCUUUGCUAGUCUAGACUAAGGGAUCAAUGUCGUAGAUUAAUAAUUAUAUGAACUGUUUUAGGUAUAGCAUUUAUAAAAGAAUCCUUAGUCUUUCCAUAUAGAAGAACUUACAAAAUAAAUUAGUAAUUUAUUAUUGUGCAAUAAAAUAAUUUCGAGCCAGUAUAAAUCAACCUUUUUUCCCUAAUUUCUUUUUUACCUCUAAAAUUAACAUAUAAAAUAAAUUUUAUCAAUAAUUCAAUUUUUUUUAAAAAUAUAAUAUAAAACAAAUACUAUAAAGUCACUGCAUGUGACCGUAGAUCAUCAAUUGACCUCAUUAGUUAUUAUGAUUGAUGAUGAUCAGAUCGUACCCAACUUGAAGAAACUAUCACUAAGUGGAAAAGAUGUGAAGAUGAUUUUGCAGGCCGAUUUUCCACAACACCUUUUUGGCAGUCUUAAACAACUAGAGAUUGUUGGAGAUGACUCAGCUUGUUUUCCAAUCUGGAACGUACUGGAGAGAUUUCACAAUCUUGAAAUGCUCAUACUGCGUUAUUUUUCAUUCAACGAAGAGGAAUUUUCGAAGGAAGGAUGCUUAGAGAAACAUGUGGGGAAGUUGGCAAUGAUAAAAGAAUUACAGCUGCACGGGCACGAUCAUCUUGAGCAGCUGUGCAAACAAGACUCCAAACUUGGCCCCAUUUUUCAGUAUCUUGAAAUUCUAGGAGUAUAUUAUUGUCAAAGUGUGUUAAUUCUAUUGCCAUCAUCAUCGGUAUCUUUUCGGAACCUAACAGAACUUGUAGCUUUCGGUUGCAAGGAAUUGAUACACUUGGUAACAUCCUCCACAGCAAAAACUCUAGUGCAACUCGUCACAGUGAGUAUACAUGGAUGCAGAGCAAUGACAGAGGUGGUAAUAAAUGACAAAGAUGGAGUUGAAAAAGAAGAGAUUGUUUGCUGCAAAUUGAAGAUGUUGGGACUGUUUGAUUUAGAUAGCCUCACAAGUUUCUGCUCUGCCAAUUACACCUUCAAAUUCCCAUCUUUACAAGAUUUGAAUGUGAUUGGUUGUCCCAAGAUGAAGAUUUUCACUACAGGAGAAUCAAUCACGCCUCCAAGAGUAAAUGUCUGGUAUGGAGAGACAGGGGAUCGAUUGCUUUGGACCAAUAAUGAUCUCAACACAACCAUACAACAAUUACAUGCUGAAAAGGUACGGAUAUACAUAGUACUCUCUAUCUCCCAUGGAAACAUUUUACAAAAUUUUUAUUUUAAUAAAAUAUAGAUAAGAUAUUUGUUAUAAAGUAAAAGUUUAAAUUGAUGAAUAAGAAUUUUAUUUUCAGCUGUUGGCGGUGCAGUCGGCGAUCUCUACCCAUUACUAAUUUCAUAGGCUUCUUAUGACUUGGGAGUUGUGAAUUUUUAGAAGAAAGCCUCAGCUGGUAAUUAAUUUUUAUUUCAUUUAUUUGAUCUCAUGGCUUGUUUCGCAAUUUCAUCUGAAUUAUUUAGAAUGGGUCAAUCGGCUUACUGUUAAAUUUGGAAUGCAAUUUUAAUGAUUCGUUCAGACUUUUGUGGACAGAUUUUGCAUCAUUGAAUGUCUUCUAGUCUAGUUUAAUUUGAGUAUUUUUUUCUUUUUUUCUAAAAUUUUAUAAUUCCUUGCAUACUUUGUAUGAUAAAAUUUCAUAAAAAGCCUUCAUAUUUUAUAAUUCCUUGAAAACAUCAUUGUUGUUCUGUUAUUUUAGUUUGUUCAUUUGGUUUGGUUUGCUUCACCCCUAUCUUUCUUUGGAAACUUUUUGUUUUUUUUUUUAUGAUCUUUCCAAAUGCUCUUUCCUAUGAACACAUAAUUAAGAACAGCUGAAAAUCAUUCAUCGGAUAAAAAAUUAAAAAUAAACAAAAUCUAAUCAGAGCAUUAUGCCUAGAACAAAUCCUUAGACCAUCAAAGCCAAACUCUUCGCUAUGAAAAACUAUAUUGUGGAAAUAUUGUUUGAAAACGUUGGACACCAAGAAAGGGACUAAUUUGGUCUAGUUUUAUGAGAAGUAUAGAAGAACGUUGUUUUCUCUGUUUUUCCUGUUAGAACUCUUUACUCUAUGAUUGUAGAAUGUCUGGAUACUGAUGAAGAUUCAGGUAACUCUUCUCCUGUGCAUCAUUUGAAAUAAGUUUUUUUUUUUUUUUUUGGUAAUAUCUCCUACUGGGUUAUAGUUCAUACAAAGAGAAAUUCUUAAAUCAAGCCGGAUACUGGUAGAAACAAGUGGGGAAGUAGGCACUGAUAAAAUGGUUAAUCCUGUCCAGACUUAAUCAUUGAAGCAACUCCAAAUUGGACUCCAUUUUAAAUAUUUUGACAUUCUAAGACUAUUUUACAAGCAUUUAAUGAAUGAAAGUCUAGUGCAGCUCGUAACAAUGAAGGUAGCUGGAUGCAGGGCAAUGACAGAGGUGGUAAUAGGUGACGGAGAAGAAGAUGGAGCACCAAAUUUACUUUAAAUUAAUGAAUGAAAGAAUUUAUUUUCUGCUGUUGGAGGAGUCGUCAUCUCUCUCGACAUAGUAUACGAUAUGUUUUGAUCCCAUAGGCUUUUUAAUAUAUUACCUUGUGUUGUUUGAUCUCUAGGUUUAUUUUAUCGUUUCAUCUUAUUAUUUGCAAUGCGUCAGUUGGUUUAUUUGUUAAUUUUGGAAUGAAGUUGAGCGGGUAUCUAUUCGGCAAGAAAUUCUGUUUAUUUCCUAGUUAUUUUACAAAGUUUAAGAGAUUUUCUUAUUUUUCUUAUUAUUUUCAAUAUUUUUAUAUUUUUUCUCUAAAUAUAAGAUUUUAAGUAUGAUUUAUUUUAUUUUUCUUAUUUCAGUUAGGAGAACGUUAUUAUGUAAUAAUAUUUUAAGUUUGCCUAUUUUGAUAAAUACAUAAUACUUAGAAUUUGUGUAAAAAGGGUCCAAUACCCUAAUUUUGUUAUUCAAACUUCUAUUAAUAAAAUUUCAGACUUUUUAAAAAAAAUUCUCUAUAUUUUCAAUCUCAACAUCUAUGUUUCCCUUUCAUCAUAAGUUUUAAUGUCUGGUUCUGAGCUAGCUUUAUGUGCAUAUUAAACAUCAUUGAAGGUCUUUUGAUCUAAGUUGUGAUCAAAAAAUUAUGCUCGCUUCUGUCUGGUCGUAUGAAAAUUGUGCAAAAUAAUAUUCUUAUAUAAUUUUUAUCCUCCAUUGUUACAAAAUCCCAAGCUUCGAAUUUGUAAACUUUGAAAGCAUGGCAGAAAACUUAGUACUUAAUAAGGCUCUGGAAUAAGACUCUUUAUGGCUUCAAUAUUUUAUUUAACAUGAAAAUUUCUUUCUAACUAGCAUCAUUGCGAAGAUAAAUUGUGGUAGUUCUGACAAGUACUGCACAAUUAAUGUUACCAGCAAUCAAUUGUUGUGAGCACCGACAACCAUUUUCAUAUUUAAGCCUUAAGAACAGUAACUCAAAAUAUGGCAAGUGGCAACCACAUCAAAUAAUCAAAUUGUUGAUAGAUUUAGAGAGCUUUAAUUUGCUUGAUAUAUAUUUGAAUAUUUCAACAGAUGCAUCUUUUCUCUACUCACGGGGCACGUUGAGUUAGAAACGGUUUGAAUGUCAAUAUUACUCCAAGUGCCUCAACCAAAUUCAGAAUGAAAAAAACCAUCUGGUUACCUGCACUUUAGUUUAAGCAGCUGAUUAAGUUAGUUAGCACCAAGUAAUUCACAUACUGGUGAGAAAUUUCAUUAGUAAAUCAUCAUACCGGGGAGGAAACCAGCAUCUUGACGCUUUUGUGACCAAGAAAAUCUGCACAACCCGAUUAAUCAAGUUGUUACCAAACAAAUGAUCAAUUUAAUCAUGCCUUAAUUUUUUCUUUUUUUUUUUUUGUGCCGGGGGGGGGGGGGGGGGGGGGGGGGGGAAUAAAAAUCGUAACUUCAUUUACAUAUAAUUUUACAAAAUCAAUAGGACACUUACGGAGCACCUCCUACAGUCAUAGCAAGUCCAUUGGCAGCUCCUCUUUGAUGCUGUUCCCGUUAUUGUGGCAUAAACCAACAAAUUAAAUUUAAACUUUGACACAUACAAAAUUUGAUAAGGCUGAAAUCAUGGAAAUGUACUAAACAAAUAAAAGAAAAAAAUAUUUACCACUGCUCUGUUUUGAAGAAGGAAUAAUCCAGUUAUUAUAGCCACCUGAUGUUACAAUUCAGGAAAAGUAAAAAAGAAUUACAAGAAUUCUAAUAAAAAAGACAUAAAAUAAUUUUAUACAUACUUGCUGAUGGAUAAUAUAACCUACGUAUAUGGAUCAAUGAUUAGGAUAUCCACUUACAGAUAAAACAUUCUUCAUCACAGAAGCACAGUUUAUCAAUAAGGCAAGGCUGAACCCAGAUAACAUUGCUAUAAAAGUGUAACUUGUCAAAAGCGCCAUCGAUAAAACCUGUACACACAUAGAAAAUUAUGGGACCAAAACCAUGAAGAAAAGUGUUUUAUAAACAAAUAUGUUUGAAACAAACUAUCAAAUGGUCUAAAUGCCACAUGGUGUGUUCAAAAUUUUACCCCUGCAAUGCGUGUUAUGAUUAUUGGCCCAAUGAUCCUCUCGACGUAAGGGUAUAGAGUGAGUUGAAAAAUAAGGAGGCUGAAUCUUGUAGUAAGUUCAAAAUGAGGACAAUCAUCAAGCAUGUGAUGGUGUCAAUGUAGUCAUUAUAAGAGAAGCGAAAGUUAUAUUUUAUAGUCUCACCAAUAAGAAAAUUUGAAGUUAUGGGAGAGUUGCUAUUACAUGUACAAUUCAGCCUGAAAAGAGAGCUAAAGGCUACGUACCGGAAUCCAGCAAGAAGCAAUAGUUACCGCAAAAGCAAAGAGUGACAUACAGAGACAGGGCAGAGAUGAAUUCAGUCAGCUGAAUCAAUUGAAGAGUGAAGUGCCAGCUCAGCUGAAGUUAGUUAGACACGUUUAGAUCAUAUUCAGUUAGUUUCUUCAUUUUCUGUUAAGCUGUAAACAGCUGAGUAUAAAUACAAGCAUCUUGUAAUCAUUGAAGUUUUAAGCAAAAUAAAAUAAAGCAUUUGAUUUCAUAAGUCUUUUACAAUUUUCUCAGCACUUGAAAAUACAUUUUCUCAGUAACCAAACAGUCUAUUCAUUCAAGCUUUUAAGCUUUCAAACAUGGUAUCAGAGCCAUACAGAGCUAGUUCCAGUAAUCAACAGUCAAGCUUUCGUAAUCAAACAACAAACAACACAAAUCAACCUACUCAAAUCAACUUCUCUUUUACUAAUCCUAUCAAGCUAGAUCGAUCAAAUUACUUACUCUGGCGUUCUCAAGUUCUAGCUUCAAUAAGAGGCAAUCGUUUGGAAGAUUUCGUCAUAGGAGACAGAUCAGUACCUGAUAAGUGUCUUCUGUUAACUGAAGCAGAUGGAUCUAUACAACAAAUUGAAAAUCUAGAAUAUCAGAUCUGGAGAUCACAGGAUUAGACACUUCUUGAUUGGCUACUGUCGUCAUUAAGUGAAGGUAUCUUAAGUCUUGUUAUCAAUUCUGAGAGUUCUUUUGAUAUAUGGAAAACUUUGGAAAAGAAAUUUGGAGUUCAAUCUAAAGCUCGACUGCUUCAGCUCAUAUAUGAACUAAACACUAUUAAAAAGGAAGCUCUUAGUGUUGAAGAUUAUUGUAUUAAAAUGAAAGCAAUAGCUGAUAAGCUGGCCAGUGCUGGUAGUUCCAUUACAGAGAAGGAUCUUAUGUUAACUAUUCUUAAUGGAUUAGGACCAGGAUAUCGUGAUAUUGCUACAUUUAUAACUGGUUCACAAAUGGAAUUUGAUGAUGUUUAUGCACUGUUACUCACUCAUGAGACUAGAUUAGAGCAGGAGCAAGGUGACAAAAGUAUGUUUAAUGCAAACUAUGCAUAUACGAAUGCAUAUUAUCCUAGAGCUUAUUUUGCACAGCCUAGAGGAAGUUUUAAACGAGGAGGUUAUUCUGGUGGUAGAACUCCUUUCUUUGGCAGAGGAAAUAUGAAUUACUCUCCAAGAAUGUUUAAUGGAGGUUUUAAAAAUGGAUAUGGCAGAGGAUUUUUUUCCUGGAAACAACUGAUUUCAAUCAUUUUCCAGCUCCUAGGAAUCCAGUACCUAGGAACUCAUCUUUUCUAACUAGAAAUGGAUCUGCUAACAUGAGUGGAUCACAAGGAAGUUUUAAUAAUGCUGGGGAGCUGGUAUGUCAGAUUUGCUUUAAGAGUGGUCAUACUGCUGAUGUCUGUUGGCAUAGAUUUGUUGAAGACUUUGUACCUGUUCCAAGAGGUUUUGGCAGGGGAAAAACACCAAGAGCAGCAUAUUUCUCAAACUUUGAUGGCUCUACUUCUAAUCCAGAUUUUGGCUAUGAAAAUCUUAAUAAUAUGUUUCCAGGUUAUGAUUCUAUGUCUGGCAAUAGUUAUUAUUAUGGAAUGGAUAGAUACACUUCUGGAGCAGCUGGAACAGCCUUUAUGGCUAAUUUUGAAGGAACUGCUGAUGAUGGAUGGUAUCUGGAUAGUGGGGCAACUCACCAUUUAACCAACAACAUGGAGAAUUUGCAGAUCAAUGAAGAGUUUAAAGGUACUGAUCAGCUUAUCAUUGGAAAUGAUCAAGGUUUGUCUAUUACUCAUGUUGGACAUGCAUUUCUGGUGUUAAGAGCUUCUAAAUCCUUAUCUACACAUGCUAGAAUAACACUUAAAGAUAUGUUACUUGUUCCUUCAAUUACCAAAAAUCUAUUAAGUAUUUCCAAACUCACAUCUGAUAAUCCUGUAUAUGUUGAAUUCUGUGGAAAUGUUUGUUUUGUGAAGGACAUGAAAGGUCAAGUUCUUCUGCAGGGUAUUGCUGAAAAAGGCCUUUACAAGCUGCUGCUGAACUCCAAUUCUCUUUCUUCAUCACCUACAUCCUAUCUUUGUAAAUCCCAGCCAAAUAAACCAGUUUCUAUGUUAUCUGCUUUCAAACACUGUGAUAAUGGUACUCGAGCUUGCUAUCAGUCUGUUUUAAAUAAGUGUAAUGCCAAACCUGAUAUAAUAACUUUGUUACAUAGAAAGUUUGGUCAUCCAAGCUCAAUGACAUUGGUGCAUUUGCUUAAAUCAUGUAAACAAUUUAAAGUCUCUUCAAAAGACAUGUUAUCUUCUGCAAAUACUUUAUGUGAAGCAUGUCAGCUAGGCAAAGUCCAUAAGCAACAUUUCUCAAUAACCGAAACAAAAACAAAAGGGGUAUUAGAAUUGAUCCAUACUGAUCUUUGGGGGCCUUCACCCACUAUGUCUAGAGAUGGAUACCAAUACUACAUUAGUUUUGUGGAUGAUUAUACUAGGUACUCUUGGAUCUAUCCUCUUAAGCUCAAAUCACAAGCAUUUGAAGUUUUUAAAUUGUUCAAAACUCAAGUUGAGAAUCAAUUUGAUACCAAAAUUAAGAUGCUACAAUCUGAUCUUGGGGGAGAGUUUAGAGUGUUUACUGAUUUUCUUAAUCAAAAUCGAAUAAUUUUUAGACACUCAUGUCCUUACACCCAUCACCAGAAUGGUCUUGUUGAGAGGAAACACAGGCAUAUAGUUGAGCUAGGCUUAACUCUCAUGGCUCAAGCAAACCUUCCUCUUCAAUUCUGGUGGGAAGCUGUUCAUACAGCAGUGUAUCAUAUUAACAGAUUGCCUACCCCUGUUAUGAAAUUCUUAUCUCCUUAUGAGAAACUUUUCAAACACAAACCAGAUUACACAUUCCUGAAGUGUUUUGGUUGUCUUUGCUAUCCAUACUUGGGAGAUUUUAACAAACAUAAGUUUGAUUUUCACACUUCUAAAUGCAUCUUUAUUGGAUACAAUCCCUCUUACAAAGGAUACAAGUGCUUAGCAAGUUCUGGUAAAGUCUAUGUUCUUAGACAUGUUAUUUUUUAUGAAAACACAUUCCCUUAUCCAAUAAACACUACAUCUCACUCAUCAGAAAACCCCAUAUCUUCUUAAACCUCAGUGUCUAAUUUCUCUCAACAACAUAUCUAUCAUCUUUCUACAAUGGCCUUACCCAACAGCAGCUUUGAAGGUCUUCAGUCAGCAGGCUCAGCAAGAAAUGAACAAAUUCCCUUUGUUCCCACACAUACAAAUAUUCUGAAUCAACAAGAACAUCCAUCACACACAUCUUUAGAGUUAUCAUCCUCAACCUCACCAUCACCAAACACAUUACCACUACAAUCAUCCAUUCUACAACCAGAGGAAAUUUCUAUUCCACAGAACACAGACCAAAUUCAAACCAGAAGUCAUUCUCAACCAUCUUCUCAUCCAAUGAUUACAAGAUCAAAAUCUGGAAUCUUCAAACCAAAGGUUUAUACAGUCACCUUAGCCAACAAAGAACUAAUACAGUUCAAGAAGCUCUUAGCAGUCAGAAUUGGCAUCAGGCCAUGGUAGAUGAGUAUGAAGCUUUGAUAAAGAAUGAGACUUGGUCACUAGUACCAUUUUCAAAUGCAUACAAAGUAGUUGACAACAAAUGGGUGUUUAGACUCAAGCAAAAUACUGAUGGAAGCAUAGCCAAACACAAGGCCAGGUUGGUUGCCAAAGGUUUUCAGCAAAUUGAAGGUGUAGAUUACUUUGAGACUUUUAGCCCAGUUGUAAAAGCUUCAACAGUAAGGAUUGUUUUGAGUUUAGCUGUGAUGCAUAAAUGGAAAAUAAGGCAAGUGGAUGUGAAUAAUGCCUUUUUGAAUGGAGAAUUGACAGAAGAUUUCUAUAUGGAUCAGCUUGAAGGUUUUAUUGAUCAACAAAAACCCAAUCAUAUAUGUAAGCUGAAGAAGGCCUUGUAUGGCUUGAAGCAAGCUCCUAGAGCUUGGUAUGACAAGCUUAAGAAUUGUCUGAUUGCUACUUGGAAAUUUCAGAAUUCAAAGGCUGAUACCUCUCUCUUUUUCAAAGAAGUGCAAGGCUCAAUGACACUUAUCGUAAUCUAUGUUGAUGACAUUCUAAUAACAGGACAUGUUAAUGAUGAGCUGGAAAAAUUCAUCUCAGAAUUCAGUAAGACUUUUGCCUUAAAAGACUUGGGAAUUCUAUCAUAUUUUCUGGGGAUAGAAGUUUCCUAUGUUGAAGACUGCAUCUAUCUAUCUCAGAAGAAAUAUAUCUUGGAUUUGUUAUCCAAAGCUGAUAUGCAGAAUUGUAAAGGCUGUGACACUCCCAUAGUUACUGGAUCAAAGCUUCAGAAAGAGGUCAAAGGCUGUUUGGCUCAAUAUAUUGAGGAUGCAACAAGCUAUAGAAGCUUAGUUGGAGGUUUACAAUAUCUGGUAUUAACCAGACCAGAGAUAACAUUUGUUGUGCAUAAGUUGAGCCAAUAUGUGACAGCUCCAACACUCCAGCAUGUUAUGGCUUGUAAAAGAGUUCUCAGAUACCUUAAGGAAACUAUAGAUUAUGGUUUGAAGUUUUCAGCAGGUGGGGAAAUGAAGAUCACAGGAUUUACAGAUGCAGAUUGGGCAUGUGAUGUUGAUGACAGAAAAUCAAUAGGAGCAUAUUGCAUCUAUUUUGGAAACAAUCUAAUUUUAUGGUCAUCCAAGAAGCAGGCUGUGGUUACACGAUCCAGUGCAAAGAGUGAAUAUCGUGCUCUGGCUUCUGCAAGUGCAGAGAUAACAUGGAUCCAGUCAUUAUUCAGUGAACUUAGCAUUAAGUGUACUUCAUUACCAACUAUCUGGUGUGAUAAUAUAAGUGCAACAGAGUUAGCUAAGAAUCCAGUUUAUCAUUCAAGGACUAAACACAUUGAACUAGACAUGCACUUUAUUAGAGACAAAGUUUUGGCAAAGGAGUUGGAGAUUAACUAUAUUCCCAACGAGGAGCAAAUUGUUGAUGCUUUGACAAAGCCUCUGACAUUCAUUCACUUCAAUUAUUUCAGGGCCAAACUCAAUGUGCAACCAUGCCCUUGAGUUUGAGGGGGGCUGUCAAGGAAGCUCAUAAUGCAUGGAAGGAUGCAGCACACGUGUGAGAUGAAUGCAGUCAGCUGAAUCAAUUGAAGAGUGAAGUGCCAGCUCAGCUGAAGUUAAUUAGACACGUUUAGAUCAUAUUCAGUUAGUUUCUUCAUUUUCUGUUAAGCUGUAAACAACUGAGUAUAAAUACAAGCAUCUUGUAAUCAUUGAAGUUUUAAGCAAAAUAAAAUAAAGCAUUUGAUUUCAGAAGUCUUUUACAAUUUUCUCAGCACUUGAAAAUACAUUUUUUCAGUAACCAAACAAUUUGUUCAUUCAAGCUUUUAAGCUUUCAAACGGGCAGGAAGUAAGGAAACCUGCAUAAAUUUGUUUUUCAGAAUACCAUCAUUUUGAAAGUACUACAGAAAAAGAAAAGGCUAAUGGCAGUAAAAAUUCACUUACUUUCCAAACAUAGAUUCUUUGGAAAAUGCCUUUGGAUAUUUCUCUGCUGGCUAGAUUGCAAAAUUAUCCACGAAUAUAUAUAAGAACAAUAUUUAUCAAGCCAAACUACUAAAAAUUCAAAAAAAAAUGCCCAUAAUAAUCAAGUAAAAAUUGCAGAACCCGGGCCAGAAAGCCACCCACUGCAGGGCCAAUAAUCAAUCCUGUGCCCCAUGCUGUACUGAGCUGAAAUUAUAUUGUACCUAAAAAUGUAACUUUUAGAGUCUCUAGCCACUGAUGAGGACACGUCUUUUGUCUGCUAGCGGAAAGCGCGUGACGGCAUGUUUUUUGUCAGAGCCUAGAGACGAAGAGGGAAGGAAAAAAAAAUAUCAUUAAUUUUUUUUCCUCUCUCGGUGGGCCCCACGUAAGGUGGGGCUUUGGUUUUUGUCGCAUUCUGUGGAGGGUGUAUAUCUAAAUCAACCCCUUGAAUACGGACACGUGUCGAUCUCAGAGAAACUCACGUUUUGUUGUUGGGACCCAUUAAUUCCCGUAAAAGUCCUAUUCUUAAAACAAGUCGAUACGAUGAUCAAUACUCCGCCUGUGGGUCCCGGCGACGACCCCCUACGCUGGGCAGUACAACACUCAAAAAUCGCCACGUGUUAUAUUUUAAAAAGCUUUGGGGGAGCGAAUCGAUAGAUUUUUUCUUUUCGUGACAAAGCACGCGGGGGGGGGGGCCUCCCUGGUGGAUUUGCCCGCCGUUGAUCAAUUUGUUUGAUGAUAAAGAUUCAAGCAAUCAUACACGAACUUGAUUCAAUGGAGCUUCAAAAGAUUGGCAUUGCAGUGAAGUCCUGAGUCUUCUACUCAUCUUUUAACAACCUUUGCAGAAGCACAACAACAGGGACAAAUUCUGCAUAAUCGGGAAAAGAAAAAUCAGAAGACGUCAUAUUGAAAUGCAUUCAUAUUAAUUUGACAAGAAGAGAAUCAAACGCAGACCUCGUUAAAAAUCUUGUAUGCAUACGCAUAUAAGAGAAGUUCAAUAAUUGCGACGCAGGAUCAUUGCCGAAGCAUUAAACAAAUACGAGGCAGAGAAAGAGGAGCUCUGAGGAAGAGCGUGUUAGUGUGGUAAUACAAUAUCCUCGAUGCUUGCUGAAUGGUGGACAGUGGCGUUGGAAUAUCAUCUAAUAAAAGGAGAGAAAGAGGUGGCAACUGGCAAAGUGGGUGAGUGAAAGUUCAAGGCUGAAGCGGUUGGCUAAACUUUGUUAAAAAGAUGCACAUAUUGAUAAUAAUAUACGACCGUACGUUGUCUGUUAACUUGGAACUCUUUAGCAUUUAAGCGAGUCUCUCUCUCUCUCUCUCUCUCUCUCUCUCUACGAUUGGGAAUUGGGAUUUCGGAUCGGGAUCUACCGUAUUCUCCGUCUAUCCUAUGCAUGUCAUCAUACAUCAGUAAGCGUGCGUGCCUCUGCGUCUCCCCCUCUCCUUUUUACACAACUAUUUACCGUUACUAUUUCUUUGUCAAUUCCCUUAUUUCGUGGUACUUGUAAUAAGACGAAAUUAACAAAGGAAGAAAAUGCUAAGGUACUUCAUUAGGCACAUUUCUCAUGCGUACUUGAAAGUAAUCAGAACCGUUGAUCUUUCCCCGAUGGGCCACCCACUGCAGGGCCAGUAAAAUUUUCUCAAGACCUUUGCAAUCAUACACGAACUUUGCAAUCAUACAUUCCUAAAGUUUGGUGUUUAUGGCGCAAUAUUUCACAUGCAUAUGCCUGGUGUAAGAGAAGUUUGAGCACAAAUAUUUGCAAGAAUUAAAUUGGAAUUAUCAACAAAUACCCCAAUCAAUACCUUUAUUGCUCCAAGUAAACCAUUCAAAGCCCCAAGGAGAAACCUUGUAGCUAUGGCCAUCCAGAAAUUCACACUAAGCCCAAAGAGAGUGUUAAAAAUAACCCUGUGAGCAUUUUAAGACAAAUAAGAAACCCAGAAAUUGCCAACGUAUCAUCAAUUUCAAGCUUAAUCAUUUGAAAAUAGAGGUCACUAACAAUGUGAUGCAUCCUAUUAUUAUUACAGGCUUUCGACCGAAGCGGUCAGCUCCCAUUCCCCACAAAAAAGAUGUUAAAGCUCUGCCAAGCAUGUAUGAAGACCCUUCAAUUUCAUCAAGGUAUUAAGAGGUUUGUCAGGAUGGCUUCUUGAGGAAUUUGAAAUGUUACAUACAUAUAUGUUAAUUAUUUGUCAGGAUGGCUUCAAUUUCAUCAAGGUAUAAAGGCGCAAGUCUGCAGUGUAAAACCCUUGUACAGUACCUUUACAGUGUCGUAAAGCCCUCGGUAGAAUGUUUUUACAGAGUUGUAAAGGCGCGAGUCUGCACAUUUGUACCAAAAAAGGACUCCAUACCAUGUGUCAUUUAUUAAACACAAUAAAAUUAUAAAAAUACAUAAAUUAACUCACCCACGUAACCAGCAUAGAAUCCAAUAUCUUCCUCCCUUUUUGCAAUGUGAAAAUCCCUAAUCUGAAAAGAAAUCAUAACAUACUGUUGUGAAAAAGCAAUGAAUUGUUUGAUAGAUAAAACUUGUCUUUUCUUAUAUUUCUAAGAAAAUCAGCAAGCAUGAUAGAAAAAUAUAAAUUUUCUCACUAGUAACUACUCUGGUGAAGGCAACAACAGUCCACUCACCAUAAAAUAAAGAAAGGGAAAGAGAGAUGCGACCGGCAGAACUGAAAAAAAAAAAAUCACCAAAGAAUUAAGGACAAAACUAGAAGAGCACAAUAGGCCAAAAUCAUUGUAAAUGGUUCUCUCAAAAAUCAUUAUAUCGAGUUGAAGUUGAAAAAUUUACCAGUUGCAAGCACAACAAUCUAAAUUAUAAAAAGCUUGCGAAUUGGUAAGCCUCGUUCCGACUCUUUAAGCUUAUCAACCUUACAGCCUGAGCAGUUCUCAUAAUAUUUCUUCUUCAGCAGCGGCUCUCUCACUUUCGCCUCCGCCAUACUUGAAAAAUUUUCAGCUCAAGUAAUCGUCUUAGUCUAUGCAAUCCAAUUUCAAUGCCUAAAUAUAAGUACUAGAAAAUAAGUAACAAAAUCAAUAUGCUUAAGGAUAUAGUAGAACUAUAUAAGUGAUCAUUUAAAGAAUUUUCAAUAGAAUUGUAAAAUCAGUUGAUUUUGCAGCUGGGUCUGUCACCACCAUGGUAAUUAAAAUUAUUGGAUCCCAUGUAAAACAAAAUUUUUUCAUUACAUGCCCUCAUUGCUGACGUCCAAUUAAUCAUUACUCUUGUGAGAAUAAUUUUUGGUGACAAGAACGGCGGCAUCCUAGGACGUGACAAAAUAGUCACAAAAAUCCCUUAUUUUAAAAAAUGAUCAUGAAAAUUUAUCCACGGACACACAAAUUCAGGAUCUAUGUAACUAUUUUUAAAUACAAAAAGAGGUCUAUAUAUAUAUUUGAAAAUAAGGGAUAUUCAUGAUUACCAUGUUAAGCCACGAGAUGUCGUGCUGUUUUUUUAUUUUUCAUUAAAUCGUUGUUACACAAUUCGACAUGUAAAAGUAAUUUUUUUUUUUUGAGAGAUGGUAACAAACAUAGUGACAAAACUAUCAAAGUACCGUCUAAUGAUGAAACUAAUUGUUAAUUAAUUAAUAAAAAUACUAAGGUGACGUUUGUUUUUUAACUUAAUGACUUAAAGUGACUUAACUUAAUUAAUUAAGUUAAUUAGAGGUGUUUGUUUUUAUAACUUAAUGAGACUUUUUAGAUAAUUUUGACUUAAUAAAAUAAGCCAAUUUUUUUAGUUUUUUACUUAAUGGAGAAAUUUGAAUUAAGUCAAUUACUUACUAAUGUCAAAAAUAUCCAUGUUUUAUAAUUUAUUUUUCAUGUCUAUCCCAAAACUCACCCAUAGACAUUUAUCCCACAUAAAAAUAUCCUUGUUUUUUCUUUCUUAUAUUAUAUAUGAUAAAAUUUAAAAUUUAUGGUAUUUUAUAUAUAUAAAUUCCAAAAUAAUUAUGUAUUCACUUGAAUAUAGUUUUACUUAUAAAUGUUAAAAUAUUGUGGUAUUUAAUAUAUUAUUUAUUUGACUUUCAAAUUUAAUAAGGAUACAAAAGUAAAAGUACAUAUUUUCAGUUGAAAAAAACAAACAACUUAAUACUUAUUUUCUGAGAUUCAGACGAAAAAACAAACAUGUUAUUUAGAUUCAGACAUUCAGAUCUAUUCAGAAUUCAGACUAAUUCAGGUCUAUUCAGAUUUCAGACAAAAAAACAAACGCCACCUAAGUGAUUGUAGCAGUUCCGGUCACAGUCACAGUCAAAUACAAUUAGGAUAAUUUAAUUUAAAUAAUGUGUAAUUUAGCGUUAGCCCCAAUUGUUUUGACAUUUUGCAUUGUGCCCCCCAAUCUUCCGACCAUGUCCACCACCCUCAUUUCUUUCAAAUCUAAUGUUAACGGAAAGAGGGGUAGAAUGGUAAUUAACACAAAAUUAAAAUAAUAUAUAUAAUUAAAAAAAAAACCCUUUUUUCCUUCGCCGCCUCUAUAAUUUAAUUUUGGGUUUGAUAUCUUUAGUUUUAAGAUUUUUGAUUAUUGAGUUUCUUUUUAUCGAAUUUUCUUAGUAUGAAUUUAUUUUGUAAUAGAAUUUUACAAUGAAAUUUGCUCUCAGGGAUUUUGGUAUCAUUAGUUUAGGGUUUCUUUCUAUUGGGUUUUAUUUAUUUUGGUGGGAUUAUUGGACUUAUUUUGUAAUGUACUGAUGAAUGUGUGUUUGAUUUUUUUCUUUCACAUUGGAAUCAUGCUUUGCCUCUGAUUUUGUAAUUUACUAGGUUAUAAUCUUGGGUUCGUAAUCCGGAAAAAAAUUGUUUCCAUAUAAUUUUAAAAAUAUUAUAAUAAAUUUUUACUUUUUGAUUUAAAUUUUAUUAGUUGUAAGGGUAUUUUAGUACUUAUAUACCCAAUUCAUUUCAAAACAGGGGGUAGUAUAGUCUUUUAAAUUUAUAACAGCCUAAAUAGUUAGAUUAGUUGAUUUUUUAAUAGAAAUAGGGGGAGGUGCACAUGGUCAAAAGAUGUGGGUGCGCUGUGUGAAAUACUGAACAAUUGGGGGCUGAUACUUAAUUAUCCUUAAAUAAAUUAUUAGUUUAAUGGAAGGAACAAAAUUCAGGAAAAGAGGAAUCAAACUGCAAAAGGAAUUAGGAUACCUGAAAAGAAAGAAUGAAAAUAACUUUUUUUUAAAAUUAUUUAUUUGGACAUUGUGACAAACAAGUGAUGUGCAUUGUUAAUUCUGAUUACCCCAAAAUGUCGAGUCUUUAAAAACGACAACAUUACAUGAUUCAUGAGAAUCCUAUCACUUUGAGAUUAAUUUAAUUAAAAAAAAGUUCCGUUUGCUUAAUACUAAAAUGUCACACUGAUCCAUAGUUGAGCCAAUUAUCUAGUUAAAAGCUACCUCCAUAUUUUUUAUUUUUACCCUAAUGCAUGUUUGAUUCUUUUAAAAUUUUACGUUAUAUAUAUUAAACAAAAAUUAUAAUUUUAAUCAUUGGAAAAUUAAUGACAGACAUCUUUUGAAUAAUUUUUUUUUUUGAAAAAUACAGAGCUAGAGAUAAUGCUAUAAUUGAUUGAAUAAGAAGGCUACAACUUGAUGAUAACCUUAUUGCAAUGUUGCGUGAUCUCAAUAUAUUAUUGGCUUUUGUGUGAGUAAAAGUUGCUGGCUCGUGUUUUACUAAUUUGCCUUUGUAUUUGACUGGCUCGACAAAGAAUCGAUUUACCUCAUACUCAAAUUACAAACAUCAAAACCGGAUCUGUCAUUACGUUAAUUGGCCUCCUAAAAUAAUCAAUCACUUUCUCUUUAGUCUACCAUCCACUCUUUCCAGUCGUUAAUUAUUCUGUACCCAUCAGCUCUUUUAGCUCUUUACGUCGUGAUAGAAACCCUUUUCUUGUUUCCUUCAUCUCAUCUGAAAAACACAAUUGCUUGUCCUAUCGCUGUCUCUUUGUUUUUACUUUCGUUUGGCCUUCUUCGCUUCUACGUUUUUGUCAGGCUUCGAGAUGCUGGAAAUCAUUGUGACUAUCGUCUUGGAACUUGUAAAAUGCUUGGCUCCUCCAACUGCACGCCAACUUGUUUAUUUGCGAAAACGGAACUACAAUGCCAACUUUGAGAAUAUCAAGGCGGAAAUGGAGAAGUUGAAGGUUGAACGUACGAGCAUUCAGCGCAGGGUUUCAGAGGCGAAAGAAAAAGGGAAAGAGAUUGAAGAGAAGGUUGAAAAGUGGCUGGUUAGUGCGAAGUGCGAACGGCAUCAUUGACCGGGCAGCCAAAUUCAUUGAAGAUGAGGAGUCAACGAAUAAGCGCUGUGUGAAGGGCUUGAGUCCUAUUUGGAAGAGUCGCUAUCAGCUUAGCAAGAAAGCAAAGACGGAGGUGAAGGCCAUUAUUGAACUUGGAGAAGAAGUUAAGAAGUUUGAUACUGUUUCCCACCGUACCAUUCGGGAGGAGAUAUGGUUACGAGGCCUUCGAAUCAAGACUUCCUACUUUGCAGUCUAUAAAAAAUGCAUUGACGGAGGCGAAUGUCAGCAUUAUUGGGGUGUACGGCAUAGGCGGCAUUGGAAAGACCACACUGGUGAAGGAGUUUGCUAGGCAAGCCAGGGAAAAGAAGCUGUUGUAUCGGGUGGUUUUAUCAGAGGUUUCAUAAACUCCAGAGAUAAAAAAGAUUCAAGGGGAAAUUGCAGAGAAGUUAGGUCUGGAGUUGUCCGAUGAAGCUGAAUAUAGAAGAGCUAGCAAGCUGUAUGACCGAUUGAAGAGUGAGAAUAAGAUUCUUGUGAUUCUAGAUAAUAUCUGGAAACAUCUUGAAUUGGAGACGGUUGGAAUUCCUUUUGGAAAUAAUCAUAAAGGAUGUAGAUUGUUGCUGACAGCACGAGAUAAUACUGUGCUUUUAAGUAUGGGCUCCAAAGAUAACUUUUUGAUUGGCAAUCUAACUGAACAAGAAGCCUGGAGAUUGUUUAAGAUAAUGAAUGGUGAAGAUGUUGAAAAUUGUAAGUUCAAGUCUACAGCAAUUAAUGUAGUUAAGGCAUGUGGAGGUUUGCCCAUUGCGUUGAGGGCACUGAGAAACAAGAGUCUCCAUGAAUGGAAGAAUGCCUUGCGAGAGCUCCGAACGCCUUCAAUGGUAAACUUCGAAGGUGUGUCUGCAGAGACUUAUUCAAGUAUUGAGCUGAGUUUCAAUUAUUUAAGGGAAAUUAUCAUUUGUAUACCCUUAGUUUACUCCAUUAUCAAAAAUACUACAAUACUUUGAGGGUGUAUCAAUUGUCCACCCUAAGUUGACAAAAUGUAUCAGCUGACCACCAAACCGUUAGUUGCCGUUUAAGUAUGAUGACGUCAGAAGGGUAAUUUGGUCUUUUCAUAUGAUACAAGUGAUAAUUUAAGGGUAUAUAAGUGAUAAAAAGAGAAUUUAAGGGUAUACAAGUGAUAAUUUUCAAGGGUAAGAUUGUCAAUUCACUGUAACUCCGUUAACUUUCAAACGGCAACUAACGGUUUGGUGGUCGGCUGAUACAUUUUGUCAACUAAGGGUGGACGAUUGAUACACCCUCAAAGUGUUGUAAUAUUUUUGAUAAUAGAGCAAAUAUAGGGUAUAUGAAUGAUAAUUUCCCAUUAUUUAAAAGGUGAGCAAGUCAAGAAAAAUUUUCUGCUUUGUCGUCUAGUAGGUAACAGUGUUUGGUUUUCAGACUUAUUUAGAUACUCCAUGGGUUUGGGCAUAUUUCAAGGAGUCAACAUUCCCUUCAUAUUUACCAAAGGUAAGUGAUAAAUCCUACAUAUCCCACUCAAGAAUGCAUAAGUUUCUUCAAUCUCAAGUACCUAAAGUUUUCUUCUACGUUUAUAAAAAUUUCAGCACCAUCUCCCUAUAAUUCUCCAAGCUCACGACAUAGCUAUAUAAGUGUUUAUGUGUUAUGCCAAAACAACACAUGACACCCGUUCACCUAGAACGUACCCAGAGAACACGAGGAGCAGCUACUGAAAAAGCCAUAUUUAUGUGGAAAGAAAACUUCAGCUACUAGCUACCAGAGAGAACUAUGCAUUCCCAAACUGUCCAAGCCUGGACAAUUCAAGAAUUAUUAAUAGACAUAUGAUCCUCACUAUCAUCCAAAGAUGACACUAAUACAACAUGUGUCUAUUAAUAAUUUCUUAAACAAGUCUAAGCUUUCAAUGCACGUAUCAAAAGUUUAAAAUUGAAUCUGAAAUUUGAAUAACACAUAAAUAUCAUAAAUCUCUUCAAUUUAUUCCUGAAACAAUGUAGCAUUAUUUCACACGUCAUUUCUUAAGCAAAACCAUAAAAAAUACAAACGAUAAAUACAUUUUCCCACUGAUGCAGAUUAUGUUUACUGAGUAAUAAGUUUUAUGUCAUUCAUGUUGAAAUACUUCUGCCUAUUCUUUCAACAUAUAACUAGUACGUACACACAAUUAAUAAAUUUAAAAAAAAAAACUGGUGGUGAAUCUUGCAAAAUCUUCCUUUUUUCUUUUUUUUUUCUUUUUCUUCUUUUUUUUGGGGGGGGGGGGUGUGUUGGGGGAACUAUGAAUCUUGCAAAUCCUCAAGAAGCCAUGUUAAGACAAGGCCAGCUUACUAUUAGGGUAUGAAAGAUAAAACCUUUUAUUUCCUUUUCAGAAUAAAAAGGACAUUGACAGUGUUAAAAAAAAUCUAGAGGAUUUCAGGCCUCCAGAUCCUUACAAAUCAAGGAUAUUAAAAAAAAUUACUUAAGAGGAGAAAGGUUAUGCUCAUUUGUAUCUUGUUAGAAGAAAUUGAUCCAAAGCCUCAGUUUUAAUUUGCUUCAUAUAGCCAAUGACUAGGUGUUUAAAAACCAAUGAAUAUUUUUAUAAGAAAUCAACAAUAUUAUUGAAAGAAAAACCAAAUAAAAAUAAUAAAGCCAAUGAAUAGAUCAAGGCUCUUUGUGGUCUAAAACUAAUCAAACUAAGUUGUGGGCAAAGGCGAAUAUGUUUGUUUGGUCAAUAAUAAGCUCAACAAAUCACUAAUAAUCACCUAAUCACUAUUCCUUAUGCUAUGCAAUAUAAUGGCCUGGGUAAUGGCGCCAAGGCAGACAAUAAGUAGCUAGCCAGUUAUGAUAGUUGAUUAACUUAACCUACUGGAAAUCUGAAGACCAAAACGAAGAAGCUUUGUCUAGAACUAGAAUAGGAACGUUCGUACCCAAAACUAAUAUACACAAUUAAGAAACUUGAUUAUAUGUAUAUUUCUGUUGGCCACACUUAAAGAGAAUUUCCAAAAGAUGCUAAGGUACACCAAAUCCCACUAUUUCAUACUCAUAAACACAAAAAACCAUGGUAAAAAUUAAUGACUAUAUCAAAUAAAAUCGGUGAUAGGACGUUGAGAUUAGGACAACUUGAUUUGUAUACCGUAAAAUAACUAUAUCUGCAUGGUGAACUAUAUUUCUGUUAGAACUCUGAAGUUUUCUAUUAAAUUUUUUUCUCUGUUAGGUAAACCACUUAACUGAAGUGCUUAAGCCAAUUUUGACAAUCAUAGACAUAAAAGUAUUAAUAGGCUCAUUCAAGUGAAAUGAGCAUUAUUUCACACAUCCUUUAGGUUUUUAAGUCAUUUAGAAGUCAUUCAUGUUAAAAAAAAAAAAUUCAUAUACUUUCAAUAUAAUUAGAACAUACACAAUUAAUUAAUUAAAUAAAUCUGUUUCAGCUAGUAUAGGAACUUAAUUAAUCAAAGCUAGUAGUUAUAGCUAGGACUUGAACGAGGCACCUUUCAAAGUUCAAGAAGAGCAUCUGAACAUAAUGAAAGCACUUUCUAGAUAUGGUAAUGAUGCUUUACAUCUACAUGCUCUUACACAAUAUGAACUUUCAUUUACUCCAAGCUCUUAUUCUACAAGUCAAUUCAGUUUGUAGAUGCAAGCCAUUGUAAAAACUUUUGUAUUAUAAUUUCUGAAAAUAGAACGUAACAUUAUUAAUAUAGAAUCAGCAAUGUAUAUAACUUAUCAGACAAUAUAACAAGCACUUGGUGAGCAUACAAGAUAAACUAAAAUUUAAUAAUAUGUGGAAUUAAAGAUAAACUAAAAUUUAUGUUUAAACAUAAAUUUAAAGCAAAUCGAAUUGCAAAACAUUAGAAUGGAUGUUGGAAUUAAAGCUAAAUUCAAUAGUAAUUCAAAUGAAUCCAUUUGAACUUUGUAAAUUCCGCAGAACAAAAUUAAUUUGAGUGAGCAAACUCACCAAUGGAACAAGAACACAGGGGCUUCAACUUGUAGGAAUAAAAAAAUAUUGCUGGCGGGACAAAAAUUGACAAUAACGGCUACAAUACGAAUUAAAAAAAAAAUCAAAAUCUAUAAUUACAAGCUAAGUAAGAGAAGAAACUCAUAAUCACAAGCUUACCUCAAAAGAUGAAGGGAGAAUACGAUGAAGAAGAAGAUGCCCGGUGUUUUACGCCGUUCGCCGGCAACCAGUUAGGUUUACGAUGGUGGCUAGUCCAGCGAAUAGUUUUCUAACUGGAAAUAAAUUUAAAUUUCUAAAAUAGUACUAUACCGAACGGCUCUUCACCGUCACGUGGUUAGCAACACAUGUGACAGCAGUGUGGCCGUCACAUAAAGGGUAACAAAAGCAACUCGGGGUUACAAAGUUAGAAGUUAGUGGCAUGCGUAAUGGCUGCUUUUGCAUUCACAUUAGGGGUCACAUAUACCCUAUUUUCUUGUAGUACAUGGUAAUUUCUAUUUGAAAAUUGCUAAGUAUUUUAGAUUUGUACGAAUUCAUUUUUGUGUGCUCGUUGGAUAAUAAUAUAUAGUAAAUUAAAUUUUUGGUGUAAUUUUUACAAUAUUGUAUUAGAAAUAUGUCUCGUUGAAAGGUUUUGAAAUCGUUUUGAUUGAUCAUAAUUGAUAUUUCGACAGUUGCAAAAGAUGCCAGAGAAAAUUUGAUUAUCUUAAGAAAUGAGUGCAUGAGAUAUGAAAUCAACCAUACCAUAAAAUCAAAUUUUAUCAUGUCAUCCUUCCUGGUUCAAAUUUAUGGAAACAAUAAUCAAAUGCAUCCAUGAACUAGUAUAUUCCGACAUAUGUACCAUCAAAUUUUUGCUAUAUCAUACUUAUAUAUGUAUAUUGAAAUUUUAAUAACAACAAUUGGGCCAAGCAUAUGUUGGUACUUGAAUAUUUAUAAGCUCCAUCCUUGAAAAAAUAAGGCUUGACUGUUCUAAAUCUAAUUCUUUUUGUUUUAAGUUCUUAAUUAAGCUUUCUUGCUUGUUUUCAAGAGCCAGUUUUGUAAUGAUCCAUAAACAUGAUUUGCAUAUACAGUAUUGCACUUGGCAUAUACAGUAUUGCACUUGGCAUUUAUGUAUCACUUAUUAAUUAGAUUUAAAUUUUAUAAAUUAAUUAAGCUGAUUAAUAUUUUAUAUGUGCACUAAAUGAUAGAUACUACAUAAAUUGGGACACUAUAAGUACGUAUCCCAACUAUGUAAUAUUUGUUUGUCACAAACCCAAUCAUGACCUGAUAUUCUGAAUAUUAUUUAGGAUACCAUUUCAAGCCCCAUGAGGGCUCUUUCCAUUAAAAAAAAGUAUGAAAUAGAUGUAGAUUUUUCUUUAGAUAUUAUUAGUGAGAGUACCUUUGGUGGCAGUGGUCCGGGAUGAUUUGGGAUUUGACAAUUCUACUCUCAUCUUAAUUAUCAAAUGAAAUGUAAGUAGAGAUAAACUCGUCUUGUUUAUAUAUUUGUGAUCAAAAUUAGGACCAAUAUCUAACCACUCACAAUCAUGUCCCAUCCUAACUAUCCUGAAUGUCUCGAUUGCCUCCCUUAAUUAUCUUUUUAAUUCUCAUUAACAUAUUAGCAAAAUUUUCAUAUAUUAAAAAUAUUAGGGUCCGACCAUCUAUACUUUAAAAAUCAUUAUGAACACUCAAUUAUUUAUGCACUCAGCUAAUAAAUUUAAAAAAUUAAGUUUUACUUUCUACGCUUUUUUUUAGGAGUACUUUCUACACUUUUUAAAAUAACAAAAACAUCUUUACAUGAACCUAAUAAGCUUAUUUAAAAAAAUUAAAUCAACUAUUUUUAUUUAUUCAAAAUACUAAUAAAAAUAUUUAGCAAACCGUGAAAGAAAUUUUUUAAGAAAUUUAACACGAUUUUAGUUAUUACUUAUUGUUUAUUAAAGAAUGUGUUCACUAUUGUUUUUAAUUUUGUUAGUAAAAAAAAAAGAAGAAGAAGAAGUUUGGGUUUAAGAUACAUUUAAUUUUUAGUGUAACAGUUGUAAUAUAUAGCUUUAUUUACCCAAGUGGGCAAUACAUUUAAUUUUUAGUGUAACAAUUUUAUUCAUACGAUGCUUUUAAAACUAAAAGUACUUUUAAAAAUAAAUUUUACUAAAUGUUCAGCUGAUUCUCUUGACAAUUGAUCAAUUUCUACAGCAUAGCUAAUUGUAAUUAUUUUAAAAGCUACAGGAUUACCAAAUUGACCCUAAAUCAAACCAAUAAAAAUGUUUAAAAGUAAUAAUUAUAAACCAAAGUAAACGUACAAAAAUUCAUGCAUAAAUUGAUAAUCAACAAAAACAUCCACAAGUUUAACUCCAAGUUUUCUAUUCAAUUGACAUAACCCUUAAAUUUCAAAAGGCAUAAUCAAUUUUGUGUCUAAUCCUAUAAAAUUAGAAAAUUAAAGAAUAUUAUAUACUGAUAAUUAAAUAAUAUGCAAUUAAUAACGUUAAAAAAUAAUGUUAAACAUAUUGUCAACUAAAAUAAUUGGGAGAAUUGGAGUUCCAAGAUAAAUUCUUAUCUAGUCCCAAAUCAGCAAUUGGGAUUAACGAGCUACUAUUGAAAUUAAUGUUAACAACAAAAAUAGAUGCAAAAGGAGAAACAAGCAUCGUGUACAGUACCCACUGUGAACUGCUCACAUUGGAAUAAGUUGUUGGCAGCUGGUCAAAAAUUCAAUGUUGAUUUUGAUCCCACUAAAUUAAGUCAUCAAAAAUUACUUUCCGUACAAUGAUGAUUGGGCUGCAUAUAUCAUUUAUUAUUAACUAACUUAUGAAAUGCUUUAAAUGUACCUCCUAGGUCGUAUUAUUUACUAUACUAGUUAGGAUAAAUUGCAAUGUUAAAUUAUUUGAUAAAUACUUAUUAUAAUUUAAUAAAUAUGUUAAUUUUGUCCUCCACUUUAUGAUAAAAAAAUUUAUAAUAUAUAUAAAUCAUUUAUUCUAUAAUCUUAAACUUUAUUAAAGUUCGAAAAACUAUUACUCUAUAUGAUAUAAUAGUGUGAUGUAAUUACACUAUUAUACCAUAUAAAAUAUAUUUGCUUUCUUAAAUUUUAAUAAAGUCUAGGUCUUGGACAGAAACACUUUAUAUAUGUAUGUAUAAUGAUUCUCUAGCAACGACAUUCUCAUUUUAACAAAGUAAUAAUAUCACUAACAAACUAAAUAACACAUAUUUCAAUACACCAAUAAAUAAAAAAAUAAUUUUUAAUGUGUUAAAAUAUGUCUUUUGUAUAUUAUUGAUAUUUUCACUUUAACAUAGUGAGGAUCUCCUCACUAUAGAAGUACUUUAUAAAUAUUCUUUGUAUUUUAGUUCUAAGCUCUGUUUCGUGUAUCAUCGACACAAUGAGGCAUAGCAUCUAAAAGUCGGCAGCCAUGCAACUUCUUGGAAUCUUCAUGCAAGUGUUGGAUAUCGACUGUUCGAUAACGAUGGCAGCAUUGGACUGGACUGUAAUUGACGCAGAUAUUGUCAGAUAUUUCAUUGAUUAAGGAUCACAAAUAAUGGCUAUUGGAUGAGGAUCACAUGUUUUAUGACAGUGGUAAUGGCAUGCUACUAAUGUAAGUCAAGCAUUACUUUUAAAUAAUGAUAUUAUAAUUAAAAAUCUAAAAAUAUUUAUAAUACCUAAAGACUAAUUCAGAUUAUUAAUUUGUUUAUAUGACUUAAUUAUUAGCUGACAAAUAAUUAAAAAGUCAUGGAACAAUAUUUAAUUGACGCAGUGGAAUAAGGAUCACAAAUAAUGGAUAUUGGAUGAGGAUCACAUUGGAGUGUUGUGAUACAACACAUAUUCACAAAAGCGUUGUUGAUGAAGUCUAGUACUCUAAUGCUACUUUAUUAUGUGGGGGCAGAGCAGUAAAUUUCAAAGCGAAAUUAUAGAUGUGUUUUAUAAUGGGAUUCAUAAGAUUUUAUUUUUAAAAAAUUAGUAAGGUUUAUUGAGAGUCUCACUAUAGCACAUGAGAAAAUAUCAUUAGAGAAGUUCAUCAUGACCUAUCUCGUGUAAAUUUCUCUUCUAGCAAUUGUGAAUUUGAGUUUAGUUUUAGGGCUCAUUUAAACUAUGGUACCAUAGUGGUGCCAUAUUAUAAUUGGGUCUAACCAUUGACAACUCUGAUGACUACCGUAGAGUGGAUUCAAUGGUACCACUUUAUCAGGUAUUAUUAAUUUUUAUUUCAAAAAUUGAAACUUUCAGUUUAUUACAACUGACAGCUGACCCCACACAUUUCGAUGAUUAUAAUUUAGGCCAAAACUACAUUGCGUCGGGGGUUUGGUACCCCACUCCUUUGUCUGUUAGCAAGGUCAGCGUUGGAUUUGAUCUGACGGCUGCAGAAGGGACACAAAUAUAAAGAGGAGUAACCUGAGGUAAAGGUAAUAAGCCGGUCACCUGCAGAAAAUAAGUGUAUGAUAAAAUAACACAUGCAAUAAAUUUUGUUUGUUUUUUUUUUUUUUUUUUGAGAAGACACAUGUAAUGAACUUGCUGGAAGCGUAUAUGCAAGUAAUGGUUGGAAACAACUUGCUGGAACCGUGCAAGUAUUGGUUGGGCUAAGACUGACAUGAAAUUUCCCCAAUAGUGUCCAAAACAUUUGCAAAUAGUUAAUUCAAAGCGUAAAUAAAUGCUGGAAAAAAUACGUAUUUUUUAUUUUAUUAUUAAGAAUACAUCUUUUGAUAAAAAAAGAUAAAUGAUUAAUGGUACAUAUUAGUAACAAAUAUACUAAAAAAAUUAUCCAUAUAUUUGAAAAAAAAUUGUUAACAAUACAUAUUUUUUAGAAGUACACAUAUUAUACCAUACAAAAAUUGAGUUGUAUCAUGGACAGCCAUAAACUAUGAACAAAGAUUACGAUCGAAACUCCACAUGCAUAUUUAAUUUGUACAUUUUUUUCAGAAUGCGUUUCCCACCAUGGGAAUAACCAAGGUUCUUCAGGCAAAACACUACGGUAAUUCAUUAUCAUAGACAGGAAAAAGACAAUGGCAAAGAUCAAUAAUUUAACACAUAAGAAUGAGUGAAUGACAACAUCAAGUGAGAACCAUGCACAAUCCUUUUUAUUAGAGAUCCUUUCUUAAAUCUUAAAUAAGAACAUUAAAUAAGCUUGAAAAAUAUUGGUAACUGACCCAAUACACAUCCAUCUAACGGAAAACAGCGGACAAUUUGAUGCAUGUGUGGAGCACUUGAGGAAACAGAGCAUCCACAGAAUGCCUAAAUUUGAAAAAAAAAAAAGAAAAUAUUUGCAUUUGACGAAAAGGACUUUGAGCGUUCAAAUACAAAGUGUCAAUUAACCUUACAAGAUACAUCAACCAUCAGAUAUGCUCAACAUGCAAUACCAAAUUAAAUUACCUAUCUCCAGGGUUGGAUUUGUCUUCAAUCAGAUGAAUGUUGGAGAGAAUAUAAUUGAAAGAAUGGCAUCAUCUACCAUGCAAGGUAAGGCUCCUUACAGGUGCUCAAUAUGACACCACAAAAGAAAAUACAAUAUCAUAGACACAUCACCAACAUAUAUGCAAACAACCAAUUCUCACAGCAUGUAGUGCAACAACUCACAAAAUAUGAAAUUUAACAUCAUCUAAGCAUUUUUCUCAUUAAAGAACCUAACUGAAAGUAGUAAACAUAGAGACAUAUAACAGCUUUAUAAGUACAGACCACAAAGUAGAACUUUGUUCGAAUGAUAACGAUCAUAAUCCACAUUAUAAACGCAGUGAAAUCAUCAAAUGAAAAUAAGAACACAGUACAUAAUUACACAGAUAUUAGGCUUAAUUAAUUAUUUAGAUUAAAACACCACUUCACACAGCUUCCUUAGCUGGAAUCUUCUCAUAUCUCAUCUUCUUAGGGCUCAAAUCAUCAUCAUGAUCAUCAACAUCAGUGAAUUCCUCAUACGAAUUGCGAGAAUCGUGACGAUUAGCAAAAAGGCUCCACACCAAAUACAUGGUAAUGUCAGUAAGCGAACUGCACCCAACGCCGAAAAGAAAAGCGACUGGUUUGGUCGCAUAGAGAGGAGAAGUCGUGCUCGAAGGGCAAAAUGCGACGUUUUGGCUCGUGGAUGAGGUGCUGCUCCCAAUCAUCGAUUGAAGGGAGAAUCAGACAGUCGAGGAAGAUUAAGGGACGAUGGGGGCUGAAUUGGCAAAUUUCGGUGAAGAUUGUGACAAAUCUAAUGGGGUUUUCGGAGUUAGAGUUAGGGCAGCGGGAAUUGAAAUGGAUCAAUUAAGAGGAAAUGAAGAGGGUUUUGCAUGGCCUUUUGGAGGCUGAAAUUGAGAGGACACCAUGAAUAUUGUGAGAGCUAGGAGGAGACGCUGAGUCGAUGACGCCAUUGAUUCGUACCACACAGCUUCGAUUGGAAAUGGAGCCUCUAAUUGCUUUAGCCGGUUACCCAUUUUUCAAGUGUUAAAUCUCAGCCGUUGACUACCUUUCUUUACGAUCUAAAGGGUCAUUCGCAAAAGGACAAGCGACUGGGGUACCAAACCCCUGAUGCAAUGUAGCUGGAUCCUAUCUUUCAUUCACAAUAUGCCAGCAAAUGUUAAUUACGAAUAAUUUAUGUCCUUCACCCCUGACAUUGAUAUUAGCAAUUUUCAGUUAAAAGUUAAAUCAUCCCAGCAUUAGCAUUUUUUCUUAAUUAGAGUUGAAUAAUUAUGCCCAAUUGUAUAACAUCAUUUUAAUUAAUAGAUUAGAAACGUGAUUCACGUUUGACAAUAAUUUUCUCUUUUGCUGUUUUGUCGUUAUAGUUUACUGAGACGAGAAGAAAUAAUUGCUCGUUUGGAUACUCUCUGUAUUCACAUUUGACAAAAUAAAUAAAUAAUUUCUUUUUACUGUUUUGUUCCUUUUACUGUAUGAUAUUGAACAAAAUAAUUUUUUUCAGAUCGCUCAAUAGAAUUGCUUCAAAUCAGUUUUACCAGUUAUAAUUCAUCAGCUCCUACUCUUUGCGUUCAAUUCUCAGUCAAGAAAACCUCUCCUGAUUUUCGUCUUUUGAUCUCAUACACACUCUGCUUCUGUUCAUCGUGGUCGCUGCUCGUGCUAGCCGUUUUCUUAUUUAGCUUUGCUCCCUUCUGCCAUCACCUCUCUGUAUACUCAUUGGAUCAAGAAACCCUUUUCUUGUUUCAAUUUUCUGAUCUCAACAACACUUUGAUUCUCAUCCAUUACACUGAUUUUUUUCCUUAUUUUGCUCAAAUACAAUUUCUCUUCCUAAUUUAGUCCCGUUCCCUUUCACCGUCAUCUGUUUUUUCUUCGGCUUCUUCAUUGAUUAACAAUUGUCCAGUCGUUUCCCCUGUUCUUUUUCUGUUUCUUUCACUUCAGAUCAAUCCAUCCUCCCACAACACACCCCCCCCCCACAAAAAAAAGAAAAGAAAAAGUAUUGAAGGUGAUGGAAUCCAUUGUUACUGUCGUUUUAGAGGUUGUAAAAUGCUUGGCUCCUCCAGCACAACACCAACUUCGUUACUUGCGUAGCUCCAAUGACAACUUUGAGAAUCUGAAGGCUGAAACCGAGAAGCUCAAGGAUAAAAGUAGGAGCAUUCAACGCAGAGUUUCAGAGGAUGAAAGAAAAGGAGAAAAGAUUGAAGAGGAGGUUGAGAAAUGGCUGGUUAAUGCGAACAAGAUCAUUGACCAUGCAGACAAAUUCAUUCACGACGAGGAGGCAACAAAUAAGCGAUGUCUCAAGGGUCUAUGCCCUAAUCUGAAGACCCGCUAUCAGCUUAGCAAGAAAGCAGAGGCAGAGGUGAAGGCACUUGGCAAAAUCCGAGAAGAAGCUGCAAGAUUUGAUGAUAGAAUUUCCUACAGUACCAUUCCGGAGGAGAUAUGGCUCAAGUCUCACAAAGGCUACGAGGCCUUCGAGUCAAGACUUUCUUCUUUGAAGGCCAUACAAAAUGCAUUGAACGAUGUUAAUGUUAGUGUCGUUGGGGUGUACGGCAUGGGCGGCAUUGGAAAGACGACACUGGUGAAGAAGGUCGCCAGGCAAGCUAUGGAAGACAAGCUCUUUGAUAUGGUGGUCUUUUCAGAGGUUUCGCAAACUCCAGACAUAAAAAAGAUUCAACAGGAAAUUGCCGAGAAGUUGGGCCUGGAGUUGCACGAGGAAGUUGAAUCUAGAAGAGCAAGUAGACUAUUUGAGCGAUUGAGAAAUCACAAGAAGAUCCUUGUGGUUUUAGAUAACAUUUGGAAACACCUUGAUUUGGAGACAGUUGGAAUUCCUUUUGGAGAAGAUCAUAAAGGCUGCAAACUACUGCUGACGGCAAGAGAUCGUAGUGUCCUCUUAAAAAUGGGUUCUAAAGACAACUUUUUGAUAAACAAUUUAAAUGAAGAAGAAGCCUGGAGAUUGUUUAAGAUGAUGGCCGGUGAUGAUGUUGAAAAUCGUGAGUUGAAAUCUACAGCAAUAGACGUCGCCAGGGCAUGUGGAGGUUUGCCCAUUGCCUUGACCACAGUAGCAAAGGCACUGAGAAGCAAGAGUCUGCAUGAAUGGAAGAAUUCCUUGCGAGAACUCCGAACGCCUUCAAUGGUGAACUUCGAAGGAGUAUCUGCAGAGACUUAUUCAAGUAUUGAGCUGAGUUUCAACCAUUUAAAAGGUGAGCAACUCAAGAAAAUUUUUCUCCUCUGUAGUCUAAUGGAGGGCCAUAUUACUUUGGACUUGUUUAAGUACUCCAUGGGUUUGGGUAUAUUUAAAGGAGUCAAUAAGAUGGAAGAUGCACGAGACAAAUUAUAUGCAUCGGUCCAUGAACUUAGAGACUCUUGUUUGUUGCUUGAGGGUGACAGCAAUGAAGAAUUUUCAAUGCAUGAUGUCGUUCGCGAUGUCGCAAUAUCAAUUGCAUGCCGCCACCAACAUGUGUUUUCGGUGAGAAAUGAUGAGGAUGUGUGGGACUGGCCAGAUGAGGAUGCACUUCGAAAAUGCAAUGCUAUCUCUUUAAUAAAUAAUAGUAAUCGUGAAUUUCCUGAAGGAUUAGAAUGCCCAAACCUUGAAUUUUUAGGUGUCUUUCUCAAAGAUUUUUCUCUUGAAAUCAAUAUUCCUGAGAACUUUUUUGUAGGGAUGAAAAAGCUUAGAGUUCUAGAUUUUACUCGAAUGCAGUUUUCUUCUUUUCCAUUUUCAAUUGAUCUUCUAGUAAAUCUUCACACACUAUGUCUGAAUCAAAGUGCGUUGGGCGACAUAGCAAUCAUUGGGAAGUUGAAGAGUCUAGAAGUCCUUAGCUUUGUGAGGUCUGAUAUUAAGAAGUUGCCCGAAGAGCUAGGUCAACUGUCUAAGCUAAGGCUGUUAGAUUUAACAGACUGUUUCCUUCUGAAAGUUAUUGCCCCAAAUGUCAUAUCAAGCUUAAUCCGAUUAGAAGAGCUGUAUAUGGGUAAUUGCUGCAUUGAAUGGGAGGUUGAAAGAGACAACAGGGAAAGAAGUAAUGCUAGCCUUGACGAAUUGAUGCAUUUACCUCGGCUAACCACUCUAGAAAUUGACGUUAAAAAUGACAGUAUUUUACCAGAAGGUUUUUUGGCCAGAAAGCUCGAAAGGUUCAAAAUAUCCAUUGGAAAUGAGUCAUUCAUGCCUCCCAAGAGUAUUACAAGAGAAUGGUUUCAAAGCCGGCCGCACUUUUUGAUCAACAGUAAUCGUGAGAGUUUAAGAGAAUUGAAGCUCAAGCUUGAUUUUAUGGACAUUUGCUCCAUGAAAUUGCAGGGCAUCAAUAACGUUGAAUACCUAUGGUUUGACAAGCUGCAAGGUGUCAAGAAUGUUCUUUUUGAUUUGGACACAGAAGGCUUUUCACAAUUGAAGCAUCUCCAUGUUCAAAA
rnacentral:lncRNA from 1 species